CCCUAGGAAGCCUCCCUUCGAUCUUAUUGCCAUGUAAAUCUAUCAUCUGUAAAGCACAUCUUGUUGUUAUAUUGGAAGGCAGCAUCCCUUUCAAGCGAUUCUCCCUCAAAUUUAAAACACCGCUGGGGAUAUUUUCUAUAAAACAAGGUGGAAUCGGGCCAUUAAAGUAGUUAUAUGAUAGAUCAAGGACAUCCAGGUAUAUUAUUUUUGGACAUGCUGAGAUACAUGGUGUCCCGAAGAUAGGUGGUCCAAUUUGGCAGAAGGGAAGAGAACAUGUUGUUGGAAUAAUCCAAGAUUUCUCCUGAUAAUUUUGGCAUAGGGAUCAUCCCUGAAAGUCUAUUGAAACUAAGAUCAAGCACUUCCAUUGAUGUAUUGAAAGGGACAACAUCCGAAUUAAGUUGCAUGCCCGUGAACAUGUUAUGUGAAAAAUUCAAAUGAGAUUCCAUAUCAUUCCAUGUCGUCUCCCAGAUCCAAUUUGGUAUAUCCCCACUGAUUUUAUUACAUGAAAGAUCCAAAUACGAUAUAUGGUCAACAUGCCUCAAAAAUCUUGGAAACUGAGUUAUCUUGCAAGAUGCGAGCCUUAAUUCUCGUAGUCCAGCCAAAUAGCUGGUUUCCACUGGAUUAUUAUCUUCUGAGGCCAUGACAUGCAACUUAUUGUAGGAAAGAUUCAAAACAGCGAAGUAAGUUAAUCUCCGAAAAUGUGCAAGGUCCACGGAACCUAUCAAGUUGUUUGAGCUAACAUCUAUAUAUACUAAACUUGUUAGUUGAAAGAUGGCUUUGGGAAUAAAACCUGACAAUUCAUUGUUCUUGAACCUCACGGUCUCCAACUGUGGACCUGCCUUGUCAAAGCCUUGUAUAGGGCCAGAAAGCUGGUUGAAAGAGAGAUCAAGGCGAUUUAAUAUAGGAAGACUGAAAAUAGAUGGUGGAAUCUCCCCUGGAAGGACAAUAGAAAACAUUAAGUUAGAAAGUGUUUCCCCUUCUACAAAUUGAAAUCAGAAGAUGCUACCUCCUAUUUUGUUCAGAACAUGAAUACUUGACCCUUUCUCGAGAAAAGUAAAAGUUGAUAUCGUACCAUAGAAAUAUAUAUCCCAAAUUUAUUUAUUUUAUUUUGAGAAAAUUGCAUUACUAGUCUCAAAAUAAAAGGCCAAAACUUGUGUGGUAACCUCGCCGACCCUUGCACUUGUUGCAAAUUACUUUCCCCAGCCCCCUCGUCUUUGUUGUGCCACGUGUUAGGCAAUGGUUUGAUGCUGGUUCAACACAUUAAUUUGCUAAUAGUGGGGUGGGUGAGAUUAGUGUGCAAGUUUAAGGACUAUCGGGAGAAUUUAGUGCACCUACGGACCAUAGAAUUUCAUAAUCCUAGGACCCAUGAAGCUGAAAUGAUCCGGACCCAUCAUGGAUCAUGAAAUAAUCCGGACCCAUCAUGGAUCAUAAUUUUAUGGUAUUAUGAUUUAUGAUACCUGGUGUAUAGUCCUGUACCAUCAAAAAGAAUUGGUAAGAUCACUUAUAUAGAAUCCCGAUCCUAACAUCAAAAUUUGUUAAUAUCUGAAAUUAAAUCCAUGAGUAAUUAUAUAUGUUUCUUCAGUUUAAUUCGACAUCUUUUACUCUUUGCAUGACAUCUGACCAUUAAAUUGUUUUAAAUUAUGAUUAGAUAAUGUUUGGAGUUAAGUUGAAAUGUCGAAUUGACAUUGACAUGAAUAAGUAGACUCGAGUUUACAAGAAUUAAUAAAUUUAUAAAAAUAGCAUUGUAGAUUUCUUUUCAAGACCUUGUUUAACUUUUUAAUACAUGCAUUUUUUUACUCAUUACGCUGCAAAAUCCCCCCCCCCUUCAAUUCUUGACACAGUGUCAAACUCAUUUGUUGUGUUUAAGCUCUUGCAAUGAUCUAUAUAAGCUGCCAGCUUUUGUAUAAGAGGGCCGGGUUAGAGAAGUAUAUCGUGUCAACUGCGCCAAUGAAAUCCUUUUAGAGUAAACUAGAGCAAAUGAGAAGCUUUAUGAGCCCUAAUACCAUUUAAGAUUUCCAUUGUCCUUCCUACCCUGUCAAAUGAACACUCAAGCUCAUAUAGAAGUGACAUGUGUGGUUGUUGCAUCAAGAAGCAACCUUAAGGGAGGAUUUUGCAACAGGGUUAGGCUUGUGGGUUCGUUAGGCCCUUCACACAACGUGUGCUUGGAGUAUUGCUUGAAAUGGAGAGAGGAGGUUUGGGCAUCAAUCACUCCCCCAAGUGGCCAAGUUGAAACCAGGAGCAGCACUGUGACAGAACAAAACAGAUGCCAACUUUUCUGACAUGGGCCUCAACUUUUUUUCCUAGAGUCACUCCACAUAGUAGAGGCCUUAAUGUAACUAUUUUUCUUUUAGGGGAUAAUUGCAACUCAAGAUGACUACUAGGAGCUUGAGCCGUGCACACAUGCGUUAGUGGCAAGCUUGCACCUACUCUGAGCAGAGGAGGGCACAGUUGGAGCUUGCAAGGACCACGGUGUGGAGCACUGACGCUUAGGGAUGCAAACAGGCUAACCCAGAUAUAGGGCUGAAUCAUGUUGGCAACUGUAGCAUAGACUAUAAGUGGGUUCGCAGGCUAGCCUGCUUGAUUUGCAGCAAUAUAUUAUGGUGGAGGGAUGCCAUUGACCUUGUUGACGCCGGAUUUCGUCAUCAGUAGAAUCGGCGCCAAAGAAGAAAGAAAUCGAAGGAAUACGAGUGGGGAUCGGCCAAAAGGUGCUACAAUGCGGAAUCGGUCAAGUGGCUUUUACUUCGCUUCAGGGUGAAUGCGCCAGGUUCCCAAUCGGCAAUCCUUUAAGAAAUCGGCCGAUCGGGAAGGUGGAUUAAGGUGGGCCUGUAUGGGCUUGGAAAGAUGGAGGGAUAAGGUGGAGUUCAGCCCACGGAGUGUGGGGUAAUUAGUUUAGUACGGAUUGUGCUUGUAGAUAUUUGUUUUCUGUUUGAAUUAGAGAUAGAGUCCUAGUCGGUUAAGAAGAUUAUUUGUACGGGGCUAUAAAUAGCUACCUUUGUAAAUCUGUAAACACAACAAUCAAUCAAUACAACAAGUUACUUUCUUCUGCGCAUCUACUUUUGAGCAGGCGACUUCGCCAUCAAUUUUCUUUCUCACGAGUUCGUACGGGUUGGCAGGGCUGCAUCGUCUUGAUCUCCGGCCGAUUCUGUAAGUUCCGUUUAUCGAGUAAUAUCUAGGCUUUGACUUCCGGCGUAUCGCUGUUGUUUCGUCUAGAUUUAUUCACCAGUUAUCGAUAUUGACUAGAUUCAUAGGUUUUUACCUGCCUUCCUAGUUUUUAUCACCAGUUAUCCCGCUAGGAAUCGGUAGUAUCGGCUUUCAUUACUUCCUGUUGCCAGAUCCAUCUGUUGCCGAUUAGAUCUUUUCCUAGUGCUGUUAUUACGUGCCUUGUACCGAUUACUUUAAUAUUUUUCUAUCUACAAGGCUACGGGGAUCGUGCUGUCUCGUGGCCGAUUUCUUUACCAUAGUAAAUCGGCUGAUCUGCCGAUAAACUCUCUCGAUCGGAAACUUAGCCGAUCGUAGUUACUGAAUUUGACACGUGUUCUUCCUUGCCAAUCAACAGGUCAGAUUGGCUGGCACGCCGCGUGAACCGCACCAGGGCAUUCACCCGAACAGGAGCUAAGCAGAUUCUCCCGGGUCGUGUGUCGGUCGCUGGGAUUCGGUUGACCGAGUUCUAGCGCCAACACACUUUUGGCACGCCCGGUGGGACCAAUACAACCGCUAUCAUGUCGAAAGCUGCUGAAGUCUCCGAAGAUAACGUCAUCGAAGUGACGGAAGCAGAUCUAAAGGACGACCAAAAAGAAGAUCUGAAUCAGUAUUUGGAGCAAGUCCGGAAAACUUGCUUGAAAUCCUUCAGUCGUUCCAGGAGCGGGGAAACUGUUAAAAAGUCUCCUUUCCCUACUCCCCGCCAGAUCACGAUUUCAGAAGAUUCGGACAAAAUGUCCGAUAUGAUUCAGCAAUCUCUUCAUCACGCCUUCAUCAACCAAUCCCCGGUACUUUCAAACAUGGUGCACAAUGCUGUUGUCAACUCCUUCGCCGGAGGUAUACCACAAGGGUACAGGGGGCCUACGUAUUUUCAGCCGAUUCCACCAAAUCAGGCUUAUCGGGCUUCACAGCCGAUCCAAUCCUCUGUCGGAGGAUCGGUGCUUCUACGUCAUCAACUCCUUUGGGAUACGGCUCCAUCCAGCCGUCCACUGCACCACUCCCUCCAGUCAUCCCUUUACCCUGGGGGGCACCCUUAAACACGACCGGUUUGAAUCAAUCGGUCAGCCAAGGAAAUCCUCCGUUCCAGACACCCUCCCAAACGGCCACUCGGCCGAUCAUACCACCAUACCAGCCUAUCGCUCCGGAGGUCAACAAGACGUCAGAGCUCAUGCUAUAUGAUGAAACGAGUGGUGCCUACAAGCAGCCGUCCUUUACUACACCGCCGGCUUAUACUCAGAUACCACCUUUUCAUCAACCUCCUUUUAUUCAACCUCCGAUUUAUCAACAUGUGCCGAUUCCGCCGCCGAUUAUUCCCCAACAACAACCGGAUUGGACGGCGCAAAUCGCGGAGGUAAUGCAAGAACAAUUCGGCCUGAAGCCGAAGGUGCAAACUUAUACCUACAGGACACCAUACCCAUCCACGUACGACUUGUUGCCGUUUCCCCAUCGGUACAAAGUUCCGGAUUUCACUAAAUUCUCCGGAAUGGAUGAUACUUCUACCGUGGAACAUGUGAAUAGAUUCAUCAUCCAAUGCGGAGAAGCAGCUACGCAAGAUGCCCUGCGGGUACGGUUGUUCUCGUCAUCUUUGUCUGGAUCGGCUUUCCAGUGGUUCACCACUUUGCCACCAAACUCGAUUAUCACAUGGGCCGAUCUAGAGAGGCAGUUCCACAAGUACUUCUAUGCUGGAGUCCACGAAAUGAAGUUGUCUGAUUUAACUAGCCUCCGGCAACGAAGUGAUGAGCCGAUACCCUUGUACAUACAGAGGUUUCGGGAAAUCAGAAACAAAUGUUACUCCUUGGCUCUAACCGAUGCACAGUUGGCCGAUAUAGCUUUCCAAGGCCUGCUGCCACACAUUAAAGAAAAAUAUGCUUCACACGAGUUCGAGAGCUUGAGCCAGAUCGUCCACCGAUUGUCCGGGCAAGAGGUGCGUCCAUUUGAUCCAAGGAGGAAUUUCUAGAAGAAAGUAGCAUUCCUGGAAGAAGUAGAGGAUGAAGAAGACGCCGAAAUCGGACUUGCAGAGUGGAUUAAGGGAAAGAAGCCAAUAUCAUGCCCGUUCGGCAAAAAGGAGCCGGAGGCAUUCGGUUUCGAUACUACUAAAGCUGACAAAAUAUUCGACCUUCUACUCCAGGAAGGACAGAUUAAACUCUCGCCUUACCACACGAUACCCUCUGCCGAACAGUUGAAGAAGAUGAAGUAUUGCAAAUGGCACAAGGCCACGUCACAUGAUACCAAUGAGUGCAAAAUCUUCAGACAACAAAUACAGUCGGCCAUUGAGCAGGGCAGACUCAAAUUUGAAGUGCCGGCAAAACCGGCCAAACCAAUGAAGAUUGAUCAGCAUCCUUUUCCUACCAACAUGGUGGAUACGGGUAAGAAUCCCCUCCAGACAAAAGUGCUGACAUCCGAAUCGGCAAAAAGGAGUGGCGCUGUCGAUCCCAGGAAUCAAGUCACGUCUGAAGACAUCAAGGGGAAGCGACGGAUGAAGGCCGACGAUGGUGAACCAGAAGGACCACGCAUUACUUCCCAGUUCCUGCUCCAAAAAUACCAACGCCAACAUGAACGAUCAAGGUCCCGAGAGGAAGCAAUGCGUCGGCACGAGGAACACUGGAGAUGCCCAUUCUUCAUCCAUUGUUGGGAAAAUAACCUCAGACUUCCAUCAGCCGAUACUUGCCCAGAGUGCAACGGCCCCUAUCGAAGCAAUCGGCCGUUCACAAGGUCUCGCUCCAGAGACGGAAGGCCAGAACCGAUCAGCAGGAAUCGGCGUAACCCAGAUGAUCAGCGCCCUUCCAUACGUGAUCGGCUGGGGGGCAGAAGUGACCGAUAUGAUCGGUCAGAAGGCAGAAGCCAUAAUAGGCAGGGGGGCAGGACCGAUCAACACGAUCAAUCAAAUAGCAAAGCCAGCGUUCACAGCCGGCUCGAAGACAUGGCCGAUGCUCGGGUAACGGACGAGAACCCGUUAGGACGCGAACCAGAAUGGGAACGCGCCGGGAAAGAAGGGAGGCCAAUAAACCCCAGAUGGUGCCCCGACGGUUUAACCAAAUCACAAAAACGGAGAGUCCAACGCCUCCACCAAUGGGAGCAGCAAGAAGAAGAGGGCACGAUGGACAAAAAGCAAGAAAGGCCUCAGGUGUGGCGCCCCAAAAGAAACGACAAGGGCAACGAUGAGUCGGCGGGCGACGAAUCGGCAGCCGAAAUCGGUAUGGUCUUCAUAUUGCCGAUGGAGUUUAUGACCCCUGCCGAUCAACAGGAUGUGUCGGCGAUAGAGGAACAAACAGCACGGUUGACUUUAGAACCGAUGAUGGCCACGUUCGAAAAGCCCGAAGACGACGAACGACAACAUAUGAAGGCAUUGUUCCUUAAAGGGCAUGUUGACGGACGCCCCCUCACUAAAUUGAUGGUCGACGGGGGAGCCGCCGUCAAUAUCAUGCCGUAUGUCGUACUUCGGAAACUAGGAAAGAGCGACGACGACCUGACCAGGACGGACAUGAUGCUCAAGGACUUCGAAGGCAAGGUGUCAAACGCUCGUGGUGCCCUCUGCGUCGACCUCACCAUCGGCAGUAAGACCCUUCCUACCACGUUUUUCAUCAUUAAUGGCAAAGGGUCCUAUAAUAUGCUUCUUGGACGAGACUGGAUACACGCAAACUGCUGCAUACCGUCAACUAUGCAUCAAUGCCUGGUACAAUGGGUCGGCGACAACGUCGAGGUGGUCAAAGCCGACUCCGCGUACAGCAUCGCAGCAGCCGACGCACAGCAAUGGAGCUGCGAAACCGUCAGGUGCAUAUUAGGUAGGGUGUGGGAAACUGAUUUCCUGAAGGUCACCGAUUUUGGCCUACAGCCGAUCCGAGCAGUCGGCUCUGAAGAAGCGCAAUAAAUGGAUCAGUUCGCCCGAGAAGACGGGAAGCUGGGACACGGAUUCACGUCGGCCGAUUCAUUAGAAAUGGUAGAUUUAGGUGACGGGACCAAGCCAAGGCCGACUUUUAUUAGUGCAAAUUUAGAUCCAGAGUACAAGUGUAAAUUGACAAAUUUAUUAAGAGAAUUCAAGGAUUGUUUUGCGUGGGAGUAUCACGAGAUGCCCGGAUUAGAUCGAUCUAUUGUUGAACAUCGGCUACCCAUAAAACCAGGGUAUCAGCCGUACCAACAACCCGCACGGCGAUGCAAUCCUAAAAUUUUACCAGACAUAAAAGCCGAAAUAACUCGGCUAAUUGAAGCAAAAUUUAUUCGGCAAUGUCGUUACGCCGAGUGGAUUUCUAAUAUCGUACCGGUGUAUAAGAAAAAUGGGAAGCUGCGCGUUUGCGUCGAUUUCAGAAACCUUAAUCAGGCCACACCAAUGGAUGGCUACCCCAUGCCUACGGCCGAUGUACUGAUCGACGCUGCCGCGGGGCACAAAAUUAUUAGCUUCAUGGAUGGGAACGCCGGAUACAAUCAAAUACUUAUGGCCGAAGAGGACAUACCCAAAACGGCUUUCAGAUGUCCAGGCCAUCUUGGUCUAUUCGAGUGGGUGGUGAUGACUUUCGGUUUGAAGAAUGCUGGUGCUACGUAUCAGAGGGCCAUGAACUAUAUUUUCCACAAACUCAUCGGCCUCCUGGUGGAGAUCUACAUCGACGACGUUGUGGUCAAGUCCAAAAGCCACGAGGAACACCUAGCCGAUUUGCGAAGGGUCCUAGAGUGUACCAAAAAACAUGGUCUUAAGAUGAAUCCCAACAAAUGCGCUUUCGGCGUCUCCGCCGGACAGUUCUUAGGAUUCAUGGUGCACGAACGAGGCAUUGAAGUCAAUCAGAAGACCAUAGCGGCUAUCAACAAAGUCGUCGCCCCACAGAACAAAACUGAGCUACAGUCUCUAAUCGGCAAGGUAAACUUCAUCAGAAGAUUUAUAUCUAAUCUAUCUGGACGGAUCCAGGCGUUCACACCACUUCUGAAGUUGAAGCCAGACCAAGAAUUUAUUUGGGGAGAAGAACAGCGCGAGGCGUUAGAAGACAUCAAGCGAUACUUGGUCUCACCCUCGGUCCUGGUUCCCCCUCAAACGGGUAAGCCGUUUAAACUAUAUUUAUCAGCCGGCGAAAAAGCUAUUGGGUCGGCUCUAGUCCAAGAGUUUGAAGGCAAAGAACGGGUGAUUUAUUACGUUAGUAGAAGACUCCUGGAUGCCGAAACAAGAUAUCCUCCAGUGGAGCGUUUGUGUUUGUGCCUUUACUUCUCGUGCACCAAACUCAGACACUAUCUACUGUCGGCAGAGUGUAUAGUCGUAUGCAAAGAUGAUGUAGUGAAAUACAUGCUGUCACUGCCGAUAUUGAAAGGGCGAAUCGGAAAAUGGAUUUUAGCUCUAUCAGAAUUUGACCUACGGUACGAAUCGGCAAAAGCCGUCAAAGGUCAAGUCAUGGCCGAUUUCGUUGCCCAGCACUGUGGGCCAGAGAUUGCCUUCGUGGAACUAGCUCCUUGGCAGUUAUUUUUUGAUGGAUCAUCAUGCGGAGUCGGAUCGGGAAUCGGCAUCGUUCUCAUAUCGCCUCGGGGGGCAAGAUAUGAUUUUUCUCUGCCGAUAGAAACCGCCGCCACAAACAAUCAAGCGGAGUACAGAGCCGUAUUAAAAGGCUUACGAUUAUUGAGGGAAGUCAAGGCCGAUUCUGUUGAAGUCUUCGGAGAUUCGAUGCUAAUUGUGGAUCAACUAACCGGAAGGGCUGAGUGCAAAGAUGACAUAUUACGAAUUCAUCACGAAGAUUGCUUACAGCUUUUAAAAGAAUUCAGAUCGGCAGUAAUCGAGCACGUCCCAAGAGACCGCAACGAGGAAGCAAACAAACUCGCUCAACACGCAUCAGGGUAUCGGCCGAUUCCAGGCGCCAUGGCCUUAGAGCUUGCAGCCGACGAUUGGCGUAAGGAAAUUGCCGAUUACCUGAAGGAUCCAUCUAAAAAGGUGGAGCGACGAGUGCGCUUUCACGCUACCAAGUACGUACUGCUCGAAGAUGAUCUGUUCUACCGAACGAUCGAUGGUGUUCUUCUUAAAUGCCUUGGGACAGAAGAAGCCAAGACUCUAAUGGGAGAAAUCCAUGAAGGGGUAUGCGGAGCUCACCAAUCGGCACAUAAGAUGAAGUGGAUGAUCAGAAACAACGGGUACUAUUGGCCUACGAUCCUCGAAGACUGUUUUAAAUAUUAUAAGGGUUGUCAGGAGUGUCAAAAGUUUGGAAAUGUCCAACGUGCACCCGCGUCGGCCAUGAAUCCCAUCAUCAAACCAUGGCCGUUCAGAGGAUGGGGAAUAGAUCUUAUCGGCCAAAUUUAUCCACCAUCAAGCAAGGGGCACAAGUUUAUUCUGGUUGCUACCGAUUACUUCACCAAAUGGGUGGAGGCAAUCCCACUAAGGACUGUGACUUCAGCUAUCAUGGCCGAUUUCGUAAGGGAUCAUAUCGUCUACCGAUUCGGCAUCCCUCAAACUAUAACAACCGAUCAAGGAACAAUGUUCACAUCGGGGGAAUUUGAGGAAUUUACGACCGAUAUGGGCAUCAAGUUGUUAAAUUCUUCUCCAUAUUACGCUCAGGCCAAUGGUCAAGCAGAAUCUUCCAACAAAGGAAUAAUCAAGUUGAUCAAAAGGAAGAUUGAAGAAUACCCGAAGAAGUGGCACCUAUGUUUGACCGAAGCCCUAUGGGCAUACAGAAUGGCCUGUCAUGGGGCCACCAAGUUAUCUCCCUAUCAGUUGGUAUACGGUCAGGAUGCAGUACUUCCGUGGGAGUCAAGGGCAGGAUCAAGGCGCAUUUUACUUCAAGACCAGUUGUCAGCCAAUGACUACUCGUCUCUUAUGAAGGAAGAACUUGAUGAUUUGGCCGGCCAACGACUAAGGGCUCUGAUAAGUAUCGAAGAGAAUAAAAAGAGAGUGGCCAGGUGGUACGAUAAAAAGGUCAAAGUCAAGCAGUUCUCCCCCGGAGAUUUGGUAUGGAAGUUGGUACUACCGAUCGGGUCGAAAGAUCCUAAAUUCGGCAAAUGGUCUCCUACCUGGGAGGGGCCGUAUAAAAUCGGCAAAUGCGCUCCAGGGAAUGCCUAUAUCUUGGAAACAAUAGAAGGAGAAGAAUUCACUAGAGCUCUGAAUGGGAGGUACUUAAAAAGAUAUUACCCAAGUAUAUGGGUCGGUGCCUAAGGAAUCAACACGAUCAUACAUGACCGACACGAUUCGGUCUUGAGACACACAUAAAGUCGACCGGAACGGCCGAUUACAUUCAUUCGGUAUGGGCGACGGGUCACAUGGCCGACAAAAUGUUUAGUCGCCCUUAGAACAAAAAAUACAGCAACUAAUUAUUCUUUUUCUUACGCUCCCUCUCAGCCCGACCUAACUCUAUCAUGAGUCGGAUGUAUUCUUCUUCUAUGGCCUUCAUUGAAAUCUCCGCCUCGACUUGACGGGGGAGAUCUACGGGAGGGCGUGAAGUCCCCGCUCCCGCAUCUUCAAGAACGACUUGCCGAGGGAGUGGAUGACUCCUGCCGAUGGGAGGUCGCCGGCUGCCGUUCCUCUCCACGAAGUCCAGGAUCGUUCGGGCCUCCGUGGCAAUGUCGUCUUCAAGAUCGCCACAACGAUUGCUCCUGACAGGUGGAGAUUGAUGGUUACUUUCACUCACCACGGAAUCCAAGACUACGCGAGCCUCCGUGGUAACGUGGUCCUGGAGCUCCUCUCGGUGAGCCACGAUCAGCAUCUUGUCCUCCGAUGUUAAUGGAUCUUCGAAAUGAAUGCGCUCAAUGGCGCGCACGAGCUCGGGGCUAAGACGUUGAUGCUGAAACAAAGAAGGAAUGAGGGGGAUAUCCUUCCCCUUAGGGUCUAAGAAAGAAAGGAAGGUAGAGGUCAAAGACUUCACCUGGUUAACAGAGGAAGAAGAAGACGACGAGGCCAUGGCAGAGAAAUUGCGCCGAUGAGAAGGGGCAGAAAAGUUAAACCGAGGGCCAAGAUUGGUGCUACCAGGAGUAAGCGCCGAGGUUGGUAUUUAUAAAAGAAUGCGUGGAAAUCUGGUAAAGCUACGUCCCAUUGGUAAUAAGAAGGCAAUAAAUAGAAAGGGCGUCGCGAGGGGCGGUCAAAGAAGAUAGUAAAUGAUUCGUACAAAACGGUCAGUGUUUUUACAGAUUACCCAGAAGGGUAUCGAUAGUCGUGAUGGCCCGGCGCCGGAUCUGAUCGGCAGAGUCAAGAACCCGUUGGUCUUCUUCCGCCGAUCCAGGAACCUCCGAUGCGCUGCGAUGAAGUCUCAGUGCCUCGUGAGCAAAGCGUUGCCUCUCCCGUGUUAAAUCGGCAAUAACAGAAGGAAGCUCUUGGAGUUUGUUCUCUUCGGCACUGAUUGCCUUGGUCACUUGCUCCAUUUCCUUGGCAAGCUCCGCCCUCCGACGUUUGAGACGGUCUAUCUCACCUAUGAUCGCCGGGCGGGAGUCUUCUAGAACAUGGAUACGCCGAUUCGCCUCUUGAGCCUGACGCUUGAAAGCGUCUUCCUCUUCGCGAGCCUUGGUCAGCUUGGCGCGAUCGGCCAUGUGACGAAGGGCUCUGAAGACCGGGAUCCUCAUAGACUCGAUGAAGGCUGCCGGCGCCAGGGCCUCCUCCGCCUCUUCUGGUACUCGUCCGCUGACGUCAUUGAAGAGCUGCCGAAUCGGUGAAGCGUCUUCUACUAAUCGGCCGAUGUCCCCUUGAAGGAGGGAUCGGAUGCUGGAAAGUUUGGCUCGGACGUCAUCAGGAACAGAACUCAAGGCGACUUGGCGAGAAGCAACUUCUUCGUCGUCAGAGAGGGCGACCGCAAAAGAAAAGAGGCUGUUGUCGGGGGUAUCCUGUUCCUGAUGAUAAUAAAGAAAAGAAAUAAACCAGCUGUAAGAAAGAGCAAAUCGGCUGAGAUAGAAGCAGAAGCAGAAAAGUUACCAUUUUGAAGCGAAUCUCCUCAUGUUGCACUUGAGAAGCCGCCAUGCCUUGCUCGGGGGCCUGCGUCAUGGGUUCAUCAGAUGAAGAGGACUCCACGAUAAUCGGCGCCGUGCUUGGACCAGCCCCCUGAAAGGAAAUCGGCGAUCGAGGAGCGAUUGAUGUGCCGAUGGCCUGUGUCAGAAGUUUGAAUAAAUACGGUACGUGAAUGCCCAAAGGAAAUCGGUACGAGAAGUUCUAUACCGUAACGGAAGGAAACGGGGGCGCGUCAAUAGCUGGAGGGGCUGCUGCCGAUUGUGGUACUUCUGUAGGAAUGCUCUGUGCAGUUUAAAGAUAAAAGAAAAGUUAAUAUCAAAAAUAAUAAUCGGAGGCAUGCGCAACUCAGUUUUACCUGUAUGGCCUCCAACAACAACGAUGCGGCGGCCGCCCCAGCUUGCGUCAUAGCUUGAGUAUCGGCACCUUGAAUGACUUGAGGAGGUGGUACGGCCGAAGUUUCUGCCGAUACGCUCACAGGAGGAUCCGCCGAUCCCGUACGAGCCCGGACUCGGCGACUGGUCUUCUUGGUAGUCCUUUUAUGAACUUGUUUCGAUCGGCCAGUAAUCACGUCAACAGACGGGGCGUUAUAGCCGAUAAGGGGAUAAGUAGUGUAUGGAUGACUCUCUAUCAGUCGUCCGCUGCGGCUGUGUGUUGGAGGGAUCCGAUUCUCGGCCUAAAAUAAUAAAAUCAUUAGUACUCGAUCGUGCUAAGAGGAAUAAAAGGGAAUAAAAAUCGGCUAUGUGAAGUACCUCGGCGUUUGGAUCAAUGUUGGUCGGGUCCAGAAGAUUGCAGUAUGCCGAUGCUGAGUUGCAGAAGAGGAAUUGCUUCCAAUCAGCCCACCAGAGUUUGAACGGCUGGACAGCAAAUGGAGCUACUAGCCAGUCGUUCAAGUUAAUUGUACUGGAGUCUGGAAUUCGGUCUCGCAACCGACCGUAAUCUAGGCCAGAUGUGAGAUCAUCUCUAAACUUGAUUUUGCCAGCAAAGUACACCUGAAUCGGCAGCUGAACCAUGCCGAAUUGUCGUGCUGCAGCAGAAGGGUUGUAGAAUUCGUACGUAGGGGCAUCCUUCCCUGAGAAGAAGUUGGCCGGUAGGAUCCCUGGCUUGAUCAACCCUUCAUAGAGAUCUUCAUCAAACCGGCCAGAAGUUGAAUCAAAGCAGGAAGGGAGCUCGAAGAUGGGAAUGUCUCGCUGAUAUGGAAACCAGAUAGUUGCGUCCUCAUUAAAUCCAUUAUAAAAAGACCGAAAGUACUCGGCUACCUUUGUAGCGGAAUACGCACAACCUGGAAAAGCUGAUGCUGCUUCACCAUAAGACAUGCAUCGGCGGCGCUCGGUAGGGUCUUCUGCCGAUUCAAUAUUGGGAAAUGUCAUGCGGUCCACUGGCUGCCGAGUGAUCCUGUUCAUAUAAAGGUUCAACCAUAAAUUGACAAACCACCAAGGCCCACCUGGGUUGCCGAUUGGUUCUCCCUUGGAAAGUUUUGUGCCGAUUUGGUGGAGCAUGUGGUACACAGCACCCAGAAGAUGUUUCCCGAGAGGAAUAUGGCUUCCUUUGGACAGUGCCUCGGCUAAAGAUUGGGUGUUGGUUGUUGGGCCGGCGGCUCUUCCACAGAAGAGGUGUUUUUCGAGCCACAUCAUCAGGAAAGCGGUGUGCUCCCUGUUAUCAACAGUACCGGUCUUCUUAUUAUCAUUAAUAAAGCCCUUCCAGCCGCCGAUUCUUCUUGUGUCCAGCCGAUGCGAUGGUACGGUCAGAAGUUGGAAAGGCGUGUCAGGGGAAGAUACAUCUAGGCCGGUCAAGAGGACCACAUCGGCCAGAGUGGGGGUCAUGGGACCGUGGCCAAAUAAGAAUGCAUUAAGUGCGUCAGACCAAAAAUAGGAAGCCGCCAUCACUAGCGGUUCGUUUUUUUCCAUUUGCGACAGGGAAAGGUUGAUACAUUGGCCGAUUUUGAGCUCAUCCCACGAGACGCUCCUUGAUGCGGCUACCCGUUGGUACCAUUCCCUCCAACCUGGGGUUUCAUUCGGCCAAGAUCUAAAAGUGCUGGCCCAUUGAUCUAAGUUCAUAUCAGAUCGUUUGAAAGGUAUCCGAUCAGUUUCCAAGUUUAUGAGGUCUGCUGGAUCCGGGUCUCCCAUGGGACCAAGACAAACAAGGCCAGGACUACCCAUGAGAUGAAUAGUAAUUCUAUGUCUAACCGCCUAAAAAAGGAAAAGGGGCAUAAGAAAUAUAAAGAGUAGAUCUAAGAUAAAUACGUUACCGAUAGAGGAAAGAUUCGGUAUUUACCUCCGGUAUAAAAUUCUGAGUAAUCGGUGUAGUCGUCGAUGCAGAUGCGGAUGAUGGAGUCGCAAUGGGGAUCGCCAUUGGGAUCUCUGAUGAAGCUCCUUCAUCUGUGGAUGGAGUGACGGUUGUCGCCACCGUUACCGAAGGCGCUACCUCUACCGGGGGCAUUAUUCCUGGAGCAUCGCGUGCUGGGGAAUUACCGGAGGGAGUCGCCAUUGAAGGGAAAGGGGAAGAAGUGAUUGGAGCUGAAACUGGAAGACUUCGAUGGCAAGAUUGAAGAAAGAAGGAGAUGCGCGCGCUGGAAAAGGAGAUGCGAGCUUGAAGAUGAGUUGCGGUGAAAUGAUAUUUAUAGGGUGCCUGAAGAAAGGGUAAAGAUGGAAUUUUCACCGCGCCGGCGCAUCGAGAUUUUUGGGGUAGUGGCUGUCGUGGGCGCCCGUUUCAAAAAAUUGCAAUGAUCAGCCGGGAGACCGCGAAACGGAUAUUUUCACUGCGGCCGUUUCGGAGGAGAGGUUAUAAAGAAUUUCGAAGUAAAAGAUUAUGUUUUACUCCGAAACUGGGGGGCAUGUGUUGACGCCGGAUUUCGUCAUCAGUAGAAUCGGUGCCUAAGAAGAAAGAAAUCGAAGGAAUACGGGUGGGGAUCGGCCAAAAGGUGCUACAAUGCGGAAUCGGUCAAGUGGCUUUUACUUCGCUUCAGGGUGAAUGCGCCAGGUUCCCAAUCGGCAAUCCUUUAAGAAAUCGGCCGAUCGGGAAGGUGGAUUAAGGUGGGCCUGUAUGGGCUUGGAAAGAUGGAGGGAUAAGGUGGAGUUCAGCCCACGGAGUGUGGGGUAAUUAGUUUAGUACGGAUUGUGCUUGUAGAUAUUUGUUUUCUGUUUGAAUUAGAGAUAGAGUCCUAGUCGGUUAAGAAGAUUAUUUGUACGGGGCUAUAAAUAGCUACCUUUGUAAAUCUGUAAACACAACAAUCAAUCAAUACAACAAGUUACUUUCUUCUGCGCAUCUACUUUUGAGCAGGCGACUUCGCCAUCAAUUUUCUUUCUCACGAGUUCGUACGGGUUGGCAGGGCUGCAUCGUCUUGAUCUCCGGCCGAUUCUGUAAGUUCCGUUUAUCGAGUAAUAUCUAGGCUUUGACUUCCGGCGUAUCGCUAUUGUUUCGUCUAGAUUUAUUCACCAGUUAUCGAUAUUGACUAGAUUCAUAGGUUUUUACCUGCCUUCCUAGUUUUUAUCACCAGUUAUCCCGCUAGGAAUCGGUAGUAUCGGCUUUCAUUACUUCCUGUUGCCAGAUCCAUCUGUUGCCGAUUAGAUCUUUUCCUAGUGCUGUUAUUACGUGCCUUGUACCGAUUACUUUAAUAUUUUUCUAUCUACAAGGCUACGGGGAUCGUGCUGUCUCGUGGCCGAUUUCUUUACCAUAGUAAAUCGGCUGAUCUGCCAAUAAACUCUCUCGAUCGGAAACUUAGCCGAUCGUAGUUACUGAAUUUGACACGUGUUCUUCCUUGCCAAUCAACAGGUCAGAUUGGCUGGCACGCCGCGUGAACCGCACCAGGGCAUUCACCCGAACAGGAGCUAAGCAGAUUCUCCCGGGUCGUGUGUCGGUUGCUGGGAUUCGGUUGACCGAGUUCUAGCGCCAACAGACCUGUUACAUGCCUUUACAAAGUAAGAGCAUGUUAGCAGAUCCUUACUCCCCAAUCCAACUACCAUAUUGGGAGGGUUAACGAAAAAUAGUGUUCCAGCAGAUUCUUUUUUACUUUUUUCCAUUUCACAAUAGUUAUUGGGACAAACUAAUAAUCCACCCUAACUUAUCCUAAAAAAAGAGUAUCUCAAUACGGUAGUUUGGAUUGUGAUUAUUGGGGAACUGCAAAAACAACUUUUCCGAUAACCAUAAAAGAAAUAUUGGGACAUUUCCAUUAGCUUGUUAUUAGGAAAAAUUGAUUGGAAAACUGUUGAAGAUGCUCUAAGGGAUUCUCAAGUUGGCGUGCGACUGCGCACGCGGUGGGGGGAGCACAAGCAACCCAAUAUGACCUAAUUUUAGCCCAAGUUAGGUUUAGUUGUGGCCGAACUAACAUCCAUGUUCUAUUUUUUUUCCCUUUCUUCAUUCUUUUGGGUUUUACAUUUUCUUGUCCUUUUCUUUAAUUAUUUCCUUUUAUAUUAUUCUGCAUAUUAUUUUUAUUUCCUUUAUAUUUAUUAUUUGUUUCUAUUAUUUGUUUUGUUUUCUUUUCUGUUUUUUGACACCCGGCCCAAUUUGGUUGGCCCAGUGUGGCCCAUUAGCGCAGGUGCGCAUGUUUAGUACCACAUUGCUAGUUUAGCAAGGGUGGAGGCAACUUAUAAGCCUUCGUCAACCAGCCAUAGUACCUUCGGGUUAACCCUUUUACACGAAGCGAGGACGAAAGUGUAAGCAGGGUGCUAUGUGUACGUGUGCCCGCCCCUCGGAAGGGUUGGGCGGUGCGGCUUUGGAGGACGGGGUGUUACAGUUUUCCUUUUCUACUAGGAAAUUCUAACUUUUCAUUUAUUUUAUUGUUUCCAUUUUUAUUAUCUUUUAUGCUUCUUUUCUUUUUUAUUUUUAGUAACAAUUUUUUUGUAUAUUUUGUUUGCUAGUAAGAAUAAUUUAUUCAAUUAGUUUUCUUUAUUGUUUCACUCUAGCACUACUUUAAAAAUCAUUUGUGCAUACGAUCAUUCUAUUUUUUUUUUACAACGGUGCUUAAUAACAACCGUCUCUAGCAAGGGUUCCAAAAAUACAAGUAUCUAUAGAGGUGGGCCACAUAAUUAAGUAAUUGUCUGAAAAUCAAUUCGAAAGGCACGCCACCUAAGCUACCACUACUAGAAAUUGACUUCUAGAGGCAGGCCUAAUAAGCAACUGCCUCUAAAAAUGUAAACAACCAAUUUUACAUAAAAAUAAUAGCCUUUAUUUAAUGAAGAAGAAUGAAGACAAAUUUACUAGCAUAACUAUAGAGCUCGAUGACAUCUAAAACUUCAUAGUUCAUAACCUUUUCAUUUAAGACUAUUUACAGGCCCAAAUAAAAUUCAUCACCAUUUCUUAUAUUUAUUUUUAAAAAUAAAUUAUGAUUUCCAAAAUGGCCUUGGAAGGAGAUGUGCUCUUCACAAAAGUUGUAGUGCAUGACGAGAUCUAAAAAUUUGUAAUUGAUAUUUUUUUUUCAAAUUUAUGAUCGUUAGAGUGUCAAAUGCAUAGUACAAUAUUCAGAGAAGUGAAAUCAAAAGAAUCCCUCAUAUAGUUAAUAUGUGUUUCGUAAAGAGAGCUACGCGUGAAGAGAGCUGUCAUACCAUGAAUUUUUUGGAAUUCAGGAUCUGACUAGAAAUAAUAAUUAAACAAUAAUUUUCUAAUAAUUUAAUUUUUUCAACAUUUAUUUUCUUGAGAGGAAAUUUAGUACUGGAAAAUGAUUGGUUGUUUUUUCUAAAUUAAAUAAAUUAGUUCUUUGUGUGUUGGAUUCAUGCCGAGGCAUCUUGGUGUUUCAUGAGUGCAGACAUUUUAAAAAUGCGUUUCUAUAACAUUUAGGUUCUUCUAAGAAUUUUCCAAAUUUUUCUAGGAUCUAUUCUCAUUUUCCUAGAGUUAAAUAUUUUUAUUAUUUUCUUGAGCUCCAAGUAUAUUAUUUGGAUUCAUCAUUUGGAUUCAUCGUGUCCCAAACUAUCUCUAGAAAUUUUCCUAGGAUUUUAGCUUUUUAGAGUAUUUUUUGUGGUUUCAUUGAUUUAUCUAGAAUUUUCUAGAUUUAUCUUUGCACGGGAAACAUCUCUAAAAAUGAAAUAGAAAGAAAUCCCCUUUCCUUCAGGCCGGGCUCGUGGGACUGACGUGCUCUAGCCCAGCAGCCGGCCUGCCAGGCCCAUCUGAGCCCUGCAGCUCUUGGUGUCCAUGCCGGACACAGUGUGGCACCGCCGCCUCCCCAGCUAACUUGGGUGUGCGUGCCACGGCUCCACCCCUGGCCCUAUAAAUAGCAAAGCCGCAUCCCCUGCUUGCCAUGCUGCCCCAGCUCGUGCAUGUGCUGUGCCUCACCCUUGCUCGCGCAAGCGCUGCCAACCGCCGGAGCCGAGCUGCACCGCCACCUCGAUCUGCCAGACCCCGGCGUCCCAAGACCAAGCCGCCACCUCCCAAAGUUGCACCACGACAGGCCGCCUCCAACCAAGGCAUCCGCUACACCAAAAAGGCCAUUGGAGCAGCACCGCCUCGCCUCACAAUGCCAAUCCGGCCGCCGUCUGUUGUCCGCUGCCAGCCAAAAUUCCAGCUGGAAUCUGUCCACCCCUGUGGCGGAACCGCCCAGCUUAAGCUGGUUUAAGUGCGCCUAAUUGCUGUCGGAGCAGCAAUUAUCCGAAACGCACCUAAAACAGCAUAAGUCCGGUAGUCCGUCGAGUGUCCCUAGGACUCCUCGAAAGAUCCACGGCGUGUUUCAUCACCAUACAUCAGGAUAAUAUCCGCGAUGGGAUAACAUCAACAAACAUUACAUUUUUACAUACAUAAUUAAGAGGUACGAGUUAUUACAAGACUUCAAGUUGAAACAAACUUAGUGAUGCAUAGUUAGACAAGCUCUAAGAUUAAACAUAAGUAGUUUAGGAGAAGAUGCGUUGAUAAACGGUUUGCUAGAGUAUUGAGAGACUCAGGUCAAUACUCUAGGUCUUCGGGGUCUCCUCCUCGACAGCUUCUUGGGUAGCUUCUGAAAGAUAACCACAAGGGGAAAACCCUGAGUACGGGGUACUCAGCAAGUCUUACCCGACUAACCACUAUAAUAGUUUUUCUUUUGGAAUGCAUGUCGGCCUUUAGGUGUGCUUGGUUGACACAAUUUUUGCCGAAAAGCUUACUACGAGUGAAGCCUUAGUUUUGUCUUUUAGUUUAGUUAAGUUAUUACCUAACCGUUCUAGAUGGUAACAGAAGUAAAAGCAAUCACAGCUGUUGAUUCAUACAAUACUUGGCAACAAAAAUUUUAUAUCACAUGAGUUCAUGCUACGAAGCUCAACGGUGAUCAAGUGCAUUCAUAACCGAGAAUUGCAGCGAUCCGGAUCAGAUUACAUCCUGCAGGAGAGCACCCGAUCACCCGCAUCAUACGACUGUCCAGGUCGUACUAGCAACCUCUCGAUUAGUAAAGUCAAUGAUUAGGAACACAACUACCCGGACCCAGGGAUGCACCCCCACAUGGGACCCCACGUCUGGCCUGAUCCCCAUGUGAGUUUCAGGCUACACCCCUGCCAAUCUCCAGCACGUCAAAUGCGGGUACGAAGCAUUCCUGAUCAUAGAAUUUACUAACCUACUGGGCUUUACUGGUCCCAUACCCAGUAAGUGAUCAGAUGUUAUCACUUGAUCAGCGGUUAAGACACGGCCCGGUCCUUAAGCAGAUUAAUGAGCAGACAGAACUACAUCUCUAGCUUCUGUCUGGUUCUAUACUUCAAACUAUCCUUCAUAAACAGCAUGUAUGAUUAAGAGUUUUCCCUAAGGUUGGUAAACCAAGCAUGUAAGCAAGUAAGCAAUUCUAGACUUGGGUGGUUUCUAGGAUUUGAACAAGUGGCAAAGAUGUCCUUAAUUCAAGGCAUGAUCAUACACAAGAAUAGGUUUCAUCCAACUCCUAGACCUAGUGCAUACAAUAACCAAGUAACCUAUAACUAGUCACAUGAAAUAACGAUUCCAAAAUAGAUAGGUAUAAAUGCACCGGGGCUUGCCUUGAUCGUUAAAAAGAUUAGCAGACGCCGACGGAUUCACUUCACAGGGGACAAAUUCAAACACCUCCUCGGACUCCAAAGGUCCUUCUGAAAAUUCCCAGUAAUCUUCUUCCGGCGCUUCUGGAUCUACGGUAUAUAUGCAGGGGUUAGAAUGCAAACUUUUUAAACAACAGACUAUACAACUUUCCUUCAUGAUAAAGUUGCAAGCCAACAAGGACUAUACGACUUAUCAUGGGUAAGUUGUAAGUCAACACACAAAAGAAAUCUAAAAAGAUUAACCUAUAUUUUUAUUUUCUUAUUUAACCCUUCCUAUAGCUUUUUCUUUUAUUUUUAGAAAAAGUGGUAAUUAUUUUCUAACUUGAAAUUCUAAUUUCCUAUGAGUUAUGGAUUAUUUGUGAUUAAUAAAGUGUUAUUUAUAUUUUAUACAUUUUAUAAAUAUUAAGUAUUUAUUUAAUUACCUUAAAAGGAAGGCAUUAAAUAAAUACCUAAAUUUUUAUUAUUUUCCUAGGGUGUAAAAAUUUUAAUGCAUAAAGGAAAAUAAAACAAGCCUAACGAAAUUGGUUUCACUAAUUUUGGACAUUCCUACAAAUUUCUGUGAUUAAAAUGGUGUAAAAAGAUUUUAAACGGAUUAUUUUAUUAAAGAAAUCUAACUUUUUCCCGAAAAUUCCCUCGGAAAACUUUUCUUACGCAGCUCAACUCUACCCCCCUCUCAUGCGUACCGGGCCCCACGACGCGGACCCACCUAUCCUCCUAUUCCCCCUACCCGCCGGCCCUUUACUCCUUCUGACGGGCUCCGUGGGCCGCUUCUCCUUCCCUUUCUCCUGUUAGCCCAACACCGGCCCAUGGCCCCUUUUUCUUUUUCCUUCCUUUCUCACGCGACGCCGGCCUGCAUCCGCUGGGCCCCCGGCCCUUUUCCUUUCCGGCCGACCGCACGCGCGUUACUGGGCCGCGAAACGCCGGCCCAAGACGACCGCACCGCUCUGGCCCGCGCCUUCCUCCCCCUUCUCUUACUGACAUGCGGGCCCGGUGCACAACACCUUCUUCCUCCUCCCGCCAAAACGCAACCGGAACAGGGGGCGGCGCGGCUCGCCGGCCGGCGCCCUCCCGGCGGCGGGUCUCGACGACAACACCAACCCUAACCCUACACGACCUCGCGCGCGGCGACAGCUUCCCUGGAGGUGACCGGAGCUACCUCCUCCACGGUGACGGGCGGCGACACCCCCGGCCGGCCAUCGUUACCCGCGACUACGGCACAACCUAGCCAAACGACUACCCCGACACCAUCCUAGGACUCUAGGGACUCGACUACGACUGCUCAAGAAGAAAGAGAGACAGCGCGAGAGGGUUCUCACCGAGAGCGGGCGGUGCGGCGGCGGCGGACAGAAGCGGCGGCGAUACAAGGUGUUGCGGUGAGGAAGCUGAGCAACAAGUUGCUGGGGUUAUUGGUGGGAUGUAGGCGGAGGUGCGGACGGAAGGAAUCGAUGAGAGCUGUUCGGAGGUGGUCGAAUUUUGCUUGGCGGCGGUGGUUGACAGAAGAGGCACGGGCGGCGGUAAAAAGAGAGGCAGUGAAACGGCGGCGCGGGAGCAGUAGAUAUUCAAGGGUUUCACCGCGCGCAUGGGUGACACCGUGGUCUAGCCGUAGGUGUAUGUGGCGAGGAGGUGGCUUAGCUUAGCUGCGCUGGCGGAUGACCGACGACGGCGGCGGCGCCACGUCUCGGUGCUCAGUCACCGCCCGUGACCUUCAGAGCUUCUCCACGGUUGAUCCUUGAUCCGAUGGCCUCUCGUGUUUUAACAGAACUUGAAGAUAAACUCAAGACCUUCAUCUUUUAUUUUGGCGUCAACUUGAGAUAAAGAUCGAAUUCACUGAAUUUUUGAAGUUUAGCUCGGGUUAGCUCUGAAUGUCGAUUGAAUUGCACUUGCUGUUCGUCAGUUCGACAGUGAUAUGGACUUUAAAUUGGGAACCAAUUUAAGGACUUAAGUCUUGUUUUUCCAGUCCAAUUUCUUCUCAAAGGUGUACUAUGAUCUCCCAAGUUUCCAUUUUGCACAAGAACAAGUACCUCUUUUGAUUUAAAUGGCUCUGAGUUCAAUCCCAAAGUUGAGACCACACUGUCAUUCAGACUUAGCAAAAGUUUCAGAGUUUCAGUCAUUUGUGAUCUUGUGCUGACUUUGAGCUCGAGGUUGACUUCCUUCCUUUUACUAUUCCUGGCCAACAACACAUGAUUAUUGCAGUCCAAAGUUUAUAUUUCAACAUGGUAUAGUUGUUCUAGUACACUUGGUUGGAAAAUUCUUCAGAAUUGAAUUUUGAAAACAGACUCUGGAACUGCUUUCUCUGAACCUAUUGUCGGACGAGGAACAGUAAACGGGAUUUCCCUUUUCUUCUUCUUUCUCUGAUUCUUUUGAGAUAUUUAGCACCAACUCAGCUCCAAAUUUCGAUUCCUUGCUUCCAAAUAAUCCCAUACUUGUAUUCCACAUGUUGGACAACUUUUUCUGAAUUUCAAAUUUGAAAUUCAAAUUUUUGGUCAAAAUUUGGCCGAAUUUGAUCUUUUUGCCAUUUUUCUUCUCUUUUCUUUUGGAUUUCUUUCUGAAUUUUUCAUAGUCACUAUGUUACUUAAAAUGGCACUUAUUACAGCCUCUCCCCCUUAACAGAAUCUCGUCCCGAGAUUCCUGGGGUUAAAUCCUUGGGUUUUGGAAUGGAAAGGAAACUGCGUCAGGUUAUUUACUCUUUCUUUUUCUGUACAAGGUUAGUGGGGUGGUGGUCCUUGUUCAUCUGUCCCUGACGGUUUCGAAUAACUCCGGAUAUUUAGACUCUAGGUCUUCUGCUUUUUCCCAAGUAGCUUCGUCCGGAGUAUGAUUUUUCCAUUGCACUUUAUAAAACGUGAUACUCCGAGUUCGGGUAUCGCGGGUCUUUUGAUCCAGAAUUCUAAUAGGUUUCUCUUCAUAUGUUAGAUCCGGUUCGAGCUUAAUUUCUGGAUCCUCCAAAAUUUCUUCUGGAACUCUUAGGCAUUUCUUAAGCUGGGAUACAUGAAAUACAUCAUGUAUAGAAGUAAGUUGAUCAGGUAAUGACAACUUAUAUGCCACGGGACCCUUUUGUUCCAGAAUUUCAUAGGGACCAAUGUACCUCGGGGCUAGCUUACCUUUUACUCCAAAGCGCUGUACGCCUUUCAUUGGGGAUACCUUUAAGUAUACAAAAUCUCCGACAGAAAAUUCCAAGGACCGUCUUCUUUUAUCUGAAUAACUCUUCUGCCGGGAUUGAGCUAUUUCUAAGUGCUUGCGAAUUUUCUGAACCUUCUCCUCGGUUUCCAUGACCAAGUCCGAUCCCAACUGUGUCCUUUCUCCUACUCCUGACCAAUUUAGAGGAGUUCGGCAUCUUCGACCAUACAAGGCUUCGAACGGUGCCAUCUUAAUACUAGCUUGAUAGCUAUUAUUAUAAGAGAACUCGGCUAGGGGCAAACAUUCAUCCCAUAGCUUAGAGAAGGUAAGGACACAGGCUCUUAACAUGUCUUCUAAAAUUUGAUUAACCCUCUCUGUCUGUCCUCCAGUUUGAGGAUGAUAAGCAGAACUUCUAAUGAGGGUAGUACCCAUGUCCUUUUGCAGUUGCUCCCAGAAUCUGGAAACAAACUGGGAACCUCGAUCGGAAAUAAUAGUUUUUGGCACUCCGUGCAAGGAUACAAUCCGGGCUAUAUAGAGUUUGGCAUAUGCCGACACCUGGUAUUUAGUCUUAACUGGAAUAAAGUGAGCUGAUUUAGUAAGGCGGUCGACAAUAACCCAAAUGGAGUCAUACCCCUUUGAAGUGGUAGGUAAUCCUACUAUGAAAUCCAUAGAAAUAUCUUCCCACUUCCAGACAGGAAUUCCUGAGGGUUGUAACAGACCUGCUGACUUCUGUAAUAUGGGUUUAACUCUUUGGCACGUGUCACAUUCUGACACAUAUCUUGCAAUUUCCGGUUUCAUUUUGGCCCACCAAAAUCUUUGCUUUAAAUCUUGGUACAUUUUAUUGGUUCCGGGAUGAAUGGAGAACUUGGAUGAAUGUGCUUCUUCUAGAAUUAAUCUUCUCAGGUUUUUAUCCUCCGGAACUACUAUCCGGUUCUUGAAGUAUAGUCCUCCUUCUUCUUCUUGAUGAAGUUCAGGAACCUUCCCCUCGGCUUUUUGCUGGUAAAGUGCUUUAAUCCAUGGGUCUUCUUUUUGGGCCGCUAUGAUUCUUUCUUUUAGGGUAUCUUGAAUCAUAACAUUCUGGAGGGUACCUUGUUUUACUAUUUCCAAAUUUAAUUCUCCCAUUUCUUCGCACAAGGUCUUCAAGUUAGACUGGAUGGUCAUGCAGUGGCAUUGGGCCUUUCUGCUUAAGGCGUCGGCCACCACAUUAGCUUUACCAGGAUGGUAAUGAAUUUCCAGUUUAUAGUCUUUAAUCAGCUCUAGCCACCGCCUUUGCCUCAUAUUUAGAUCCAUCUGAGUGAAUAUAUACUUCAAGCUCUUGUGGUCAGUAAAGAUACGACAUUCACUACCUAAAAGAUAGUGUCGCCAUAUCUUUAGUGCAUGCACUACGGCAGCAAGCUCUAAGUCAUGAGUAGGGUAGUGUUCUUCAUGACGCUUCAACUGGCGAGAAGCAUAAGCAAUAACCCUGCCUUCUUGCAUUAGAACACACCCGAUGCCUGUUCCUGAGGCAUCGCAAUAUACAUCAAAGGGUUUUUCUAUAUCAGGUUGAGCUAGCACUGGGGCUGUAGUCAAUAAUUUCUUCAAGAUUUGGAAGGAUUCCUCACACUCAGGUUUCCAUUCAAAUUUUGUAUCCUUCUUUAAUAACUCGGUGAUUGGUUUAGAAACCUUAGAGAAAUUGGGAAUGAAUCUACGGUAAUAACCAGCCAUUCCCAAGAAACUUCUUACUUCAUGAACAGAAGUUGGUGAUUUCCAAUCCAAUAUAUCCUUGACUUUUCCGGGAUCUACUUCAAUUCCUUUUUCGGAUAGUAUAUGCCCAAGGAAUGGAACUUUCUUUAACCAAAAUUCACACUUACUAAAUUUGGCAUAAAGCUGGUGUUCCCGGAGUCUAUUUAGAACAAUGCGCAAAUGUUGCGCAUGUUCCUUUUCGUUUUUAGAAAAGACAAGGAUAUCGUCUAUAAAGACAACCACAAAUUUGUCCAGUUCCGGCAUGAAUACUGAAUUCAUGAGAUACAUAAAAUGCGCUGGGGCAUUUGUUAAUCCGAAUGACAUAACCAAAUACUCAUAUAGUCCAUAUCGGGUGGAAAAAGCUGUUUUUGGUAUGUCUUCGGGUUUUAUCUUAAUCUGGUGGUAUCCUGACCGAAGGUCGAUUUUUGAAAAAACCUUGGCUCCAGACAAUUGGUCGAACAACAAGUCAAUCCGUGGCAGCGGAUACUUGUUUUUGAUGGUUACCGCAUUCAAGGGACGGUAAUCCACACAUAGCCUUAAGGUACCAUCCUUCUUUUUAACAAAGAGAGCUGGGCAACCCCAUGGGGAAGUACUGGGUCGGACAAAACCCUUAUCCAACAAUUCUUGGAGUUGUGUUUUUAAUUCUGCCAACUCUUUAGGUGGCAUUCGAUAUGGUCUUCUAGAGAUAGGAGCGGUGCCGGGUUCUAAUUCAAUAGUGAAUUCUACCGCUCUGUCAGGCGGUAGCCCAGGCAAGUCUUCUGGAAAUACAUCUAAGAAUUCAUUGACAACAGGAAUAGACUCUAGAGUCACUGCUCUAGUCUUUUUGACCAUCUGGUCUAAACAGGGGGAAACGGGUAAUUGGAGUUCGAAAGAAUGGCCCUGGUCAUCUUUCAGGCUAACAGCUCGUGUAACCACAUUAAUUUGUACUUCAUGCGCUUUCAUCCAAUUUACCCCCAAAAUAAUAUCUAUUCCUUGAUCUUCCAGAAUUAAGGGAUAAGCCCCCACUUUAUUUCCUUCUAGGUUUAAAAUCACAUUGCGAGCUACUUGAUUGGUAUUCUGUGUGGCACCAGUAGCUUGAAUAGCAUAUUUGACAUCUAAGGUAUGAACUUCUAGUUGAUGUUGCGUGACAAACUCUUUACUUAUAAAAGUAUGUGAUGCACCGGAAUCAAAUAAAACCAUAGCAGGAUAAUUGUUAAUAAGGUACAUACCUGCUAGGAUUGGCUCCCCUUCUGGAAUUUCUUCUACAGUCAUAUAGUGAGCUUGUCCCGUCUUGGUGUUGACAAACUUGCGACGAACAAACUUUUGUCCAGAGCCUUGGCCCGAGGUUUGAGCUUUUAAAUUCGCGUUUCCCCCAAUUUUGGGAAAACGACAAUCUCGGGCGAAAUGUCCUGGCUUCCCACAGUUGAAACAAACCGGUGGGGUUCCUGAAGAAGUAGGGUUACGAAACCCAAAAGAUGGUGCAGUUCCAGGACGAGGAGCAGCACUGGGAGCUCUGGCAUUCCAGGACUGGAAAGGUCGCUGCUGGAAUGAAGGACGAUACAUGGGUCGGGGAGGACCUCUAUAUACCAUCCUCAUCCUCUGUGGAGCAUUUCCAAAAUUUCCAGAAGGAACAGUCUUCCUUUUUAAUGCUUCUUCUUUUUUCAACAUUUCAUCCAGUGCUUUCAUCUUUUCUUCUGCGGUAAUGGCUGUACUUACCGCAGAACUGUAAUCAGCGAACGUGCAGGUGGCUAACCUUUCCUGCAUUCUGGUAUUAAGCCCCCUGAGAUAACAAUCUCUCUUUCUGGUUUCAGUAUUGACAUGCUCUGGAGCAUAUUGAGCUAAGUGGUCAAACUCAUUAGUAUAUGCUAGAAUGCUGCGAGUGCCUUGCUGUAAUCCCAAGAACUGUUCUAGUUUCAUCCUCAUGACGCCCUCGGGUAUAAACUGUGCCCGGAAGGCCUCCUUAAAAUCUUCCCAUGUGAUUUCCCUUCCCGCUGGCUGCCUAGCCAAAUGACUGGUCCACCAAGUUGCUGCGGGACCCUGAAGUUGAAGCCCCGCAAACUCGGCCUUUUGAAUGGCAGUACAUUGGGGAAUUACUCGAAAUUUCUGCUCCAUGGCCUGGAGCCACUCAUUAGCUUCCAAAGGAUGUUCAGCUUUUAAAAAGACUGGGGGACGUGUUUCCAGAAAUUGGGUGUAAGACACCCCUUGCUCCGGCUCCCUUCUACGUCCACCGUUGCCGGUAUUCUGUACUAUCAUCUGGAGUAAGCGGGCUUGCUCUGCCCCAGAAUUCAUUAAACUGGCUAUGGCGUCAGCCAAUGUAGGUGCUCGGGGUAAAUCCUCUUCUUGUCCUCCGGAGCCUGAAGCUCGGAUUUCUCUGGGAUCCGUCAUACUGCCAAGAGGAACAAGAUAUUAAUAUCUAUUGUACAUUCUUAUCGACAACUCGUUGCAUACUAACAUAUCACACAUCAUGCUUAUACACAAACCAUACUUAUGUACAUACUUAUUUAUAUUACACGCCUAGGAGUUAAUAUUUACAAAACCCCUUGGUACCACUUGUCCAUCACUCAUAUCUUACAAGAAUAUAUUACAACAUGUUCCAAACAAGUUCACGUCAACCAUCGUAAGGAAAGAUGCCCAGUUCUUCGGCAUUUAAGCCUAGUCGUGCCAUGGCUUCUUGCAGGACGUCUUGAUCCACGGUCAUCAAAGUUUGCCCUGGGGGAGCAACAGGUGGAGCUUGAUUGACAGAAUUCUCGCUUCCGGACUCCGGUCCAUAAUCACUCCAAGUGCGAGAAGUAUCAGAGGUGCUGAUUCCAGAAUUUCCUUCCAUCUCUUCUGGCUCCUCUUCUUCUUCGCCUUCCUGUUCUUCUUCUCCCCACUGCUGCAUGGGACCAUAGCCCUGAGGAUCUAGUCCAUCAGCAUUGGCAUUGGCCCACGCAAACUGUUGAUGGCCCGCAGGGACUUCGCCCUGAUCAUCUUCCAUAUCCACAUCAAAGCCUUCUAGAUUCUCGUGAGCAUAUAAAUCUAUUUCAGGUUCUGCCGGUGGCACUGGAUCUUCUUCCAUUUCUAGCACAGGCACUAGCUGAUCUGCUUCCUCCGGGUUUUGAGGUUGAGGCUCUUCUGGUGGGGGAGGUGGUGGAACAUUUAUCAUAUUUUGUGCCGGUGCUUGAGCUUGCAUUUCUUCCAGGGCUAGACGAAGUGACAGAAUCUCGUCUAGCUGCUGAAACCUCUCCGCCUCCAGCCUAUGGACAUUGGAUUCAGCUUCUUCUCUUGCUCGAUCCGCCAUGCUUCGACUUGCUUCGAUAAAUCCUUGCAGUGCCCGAAGUUUCUCUUCAUAAUCCUCAAUUCGCCUGGACUGCUCUCGCAUUGCCUUCUCCAUCUCGUGCUCCCUUGCCAUUGCUGCCUUCUUGUACAUUUCUUUGUCAUACCGGGCACCCAUUGCUUCCAUCCUAGUAUCUUCGUUCUUCUGUCUCUAAUUGUAAUAUUCCCGGAUACAAGCUUGAUGUAGAUUGUACAUAGCAGUCAUGUAGUCCGAAGCAGCGGCUACCAACACAUCGUGUUCUACACGAGAUGUGUUCUUCAAGGCUUUGAUCCUCCGCUUCCAUAUCCCGUCAUCUUGAUGCUUAAUUGGAUAGAAUCGAGCAGAGCUCGAUCCUAUUUCCACCUUAUGGUUCUCACACAGCUCCGUAAGAGCUGUCAUGGCUGCCCUUUCUAUAGUAUCAUGGAAUUCGAAACCUGAUUCCAUUACUUCCUCCAGGCGCCAAUUAGGAUGGUUAUCAUCAUCUGGAAUAUGCACAUACACUGUGCAAUAUUGCUUAUGUCCAGUAUCUUCCUUCCUCCAGUAAUACUCUGGGGGACUAUGGAAGCCCAACUCUUGUAGUGUCUUCCAGAGUAACUGCACAAACCCUGGUUUAUCCAGAUAACGGCCACGAGUCCACCCAUCCCUAUCCGUGUAACCUUCUUCGAACAUCCUAUAAAAAGAAACGAGAUCAGGUCUAGCGGCACUCACCAAACCCAAAAGUUUUUAAACAUGCAAUGCAAUUAUGAUGCAACGAUUCCUACGUACUUUCAGACUCAUAUACACACUCGUAGAAAAAUUGGUGGCAUCAUAAUCUCUCCCUAAUAAACUAUCGAAUACUAGCGACACGCAGCAAACAGUUAACAUCUGCAAAAUAAUCAACUGGUUAACACUACUGCCACCUGUGACUCUUGUUUUUAUUAUUUAAAAUAGAGUCUCAGCAUUUGAAAAGUAAUAUUUGUUGAUUAGCCCAACCUACGGCUCUGAUACCAGCUGUGGCGGAACCGCCCAGCUUAAGCUGGUUUAAGUGCGCCUAAUUGCUGUCGGAGCAGCAAUUAUCCGAAACGCACCUAAAACAGCAUAAGUCCGGUAGUCCGUCGAGUGUCCCUAGGACUCCUCGAAAGAUCCACGGCGUGUUUCAUCACCAUACAUCAGGAUAAUAUCCGCGAUGGGAUAACAUCAACAAACAUUACAUUUUUACAUACAUAAUUAAGAGGUACGAGUUAUUACAAGACUUCAAGUUGAAACAAACUUAGUGAUGCAUAGUUAGACAAGCUCUAAGAUUAAACAUAAGUAGUUUAGGAGAAGAUGCGUUGAUAAACGGUUUGCUAGAGUAUUGAGAGACUCAGGUCAAUACUCUAGGUCUUCGGGGUCUCCUCCUCGACAGCUUCUUGGGUAGCUUCUGAAAGAUAACCACAAGGGGAAAACCCUGAGUACGGGGUACUCAGCAAGUCUUACCCAACUAACCACUAUAAUAGUUUUUCUUUUGGAAUGCAUGUCGGCCUUUAGGUGUGCUUGGUUGACACAAUUUUUGCCGAAAAGCUUACUACGAGUGAAGCCUUAGUUUUGUCUUUUAGUUUAGUUAAGUUAUUACCUAACCGUUCUAGAUGGUAACAGAAGUAAAAGCAAUCACAGCUGUUGAUUCAUACAAUACUUGGCAACAAAAAUUUUAUAUCACAUGAGUUCAUGCUACGAAGCUCAACGGUGAUCAAGUGCAUUCAUAACCGAGAAUUGCGGCGAUCCGGAUCAGAUUACAUCCUGCAGGAGAGCACCCGAUCACCCGCAUCAUACGACUGUCCAGGUCGUACUAGCAACCUCUCGAUUAGUAAAGUCAAUGAUUAGGAACACAACUACCCGGACCCAGGGAUGCACCCCCACAUGGGACCCCACGUCUGGCCUGAUCCCCAUGUGAGUUUCAGGCUACACCCCUGCCAAUCUCCAGCACGUCAAAUGCGGGUACGAAGCAUUCCUGAUCAUAGAAUUUACUAACCUACUGGGCUUUACUGGUCCCAUACCCAGUAAGUGAUCAGAUGUUAUCACUUGAUCAGUGGUUAAGACACGGCCCGGUCCUUAAGCAGAUUAAUGAGCAGACAGAACUACAUCUCUAGCUUCUGUCUGGUUCUAUACUUCAAACUAUCCUUCAUAAACAGCAUGUAUGAUUAAGAGUUUUCCCUAAGGUUGGUAAACCAAGCAUGUAAGCAAGUAAGCAAUUCUAGACUUGGGUGGUUUCUAGGAUUUGAACAAGUGGCAAAGAUGUCCUUAAUUCAAGGCAUGAUCAUACACAAGAAUAGGUUUCAUCCAACUCCUAGACCUAGUGCAUACAAUAACCAAGUAACCUAUAACUAGUCACAUGAAAUAACGAUUCCAAAAUAGAUAGGUAUAAAUGCACCGGGGCUUGCCUUGAUCGUUAAAAAGAUUAGCAGACGCCGACGGAUUCACUUCACAGGGGACAAAUUCAAACACCUCCUCGGACUCCAAAGGUCCUUCUGAAAAUUCCCAGUAAUCUUCUUCCGGCGCUUCUGGAUCUACGGUAUAUAUGCAGGGGUUAGAAUGCAAACUUUUUAAACAACAGACUAUACAACUUUCCUUCAUGAUAAAGUUGCAAGCCAACAAGGACUAUACGACUUAUCAUGGGUAAGUUGUAAGUCAACACACAAAAGAAAUCUAAAAAGAUUAACCUAUAUUUUUAUUUUCUUAUUUAACCCUUCCUAUAGCUUUUUCUUUUAUUUUUAGAAAAAGUGGUAAUUAUUUUCUAUCUUGAAAUUCUAAUUUCCUAUGAGUUAUGGAUUAUUUGUGAUUAAUAAAGUGUUAUUUAUAUUUUAUACAUUUUAUAAAUAUUAAGUAUUUAUUUAAUUACCUUAAAAGGAAGGCAUUAAAUAAAUACCUAAAUUUUUAUUAUUUUCCUAGGGUGUAAAAAUUUUAAUGCAUAAAGGAAAAUAAAACAAGCCUAACGAAAUUGGUUUCACUAAUUUUGGACAUUCCUACAAAUUUCUGUGAUUAAAAUGGUGUAAAAAGAUUUUAAACGGAUUAUUUUAUUAAAGAAAUCUAACUUUUUCCCGAAAAUUCCCUCGGAAAACUUUUCUUACGCAGCUCAACUCUACCCCCCUCUCAUGCGUACCGGGCCCCACGACGCGGACCCACCUAUCCUCCUAUUCCCCCUACCCGCUGGCCCUUUACUCCUUCUGACGGGCUCCGUGGGCCGCUUCUCCUUCCCUUUCUCCUGUUAGCCCAACACCGGCCCAUGGCCCCUUUUUCUUUUUCCUUCCUUUCUCACGCGACGUCGGCCUGCAUCCGCUGGGCCCCCAGCCCUUUUCCUUUCCGGCCGACCGCACGCGCGUUACUGGGCCGCGAAACGCCGGCCCAAGACGACCGCACCGCUCUGGCCCGCGCCUUCCUCCCCCUUCUCUUACUGACAUGCGGGCCCGGUGCACAGCACCUUCUUCCUCCUCCCGCCAAAACGCAACCGGAACAGGGGGCGGCGCGGCUCGCCGGCCGGCGCCCUCCCGGCGGCGGGUCUCGACGACAACACCAACCCUAACCCUACACGACCUCGCGCGCGGCGACAGCUUCCCUGGAGGUGACCGGAGCUACCUCCUCCACGGUGACGGGCGGCGACACCCCCGGCCGGCCAUCGUUACCCGCGACUACGGCACAACCUAGCCAAACGACUACCCCGACACCAUCCUAGGACUCUAGGGACUCGACUACGACUGCUCAAGAAGAAAGAGAGACAGCGCGAGAGGGUUCUCACCGAGAGCGGGCGGUGCGGCGGCGGCGGACAGAAGCGGCGGCGAUACAAGGUGUUGCGGUGAGGAAGCUGAGCAACAAGUUGCUGGGGUUAUUGGUGGGAUGUAGGCGGAGGUGCGGACGGAAGGAAUCGAUGAGAGCUGUUCGGAGGUGGUCGAAUUUUGCUUGGCGGCGGUGGUUGACAGAAGAGGCACGGGCGGCGGUAAAAAGAGAGGCAGUGAAACGGCGGCGCGGGAGCAGUAGAUAUUCAAGGGUUUCACCGCGCGCAUGGGUGACACCGUGGUCUAGCCGUAGGUGUAUGUGGCGAGGAGGUGGCUUAGCUUAGCUGCGCUGGCGGAUGACCGACGACGGCGGCGGCGCCACGUCUCGGUGCUCAGUCACCGCCCGUGACCUUCAGAGCUUCUCCGCGGUUGAUCCUUGAUCCGAUGGCCUCUCGUGUUUUAACAGAACUUGAAGAUAAACUCAAGACCUUCAUCUUUUAUUUUGGCGUCAACUUGAGAUAAAGAUCGAAUUCACUGAAUUUUUGAAGUUUAGCUCGGGUUAGCUCUGAAUGUCGAUUGAAUUGCACUUGCUGUUCGUCAGUUCGACAGUGAUAUGGACUUUAAAUUGGGAACCAAUUUAAGGACUUAAGUCUUGUUUUUCCAGUCCAAUUUCUUCUCAAAGGUGUACUAUGAUCUCCCAAGUUUCCAUUUUGCACAAGAACAAGUACCUCUUUUGAUUUAAAUGGCUCUGAGUUCAAUCCCAAAGUUGAGACCACACUGUCAUUCAGACUUAGCAAAAGUUUCAGAGUUUCAGUCAUUUGUGAUCUUGUGCUGACUUUGAGCUCGAGGUUGACUUCCUUCCUUUUACUAUUCCUGGCCAACAACACAUGAUUAUUGCAGUCCAAAGUUUAUAUUUCAACAUGGUAUAGUUGUUCUAGUACACUUGGUUGGAAAAUUCUUCAGAAUUGAAUUUUGAAAACAGACUCUGGAACUGCUUUCUCUGAACCUAUUGUCGGACGAGGAACAGUAAACGGGAUUUCCCUUUUCUUCUUCUUUCUCUGAUUCUUUUGAGAUAUUUAGCACCAACUCAGCUCCAAAUUUCGAUUCCUUGCUUCCAAAUAAUCCCAUACUUGUAUUCCACAUGUUGGACAACUUUUUCUGAAUUUCAAAUUUGAAAUUCAAAUUUUUGGUCAAAAUUUGGCCGAAUUUGAUCUUUUUGCCAUUUUUCUUCUCUUUUCUUUUGGAUUUCUUUCUGAAUUUUUCAUAGUCACUAUGUUACUUAAAAUGGCACUUAUUACAACCCCGCCGCUGGUGAGCACCUCCAUAGAGUCCCCUUGACCUCCUCUUCCAAUCCCCAUCCUCACGACCGGACUGCCCCCAAUCCCGCUGGUCAGAAGCCAGCCGCCAUGGCCAUUAGAAGCUCUUUGAGCUUUUGUGAUUAGGCCACUUGGAGAUCCUGUAAUGUUUACAAGUUUUCCUAUGUCUUGCUCCUUUUACAAUGAACCCCAUAGACUUUAUCUGAUCCUUGCAAUCGAACCAAGUUGUAAUCUUUAUCAGAUCUAACCUCGAGCCUUAUCAAUUUCGCGAGCACUCUUUGAUGUGUCUUGCAAAUCUUCUCUGCUAGCCCCUAUUGUCUAGGGUUAGUCACGAUUAGACCCUGUAGCUUGUUUCAUCGAUCCUUUGUUUUAGCUCCGUUUAACCUCAUUCUUAUUGUGUUAGGUUGAUGAUAACAUAAAUUACACGUUAGUAAUGAUGGUUUCCAUCAUGCAUGUUUUUGAAAAUAAAUUUAAUAUUAAUUUUAUUGAUGCCUGUUAAACAUGUCUUCCUUAAUUAAAAGCUACUAUACACCUCUUUUUAUAAUCAAUGUUAAUUUGAUUAAUGCUUACUUCAUAUAUUUUUCUAAAUAAAAGCUAAGUAGAGCUACACCUCGGUUUUUCAUAAACUAAUGUUAAUUAUUUUAAUAUUCAACACUGAGUCAACUUUUCCAAAUAAAAGUUGAUUAGGCUUUUACACUGGCUUUUAUAAAUAAAUAUUAACUUGAUUAAUACCAACAUGAUUAUGUUUUCAAUAACAAUUUGAUCCACUUGAAUCAUAAAGUAUAUGUUUAGAUCUUUCAUAUAGUUUGGCUUUUCUAAAAGUUAAAUGUUUAAAUGAUAUAAUUUAUACUUCAAUAUUUACAAUUAAAAUAUAGAUAAAUUAUAACUCGGUUUUUCUUAAUUAUUGAUAAAAUGACCAAUGUCAAUAUGAAUGUGUUUUCUAAAUAAACUUUGUUUGGCCCAACACGACAGAUGUAUUAAUUCGAUUACAUGUGUUCAUCUUUCUAAAGUUAAGUGUUCAUCUUUUUUUAUUUGGUCUAACUUUAAUCAUUGACAAGUAAGCCUAAUAAUAAUCAUUGAUGGGUGGAACAAUUGUUUUAUUGGUACGUGUCCCUCUCCAUCUCCCCCAACCGGCCCUACCCCGCGUCCAAGCCCCGGCGACGCCCGCCGCUGCGUUCCCCGCCCGCGUCGCCGUCCCCGAGGAGAUCCACAUCCACCGCGCCGUCGGAGACCCUCUCCUUCCUCAUCGCGAGAACCUUCUCCAGCAACGGCGCCUCGUCUUCCUACUCGAAGCCGCUGCCCUCGCUCUUCCGCGGCGUACGUCCCAGCCCCAAGCCCGGCGCCGCGCUAGCCGGCGCUGCCGCGGCAUCCCGAGCGGUCCUUACCCCGCACGCGGCUGCAAUCAAGUCCCGCCGAUCAGUCUCGGCGCCCGUCGAGAAGCUCCUGGAGGAGGGCAGUGGCUUCGAGGCUUCCGAGGAGCUCCCUUCCACUGGAAGCUUGGAAACAGAGGUAGAAGAAAAGGGGAACUCGGAAGUGGUUCCUGAACCGACAAGAGCAAACCGCCAGUGGGAGUGGGACUGAAGAAUUUGAAGAGGAGAAACAUGCAGAAGUGGAAAUUGAAGAGAGUUCUGGGUCUACAAAGCUGGUGCAGGCGAGUACCCUUGAUUCUAUAGUCGCUGACGAUUUCAGUGGGCAUGAGCAAACGCUGAAAAUGGCAGCAUGGUGGAAACCGAUCAAGUUGAGAACCAUACUGCAGUUGUCUAUGAGGAAAAUGCAUAUGACCAAACUGGAGAUGAUAAUUAUGUGCAAUCAGCUCAGAGUAUGGAUCCAAUUGGGUCCGUUUCUGAGGAAAGUUUUGAUGAUGAUCGGGAGGCCGACAGAUCCGACAGAAUCAUCGAAGACCAAGUGGAAUCUGAGAGUUCAAUUGAUAAGGUGAUCGAGGAGAGAAUGGGGCAGCUGGAGAUCAGCAGGAAGGCUGAGAAGAAUGCAGAGAAGAAACAGAAAGUGUCGAUGAAACCGUUGGAGUUGGCAGAGGAGCUUGAGAAGAGGCAGGCCUCGUUUGGUCAACACUGGAAAGAAGGAGCAGCUGCCCAACCCAUGCAACUAGAGGGGAUAGGAAAGGGCCCACCAGCUAUUGGUUACAUGCAAAUCGAGAUGGACAACCCAGUAACUCGUGCCAUGUCCUCACCGUCAUUUAGGCCGGACACCAGGUGCUGGCAGUUCAUGGGAGCUAUAUAGCGAUGGGCACGUCUAAAGGUGCUGUCAUUGUCAUUCCAAGCAAAUACUCCAUUCAUCAAGCUGAAUAUAGCUAUAUAGCUAUAUACUCCGGAUUCAGUAUUUCGAUUUUUGGUAAGUCCUCUGGAGAUACCAAGUUGAAACCCAAAGUAUAAUCAGGACCAUUCCUGCACAUAUCUGUAAUCUUUGAAAAUAAAAGACUCGAUGAAUCUGAAAUCUUCUUAUCCAAACUAAAAGCUAGAACGAUAUUGCUUUUGACCCUGUCAGGUUUUUUAUGUUUAAUGAUUUCUUUGGUAUGCUACACUGUGUUGGUAAUAUCAUGGUCCAUCGCUGAAGGAUUAACUUAAAGAAUGCAUGCAGUUUUUUAUUUCUUUCAUUGUAAUCACCUUCAUAUUGUCCUGCUGCUAUUUCAGAGACGUUAUGUGAAUAGGACAAUUGUUGAACUUGAGGCUGCAGCACAGGAAGAACUUAAGAUAUAACUGAACUGCGUCUUGCAAAGCUUUUCUCAUCAGAGCCGACUGUUCCCUCUACUACUACUAAAACCCCCAACAUCCAAUCAGAUAAAGCAGCAGGUAUCAAUUCCAUUCGAUCUGCGGGAGCUAGAGUUGUCGAAACGAGAUUGGGUUCGCGGAGUUGGAAGAGUUCCAUGUGUGGAUCCCAGGUAAUAAACAGAUAGCAUUAAACCACCCACAAAUGUCUUCUACUACUGUACUUGCAAAGAGAGGACUAGGACAGCGCACCAACAUAUUGUGAAGCGAAGCUAACGUAUUAGUGAAUAAUAACGUGAGAGCAAGUAUGGGCCCGUAGCAACGCACGGGCAUUUCUGCUAGUGAACAUUUAUGAAUAAAACUUGAUUAGGUUUUUAAAUAAAGUAUAAUUUGCAUUAAUUCCAACAUAGGUUAUUUUUCUUUCUUUACAUAUGUUUUGUUAAUUAAAAUAAACCGGGUGUGACAAGAGCAAUCUUGGUUAAAUCCUAUAUACUGCACAUUUGCAUAUUUUGUGUGAGAAAUUGUAUGAUGUGUGACAGCUAGAAAUUUGCUCUACAUAUACCUAACUUUUUAUGCGCGGGUGCGGCUGACUAGCUUCUCCAGAGCAAGCAGACUCAUGCCCCUCCCGCAGGUGUAGUUUGGUCAAGGAGGGAGCAGAGGCGCCGGCCACCUCACACAUCUGUCACGGUUUAACUUGUCACUAGUGGCAUGUCGGGCGUAGGGCUAUGUUUCUUUUAAACUAAAUAGCACAGAAUGGAUAAUACAGCAUUUUGCAAUCGCAAAUAUGUGUGUGUGUGGGUAGGGGUAUUGUUACGUACCGUUGAGAGAAUUAGAAGAAAGAUCCAGCAUUGUUAGCUGGGUCAAAUUAACAAUUGAGCUUGGUAUGCUUCCGGAAAAAUUGCAACCUCGAAGAACUAACCAUCUCAACUUAUUGAGCUGCCCAAUUGCAUAAGGUAUCAACCCAGAAAUCUGACAACCAUGAAUGUCCAUGGCUUCCAAGUUAGUGAGGUUGCCAAUUGGAGCCGGCAUUGAACCUGAAAACCCAGAAUCCACGAUAUACAUGUUUCUCAAAUUUGUGAGCUUGCCAAUUGCAGGCGGCAUUGGCCCUGAAAACCCACAGUGUGCUAUAUACAUGUUUCUCAAAUUUGUGAGUUCACCAAUUGCAGCUGGCAUUGGUCCUGAAAACCAAGCAAACUCGAUAUACAAGUUUCUCAAAUUUGUGAGUUCACCAAUUGCAUCUGGCAUUGGUCCUGAAAAUCCAGCACCCUCAAUAUACAAGUUUCUCAAAUUUGUGAGUUCACCAAUUGCAGCUGGCAUUGGUCCUGAAAACCAAGAUAAUAUAUACAAGUUUCUCAAAUUUGUGAGGUUGCCGAUAGAAGAUGGCAUGGAGCCAUAUGUUGUGCAAUAAUGCAUUUCAAGUGUUUGCAAGCCCGUGAGGUUUCCAACUGCAUGAAGUACUGGACUUGGGAGGUCGCAGUUAUCUAUUUCCAAGUUUUUCAAGUUCAUGAAGUUGCUAAGUAAGAUAGGCGGUACCCCAGAGAAGUUACAUCCAAAGAGUCCCAAACUUGUUAGGUUUUUGUGCUGGCCAAUCCAUGAGAAAAUUGGACCUAAGUCGCUUCCUGAGUCCAAAUCGAUGUCCAACUCAUUAUCCAAAAAACAAUGAAGGUCCAACUGGUGUAGAGACUUAAGUCUACCGAAUGCAGAGAGAAAAUCCACAGAAAUUAAAUUCCUGUUAAGGGCCAACUCCUUCAGCGACGCAAAAUUACUAGAAGGCGUUGGUAUGGCAUAUACAAAGUUGGUCCCAUCUAGUCUCAAAGUUUCUAAAGAGCUGGCAUUAGAAAAGUUUGGCACAUGGCCUGAGAGAUUCAUAUUAUAGGACAAAUCGAGGACCCUUAAAUUUUUCGAUUGAAAGGGUCUAGAGGGUAACCGCCCCUCAAGAUUUGUCUCAGAAAGUUGAAGCACGGUUAAAUUGGGAAAAUCCAUGAAGAACUCUGGAAAUGGACCAGCAGCUGCAUCAAAGUUUCCUUGGAGGUUGAUCACAACAAGAGAAUGGAGUCUCGAGAGCGCUUUAUGAAUAGGACCACUCAGGGAACAAUCAGCCAAACUAAGUACCUGAAGUUGAGGAACAUAUGCAGCAAGAGAUGUGCCCCACUCUUCUCCACUAUUAGACAAAUCCACCGAGUCAAGGUAGAGCUCUCUUAAGUUGCUGAGGUUUGCCACAAAGGUAUCAAAACUUGAUUCCCAUAAAUUGUUAUAAUAAUCAUAAUAGUUUGGACCAUAAAAACCGAGAGAAUAAUCAAUAUUGUAUGUUGAAAGAUCCAAUGAGAGAAGGUUCACUAGUUUACUGAUGCUAGGAGGUAUCUGACCAUAUAAUCCUGAAUUGGAAAGGUUUAGGUGGGUUAAAAAAGUGAACCUCUCAAAACCAGCAGAUUGGAUGUUGUCUCCACCGAUGUCAUUCAUGCUAAGGUCGAGUCGCCAAAGUGAUAUGAGGCUGAAGAGUGCAGGGUCCAAGCCAUGACUUGACAAGCAACGGUUGUUGAGGUCGAGAAUGGUGACAUGGCCAGACGAAGGGUCACAGCCAACACCCUCCCAGAGACAACAGUCGGUACCAUUUCGCCAUGAUGAAAGCCUGGUAGUGGAUCUGCUGAAGGAGAAGGACUUCUUCAGCUGGAGGAGCGCCUUAGCUUGGUUUGGAUGGCACAAAAAUGAGACAGGGAGGUGAGUGAGGUUACCACCAUCAGCGCGGUGGGCAAUGGAGGUGGAGAGUAGUGUGUGGAGCUGAGCAAGAAAGAGCAGUAACACCCAGCCGAUGGAAGCCAUAGCAACUUAGUAUGAGCCGACGAUAGGCUUACAAAGAGGCACAAGGCAGAUACAUAAUGGAUUGUCUAGUCUAGUAAUGCGCGACAGAUUGUUAUGCAGCUUCCAGCAGCUGUCAAGUCUUUGUCCAUUAAUAAAUUAAUUAAUUUACGAGUACCAUGGCUAAGCUGUACGCAAUUGCGACACCUGAGGAGACUUGACUGUACCAUGGGCUAGCUGUACGCAAUUGCUACACCUGAGGAGACUUGACUAGCCUUUCGUCAAAUGCUGUUGGUAUCAUCCACUGCUACAACAGUGACCGGUAAUUGGAAGUCUCACUAUAGCAAGACUUCCAAGUCAACUAAGCCGGCCGCUACAUUCUGAGGAAGGUGGAAUUGAAGAUCAAAUCAAGUCGGGCGUUGGGAAGAAUUAGUCCGCACUCCGCUGAUAACAACAUCGAAUAUACUGAUCUGAUGUGCUUCAUUUUUUUUUGGGUUGGAGUGGAGCGGCAUCAAGAUCCUACUGCUGUGGAAAACACUGAAUUGACUCGUUUUAUCUCCCACAAAACGUGGCUGAAGAUGAUAGUGGUGCUUCAAGAAACAGCGAGAUGGAGCAAGUAAAAAUGCAGUUGAGCCGCAGCUAAAACUUGUCGAGGUUACCACGAUGCUCGUGAAUCAUAGUAUUCCAGCCGCGGUAGUUCUCGUCUUGUCGAAGGAGAUGUUGCAGUGUUCACGUCUAGAGCUCAUCCAAUCCAUGGCGUUCCUCUGGCCGAGUCGUCGAUACGAAGGAGACGUCGCGUCACAUGCGUGUUCCUCAUGUCACCUUUGCCUACGACCAAUAAGACGAUGACACCAGAACCUUUUUAUUUUUUCCCCUAAUCAGCAGCUUUCAAAGCGGGCGCCUGCGGACAGCACUGUCCGCGUCAGAUUUGGCACACAUUAGCCGCAGUUGCACUCGUCCACGUCCGGUCCUCCCCCACCCCACCCCACCACCACCACCACCACUGAUUGCCGAAGCUCCCUACACUACAGGGUAAGGAACAGCUAAGAUCUGAGCAAGUAAAGUCGGGAUAUUUAAUUAUUUGCCAUUCUUAUAACGAAUUCCUACAUAUCUGUCAUUGAAGAAAGAAUUAGUCUAUACUUUUACCAUUUUUGCUGAUGUGGUGAGCCACAUCCUCGUGCUAGCAUGAAUUGAGCAUGGCAAUGACCAUAGUGCCCCUGCCUCCCUCACGUUAGCCAUCCCCUUCCCUCUAUCCUACCACUAAUGGAUGGGGACUCACAUGUCAGGGUCAUCUUCAACCUAUUGCCGCAUGGUCUUCCGCUGUUGUGCGGCUCCUCUACGGUACAUCACGGGGGAGGAUACCACGACUUGGAGGUGUCGGGUGGACUACAUUUUCACUCAGAAGGACCUUAAUCUAGGACAGCGUCGUUGGUUGGAGUUGAUCAAGGACUAUGAUCUGGAAAUUCACUAUGAUCCUGGUAAAGCAAAUUUGGUUGUAGAUGCCUUGAGUUGGAAGGGUCAUGCUAACAUAGCUUUGGCAUUUCAGCUGCCUGAAGAGUUGAUGAAGGAGUUUGAGAAACUUAACUUGGGGAUAGUUGCCCAUACUGAAGGAGUGACUAUGGAAAGAAAUACGGAAUGGACAGCUUGAGGAUGUUGAGAUCAAGGAGAUCAAGGAACUUAUGAAGGAAGGGAAGGCUCCAGAAUUCAUAGAGGAUGAUCAAGUGACUAUAUGGCUCAGAAAGAGGAUUUGUGUACCGAAUGUGGGAGAUCUCAGAGACACCAUCUUGAGGAAAGCUUGUGAUUCAGCCUACUCAAUUCGUCCUGGGAGAACCAAGAUGUAUCAAGACCUCAAGAAGAAGUAUUGGUGGUAUGGGAUGAAGAAGGAUGUAGCUGCACAUGUGGCCCUAUGUGAUAGAUGCUAGAGAGUUAAGGCUGAACACCAAAGACCAGCUCGAUUGCUUCAACCAUUAAAGGUUCCUGAAUGGAAGUGGGAGGAAAUCAAUAUAGAUUUCAUUGUUUGUUUGCCCCGCACCUAAGAUGGAUAUGAUUCAAUAUGUUUUAUAGUGGGUCAAUUGACCAAGGUAGCUCACUUCAUCCGAGUGAGAACCACCUAUGCUGGGUCCAAGAUGGCAAAGCUGUAUAUAUCAAGGAUUGUGUGUUUGCAUGGUGUACCCAAGAAGAUAGUGUCUGAUAGAGGUACUUAGUUCACAUCCUGUUUCUAGUAGAAGCUGCAUGAAUCCAUGGGUACAAAGCUAAAUUUCAGCUCAUCUUAUCAUUCUUAGACAGAUGGACAGAUUGAUAGGACAAAUUAGAUUCUAGAGGAUAUGUUGAGAGCCUGCGCUCUAAAACAUGGAGGUAUUUGGGAUAAAAGUUUGCCUUAUGCUGAGUUCUCUUAUAACAACAACUACCAAGCCAGUCUCAAGAUGUCACCCUUUGAGGCUCUAUAUGGAAGGAAGUGCAGAACCCCUCUGUAUUGGAGUGAGACAGGAGAGAGUCAAUUAUUUGGGCCAGAGAUUAUCCAAGAAGCUGAAAGGCAAGUUCAGAUAAUUAGAGAGAAUAUGAGGACAGCUCAGUCCAGGUAGAAGAGUUAUGCUGAUACUAAAAGGAGAGAAUUGAUCUUUUAGGAAGGUGAUUAUGUGUAUCUUAAAGUGUCACCCAUUAGAGGCUUACGCAAAUUUAAGGUUAAAGGGAAGUUGCCACCUCACUUUAUUGGACCCUUCAAAAUUCUAAAGAGAAUGGGGAAGUAGCUUAUUGGUUGGUGUUACCCAAUCAGCUCUCAGAUGUGCAUGAUGUGUUUCAUAUCUCUCAGCUAAAGAAGUGUCUCAGAGUUCCAGAGGAAUAGAUACCGAUGGAGGAUUUAAAUGUAAAGGAUGAUCUCACCUACACUGAAUACCCUAUAAAAAUCUUGGAUACUCUAGCACGUGUUACCAGGAAUAGAGUGAUCAAGAUGUGUAAGGUACAAUGGAGCUACCAUGCAGAGGAUGAGGCAACAUGGGAAAGAGAGGAUGAACUGAAGGAGGAAUUUCCCCAGCUCUUUGCUAAUCCAUCCGAAUCUCGAGGACGAGAUUCUUCUUAAGAGGGUAGGAUUUGUAACACCCUAAUUUUCAACUUUUGCAAUUUAAUAAAAUUUGUUAGAAAUUAGGUGCAUGUGUCUAAGGAUUUUAAGGUUGCAGUUAAAUUUUCUUAGGCAAUUAAAUCUUUUUCAAAAUAAAGUAAUGAAUCAUAGGAGUUUAUUAUUGCAUUCGUGCUGGUGCAUUAUUUUUGGUUGCUUGAAUUCAAAUUUGUGUUUGAAUUCAGUUUUGAAUUUAUGUUUGUUUUCCCUUCAAACAAUAGGAAACCCUUUUCGUUUUCCCUCCUUUUCUUCUCUCUCUUUCGGCCCGUCUCCUUUUUCCGGCCCAACUCAGCCCGGCGCCCCACUCCUCCUCCGCCUGUCGCAUGCCACAGCCCAGCAGCAGCCCAACUCCCAUGUCGGUUCGUUCCGCCUCGGCCCAACACCACGCGCCCGCCGCCACCCGAUGACAGGCGGGGCCCGCCUGUCAUCUCCUUCCUUCGGUCGCCCACGCCGCAACCGACUCGGGGUCGAUCCCGAAUCCUCUGUGCUCACCUCCACUUGGCCCGCACGCCAAGGUGCCUCCUUCCAGGCCUAUAAAAGCACCGCCACAUCUCCUGCACCUCGCACCAAACCCUAGCUCCAAGCCACAGCGCUAACGCUGCAACCCUAGCUAGCCGCCCGCUGUCGUCGAUUUGUGCCGCCGCCGCCUUUCCGUCGCCAAGAAUACCCCCAGGAGCUUUGCCGCAAGGUGAGGAAGCCCCUGGUGCGGGUCUCGUGCGCUCCCAUGCCUCUCUCCGGGCGCACGAGCUCGUUGGAGUUGGGCAAGCUCGGCCGGGCCACCUCGUUGAGCCUCCGGCCACCACUAGCACCCAAUCCUCCUCCUCAACACCCUAGAUUGACUCUUCGUGUUAAAAACCAUGCCCAGAAACUCAAUUCCGAGCAAAGUUCAGCGUGUCGCUGCUCGUCGUCAUCGCGCGCUGCUCGCGUCCGCCGCCCACGCGCCGUCCAUGUCCUCUCGGCAGCCGCUAGCUGUACGAUCUGCUUUGGACAGCUCAGAUCCGAUCUAACCCGAGUCAAACCAACACGUACUAGUCAACCCCCAUGCCGCACCGUUCAUUUUGCUAAAUAGUCCCUAGGUUUUAGGGGUUUUGCACCCAAGGUCCAGAGUAGUUCAAAGAUCUUUAGAUCUCGGUCCUUUUUCUUCUGUUCUAGCCCUUGAUCUUUUGCAAAAUAGUGCCCACAAUCCUAGACUCUCUCUUUUGUGCGUUAAACCUUUAGUUUAUACGCAUAUUUAUGUUUUAGCCCUCGGUUUCUUCGAGCUUAACCCCUAAAAGUUUUAAAUCUUUGCCAGCAAGCCCUUGCACCUUGUUUAGUGCACAUCUUUAGCGUUUUAGGUCCAUUUUAAGUGCUUCCUACGUCUAUGAGUUCAUCUUUACGCAUAGAUUAGUUUUAUGAUCUUGUUUCUCUCUGUUGUUACUGAUUGAUGUAAUAUUUUCUUAUUUUAUUCCUUUGCUUGCUUGUACGUGAUCGUGUGAUGCAUUAGAAGGACUGUAGCUCGAGGGAUUCAGAGGUCAAGACUUUGAAGACUACGAGCAGCUGGAGCAAAUCCAAGAAGGCAAGUCAUGCCCUUGAUCACAACUUGAAGCUAUGAAACUUUUUAAUUUCCUAUUUAAUAACAUUUAUGCCAUGCACUUUAAGUUACAAACAUGAUGUGUCCUAAUUAAGGAGGAGUGACUAGUUUUAUUCCCAAUACCUCGAUCAACCCGGGCUUACAUAAUGUUGGGUAGUAUAUGCUUAGUUGCUCAACUUGGGUAUGGUGGUAUUAAUGAACUCAAUGGUUAAACUUGUUUUAUUUAUGAUAUGCCUAUCAUUAACACAAAAUCACCAUACUUAAUUAGAACAUGGAGAACCAACUGGGCAAACAGUACAACCACAAGAACUAAAUGGCUCUGGUCUUGACUAAUUAAUUAGAGAUUUUAGUCUGGGGUAAUCUUACCGAAAGGGCAAGAUGGGCGGCGGCAAAUGGGGUAUAACCCGGUCCACUUGGGAAGUGAGCUUUGCCCUAACAUUAUGCCCACUGGCGAGGUUUAUACUCUGCUACUGAUCCGGAAACCUUAGCGGGUUACCACUUACUAGGGGCUCUUUGUGAAGAUCUCGUAGCGUCCCUAUGCAAUCGCACCUCGGUAGUGUGGUAUUGUGCAUAGCCUGCACAACAUGGUUGGGUAUAAAGUUCUUUUGAACUUUUACGCGACUUGUGGGUAAAGAUGUGCAAGCUCUAUAGAGUGUAAAACUGACCGAUCAGUCAUGCUCACGGUCAAGAGCGGCCUGGACCCUCACAUGAUUAAAUUAUCGGAAGUUGAAUUAAAUUGUUAUUAUUUAUUUCUGUUAUCUUUAUUUAUGUUCACAUUGAAUGUGGGUGGUAUAAACUUACCGUUUAGUAAAUGCUAAUAAAACUUGACCAGCCAAGUAAAUGCUAAUAAAACUUGACCAGCCAAUUAAAAUGCUUGACUUGCUAAUCAAUCUUAACCUAUCAUUGAAUGGCCAUACACUACACAUUCCUCACGCUUGCUAAGUACCAACCAUAAGUGUACUUACCCUUGCUAAAAUCGCUGCUCAGAACAAGUCAACGCUGUGGAUGUCUUUCAAGAUUGGGAGGAGUACUAGGCGCGUACGUGUUUCUCCAGUCAUCUGCCUGUGGAGUCGCCGUUUUCGUUGAAGAUCCACUGCGACAAUAAUACUCUUUUUGCCAUUCGGUUUAAAAGACUAUCGAUCAUGUAAUAAUUAUAUACUCUCUCUACAUUAUGGCAUUAUCUUUGUUACUCACUAAAGUCAUCGCAUAUGUGUAAUUUGAUUCUGAUGUACAUGUGAUUCAUGCAUCUGGUUUUGCCUUUAAAAUAGAGAUACAUGGCCUUUUAUAUUGUUUCUGGACAUGCUGAGAUAUCUGGUGUCCCUAAGAUAGGAUGCCCAGUUGGGUGGAACGGAAGAGAAUCCGUUGUUGGAAUAUCCCAAGAAAGAAGCUGAUGCGUUUGGCAUUGGGAUCUGCCCUAAAAGCCUAUUGAAACUAAGAUCAAGCACUAGUAGUGAUUUACUAAAAGGGAGAACAUCCGAAGCAAGUUGCAUGCCCGUAAGCACGUUAUGCGAAAGAUUCAAAUAAUAAAGGCUACUACUGCUCCAUGUCUCCCAGAUCCGAUUUGGUAUAUCCCCACUGAUUUUAUUAGAUGAAAGAUCCAAAUAUUGUAUAUUUUUAAGACACAUCAAAGAUGUUGGGAAUCGAAUUAUAUUGCAAGACGCGAGCCCUAAAUAGUAAAGUCUGGCCAAAUAGGUAGCCAAAGGAUUAUUACCAUCUGCAUCCGUGACAUGCAACUCAUUGUAGGAAAGAUACAAACUGGUGAGAUCAGUUGAUCUCCAAAAAUGGGAGAGGUCCACGGAACCUAUCAACUUGUUUCGAGCUAACAUCUAUAAGUACCAAACUUGUUAGUUGAAAGAAGGCCUUGGGAAUAAAACCUGACAGAACAUUGUUGCUCAAGCGCACUUUCGCCAACCGUGAUUCUGCCUCGUCAAAGCCAUAUAUGGGGCCAGAAAGUUGGUUGUAAGAAAGAUCCAGGACACUUAAUGCAGGAAGACUGAAAAUAGAUGGUGGAAUCUCUCGUGCAAAGACAAUAGAAAACAUUAAGUUAGAAAGUGUCUCCUCUUCUAGAAAUAUCUGAAUUCAGAAAAUGAUGGCUCCUAUUUUGUUCAGAACAUGAUAAGUUAUGCCACUGAUACUGUACCAUCGAAAAAGCUCCCAAGUCUAGUUAUUUUAUCCUUAGAAAGUUGCAUGACAUAGACUCUAAAGCGAACACUUUAUGUGGUUACACUUAAAGAUUGCUUUGUUUCACCACUCAGUCCAACUGCAGAACGUGCGGCUAGCGGCUUUCACCGAGGAGCAAACUGGAGGGCAAGAGGAGAAAAUCACCAGAAUCAAGUAAGCUGGGGUAGCAAAUCGCCCAUUUGUUCCUGUUUUGUUGGCGUGCUGUUUAUGGGUAGUGUUGUUUAUUUUUAGGUGUAUGCAAAAUGUAUUCUUGAUGAAAUAUGUUGCAUCACAUAUUCUCGAAUAAAAAAGUGAAAACAUUGGUGCUCUGUUGAAUUUCAAUUAUAUUGCUGGAAUUCCUUCCUCCAUUUUUUUUCUUUUUCCUUUUCUUGAUUUUCAAUUAUGUUUGAUGGAAUUUCUUUGAUUCAAAUUUGACUAUAAUUUAUUGAGCUUCAUGCACCAAUCAGUUGCACCUAAAGUCUUAACCCGAUUGGGAAGGACGACAGUUCUAUUAUACUUCAACAUGAUUAACACUCGAAUUCCAAGGAAAACCACUUCAAAUCCCAACAGCCAAGUGGAGCCACAUCACAUUUCGAAGGGGAGAAUGGAGCAUCUGAUUAGAGAAAAGAUACUUCCAAAAUUUGAUUUCUCUGACUUAGAUCAAUCCGUUGACUGUAUUAAGGGAAAAUUUGCAAAACAAAUUAAAAAGGAUGGAGCUAAGCACAGUUCAGGAUUAUUAGAAAUAAUUCAAACUCAUAUAUACGGUCCAUUUAAUGUAAGAUCAGUGGAUGGUUAUAAUUAUUUCAUUACCUUCACUGCUGAUUUCUCCCGCUAUGGAUACAUCUAUCCCAUACUUGAAAAGUCUGAAGCACUUGAUAAGUUUAAAAUCUUUAAAGAUGAAGUAGAAAAUCAGCAUGACUUAAAGAUCAAAGUGGUAAGAUCAGACAGGGAAGGGGAGUAUUAUGGGAAACACUCCACAUAUGGACAAAUUCUGGGACCCUUUGCCAGAUUUAUCCAAGAUAAUGGUAUAGCGGCUCAGUAUUCCACUCCUGGUGAGCCUCAGCAAAAUGGUGUUGCUGAGAGAAGAAAUCGCACUCUUAUGAACAUGAUGGAUAGUAUGCUCAGUAACUCUACGCUGCCAGUGAGUUUGUGGAUGAAAGCUUUAAAGACUGCCGCGCACAUUAAUAAUCGUGUUCCUAGUAAGUCAGUUCCUAAGACUCCUUAUGAGCUUUAGACUGGUAGGAAGCCUAGUAUGAAUUAUUUACAUAUAUGGGGCUGUGCAGCUAAAGCAAAGAUUUUUAAUCCACAACUUGGGAAAUUAGAUCUAAGACUGAAAGUUGUUAUUUUAUUGGAUAUCUAGAAAAGUCAAAGGGGUACCGCUUUUAUUGUUCUAAGCGUACCACUAAGUGUGUGGAGACAAGGCAUGCUGUUUUCUUAGAGGAAACUCGAUGCACUGAGGCUAGGAAAAUUCAUCUUAAGGAGAUUCGGACUUAUGAGCCAUUACCCAUAAGAUAGAAUUAUUAUGCUUCUAUGCCAUAUACCAUAGUUACAUCUCAGGUGGUAGAACUUCCAGUAGAAAAUGUGGGAGUAACACCUACCUUAAGUGAUAAUGUAGAUGCACAUGUGAUACGUGAGCAUCAAGAUGAAGAUGUGGUAGAACCUGCUGGUGGAUUGCAAGGGGAGGCAACUGAUGAGCCCGAGGUGAUUCAGCAGGAACCGGCUCAAGUAGAAGCACCACAAGAAGUAACACCACAACAUCUGAGAAGGUCAACAUGUGAGAGGAAGUCCACCCGUUCCGAUGAGUAUGUGUACAUAAGUGAAGAAGGGCACAACAUGGGGAAGGUGGACGGUCCAAACUCAUUUAAGGAGUCCAUAAGAAGUGAACACUUGCAUAAGUGGAGCGAGGCCAUGGAAGAAGAGUUGAAGUCCAUGGAAGCAAAUAGAGUAUGGGACUUAGUAGAAAUUGCUGAAGGAGCCAAAACAGUAGGCUGUAAAUGGGUCUACAAAAUGAAAUAUGACUCUAAAGGUUAGAUUGAAAGGUUCAAAGCAAGACUCGUGGCUAAGGGCUUCACUCAAGUAGAAGGAGUCGAUUAUAAUGAAACCUUCUCGGCUAUCUCAAAGAAAGAUUCAUUUAGAAUCGUUAUGGUUUUAGUAGCUCAUUAUGAUCUUGAGCUACAUCAGAUGGACAUUAAGACUGUGUUCCUUAAUGGUGACUUGCAUGAGAAUGUAUACAUGAAGCAACCUGAAGGUUUCGUCGUGCUAGGCAAGGAACAUUUGGGAUGCAAACUAUGAAAAUCCAUUUAUGGAUUGAAACAAGCAUGCAGACAAUGAUACCUUAAGUUUGAUGAAGUAAUUAAGAGAAUUGGCUUCAUUGAAAAUAAGAAAGACAACUGCAUAUAUGUUAAGACUAAGGGGAGCUCUAUAAUGAUCCUAGUGCUUUAUGUGCAUGACAUCCUAUUAGGAAGCAGCGAUAAGAACUUGCUGCAUGAGACAAAGGGCUUUCUCUCAUCGAACUUUGAUAUGAAGCACCUCGGUGAUGCCGCUUAUGUCUUAGGCAUUGAGAUUCACCGAGACAGGUCCAAGGGUGUACUAGAACUCUCUCAAAGAGCUUACAUAGAGAAGGUCCUUGAAAGAUAUAAUAUGCAGCAAUGUUCAGGCACAACUGCUCUAGUUAUCAAGGACGAUAAGUUUGGGUCAUCCCAAAGUCCUAGGAAUCAAUUAGAAAUUGAUCAAAUAAGAACGAUUCCUUAUGGUUCAGCUGUCGGAAGUAUAAUGUAUGCAAAAGUGUGUACACGCCCUAACUUGGCCUUUAUAAGCGGGAUGCUUGGAAGCUAUCAGUCUAAUCCAGGAAUAGGCCAUUGGAAAGGAGUUAAGAAAGCUUUGUGUUACAUGCAAGCACUAAGAAUUACAUGCUAAUGUACAGGAGAACUGAGAAAUUAGAGAUAAUCAGCUAUUCAAAUGCUAAUUUUGAGGGUUGUGUUGGCACAAAGAGAUCCACAUUAGGUUAUGUCUUCACACUUGCAAAUGGGGCUAUAUCGUGGAAAAGCUCCAAACAAACAUUAAAAGCUGCAUCGAUGAUGCAAGCUGAGUUUGUGGCAUGUUAUGAAGCUGUGGGACAAGCUGUAUGGCUUAAGAGUUUCAUCCUAGGAUUAAGACUGGUAGACAACAUAAGUAGGCCACUAAAAUUAUACUACGAUAAUAAGUCAAUAAUUUUCUAUUCGAAUAACAACAAGUCAAGUGAUGCUGCAAAGCACAUUGAAAUUAAGUAUCUUGAUGUGAAAGAUAGAAUCCAAGAUAAUACCAUUGAGUUAGAGCAUAUAAGUACUAAGAAAAUGCUUGCGGAUCCAUUAACAAAGGCUUACCUCCCAUUAUAUUCAUUGAACAUGUUGCCGGUAUGGGAUUAUCGGAUAGCCUGUGAUCUUGGAGGGUCAUAAGACAACCGCCUCCCAUCAUGAUAGGUAGUUUUAUACAUUGUGGAUAACUGUGUCACAGUGGGAUUUUAAUCAUCAUUGUCACACAUUGUCUCCCUACAUAAUUCUGCUUUAAGAAUGGCAUAAGUUAUAGGCCUUUAGACCAAAGGGGAGAACGUUUGGAAAAAUAAUGUGGUGGUCAAAAGGCCGAGAGGAAAACGGGAAGGAUAAGAUUGAUGCCUCCCGAUCACAGUGGCGCUGGAGUUGGCCAAAGGCCAUCACCGCACCACCGUCGCUGUCCAUGGACAGACGAGGUGGAGACCUGAAGGGAGAUGUGAUCUACUCCGAGCUAGUACACCUAUGACAUCCGUCAUCCCGGCCUCGUCGAAGACCCUAAUGGCCAGAUCAUCACAAGCCGUGGCAGCUGGUUGUACUCUAACAUCUUCAUUGAGUGGUGUUCACGUUCUAGAUGUGCAAAGAUCCUGUUUUAGUUAAGAUUAAGUAAUGUAGAUUCCUACAGAGUUAAUGAAGCCAACCUCUCGAUUCCAGUAGCAAGGAUGUUGUCUGAUGGCAUAUCUUCAUCUUGUGCCCCACUAACAUCAUUCAUGCUAAGGUGAAGGCUAUUAGGCGGUGUAUAGCCGUAUAUAGCCGAUUUAUAGCUUUUCAUGUAUACUGAUUGUAUUCCUUGUAUACCAAACCAUAUUGGCUAUAUAAUAGAGGUCACCCCCCUCAUUAGGGUGCAUGGUGUUUUCCCAAACUCUAUCUCUCUACAUGGUAUCAUGAGACCAGGAUCAAUCUGACUGGGACUUUCCUUCCGCUCCACCUCUUCCCGACGCGCCUAACACUAGGUGCACCUCCUGUGCAGUGGCACUUCUCCCCUGCACCGGCGCCUCUCCCCACCUCCCUUCCUCCCAUGGCCAACGAUUCCUCUGCCAAGUCCUCCCUGUCCGGUGGCGGCCUUCUGUCCACUGGUGGCCCCAGGCUGGCGCCUGGCGAUGGCUCCCUGCCCAUCUCUGGUGACACCACCACCCCACUAGACCUGAACCAUUGGGCGGCUCAGGCGCCCUCCCUGCUGCUAGUGACGGCCCUGCACUGCCCCCGUGGCGGCAGUCUUCUCCUCCACCAGGCGCCGCCGGCCAUCAUCCACCGUUACGCCAUGAUCUCUGUCAAGGCUCACGUCCCCAUGACGUGGACGAUGAAAACCUUUGGCUACUCCAAGUGGGCUUUAUUCUUCAAAUCCAUGUGUGGAAAGUUCGGCCUCAAGUCACACAUCGACAGCACCGUGGUGUCCCAUCCUGACGAUUCCGAUUGGGAUCAAGCGGAUUGCUGCAUCCUCUUCUAGAUCUUUGGCUUUGUCUACAACUCCAUCGUGGACCUCGCCAUGGAGGACCACGAGUAGACCGCCAGGGCCCUCUAGCUCACCAUUGAAGGCCUCUUCCGCGCCAACAGGCAAUUUCGGGCGAUCUUCCUUAGCUACGACUUUCACUCCAUGACCCAGAGGGACAUUGGUCACCCCGUUCAGGACUCCCAGUUGGUCCUGAAUCUUCUCCAUGGCCUCAACCCGCACUACUCCAACACCACUGACGACAUCACCAACUCCCCCGCCAGCUUCCCGUCCUUCGCCCAGGCUUGUGACAUGCUCGCCUUGAAGGAGCUUCGCCUCGCCAACUUGCUGCUUACGUGCUGCUCUACGUCGAUGACAUCAUCCUCACCGCCUCAUCUUCGAUGCUCCUCCAGCACAUCAUGGCUAGUUUUCACUCUGAGUUUGCCAUGACGGAUCUUGGUGAUCUUCAUCACUUUCUCAGCAUCUCCAUCACGCGCUCCACUGACGGCCUGUUCCUAUCCUAGUGACAGUACACCCUGGACCUCCUCCAGCAUGCCAGCAUGGCUAAGUGUCACUCUACGGCGAGUCCUGUUGACACUCAUGCCAAGCUCUCGGCGACCGACAGCAACAAGCUCAAGGAUGGCUCUGAGUACAGGAGUCUUGCAGGGGCUCUCCAGUACCUCACCUUGACUCGACUUGACCUGGUAUAUGUAGUUCAGCAGGUGUGCCUCUUCAUGCACGAUCCCUGCGAGCCUCAUCUCACACUGAUCAAGCACAUCCUGCGCUAUGUGAAGGGCACCCUGUCCUCCGAGCUUCACAUCGGCACCGGCCAUGUCCAGUCCCUGACAGCCUACUCCGAUGCGGAUUGGGCUGGCUGCCCGGACUCUUGAUGCUCGACCUCCAGCUUCUGAGUCUAUCUUGGGGAUAACUUGGUGUCUUGGUUCUCCAAGCACCAGAGCAUAGUGUCUCGGUCCAGUGCUGAGGCUGAAUACCGGGUUGUGGCUCACGCUGUUGUAGAGUGUUGCUAACUUCGACAACUUCUUCAGGAGCUAUGUCCCCCUCGCUUUGGCCACUGUUGUCUACUGUGACAAUGUGAGUGUUGUCUAUAUGACAGCCAAUCCGGUUCAUCAUCGAUGCAGAAGCAUAUCAAGAUUGACAUCCACUUCGUCCGGGAGAAGGUUGCUUUAGGAUAGGUCCGAGUGCUUCACGUGCCUUCGUCCCAUCAGUUCAUGGACAUCAUGACAAAAGGCCUUCCAGUUCAGCUGUUCACUGACUUUAGGUCCAGUCUUUGCAUCCGGGAACCUCCCGCUGCGACUGCGGGUGGGUAUUAGGCAAUGUAUAGCUGUAUAUAGCUGAUUUAUAGCUUUCCAUGUAUACUAAUUGUAUUCCUUGUAUACCAAACCAGAUUGGCUAUAUGAUAGAGGUCACGUCCCUCAUUAGGGUGUGUGGUGUUUUCCUAAACUCUAUCUCUCUACAAAAGCGACAAAGGGUUGUCAAGCUGAAGACUGCAGGGUCCAAGCCAUUAUUGGACAAGCCACGAUUGUUGAGGUCAAGUACGGUGACAUUACUGGAGGCGUCGUUGCAGCCAACACCUUCCUAGAGACAGCACUCGGUACCAUCUCACCAUGAUGAAAGCCUUGUGGUCGAUUCAUGGAAGGAGAAUGACUUCUUCAGCUGGAGGAGCACCUUAGCUUGGUCUGGAUGGCACAAAAAGGGAAGAUGAGUGAGGUUGCCACCAUCAGCAUGGUGAGGUGGCAGGGAGUGUGAGGAGCUGUGCAAGACAGAGCAGUAACGCCCAGCCGGUGGAAGCCAUGGUCCAAUGGAGGUAUGAGCUGACAAGCGUCAAAAUGGCACAGAUAUAUAAUGGUAGUCUAGUCUAGUAAUGGGUGACAGAAUUGUUGUACAUCUUGUGAAGCGGUAGUUUCACACAAGGCUUCUUCCAUGAGCUUAAGUGAUGGUCGCAAUUCAGAAUCUCCAAGUCUCUGCCCCUGUAAACACGCCAAUCAAGUAAGGGUAAGAUACAGACGUACACUAGCAAUGGAUCAUGACAGUAAGUUAUGGAAGAGACUUGUUACAACUUAUGAGACUUUCCAUAGUUGCUGUCGGUAUUGUUCAGCACCACUGGACAUAAUUGCGACCUGGGAAGUGGAGCUCCAACUAUCAAGGCUUCCAUUUCAGAAAGAAAAAAAAGGACUUCCAAGUCAAGUAAAGUGGCUACGAACCGAGGAAGGUGGAGCUGAAGCACAAAUCAACUGGAUAAACAGUAAAAAGAAAGUAGAGUAAAAUUCACAAAACAUACCUCAAGCUUGUAGUUUUCUAAUACCAGAAAAACUCAAGUUUUCCGAAAUUCGCUGUUAAAAAAUGAAAAAAAGAAAACGAAGAGCAACGCUUUAUCUUUCAGCAUGCAAAAACUGGUAGCAGGUUAGGAUAUAAAUGAGGCAUGCAUCAGCAAUGCUAGAGCGAGGAUGCAGAACAAACAUUUAACGGUUUUCCAAAGUUGCAACGACGAUUGAAUUUAUCUUGUCCCUGGCGCAAUAUAACAGCACGAGCAUCCCAUGUUACAACAUUUGAAGCAUAACAGAGCCAACAUCCAAACAUUCAACAUUCAGUUAACACCAACCGUUCUGACUACAGCACAACCAGGUUGCAGUCUUGAACAACCAUAACACUAACCAGUUCAGAACCAAAUUAUCAGUCCCGCAUUUUCACUGGUAGCAGAGCAGCAGCACUUGCUUCAGUUUUUGAAGCUGCCAUGAUCCACUUCGUCCCAUCGUCAGAUGGUGCCAUCCUCACCAGCUCCAAGGAUAGUGCUAGAAAAGGAAGACAACGUCACAUUUUUAAUCAACCCAAUGCAAAAACAGAAAAAGAAAUUAAGCAAGAACAUUACACGCAAUUGAGAAUUUCUCCAUCAGUAAAAAAGAAAACUAGAAUAGGCAAUACACCAAGAGGAGCAUUAGAGUGAAGUACCUUCCAUCAAAAGACACUGCAGUCUGCCUUAUUGGUGAUCUGUAUUGCUGAUUAUAUAGCCUGAAAAUGAUACAGUAUUUGCAUCCAGAAGCAUAAGAGUUACUAAUACGCAGCACCAAUAAAAGUGGAGGACAAGAAUAACUGAAAUUCUUGCAUUAAAAAUUACCGGGCAAUUAGGACAGGAGGGCUUGACUGUACUUCCCACACAUAGAUUUUGCCUUCACGAUUUCCUGUUUGAAGCGGAGGAUGAUUAAUCAGCAAACGUUUCUAUGAAAAUCCAGUCAUAUAUUUUAAGUGUGAACAUUUUGCCAUGCCAAAACCUCUUUAUAACUUCUGGUGUGUGAAAUUUACAAAUCAAUAACUUAAAUAUAACUUUUAUGUCAGAAAACAGCCCAGAUCAUAGAUAUUACCUAUUGCCAACUGAUUGAAGUGAAAAUCGCACGAAAAUUUUAUAAACCAGAUGUCACACUCUGGCACAGGGUACUUCUGAAGAAUAUCGAUGCUUCCCUAUAUGAGGAAAGAGAAAGUCAUAUUACUUCAGAGGAAUGGGCAGUCAACGACUAGAAAUCAAAGAAACCGCUGGAAGUUAAAUUCAAGAAAAGUUAAAUUGUAUCACCUCCCUAGGACUUUGUUCUUUUGUUUUUGGUUCCCAAAGCACAAUUUCAUUCUCAACACUCUGCAAAUCCAAGCUAGCAUAGAUCAGAUUCCUCAUUAUACAGGAACCAAAACUGGCACUGGGAAAGAAAAGGUUGAAAGACUGAACCCAUGCACAGUACAAGAAUACAGGAUCCAGAUACAGUGGUAUUUUGAAGCAUCAAAAGAAUGACGACUGUACUACUACUAUAGCAGCAAUUUGUAUCCAUUUAAGGGAAGGAAUUUCACCUUUGACAGGAUGAAGUCACCAAGCCAUCUUGUACAAUCAACAUAGUUAGAGUGUACUGCAGCAAUCAACACCUGCAAGGAAAGAAACAGGUUGGUUUGAUGGCAUGAGGAUUAACCACCAACAGUAGUUUGCAAAGGAAUAGAUCUAAGAUUAUUAUAGAUGCUAAACAUACCGGAAACUGGACAUAUUUUGUUGGAAACUUUGAUGGAAGGUCAGUCCAGGAAUAUGAUUUGUCAACAUAUUGCCAAAAUUCUGUGACAACAUUGGGAAACUCUAUCAAUGAUAUGCAGCAUGCAAAUGUAAACAUGAUGCUACUUUGAAGUAGUUUUCCAACCUUUCAUUGACCAGAUUUUCACAGUGUUGUCCAUGCCACAACUUGCAAAACGCUCAAUAUCACUAGGGUGGAAGUCCUUCUGCCAAAAUAAUGUAUUUUGAUCAGUACAUUUAUGCCUAACGUAAUGGAAGUACAAAAGCCAUAGUAGUCACCACUCACCAGGACUAUAUUUAUCCCUGAUGUAAUGCUCAAUAACAAACAGUAACAUCAGAAGCUGAAAGAGUGGUAGCUUCAGGGCACUUUGAGCAAGUAAUAUUCUGAAACAAUACCAUAAGAGGAGGCAGGAGCUACUUACAACACUCAACACUUCAUUGCGAUGACCUCCAGCUCCAGCAAAUACCAAGAUGCAGAUCCCUGUAUGGACAUUCCAUAGCCUAACAGAUUCAUCCUAUUCAAUAAUGUCAUAUGAAACAGUGUCAGAACAAUUAUAAGAAAGUACAUUCAGCCUAAGAACAGGUUAUCUGCUAACCUUGCUUGCAGAGAAAUGAUGAGCGAAGGCUUCAACGCUUGAGUCCUUAUCUCAUUUAUUGAGUCACCAUGGCCAACAAAGCUCUGUAGAAUUCCAUAAACAGAAAUAACAAAUAAACACGUGCACAGUCUAAUUCAUAGGAUAGGAUAGUAUUUAUUGGCAUGCCCAGUCUCCUGACUAUAUGUAUAACGCCAAAAUAGAUACACUAGGUUGAACGUGUCUUGACUAUGACGGACAUGCUGAAGUAUCCAAAAACCAGAAUCUUCUGUGAGCAAAAGUUACAGUUUGCUAGUGGUAUUAAUGCAUAGCAAACAGACAAUUCCAUAAUCAAACCAAAUUCAAAUGACCUUCUGGAUCGGAUAUCAUAGAUGGUAUCUGUCAGGUAAGCAACUGAAGUACUGAUUUAUGCAAAUGAAGCUUCAUUCAAGUUUGACGUAGGAACAAAGACAAGGCUAGGGGUACUAUACCUUAGCUAACUUCUCCGUAGCACAGUUGAUGAGCCGAAUGAUCCCAUUGCUUCCUGCUGCUCAAUGACUCCUUUCUUGGUGACCAGUGUGGCAUCCAAGGUAUCAAUCAGCUCUUCCUUCUCCUUGAGCAAGGUGUUCUUCUCCUCUAUCACCCUGUCCCUAGCCUUCAGUGCCUCCUCCAUCCGAACAACUCUUGCCUCCAGCGUGGCAAUCCUCAGCGAGUCCCUCUCGUCGUAGUUGUCCAGUGCAGUGUCCACCUUGUGCUGCAAGCGACGGUUCGUCUGGUCCAGGUCAGUCAAAUAGUGCUCAAGUCCCAUUAUCUUGCCCUCAAGCAUGGCGUCGGUACCGAUGCAGUUGUCCCAACCCUUGCGAAGUACCUCCACCUCUCUGUCAUUCCAGAACAGUGCCAAAUCCUGAGCGUGAAUGCAGUGGGAGGCCACGUAAAACUUCUCGUUGGGCUCUGCAUAAACAUCCUCAUAGUACUGACGGGCUAAACUCUCGAAGUCCCUCAGCCCACGGCAAGCCCUGGUUAGGCAGCGGUAGGGAGUCUGAGCCAACCUGUCAAGGAGCUGCGCAUGCACCUCACGCACGGCCCUUCUGGCGGCAGUCCGGUGAGCCUUUGACACUAACAACUCAAACCUUGGUAGAAGAAUAAGCAAAGUCUAGUUAGAAAUAGCGGUAGUCAACAGCACUGUCCAUAGCCAGUGAACAUGGAUUAUAGCUAUAGCUUUAUACACCCUGCAAAGGAUGUACAACUGUACCCACACGGAUGGAGUCUAAACGGUGGAGAUCCGUCAAAACCCCACCUAACAGCCGGAGCCCUAGUAGGUAGAUAGCUCUCUCCUAUUUCCUCAAGUUUGGUCAGAGUAGGCCAAUACCUCGAACUCAUUACACGAUCCUCCAAUCCACCUACAGGCUGAGCAGUAUCCACCACUAGUCUCGGACCGAACCCUUCCCAUAAUGUAAGCGAGUGGUAUGUACGUAAAAUAGCUGUUGUGACUAGUGGUAAACUAACUCAGUGUUUAAGCGGCUGAGAGCGAGCACUCUACUCCAUAAGUAUGUGCCAAAGUACCUGCAACGUACAAGUACGCCACCUGCUCUUUAGUAACAAACAAGGUACCCGCUGUAACACCUAGUGUUAAUGACAACUUAAGUAUGACAUUAAGAAGCUAAUGGUGAAGUUGGAUUAAAGGAAGGUAAUUUGAGCCAAAAAUCAAAUUUGAGCCGAAUUCGACCAAAUUUGGAAUUUGGAGUUUCAAAUUUGGAUAAAUUUGGCAAAAAUAUGAAAUAGAGUCUUGAGAGUAUUCAGAACUCAAAGGAAUGAAUCUUGAAGUCUAAAUCAAGUCAUAAAGCUCUCAUAAAUACAAUCGAAGAGGGAGUCAGCAAAGUCACUAUUCGUCGUCCGAAAACGCGCAACUCUGAAAUUAAUAUUGAGUACACAACUUUGGAGCCAAUUCCUGGAGAAUUUCUCCUGUAAGUGAGCAGAUAUUUUUGGACAUUAGUGAAAUAUGGACUAUGGAGAAGGUAAAUGAAAUGUUGUUGUCCAGAGAAAGUGGAAGAUUUGAAUUUAAAAUGAAGCCCAAAAUCAGCAAAUCAGUAGAUUUCAGCCUUCUCGCCAAGAAAAAUCUUAAGUCUGAAAACAGCAUUGACUAGCCAUGUUUGGAGUGAAUUUUAGAAAAAUCUAGUGUAAAAGAUAUAUGAGUUCAUGUGCAAAAUAGAAUCUUUGUUAGUUGUAGAACAAGUAUGGGCAAGGGUCAAGCUGCAUGGAACAAGUUUGCCUAAUUUAAAUCAAGCUCAAAGAGGUAUAAAUGGCCUUGCACCGUACCUGACGAAACUGAAUCAUUGAGGUUCAGUUACAGAAGCUUCUGGUCGAACUUCAAGCUUCAAAAUUUCAGUGUUAGGGUGCUCAUUUCGGUUGGAGGUCAAUCUAUCAAAUGAAGUACUUGGGCUACUCUACAAGUUUGCUUAAGGAACAUUUGGACCUUCGGAUUUGAAAUUGGUCGAUGGGGAAGUCUGAAUUUUGGAGAAGAAGAAGAAGAAAGAGGGAAACAGGCGAGCAGGAACAGAGCCGUGCUGCCGCCGGCACCUCUGCCCGCCGGCCAGCGCAACAAUCCAAAUCGCGCCACGCACGCCUUCAAGUCGUCGAUGUGGCCGUCAUGCACGCGGUAGAAGUUCGUAUUUGUACCGCUCCCAUCCUCAUCCGUUCACCCUGCCGCCAUUCUUUUCACCGUCACAAAGCAGAGCUCGGGUGACCGGCACUGCCGCCGGCCGAUUCCACCGCACCGCCGCUCUAAUCCUCGAUCCCUUCCACCUGAAGCUCCCCUAGCCCCUCGCCGACACCCUACACCGCCCCGUCCACCAGUUUUCCCGCCGGCGAGCCACACCCGCCGCAUCUCCUAUCCGCCCGCCGCCGCUACUGCCCCUCCAGUGAGCCCUCCGCGCCGCCCCUUCUCCACUCUUGUGCUCGGGUUUAGAGGCUCCUUAGGUCGUGAAGACGCCGUAGGACGCAUCCGCCGGCCGCUUGCGCCGCCGCCAGACCUAGAAUCCGGCCGGCCUUCGGCCAUGGCCGCCGCCGCCCGUGCAGGGCCCGGCUUAGGCCGCCUCCGGGUGAGCUAGCGCCACCUGCAGGUGCGCUGGGGCCUAGGGGUGCUCCCCGGCCUGGCCCCGCCGUCGGCAGGCCACCGGCCGUUGAGCCGCCGGAGCCACCCGCGGGGCACCCUGUUUUGGGUCGGGCAGGGGAGGCCUGGCCAGGUUGGCCCCACGCAUCGGUGAGGAUAGGGUAGGGGGGCGGUAGCAAUAGGAUUCCAGGGGGUUUUUCCGAUAAGGUUGGAAUUUUUGGAUUUAAAAAUAAAUUUAAAUAACUGCCAACCCAUUUAAUUCACUGUAAAUUGUAUAGGUACCCAAAAAUAGUGAAAUAAAUUUCUUUAGGUUUAUUUUAAUCUCCUUUACACAUUAAAAUUGUUAAAACAUAUUUAUAGAAACCUUUUGAGUAUUUAUUUAGUGCCUUUAAUUAAAGUUGUUAAAUAAAUACUUAAUAAUUCCAAAAUACAUAAAAUAUGAAAUAAUGCUUUUAUAAUUACAAAUUAACCAUAAUCUAUAGUAAUUAGGAGUUUAAGAUUAGAAAUUAAUUAUGAUGAUUUUCAAAAAUAAAAACAAAAGGCUUACGUUUUUAAAUAAAAGAUAAAGAUUAAGUAGUUAUUUAAUGCUUUUCCUUAAAAUAUUUAAAUAAAUGCUUAAGCUUUAUAAAUAAAUAAAAUUCUGAAUAAUGUUUUGAUUAAUUCCAAACAAAUGUUAAUCUAUAGUUUUACAUUUUCUUUUACAUUAGAAAUUAUUUCAAAUGAUUUUCAAAAAUAAAAAGAAAAGUCUAAAAUGGGUUUAAAUAAGGGAGUUUAAAUCGCGAGUUACACGUUAUGGGUAGAGUUUUGUUGGCUUGCAACUUUAUCAUGAAGUUAAGUUGUCUAAGUCACUGUUGGCUUGCAACUUUAUCAUGAAAGAAGUUGUAGAGUCCUGUGCUUAAAAAGUUGCAUCUCUGACUCAUGCAUACGCUUUAUCGUAGAUACUGAAGCUCCAGAAGCGGAAUUUCUAGAAAUUUCUGAAGAACCUUCGGAAUUUGAGGAGAUCGUUGAGUUGAUCCCUUGUGAAGCCAGUCCGUCGAGCAACGCUAACAUUUUUACAGAUCAAGGCAAGCCCCGGUGCAUCUAUGCCUAUCUAUUUUGGAGUUAUUAUUUCAUGUGUCCAACUAUUGGUUAUUUCUUUAUGAAUGCAUUAAGUCUAGGAGUUGAUUGAAACCUUACUUUUAUGCACAAUCCAACCUUGUUAUUAAGGACAUCUUUGCCACUUGUCAAUAAUUAGUAAGUAUCCCAUGCUUAGCAAAGCAUAGUCGCGCUACCUCUACCAUUCCUGAGAACCUAUGGUACUCAGCAGCCUAAGGUAACAUUGUCAUACAUAUGUAUAUCAAAGAAAUGACCGGUUUUGGAAGAUAGUGGACGGAAGCUUGGAUGGAAUCAAGAAAGGAGUCUUGAGUUCCGUAGUUCUGUCUACUCGAUUAAUUUGAUUAAGGACCGAUCGUUGUUUUAACCCAUGAUCAAGUGAUAUUACCUGGUUGCUUACUGCUAUAUGGGAACCAGCAAGCCCGGUAGGUUAGUUGGCUCUCUGAUCGGAAAUAUUUCGUACCCGUGCUUGGCGUGCAGUGGAAGGGCAGGGCGUAGCCGGAAACUCAUAGUGGAGAUCGCUAGACGUGGGGUUCCAUGUGGGGGUGCGGCCCUGGGUUCAAGUAGUCAUAUUUCCGAUCGUUGGGUACAUCUAAUCGAAAGGUCGUUAUGUGCAACCCGGACAGUUGUACAUGGCUGGUGGUCAGGUAUCUCCUUGUAACGACCCUGGUCAAAUCAUUCGAGUUAAUCUUAAUCUGAAGCCCAAAUUCCUCUGUCUCAGCUCUUCCCGAGCAGGAGUGCUCCACUCCAGUUCCCGGUCCCGGCCCCUGAAGACCCCAACCAACCCCGUCGGUUCCUUCUGAGUUCCCUAAGGCAGUGCUCCUUUCAAUCUUGGAGCUGUGGGACAACCGAGACUGACCGGUGGACCCGCAAAUCUUUUCCCGGAUUUCCCGAGGCAAACGCACUCGAGCGGCCUGCACCGCUUCAGAGCUCCCCCGCCGCAUGGCUCAACUUCUCCGACGCCCGCCGCUUCGCCCAGUCGCCGACCGCGACAGGAUGGAUUCCCGCGCCCUCCUCCCCAAUCGCAGCGGAAGCCCCUCUGCAACCCUUUCUGCAGCGCCUCGUCUCACUCGCGCCCUCGGACACGUGUGUUGAUUCAUACGAAGGGUGGUAUGGUUCGAUUCCAACGAGCCUAUCAUCACGGUUGUUCGCCCACGUCUAUUAUACGUGCGCAGAUUCCACAUCUCGAGUAUGCGAAGGGUUAUACGGUUCCAUUCAAAGGGGACCUAUUUCCAUGGUUGUUGCGCUAUCCAUGCAGCCUUAAACACAUGGGUGCCGUUUCUAUAGUGAACGGUAAUGCUUGGGGACGCUUUCGUGGGUGCUGGCACGAAAGGUUCAUGUGGUUGUGUUUUCUGCAGGUACACUAACCGCGUUCGCUUAGGAGACACUACUAGAACCCGACUAGAUAUUAUAGGGAGAGACGUACUGGUUGCCUUGACACCGGCACUGACUGCGUAAGACCAAAGUUUUGGCAGUUGUUUUGGUUGAGAGGAUGAAGUAGGCCAUGCAUGCGACAUGAACUAAAAUCUUUGAACCCACCUCUCUAAAACAACCUUGCCUUGGUUAAAGCCCUUCUUCGGUUUAAGGAUUUCUAGCUUCCUUUCUAGCUUGUGCUUUGGUCAAAUCCGAGUACUUUUUCUGCCUGACCUGUUCUUCUUCUUAGAGUUUCUAUCUCACGUCAGUUCAGUUUUUGGUUCCAGAUGGCUGCCCUCGGACACGUGUUGUACAGCGCUGACGGCAUGUCCCACUCUACGUCCCUACACUUUGAGGGUUUUCCUGCUAUUCUGUGGGACACCUUAAGGUGGUUUGGGUAUCAGUCCCCGCCUUUGUACAUGGGAUGGAUGUACCAGGAGCACGGAGUACAGAGGUGCAACAUGCAGGUGGUGAUACCUCCACCCCCUGUGCAGCCCGAGUGGUCCCAGCUCGAAGUCUUGACUUGCGGGCACGCUCUGGAGGAUACAUGGGAGUCAGCUGCUCUGCUGAUCCUCACCCACUUCUGUUGACUACACCCGCUUGAGGUCACUUUGGACCCAAUCGGCUUGUUCCCCGCUAGGGAUCGGCUAGACCCGGCGUGGCUUGAUCACGUCAACAACAUGGAAGUGUUGGCAGCCUCUCAUGCGCUGGUCACCAUCUCUACCACCACCAGAUGCAUGUCAGCCUUGUAUCAGCUGAUUGAGCUUCAAGGCCGAGCGAUGGCUGUCUUAGCUCGGAUAGCCAUAGACACCCAAGGGCUUUUCAACGCCGCUAAAAGAGACUUGGUGGGACAGUCGCAUCAGCUUAUCCAAAGAGGCAUACAGAUCCAUGACAUGCAAGACAGAAUCUCCAAGCUCGAGGGAGAAGUGACGGACCUGGUGGAUGGCAUGAUCGAGCUUGCCGAAGAAAAGAUGGAGGUCGAGAUGGAGCUAGCAGUUGCUAAUGCUCAUUUGGACGAGCAUCACGCCGAGCUUGAUGCUAUACAUGCCCUUGAGAUGCAGCUGGAUGAACAAGAAGAUCCUGAGGAGGUCAUGGGAGCGUCCAGCAUGGACAUUGAGGAUGGCGACGCCCCUUCUCCGACUCAUAGUGUUCCCUCAUAGGUUGAGAGCUGUAGGAAUCUAAUCUUUUGUUAUACUCAUUGGCAACCUAUGUUUUGGAUAGUGAUGUAAUAGGUUAGCCUUGAGUUGAGUAUUCCUCCUGUGUUUUGGGGAACAACAAUGCAAUGACCUCAGUGAAAUCAGAUCUUAACUUGACCUUUGACUCUUUUUGCGACACGCUUGGAUGCCAGGUUGUGUGAGUUUUGUCCUGUGACCACACACCCAUCUUCUGUGGGUCUGUCCAAAGCUUGGCCGACCCUGAGUCGCAAGGUCGGAUGCGCUCGACCCCUCGAGGCAGUUCUCCGCCUCGCCCGACCCCUUGCUGUGCAGUUUGCUUCGCCCGACCACUGGUUUCACUGUUUCGCUUAGCCCGACCCGGGCACUAAAGGUCGGAUAUAGUGGAACUCCUCGGAUGUGGUUAUGGUUCGCCUGAAGUUGUGUGCAGAACUAAGAUAGUUGCUAACUAAGAUGGCAAGAGGAAGUGUGUAUCUCUUUAAUAAGGACAUGUUAUUGUGUUGCAGUAUCGGCAAGAGUCGCAUUUGAGGAUUUAACUUAUACGUUCCCACAUAAUGGGAAUACUUCUGAGGAUAUGGAAUUAAUGGAACGUUGACUCUUGCAGAUGGCGCAUCGCACCCGAUCUAGCUCUAUGCCCAGCGGUAGUGAGCAGAGGCAGGAUCUUCCUCCGCCUCCGCCCCCACCUUCGCUGGAAGCCCUCCUAGCGGCUCAAACUGAGCUGCUAAGGCACAUUGUACACGGACAACAACAGCAGCCUCGUGGAGGGAGAGCCCAUCAACAACCCCAAGUUGCUCGUUAUGAGGACUUCUUGAGCACGCAACCCCCUUUGUUCCAGAAGACAUAAGACCCGCUCGACGCCGAUGCCUGGAUUCGUGCCAUCGAAUCCAAGUUCUCCCUCCUCACCGCCCAUUGCUCGGAGGAGAAGAAGGCUCGGUUCGCCGCGCAACAACUGCGUGGUUCUACCCUCCUUUGGUGGGAUCACUACCACGCCAUGCAGCCGGUCGACCACGUCGUCAGCUGGGAGAAGUUUAAGACGGUGUUCAGGGGCCAUCAUAUCCCUGAAGGUCUCCUGGAGCGUAAGCUCAACGAGUUCCUGGCCCUUACCCAGGGAAAUCGAGAUGUCCUGCUGUGGCGGAACCACCUCGGAUUAGCUUGAUUAAGCAGGGUUAAGCCGCCUAACAUGCGACACUCCUGCCUAAACCGAGUUAAUACGAAGUGCCGUCGGAUUUCAUCCGAUUUAACCACUUAAACAGAAUCGAGUUCAGCAAACCCACACGAAGGUGAGCGGUUACAGAGAAUACAACAAGUCCACUGAGUUGAACAAGUUUUACCCAUUUGGUUCGGCCAUAAAAUCCAACAUCAGAGUUUUACAAGUUUUCAAGGAAACAACAGAGAAAACACUAGCGGAAGACUUCGUCGGGGUCGGACAUCCUUGGUGAGGCCAACCGGGACAUCACUAGCUCCUUCCCUCGCCGUCCGAGGAAGGAUCCCACUCGACCGUCCAGCCUGGCGGGAGCUGGGGCGGCCAAGCACCAACCAGAGAGGGGUCGGAAGCAGCAACUUCACCUGAAAACAGGAGCCACAACAAGGCUGAGCUACUAAGCUCAACAAGACUUAACCGAUAGGAGGAAGGGCUACUCCUCCUUCUAGACAUGCAAGGCUGUUUGGCUGAGGGGGUUGUUUGCCAAAAGCACUAAGUAACCCUAUUUUCAAGUUUUAGCUCCGGUUCUAGGUUCAUUUACCAAUCUAGGUUGUGCCACCUAUACUAAGCAUUCAUAGAAUCAAACAAGAUGUAUAGAUACAACAACAAACAUUGCCAUCAUCAGAUUCCUCAUUUACUCAGGGUGACAUAGCGAUCAAGCAAUCUCAAACUAUGAAAGGCAGACGAAUCGAUUCAAGUUCUUUAACCAUGCAUGGUGAACCUAGCCUCACGACAUCCGCGCACCCGGAGGUCGCUUCCUGUGUCGGCCUUCCCCAUCAAUCCCCUAACCCGUGUCGGGCCCAUUUCCUUUGGUGCAAGGUUCCACAGACCCGGCCUCUGCCAUUCUGUGACCACGCUUGCCACCACGUGCGACAACCAGCAGGGGAAACUCCGUUCCAAGAACAAUGGGGCGAUCGCUCACGUAUAGGUUCAAUCCGGUACUAGGCUUCCUCAUCCCAUACUAAGUAUGAGGCUAGUACUUUCAAACACUUGAUCACGAACACCACCACUGUCGGGCCUUAGCAAGUUUUCAUAGACAGACGUGGCAACCAUCUGACCACCAAAAAGUUACCAAAACCCUGCCCCGUCCAUCGUCCUUAUAGUUAUAACAGGACAGUAAACAUGCAACUCCUACAACUCGCGAGAGAUAGGAAAUCACUCGACUUUUACCGUCUCCUAGUUAAGCAAUGCAGCUACUCGGUCCAACAGCUAGUGCUCAGAUCACUGGGAUAACUAAGUCAUGCAUCUAGGGUUUCACACAACUCCUAUACGUAAAUGCACAAGCAUGUUACAGAAGGCAUGCGCAAGUCUGGUAAAACACAUAGGACUUUCAUGCAACCGGGGCUUGCCUUCAAGCAAGGAGGACGGAAACUGCUCGACUUCGGGGGCGACUUCGGCUUCGGAGGACAGGAGCUCGGCUACAGCUUCUUCUUCUGGCGCCGGGUGAAGCUCGUAGAAGCCGUCGGCGAGGUGCAGCUCUACACGAAUGCAAUGCAGGGGUUAGCAUAGACAGUUACUUCAACAGCAACACUGGCUCGCCUGAGCCCAGAAACUCGCGACAAAGAGCAGGAGGUUAAGGCGGUUCGAGAGCUGAUGAUGAUCAAGGGGUAAGGGUAGGAAGGAACUAGUGGUCUGAUCCUUGAACUAGAGGAUGUGAUAAACUGGGGGUCCUUAGACGCAAGCGUUGAAGGGUUCCCAAGUUUUACACAUACACCCUCGAGUUGAAGAAAAAGAUCACAGCCAAGCCCUCGGGCGAGACGGACAAGGGUCGGCGGAACAGACAGGGUCGGGCGAGACGGAACCGGGGUCGGGCGGAUAGGAGGGGUCGGGCGAGGCGGACUGGGGUCGGCAACUCACCUUCUUCCUGAAAGGAAAGCUUGGGGUCGGAACGAAGCGGACUUGGGCGGAGGGACUACGGUUUGAUCAGAAGCUAAGACCGGCGAUGCUCCGGCGGCGGCGCUGCUUCUUGCGGAUCACAAGAGAGCUUUUACGCAGCACGGAGGAGCAAGCUGCUGGGUGACUUGGAGAAGAACUGAGGGAGAACUGAGAGAAGAACUCCUCAAGAACUGGGUGGGUGGCGCUAGGAGCUUGAGCAGGGAGCUAGAGGAGGCUGAAGGCAACGAGAGCGGAGGGAACUCCAGCGACGGGGGCAUUCCUUUUAUAGCUGCUGGAGCAGAGGAAAGGAAACGGCACGGAGAGAGAGAAGGAGAGCGGCGCGAAGGCCGGGGAGAGGCAAUGGAGUGCUCUGCUGGGGCGGCGAUUAAGCAAAGAGGGCGGUGGUGCAGAACUCCGGGGGUGACGCCAGCAAUCAUGGCGUUCUGCCGUCAGGGCGGCGUAGGAGCGGGUAGACUGGUGGUUGAGAUUUGGCGGAAAGCGGGCGUCAUCGUGCGGAAGAUGUGAUAGAAGUGACCGGCUUAACGGCGCUAGAAUCGAGGGUGCUCGGGUGAGAAGGCAGGCGGACGCGGGCGCGUGGGAGAGUGCGGAACAACAGAUUGUCGGGCGGCUUCUGACAGAGCGGGGGAAAGGAACUGUCGCGGCCGCGGUCGGGGUUGGCGGUGGAGGAAUCAUCGUGUAGCGGCGACCAGGCGGCGCAACUGUGGCUGAAGGGACGGAAAAGACGGGCGACAUCGGGCUCUGGGGCUGGGAUCUGGUGGCGUGAUGAUGGGCGCGGGAGGCGAGGUUCUGCAGAAAGGGGUGCAGAGGGCUUCCGCUGCCAUUGGGGAAAGGGGGCACGGGAACCCACUCGGUCGCUGGCCAGAGACAAAACUGAGCGGCAGGCGUCGGAGAAGACGAGCCACGCGGCAGGAAGACUCUGAAGCAGCCAAGCAACUCGAGUGCGGCUGUCGCGGGGGAUCUGGAAAAGAUCUCGCGGGUCCACCAGUGGAUAGAUCGGACGGGUGAGGAAGAUUAACAGAAUCCGACGGUGGGCUGAGCUCGCCGGGGUCAGGAGAGGAGCGAAGCCGGAAGGGGUCGGAUCUCAGGGGUCGGGACCGGCGGGAAACUGAGCACUUAGGUGCGGUCAAGCAAGACAGCUGACUAAGGUUAAGGGCUGUGAUCAAGACUAACUGGAAGGCUUAGGGGUCGGUCGUUACAGCCUACCCCUCUUAAAAAGAAUCUCGUCCCGAGAUUUAGAGAUCAAGGGGGUGUGUUGUCCUUACCUCCUUAAGAGGAUAGAAAACCUGGGAAACGCUUGCUCAGAUAUUUGUCCGUUUCCCAUGUUGCUUCAUCCUCGGUGUGGUUUCUCCAGAGGAUCUUGUACAUCUUUACCACUUGGCGUCGGGUGUGCCUUUCCUUUUGGUCAAGAACUCGAUCUGGGUACUCGGCGUAGGUCAGGUCGGGCUCUACCUGAAGCUGUUCUUGCUCUAAGAUCUCUGCUAGAACUCGGACACAUUUCUUCAGUUGAGACACAUGGAAAACAUCAUGUAUUGCCGACAGCUGCUCUGGGAGUUGGAUCCGGUAAGCAACGGGUCCACAUAUCUCCACAAUCUCAUAAGGGCCAAUAUAGCGGGGAGCUAACUUGCCUUUUAUUCCAAACCGCUGCACUCCUUUGGUCGGGGAGACUCGAAGGUACACAUGAUCACCAAGGUCAAAUUGCAGGGGUCUUCUCCGCUGGUCGGAGUAACUCUUUUGUCGAGAUUGGGCGGCCUUGAGAUUUGCUUUAAUUACCUUCACUUGCUCUUCGGCUUCUGCCACUAAAUCAGGGCCAUAGACCUGUCUUUCUCCUGGUUGGGACCAGUUCAGGGGUGUCCUGCAUCUUCGGCCAUACAGAGCUUCAAACGGUGCCAUUUUCAAACUGGCUUGGUAGCUGUUAUUGUAGGAGAAUUCUGCUAAGGGCAGACACUUGUCCCAGUUCUUAUCAUAGUGGAUAACACAAGCUCUUAACAUGUCUUCAAGAAUCUGGUUGACUCUCUCAGUUUGGCCAUCGGUUUGAGGAUGAUAUGUUGAGCUUCGGAUGAGCUUGGUGCCCAUAGAUGCUUGUAGCUGCUCCCAAAAACAUGCCACAAACUGAACUCCUCGAUCAGAGACGAUAGUCUUGGGUACACUAUGUAGGGAAACUAUACGGUCGAGGUACAACUCUGCAUACUGCUUGACUGUGUAGGUGGCGCGAAUAGGAAGGAAAUGUGUUGUCUUGGUCAGACGGUCCACUAUAACCCAGAUGGAAUCAUAUCUUUGUGUUGUAAGGGGUAACCCAACUAUGAAGUCCAUGCUGAUGUCUUCCCAUUUCCAAGAGGGAAUAGGUAGCGGCUGCAAGGUUCCUGCUACCUUCAAAUGACUGGCCUUGACACGUUGACAGGUGUCACAUUCUGAAACAUAACGAGCUAUCUCUGGUUUCAUUCCAUUCCACCAAAAGGUUUGACGAAGAUCAUGGUACAUCUUAUUGCUGCCAGGAUGGAUCGAGAACUUGGAGAGAUGAGCUUCAUCUAGGAUUUGCUUCCUUAACUCGGGGUCGGCGGGCACUACUAGCCGGUUUCCAUAAUACACACCUCCUGUUUUGUCCUGAUGGAAAUGGUUAUAUCCCUCAUCCUUUACUGAGAUCUUACCGAUGAUCCAUUGUACUUCUGUAUCUCUUACCUGUGCUGACCGAACUUGGUCUUCCAAAACUGAGUCAAGGAUGAUGUGACCAAGGGUUCCUUGAGGAAUAAUCUCCAGACUUAGUUUUCCCAUCUCAUGACACAGAGUCUUGGUGAAGGCUGUUGACAACAAGCAGUUGCAAUGGGGUUUGCGGCUGAGGGCAUCAGCUACCACAUUGGCUUUGCCAGGAUGAUAGUGUACUUCCAAUUCAUAAUCCUUUAUCAACUCCAGCCAUCUUCUCUGACGCAUGUUGAGGUCGGCUUGAGUGAAGAUGUACUUGAGGCUCUUGUGGUCGGUGUAGAUGUUGCAGUGAGUUCCCAUUAGGUAGUGCCUCCAUAUCUUCAAGGCAUGUAUCACUGCUACCAACUCAAGGUCAUGUGUCGGGUAGCUUAGCUCAUCAGGUCGUAACGCACGUGAGGCAUAGGCAAUGACUCGGCUGUCUUGCAUAAGAACACAUCCGAGUCCAGUGCCAGAGGCGUCACAGUAUACGUGUAACGACCGACCCCUAAUCUUUCCCAGUUAGGCUUGAUCUCAGCCCUUAACCUCAGUCAGUUGCUCUGUUGACCGCACUUAAGUGCUCAGUCUUCCGCCAGUUCCGACCCCUGAGGUCCGACCCCUACCGUUCGUUCCUUUUUCCCGACCCUGGCGAGUUCAGCCCUCCGUCGGAUCCUGCUAAUCUUCCUCACCCGUCCGAUCUUUUCCCCCGGUGGACCCGUGAGAUCUUUUCCAGAUCCCCCGCACCAGCCGCACUCGAGUUGCAUGGCCGCCUCAGAGCUUUCCUGCCGCGUGGCUCGUCUUCUCCGAUGCCACCGCUCAGUUUUGUCUCUGGCAAGCGACCAAGUGGGUUCCCGCGCCCUUUUCCCCAAUAGCAGUGGAAGCCCUCUGCACCCCUUUCUGCAGAUCCUCGCUCCCCGCGCCCAUCAUCACGAUACCAGAUCUCGGCCCUGGAGACCGAUGUCGCCCAUCUUUUCCGUCCUUUCCAGCAACAGUUGCGCCGCCCGGUCGUCGCUACACGACGAUUCCCCAACCGCCAACCCCGACCGCGGCCGCGACAGUUCCUUUCCCCGCCCUGUCAGACGCCGCCCGACAAUCUGUUGUUCCGCGCUCUCCCCCGCGCCGCGUCCGCUUGUUCUCCCACCUGUGCGCCCUUGAUUCUAGUGCCGUUUAACCGGUCGCUUCUAUCACUUCUUCCGCACGACGACGCCCGCUCUCCGCCAAAUCCCAACCACCGGUCUACCCGCGCCUACGCUGCCCUGACGGAGUAGCGCAAUGAUCGCUGGCGUCACCCCCGGAGUUCUGCAGCACCGUCCGGUUUGCUCAAUCGCCGCCACGGCAGAGCACUCCAUUGCUUCUCCCCGGCCUUCGCGCCGCUCCCCUUCUCUCUCUCCGCGACGUUUCCGUUCCUCUGCUCCAGCAGCUAUAAAAGGAAGGCCCCUGUCACCGGAGUUCCCUCCGCCUUUGUUGCCCUUAGUUUCCUCUAGCUCCCUGCUCAAGCUCCUAGCGCCAUCCGCCCAGUCUUGAAAAGUUCAUCUCCCUAUUCCUUCUCAGUUCAUCCAAGUCACCAACAGCGUGCUCCCUUGUGCUGCGUAAGAGCUCUCUUGUGAUCCGCAAGCAGCACCACCGCCGGAGUAUCGCCGGCCUUAGUCCCUGCUCAAAGCUUUAGUUCCGCGCCCAAGUCUGCCUCUUCCCGACCCCAAGCUUUCCUUUCAGGAAGAAGGUGAGUGCCGACCCUAAGUCCGCUUCGCCCAACCCCUCCUAUCCGCCCGACCCCAGUUCCGUCUCGUCCGACCCUGUCUGUUCGCCGACCCUUGUCCGCCUCGCCCGAGGGUCUGGCUGUGAUCUUUUCUUCAACUCGAGGGUGUAAGUGUAAAACGUGGGAACCCUUCAGCGCUUCCGUCUGAGGAUCCCAGUUAUCACAUCCUCUAGUUCAAGGAUCAGACCACUAGUCUCCUUCCUAUCCUUACCUGUUGAUCAUCAUCAGCUCUCUCAAACAGCCUCCACCUCCUGCUCUUUGUCGCAAGUUUCUGGGCGCAGGAGAGCCAGUGUUGCUGUCGACUUAAACGUUAAGCUAACCCUUGCAUUGCAUUCGUGUAGAGUUGCAUCUCGCUGACGGCUUCUACGAGCUGCACCCGGCGCCCGAAGAAGAAGCUGUAGCCGAGUUCCUGCCCGCUGAAGUCGAAGCCGCCCCCGAAGUUGAGCAGUUCCAGCCUUCUUUGUUUGCAGGCAAGCACCGGUUGCAUGAAAAUCCUACGUGUUUUUGCCAGACUUGCACAUGCCUUCCGAAUAGCAUGUUUGUGCAUUUACGUUUAGGAGUUGUGUGAAACCCUAGAUGCAUGACUUAGUAACCCUUGAUAUGAGCACUAGCUGUUGGACCGAGUAGCUGCAUUGCUUAAAUAGGAAACGGUAAAAGCCGAGUGAUCUCCUGUCACUCGCGAGUUGUAGGAGUUGCAUGUGUUACUCUCCUGUUACAACUAUAAGGACGAUGGACGGGGCAGGGUUUGGUAACUCUUUGGUGGUCGGAUGGUUGCCCCGUCUGUCUAUGAAAACUUGCUAAGGCCCGACAGUGGUGGUGUUCGUGAUCAAGUGUUUGAAAGUACUAGCCUCAUACUUAGUAUGGGAUGAGGAAGCCUAGUACCUGAUUGAACCUAGACGUGAGCGGUCGCCCCAUUGUUCUUGGAACGGAGUUUCCCCUGCUGGUUGUCGCACGUGGUGGCAAAGCGUGGUCACAUAACGGCAGAGACCGGGUCUGUGGAACCUUGCACCAAAGGAAAUGGGCCCGACACGGGUUAGGGGAUUGAUGGGGAAGGUCGACACGUGAAGCGACCUCCGGGUGCGCGGAUGUCGUGAGGCUAGGUUCACCAUGCAUGGUUAAAGAACUCGAAUCGAUUCGUCUGCCUCUCACAGUUUGAGAUUUCUUGAUCGCUAUGUCACCCUGAGUAAAUGAGGAAUCUGAUGAUGGCAAUGUUGUUGUUUUUAUCUACACCCUUGUUUGGCUUGAUGGUUGCUUAGAAUAGGUUGCACAACCUAGACUGGUAAGUAAAUCUAGAACCGGAGCUAAAACUUGAAAAUAGGUUACUUAGUGCUUUUGGCGAAACAAACCCCUCAGCCAAGAAGCCUUGCAUGUCUAGUUGGGAGAGUAGUUGACUCCUCCCCGGUUAAGUCUUGUUGAGCUUAGUAGCUCAGCCUUGUUGUGGCUCCUGUUUUCAGGUGAAGUUGCAGUUCCCGACCCCUCCCUUGUUGGCGCUUGGCCGCCCCAGCUUCCGCCAGGCUGGACGGUCGAGUGGGACCCCUCCUCGGACGGCGAGGAGAGGACUCAGUGAUGUUCUGACUGGCCUCGCCCAGACGUCCGACCCCGACGAAGUCUUCCGCUAGCGUUUCCCUGUUGUUUUCUUGAAAACUUGUAAAGCUCUGAUGUUGGAUUUUAUGGUCGAAUUAAGUGGGUAAAACUUGUUCAACUCAGUGGACUCGUUGUAUUCUCUGUAACCGCUCACCUUCGUGUGGGUUUGCUGAACUCGAUCCUGUUUAAGUGGUCAAAUCGGAUGAAGUCCGACGGCGCUUCGUGUUAGCUCGAGUUAAUCAAGAGUGUCGCAUGUUAGGCGGCUAAACUCUGAUUAAUCAAGCUGAUCCGAGGUGGUUCCACCACAGCUUGGUACCAGAGCCGAGUUUAGCAUAUCAGAGAACCCGAUGAGCCCGAAACACUUCUUUGAAAUUAAAAGUUGCAAGGACCUUUCGAAAAUCUCGUACCAACGUUAAGGAUGACUUAGUGCGAGAGGCCCUAGGGGAUUUUGGGGUUGUUUUAGGUGACUAAUAAGUAUCUGGUUAUGUUGCUAACCCCUCCAGCACUUCGCCACGUCUAUUAUACGUGUGCCGAGUUCCGCAUCACGAGCAUGCGAGGGUUGAUAGGGAGUUCCAUUCAAGGGACCCUAUCUUCGCGGUUGUUUUCGCCCACAUCUAUUAUACGUGCGCAGGUUCCGUAUGUGAUCCAUACGAAGGUUGAUAUGGUUCGAUUCCAACGAACCUAUUGGCACGGUUGUUUCGCCACAUUUGUCAUACGUGUGCCGAUGCCGCAUCACAAGUAUGCGAAGGGUUAUAUGGUUCUAUUCGGAAGGAACCUAUUUCCACGGUUGAGUGCUGUCCAUGCAGCCUUAAACGCAUGGGUGCCGUUCCUAUAGUGAACGGUAAUGUUUGGGAACGCUUUCAUGGGUGCUGGCACGAAAGGUUCGGGUGUGUGUUUUCUGCAGGUUGCUAACCGCGCUCGUUAAGACGUUGCUAGAACCGACUAGAUAAUAUAGGGAGAGACGUAUUGUUGCCUUGUCACCGGCACUGACCGCGUAAGACCCAAGGUUUGGGCAGUUGUUUUUGGUUAAGAGCAUAGUAGGCCGUGCAUGCGUCAUACAAAAUCGGUAAUGUUCUCUUCUCAACAGCAACCCUGUCCGACAGAGUUCUUUUGGAUCUAAGGAUUUCUAGCUCCCCUUAGUUGCUCUCGGUUAAGCCCUUCUGCUUCUCUAUCCGACCCCUGAUCUUCGGAGUUAUCUCACGUGGCUUCGGUUUUCUUGGUUCCAGAUGGCUGCUCCCGGGCAUGUGGUGUUUGGAGCGGACGGUACCUUCCAAUCAACAUGCCUACAUUUCGAGGGGUUUCCCGCGAUCUUGUGGGAUACGUUGAGAUGGUUUGGGUAUCAGUCCACACCCCUGUAUUCUGGGCGGCUGUAUGUGGAGCAGGGCAUCCAGACGUGCCAGGUGCAAGCACUGGUGCCACCCCCUUUUGCGCGGCCCGACUGGCCCUCUCUGGGCAUCAUAGCCUACGGUCUUUCUCCGGAAGAUACGUGGGAAUCCGCCGCUCUCCAGUUGCUCACGCAGUUCUGUCAGUUCCACCCUGUGGAGAUCACCCUGGACCCGAUCGGACUUUUUCCCGUCAGAAGUCGGAUGGACCCGGCCUGGCUGGACCGCAUCGGAAACCUCGAGGUGUUGGCCACUACUUGUGCCACACUCACCAUCUCCACCAACAUCCGUUGCAUGGCUGCUUUCUACCAGCUGAUAGAGCUCCAAGGAAGGGCCAUGACUCUCUUUGCCCGGACUGCUGCAGACACCGACGGGUACCUCCAGGCAGCUAGAAGAGACCUGGUAGGCCAAACCUACCAGCUGAUCCAACGUGGAAUCCAGAUCCAUGACAUGCAAGACCGGAUCUCCGAGCUGGAAGGAGAAGUUGCCGACCUUGUGGACGGUAUGAUCGAGCUCUCCGAGGAGAAAAUGGAGGUGGAAAUGGAGUUGGCCGUUGCCAAUGCCCACCUAGAGGAGCACCAAGCUGAGCUUGAAGAUAUGCAUGCCCUCAACAUGCAGCUUGAAGCUCAGGAGGACCCUGAGGAAGACGAGGGAGCGUCCAGCAUGGACAUAGAAGAAAAUGGCGCCCCUUCUCCGACUCAUAGUGUCCAGUGGUAGCUUAAGGGUUCUCGGGGAACCUUCUUUCUUUUGUUGUACUCCUCGGCAGCCUAGUUUUGGAAAGUUGUAAUAGGUUAUCCUUGAGUUGAGUACUCCCUGUGUUGAAACGUCGUUGUGUAUAAAGUCAACCCAGUGCAGUGCAUAGUUUCAUCCUUUUCGUAUGAUGUGGAUGCUAAAGUUAAGAAAGUGGUGCCGUGACCCUGUGUUGUUUUCGGGGAGCCUGUUCAGUUGGCCGACCCUAGUUUGCGAACCAGAGUGCGCCGACCCUUAAGACAGUUACCGCCUUGUCCGACCCUCUUUGAGUACGGACCGUAUCCGAUCCCUCGGUUCGAGUGGACCCGACCCUAGGAGUCUGUAUGUGGUGUGGUUACCUGAGGUGGAGUACCAGGGCAAGUAAGGGCUAUCUGUGAUGAAAAUGGGAGGAAUGUGCUUCCUCUGUAAGGACGUAUGAUGCACCAUUGGCAAGAGUCGCAUUAAAGGACUUAAUUCAUACGUUCCCAAUUGCUGGAGUACCCCUAAGGUUAUGAGAUUGAUGGGCGUUAACUCUUGCAGAUGGCGCACCGCACAAGGUCUGGAACUAUGCCCAGUGGCAGGGAUCAGCAACAAGAUCUUCCCCCGCCCCCGCCACCAUUGCCAUUGGAGGCAAUCCUAGCAACUCAAACCGAGCUGCUCAGGCAUCUGGUACAAGGACAACAGCAGCCACACGGUGGUAGAGCACAGCAGCAGCAGCAUGUCGCAAGAUAUGAGGACUUUUUGGGGACACAGCCCCCGCUGUUCCAAAAGACCCAAGAACCGCUCGACGCUGACGCAUGGGUUCGUACGAUCGAAUCCAAGUUCGAGCUCCUUACCGCUCCAUGCCCUGACAACAACAAGGCGCGGUUCGCAGCUCAGCAGCUGCAUGGUUCCGCACGGCUUUGGUGGGACCACUACCAUGCCAUGCUACCUGCUGACCACGUAGUCAGUUGGAACGAGUUUAAGACGGCGUUCAAGGCGCAUCACAUUCCUGAAGGUCUCCUGGAGCGCAAGCUCAACGAGUUUCUAUCCCUCACCCAGGGAACUAGGGAUGUGCUGCACUACGCCCAGGCGUUUAACGACCUGUGCCGUUAUGCGGGAUAUCACGCGGACACCGAUGAGAAGAAGCAGGACAGAUUCCGCCGAGGUUUGAGCUUGGAGCUCAGGGAAAGGCUGAAUCCCAUCCGAGUGGACACCUAUAACGAGUUGGUCAACCUGGCCAUCUCCCAGGAGGAUUGCAUGCAAGCUCUAAAGGCCGACCAGAAGAGGAAAGCCUCUGUGGCUCUUCCGAGCCCGCCAGCCCGAAGGUUUCGGAUGAUCCCUCCACAAGCCCCUGGCCGACCCCAACAGUCAGGGAAAUGGAUCGCCCGACCCCCGCCGGCAACAAUGCCUAGUUCUCCAGGCUUCCAACCACAAGUACCCCGGCCGACCUUGCCAACGCCACCUCGUCCAGCAGCCAGUAACAGAUGUUUUACCUGCGGCAAUGAGGGGCAUUUUGCAAGGGAUUGCCCCAGGAGCAAGACUCAGCAGCAAGGCCAGAACCCCAUGGCAGCCAGAGGGAGAAGGCCCAAGGUGCAAGUCCGACAAGGCCGACUCAACUACACCAGCUUGACCGAACUUCCCGAAGGUGCGUCAGUAAUGAUGGGUACUUUCCUUGUUUUAAAUCAAGCUGUUGUGGUGUUGUUUGAUUCGGGAGCCUCUCAUAGCUUUAUCGGGAGUAAGGCAAGGGAAAGGUGUGGGCUAAGUGUAGGUCACACUAAGGAACCCUAUGUGAUCGCCACUCCUGGAGGGAGGAUAACGUCGGAUCAGAUCGUUAUUCUGGUACCUCUCCAGCUAGGCCCCACCCUUUUCAAGGAAAACCUUAUCCUCCUUGACCUUGAAGGCCUAGACGUCAUCCUUGGCAUGGAUUGGAUGGCCCGACAUCGUGUUGUUUUAGAUACCUCAGCCCGAUCUCUUUUCAUCAGCUCGCCCUCUCAUGGCAGUGCUACCCUAUCCUUGACCCAUCCUGAGUCUUUGACCCCUUGUGCGUUUUCUCUCUUGGGAACCCGUUUAGAAGACCUCCCUGUUAUCUGUGAGUAUCCAGAUGUGUUUCCAGAGGACUUGCCAGGCAUGCCACCUGACAGAGAAGUGGAGUUUUCUAUAGAGUUAGUUCCUGGCACAGCUCCGAUAUCUAAGAGACCCUAUCGGAUGCCACCCGCUGAGUUAGCAGUGUUAAAGACCCAGUUGCAUGAUCUGUUGGAAAAGGGCUUCAUUCGACCCAGUACGUCAUCUUGGGGAUGCCCCGCCCUGUUUGUGAAGAAGAAAGACGGCAGUUUACGGAUGUGUGUGGAUUACCGACCCCUCAAUGCGGUAACAGUUAAGAACAAGUACCCACUGCCCCGCAUUGAUGUCUUGUUCGACCAGUUAGCCGGAGCAAAAGUGUUCUCCAAGAUCGAUCUUCAUUCUGGUUAUCACCAAAUCAAGAUUCGACCUUGUGACGUACCCAAGACAGCUUUCUCUACCAGAUAUGGAUUGUAUGAGUACCUAGUCAUGUCCUUUGGACUCACCAAUGCACCCGCUUACUUCAUGUACCUUAUGAACUCGGUGUUCAUGCCCGAGCUGGACAAGUUUGUAGUGGUGUUCAUUGAUGAUAUCCUAGUGUACUCAAAGGACAAGGAAGAGCAUGCCAACCAUCUUCAUAUAGUUCUUCAGCGACUGAGAGAUCACCAGCUUUAUGCAAAGUUCUCCAAGUGUGAGUUUUGGUUGGAUAGUGUCAAGUUUCUAGGACACGCUAUCUCCAAGGACGGUAUUGCCGUGGAUCCCAGUAAGGUGCAAGAGGUCAUGGAAUGGAAGUCUCCUGUCUCGGUACACCAGAUCCGGAGUUUCCUCGGACUGGUAGGGUACUAUCGGCGUUUUAUACCGGAUUUCUCCAAGAUAGCUAAGCCGAUGACCGAGUUGUUGAAGAAAGAGGCCAAGUUUGUGUGGGACACCAAGUGCGAAGAAGCUUUCAAAACCCUGAAGCACUUGUUAACCACCGCCCCAGUUUUGGCUCAACCCGACCCCUCUAGGCCGUACGACGUAUACUGUGACGCCUCUGGCACUGGACUCGGGUGUGUUCUUAUGCAAGACAACCGAGUCAUUGCCUAUGCCUCACGUGCGUUGCGACCUCAUGAGCUGAACUACCCGACACAUGACCUUGAGUUGGCAGCAGUGAUACACGCCUUGAAAUUAUGGAGGCACUACUUAAUGGGAGCUCACUGCAACAUCUAUACCGACCACAAGAGCCUCAAGUACAUCUUCACGCAAGCCGACCUCAACAUGCGUCAGAGAAGAUGGCUGGAGUUGAUAAAGGAUUAUGACUUGGAAGUGCACUAUCAUCCUGGCAAGGCCAAUGUGGUGGCCGACGCCCUCAGUCGCAAACCUCAGUGCAACUGUUUGUUGUCCACCGCCUUCACCGACACUUUGUGUCACGAGAUGGGAAAACUAAGUCUAGAGCUUGUUCCCCAUGGAACCCUUGAUCACAUCAUCCUUGACUCAGUUUUAGAGGACCAGAUUCAGUCAGCCCAAGCUAAGGAUGAAGAAGUAAAACGGAUCAUCAGUAAGGUCUUGGUAAAAGACGAGGGAUAUAAGCUUUUCCGGCAGGACCAAACGGGAGGUGUGUACUAUGGAAACCGACUAGUAGUGCCCGCCGACCCCGAGUUAAGGAAGCAAAUCCUAGAUGAAGCUCAUCUUUCCAAGUUCUCCAUCCACCCUGGCAGCAACAAGAUGUACCAUGAUCUCCGUCAGACCUUUUGGUGGAGUGGGAUGAAACCGGAGAUAGCUCGUUAUGUUUCAGAAUGCGACACUUGUCAACGUGUCAAGGCCAGUCACUUGAAGGUAGCAGGAACCUUGCAGCCGCUACCCAUCCCCUCUUGGAAAUGGGAAGACAUCAGCAUGGACUUCAUAGUUGGGUUACCCCUUACAACUCAACAGUAUGAUUCUAUCUGGGUUAUAGUGGACCGUCUGACCAAGAAGGCACAUUUCUUUCCUGUUCGUACCACCUACACAGUCAAGCAAUAUGCAGAGUUGUACCUCGACCGUAUCGUUUCUCUACAUGGUGUACCCAAGACCAUCAUCUCGGACAGAGGAGUUCAGUUUGUGGCACGUUUUUGGGAGCAACUACAAGCAUCUAUGGGCACCAAGCUCAUCCGAAGCUCAACAUACCAUCCCCAAACCGAUGGCCAAACCGAGAGAGUCAACCAGAUCCUUGAAGACAUGUUAAGAGCCUGUGUUAUCCAUUAUGACAAAAACUGGGACAAGUGCCUGCCCUUAGCAGAGUUCUCCUACAAUAACAGCUACCAGUCCAGUUUGAAGAUGGCACCGUUUGAAGCCUUGUACGGCCGAAGAUGCAGGACACCCUUGAACUGGUCCCAACCAGGAGAGAGACAGGUUUAUGGCCCUGACUUAGUGGCAGAAGCCGAGGAACAAGUGAAGGUAAUUCAGGCAAAUCUCAAGGCUGCCCAAUCUCGACAGAAGGGUUACUCUGACCAGCGGAGAAGACCCCUGCAGUUCAACCUUUGUGACCAUGUGUACCUUAGAGUUUCCCCAACCAAAGGAGUGCAACGGUUUGGAAUAAAGGGCAAGUUAGCUCCCCGCUAUGUUGGCCCUUACGAGAUUAUGGAGAAGUGUGGACCCGUUGCUUACCGGAUCCAACUCCCAGAACAGCUAUCAGCCAUACAUGAUGUUUUCCAUGUGUCUCAGUUGAAGAAAUGCGUCCGAGUUCCAGCAGAGAUCCUAAAACAAGAACAACUUCAAGUAGAACCUGACCUGACCUACGCCGAGUACCCAGAUCGAGUUCUUGACCAUAAGGAAAGGCACACCCGACGUCAAGUGGUGAGGAUGUACAAGAUCCUCUGGAGAAACCACACCGAAGAUGAAGCGACAUGGGAGACGGAAGAAUAUCUGAACAAGCGUUUUCCAGGUUUUCUAUCUCAUCCAGGAGGUAAGAGCAGCACACCCUUGAUCUUGAAUCUCGGGACGAGAUUCCUUUUAAGAGGGGUAGGCUAUAACGACCGACCCCUAAUCUUUCCCAGUUAGGCUUGAUCUCAGCCCUUAACCUUAGUCAGUUGCUCUGUUGACCGCACUUAAGUGCUCAGUCUUCCGCCAGUUCCGACCCCUGAGGUCCGACCCCUACCGUUCGUUCCUUUUUCCCGACCCUGGCGAGUUCAGCCCUCCGUCGGAUCCUGCUAAUCUUCCUCACCCGUCCGAUCUUUUCCCCCGGUGGACCCGUGAGAUCUUUUCCAGAUCCCCCGCACCAGCCGCACUCGAGUUGCAUGGCCGCCUCAGAGCUUUCCUGCCGCGUGGCUCGUCUUCUCCGAUGCCACCGCUCAGUUUUGUCUCUGGCAAGCGACCAAGUGGGUUCCCGCGCCCUUUUCCCCAAUAGCAGCGGAAGCCCUCUGCACCCCUUUCUGCAGAUCCUCGCUCCCCGCGCCCAUCAUCACGAUACCAGAUCUCGGCCCCGGAGACCGAUGUCGCCCGUCUUUUCCAUCCUUUCCAGCAACAGUUGCGCCGUCCGGUCGUCGCUACACGACGAUUCCCCAACCGCCAACCCCGACCGCGGCCGCGACAGUUCCUUUCCCCGCCCUGUCAGACGCCGCCCGACAAUCUGUUGUUCCGCGCUCUCCCCCACGCCGCGUCCGCUUGUUCUCCCACCUGUGCGCCCUUGAUUCUAGCGCCGUUUAACCGGUCGCUUCUAUCACUUCUUCCGCACGACGACGCCCGCUCUCCGCCAAAUCCCAACCACCGGUCUACCCGCGCCUACGCCGCCCUGACGGAGUAGCGCAAUGAUCGCUGGCGUCACCCCCGGAGUUCUGUAGCACCGUCCGGUUUGCUCAAUCGCCGCCACAGCAGAGCACUCCAUUGCUUCUCCCCGGCCUUCGCGCCGCUCCCCUUCUCUCUCUCCGCGACGUUUCCGUUCCUCUGCUCCAGCAGCUAUAAAAGGAAGGCCCCUGUCGCCGGAGUUCCCUCCGCCUUUGUUGCCCUUAGUUUCCUCUAGCUCCCUGCUCAAGCUCCUAGCGCCAUCCGCCCAGUCUUGAAAAGUUCAUCUCCCCAUUCCUUCUCAGUUCAUCCAAGUCACCAACAGCGUGCUCCCUUGUGCUGCGUAAGAGCUCUCUUGUGAUCCGCAAGCAGCACCGCCGCCGGAGUAUCGCCGGCCUUAGUCCCUGCUCAAAGCUUUAGUUCCGCGCCCAAGUCUGCCUCUUCCCGACCCCAAGCUUUCCUUUCAGGAAGAAGGUGAGUGCCGACCCUAAGUCCGCUUCGCCCGACCCCUCCUAUCCGCCCGACCCCAGUUCCGUCUCGUCCGACCCUGUCUGUUCGCCGACCCUUGUCCGCCUCGCCCGAGGGUCUGGCUGUGAUCUUUUCUUCAACUCGAGGGUGUAAGUGUAAAACGUGGGAACCCUUCAGCGCUUCCGUCUGAGGAUCCCAGUUAUCACAUCCUCUAGUUCAAGGAUCAGACCACUAGUCUCCUUCCUAUCCUUACCUGUUGAUCAUCAUCAGCUCUCUCAAACAGCCUCCACCUCCUGCUCUUUGUCGCAAGUUUCUGGGCGCAGGAGAGCCAGUGUUGCUGUCGACUUAAACGUUAAGCUAACCCUUGCAUUGCAUUCGUGUAGAGUUGCAUCUCGCUGACGGCUUCUACGAGCUGCACCCGGCGCCCGAAGAAGAAGCUGUAGCCGAGUUCCUGCCCGCUGAAGUCGAAGCCGCCCCCGAAGUUGAGCAGUUCCAGCCUUCUUUGUUUGCAGGCAAGCACCGGUUGCAUGAAAAUCCUACGUGUUUUUGCCAGACUUGCACAUGCCUUCCGAAUAGCAUGUUUGUGCAUUUACGUUUAGGAGUUGUGUGAAACCCUAGAUGCAUGACUUAGUAACCCUUGAUAUGAGCACUAGCUGUUGGACCGAGUAGCUGCAUUGCUUAAAUAGGAAACGGUAAAAGCCGAGUGAUCUCCUGUCACUCGCGAGUUGUAGGAGUUGCAUGUGUUACUCUCCUGUUACAACUAUAAGGACGAUGGACGGGGCAGGGUUUGGUAACUCUUUGGUGGUCGGAUGGUUGCCCCGUCUGUCUAUGAAAACUUGCUAAGGCCUGACAGUGGUGGUGUUCGUGAUCAAGUGUUUGAAAGUACUAGCCUCAUACUUAGUAUGGGAUGAGGAAGCCUAGUACCUGAUUGAACCUAGACGUGAGCGGUCGCCCCAUUGUUCUUGGAACGGAGUUUCCCCUGCUGGUUGUCGCACGUGGUGGCAAAGCGUGGUCACAUAACGGCAGAGACCGGGUCUGUGGAACCUUGCACCAAAGGAAAUGGGCCCGACACGGGUUAGGGGAUUGAUGGGGAAGGCCGACACGUAAAGCGACCUCCGGGUGCACGGAUGUCGUGAGGCUAGGUUCACCAUGCAUGGUUAAAGAACUCGAAUCGAUUCGUCUGCCUCUCACAGUUUGAGAUUUCUUGAUCGCUAUGUCACCCUGAGUAAAUGAGGAAUCUGAUGAUGGCAAUGUUGUUGUUUUUAUCUACACCCUUGUUUGGCUUGAUGGUUGCUUAGAAUAGGUUGCACAACCUAGACUGGUAAGUAAAUCUAGAACCGGAGCUAAAACUUGAAAAUAGGUUACUUAGUGCUUUUGGUAAAACAAACCCCUCAGCCAAGAAGCCUUGCAUGUCUAGUUGGGAGAGUAGUUGACUCCUCCCCGGUUAAGUCUUGUUGAGCUUAGUAGCUCAGCCUUGUUGUGGCUCCUGUUUUCAGGUGAAGUUGCAGUUCCCGACCCCUCCCUUGUUGGCGCUUGGCCGCCCCAGCUUCCGCCAGGCUGGACGGUCGAGUGGGACCCCUCCUCGGACGGCGAGGAGAGGACUCAGUGAUGUUCUGGCUGGCCUCGCCCAGACGUCCGACCCCGACGAAGUCUUCCGCUAGCGUUUCCCUGUUGUUUUCUUGAAAACUUGUAAAGCUCUGAUGUUGGAUUUUAUGGUCGAAUUAAGUGGGUAAAACUUGUUCAACUCAGUGGACUCGUUGUAUUCUCUGUAACCGCUCACCUUCGUGUGGGUUUGCUGAACUCGAUCCUGUUUAAGUGGUCAAAUCGGAUGAAGUCCGACGGCGCUUCGUGUUAGCUCGAGUUAAUCAAGAGUGUCGCAUGUUAGGCGGCUAAACUUUGAUUAAUCAAGCUGAUCCGAGGUGGUUCCGCCACAAUACGUCAUACGGCCUAGAGGGGUCGGGCUGAGCCAACAAGGGGGCGGUGGUCAGCAAGUGCUUCAGGGUCUUGAAAGCCUCUUCACACUUGGUGUCCCACACAAAUUUGACCUCUUUCUUCAGCAACUCGGUCAUCGGCUUAGCUAUCUUGGAGAAAUCCGGUAUGAAACGCCGAUAGUAACCUGCCAAUCCAAGGAAACUCCUGAUUUGGUGUACUGAGGUAGGAGACUUCCAUUCCAUGACUUCUUGUACCUUGCUGGGAUCCACGGCAAUACCAUCCUUGGAGAUAGUGUGUCCGAGAAACUUGACACUAUCUAACAAAACUCACACUUGGAGAACUUGGCAUAGAGCUGGUGAUCUCUCAGCCGUUGGAGAACUAUAUGAAGAUGGUCGGCGUGCUCUUCCUCGUUCUUCGAGUAAACUAGGAUAUCAUCAAUGAACACCACCACAAACUUGUCCAGCUCGGGCAUAAACACCGAGUUCAUAAGGUACAUGAAAUAGGCGGGUGCAUUGGUGAGUCCAAAGGAUAUGACUAGGUACUCGUACAGUCCAUAUCUGGUAGAGAAAGUUGUCUUGGGUAUGUCGCAGGGUCGAAUCUUUAUUUGGUGAUAACCAGAACGAAGAUCGAUCUUGGAGAACACUUUUGCUCCGGCUAACUGAUCGAACAAGACAUCAAUGCGUGGCAGCGAGUACUUGUUCUUGACUGUCACAGCAUUGAGGGGUCGGUAAUCCACACACAUACGUAGACUGCCAUCUUUCUUCUUCACAAACAGGGCGGGGCAACCCCAAGAUGAUGUACUGGGUCGAAUGAAGCCCUUUUCCAACAGAUCAUGCAACUGGGUCUUCAACAUGGCUAACUCAGCGGGUGGCAUCCGAUAGGGUCUCUUAGAUAUCGGGGCUGUGCCAGGAAUCAACUCUAUGGAAAACUCCACUUCUCUAUCAGGUGGCAUACCCGGCAAAUCUUCUGGAAACACAUCAGGGUACUCACAGAUAAUAGGGAGGUCUUCUAGACGGGAUCCCAAGAGAGGGUAGGCACAAGGAGUCGAAGACUCAGGAUGGGUCAAGGAUACGGUAGAACUACCAUGGGAGGGUGAGCUGUGUUGGGAUACGAGGUAGGCUACACUAGCGCAAUUCAAAAAAAUCUACCGCGUAUAACCAGGAAGAACUGCCGUAUAAGGAUCACGGGAUUACCACUCGACGCACUACUGGUGCGGAAGAUGUAGAUAUGCGUCGAUGCAGUGAAGACAAUCACGUAGUCGUACGUAGUCGAUCACGUGCAGCAGCUCCUCAGCAGCUCGUCCACGUGCAGCAAGAUCGCCUCCGGUACCGUGGCUCGUCGUCGGCUCGUCGUGGCUCGUCGACGGCUCGUCCAAGUGCUGCAGGCGCAACACCUCCAAGGUAUCCACAUGUGCAGGGAGGAAGCAUCGCAAGUCGGACUGCUAGAUCUGCGAGUUGCAACAGGCGAGGGCGUGGGAGGCGCGGCAGGUGUGUUUCGCCAAAAAGGUGUAAACCCUAGGGCGCCCCCACCCCUCUAUUUAUAGAGGUUCCUGAUGGGCCUCUGGAUCCGAGGCCCAUUAGUACUCCUAAACCUAAUCCAACUCGGAUCAGAUCCGAAUUGGGCUUCCAGCCCCUUAAGUGUGUGACCCUAUGGGUUCGGAUACGUAUAGACAUGGCCCGAGUACUCCUACUCGGCCCAAUAGUCGGUAGCGGCCUCUAGCAAGACGUGCCAACUCCUAUACGCACACAAAGAUCAUAUCAGACGAACCAUCACAACAUAAUAUACAUGCUAUUCCCUUUGCCUCACGAUAUUUGGUCUAGCUUCAAGCCGACCGCUCUUUCUCGAUCCUGUGAUUCGGAAUCCCUUUGUAGGUUAACUCUUAACCGUACGUAGCAUGGCCAUGCAUUUUCGGAUCCGAUCACUCGAGGGGCCCAGAGAUAUCACUCUCAAUCAGAGAGGGGCAAAUCCCAUCUUGACUGACCAUGUCUCAUAGCAUGCUUCUUGACAAACCCGAAAGCUACCUUUAUAACUACCGUGUUACGGUGUAGCGUUUGAUAGCCCCUAAGUAGGUCGAUCCACAUCUAGAAUACAUGUGACAAUCUCAGGUCUAAGGACAAAGCGUAUAUGUUGUUUUAAAGAGAGAACUACUUCUCGUGUUGGGUCAGUCCUAACACAUGUCUCCACAUGUGUCCACAUUAUUAGUUCAACAUCUCGAUGUCCAUGACUUGUGAAACAUAGUCAUCAACUAAUACAUGUGCUAGUCUAAUAUUCAUGUGUGUCCUCACAUGAACUCCGACUAGGGACAACUUUAGAAUAACCAUACAAGGAAAGAGUUUCACAUACAAUUCACAUAAUUGCAAAUCAAUUCAAGUAGCCUUCAAUGGAUAUUCAAUGAACACAACAUACAAAUCAUGGAUACAAAUGGAAUAUCAUCAUCUCUAUGAUUGCCUCUAGGGCAUACCUCCAACAGUCUCCCACUUGCACUAGAGUCAAUCUAGAAGGUACCUAAUACCCAUAGCUCUUACAUGCGCAUCAUGCUUAGCCUGCGGGAGUGGUUUUGUCAACGGAUCAGAAAUGUUCAGAUCCGUGUGUAUUUUGCAUAUCUUGAUCUCACCCCGGUUAACGAAGUCUCGAAUGAGAUGAAAUCGCUGCAUUACGUGUUUGUUCUUCUAGUGGUUCCUUGGCUCCUUUGCUUGCGCAAUUGCCCCAUUGUUAUCACAGUAGAGAUUCAAUGGGCUGGACGCACUCGGGAACACACCAAGCUCAAUGAGGAAAUUCCUUAUCCAAACACCUUCCUUCGCGGCUUCCGAAGCCGCGAUGUACUCGGCUUUUGUCGUAGAAUCGGCCACCGUCUCCUGCUUGGAACUCUUCCAACUAACAGCACCACCAUUUAGCGUGAACACAAAUCCUGAUUGUGACUUUGAAUCAUCUCUGUCGGUUUGGAAACUAGCAUCGGUGUAACUUGUUACAACGAGCUCCUCCUCACCUCCAUAGACGAGGAACAUAUCUUUAGUCCUUCUCAAGUACUUAAGAAUAUUUUUCACCGCUGUCCAGUGACUCUCACCCGGAUCAGAUUGGUGUCUGCUUGUCAUACUUAGCGCAUAUGAAACAUCUGGGCGAGUACUUAUCAUUGCAUACAUGAUAGAUCCAAUAGCCGAGGCGUAUGGCACUCUACUCAUGCGAUCCUGCUCAUCAGUAGUCGAAGGACACUGAGUCUUGCUGAGAUGUAUGCCAUGUGACAUAGGCAAGAACCCUUUCUUUGCCUCUUCCAUGCUGAACCGCUUCAACACUUUGUCAAUGUAAGUAUCUUGGCUUAAACCUAUAAGCCUUCUUGAUCUAUCUCUAUAGAUCUUAAUGCCCAGAAUAUAUGCCGCUUCCCCUAAGUCCUUCAUCGAAAAACUAUUUUUCAGUGAAGUCUUUACAGACUCAAGCAUAGGAAUGUUAUUUCCAAUCAGUAAUAUGUCAUCCACAUAUAAGAUUAGAAAUACUACAGAGCUCCCACUAACCUUCUUGUAAACACAAAACUCUUCUUCGUUCUUGGUGAAGUCAAACCCUUUGACCACUUCAUCAAAACGAAUGUUCCAACUCCUAGAUGCUUGCUUCAAUCCAUAAAUGGAUCUCUGAAGCUUGCAUACCUUUCCAGCAUUUUUCGGAUCGACAAAACCCUCGGGCUGUAUCAUAUACACGUCCUCAGCUAGGUUUCCAUUCAGGAAAGCUGUCUUGACAUCCAUCUGCCAUAUCUCAUAAUCGAAAUAUGCAGCUAUAGCUAGAAUAAUCCGAAUGGACUUAAGCAUCACUACGGGCGAGAAGGUCUCGUCGUAGUCAACUCCUUGAACUUGUCGAAAACCUUUUGCGACAAGUCGUGCUUUAUAGAUGUGAACAUUUCCAUCCAUGUCCUUUUUCUUCUUAUAGAUCCACUUGCACUCUAUGGCUUUAACACCAUCAGGCGGGUCAACCAAGUUCCAAACUUGAUUGUCUCCCAUGGACUCUAUUUCGGAUUGCAUGGCAUUCUGCCAUUUUUCGGAGUCUGGGUCCAUCAUUGCUUCUGCAUAUGUCGCAGGCUCAUCAUUGUCCAACAAUAAUAUUUCCCGCAUUUCGCGGAGCCUUGCCGACCUUCGUGGUUGUGGCGGUGCUUCUCUUGCCAUGGGUAUCUCAACUUGUUCUGCUACGUUAGCAUCACUUAUUGAUUCUUGCCCAAUCGGCUCAUCUUGAACUUCUUCAAGAUGCACUGUCUUUCCACUAUUUUCUCCUUUGAGAAACUCUUUCUCUAGAAAAACCCCGUUCCGAGCGACAAACACUUUGCCUUCUGAUCGGUUGUAGAAAUAAUAUCCCAAAGUUUCCUUUGGAUAUCCCACGAAAAUGCACUUAUCCAACUUGGGUGUGAUCUUGUCCGACUGAAGUCGCUUGACAAACACUUCACAUCCCCAAAUCUUUAGAAAAGACAAACUAGGAACCUUUCCAGUCCAUAUCUCAUAUGGUGUCUUAGCUACGGAUUUAGAUGGUACCCUAUUAAGUGUGAAAGCUGCUGUUUCUAGAGCGUAUCCCCAAAAUGACAACGGUAGGUCCGACUGGCUCAUCAUUGAUUGAACCAUGUCUAACAAAGUUCGAUUACGUCGCUCGGACACACCGUUUCUCUGAGGUGUUCCAGGCGGCAUAAGUUGUGGAACAAUUCCGCAACUCUUUAGAUGAUUGCUAAACUCGUGGCUCAAAUACUCACCUCCACGAUCAGAUCGUAAGGCCUUAAUUUUCUUGCCACGCUAAUUUUCAACUUCAUUAUGAAAUUCCUUGAACUUUUCAAAGGUUUCAGACUUGUGCCUCAUCAAGUAGACAUAGCCAUAUCUACUAAAAUCAUCAGUGAAAGUUAUGAAGUAUUGGAAUCCUCCUCUAGCCGUCGUGCUCAUUGGUCCGCAUACAUCACUAUGUAUGAGUUCCAACAAGUCUACUGCUCUCUCAGGAAAACCUGUGAAAGGCGUCUUGGUCAUCUUGCCUAGCAAGCAAGCCUCACAUGUCUCGUAUGAUUCAAAAUCAAACGAAGUUAGAAGUCCAUCAGAAUGGAGCUUCUUCAUGCGCUUUUCACUUAUAUGACCCAAACGACAAUGCCACCAGUAGGUAGGACUCAAAUCAUUAGGCCGAGGCCUUUUAGCACUUACAUUACAGACAGGUGAACCAUCAAGAUGUAAAACAAAUAAUCCAUUCACAAUGGGUGCAAAAGCCAUAAACAUAUUAUUCUUAGAGAUCACACAACCAUUAUUUUCACUCGCAAAUGAAUAACCAUCCUUCAUCAAGCAUGAAGGAGACAAAAUGUUUCGACUUAAACUAGGAACAAAAUAACAAUUAUUCAACUCCAUAAUAAAUCCUGACGGGAGGUGGAGUUGCAUCGUCCCGACGGUCAACGCAGCAACUCUUGCAUUAUUGCCCACGCGGAAAUCAACUUCUCCUCUUUCCACGCUUCUACUUCUUAUCAUUCCCUGCAUCGAAUUGCAAAUAUGAGCAACCGAUCCGGUAUCAAAUACCAAAGAAUUAAUAAUUGUAUCAGCGAGAAAUAUGUUGUCUAUAACAUUAACAACAAGCGUACCUGAGGUAGAAGUACUCUUACUUCCGCCAUUCUUCAAGGAAGCUAGGUACUGCUUGCAGUUUCUCUUCCAGUGACCAAGUUCAUGACAGUAAAAGCACUCUUUGUCUGGAGCAGGUCCAGGUCCAGCUUUAACCUUGGGCGGUGGGUUUGGCUUGGACGUUCCAGCCUUGGCCUUCUUCUUCCAAGAAUUGCCCUUCUUCUUAAAGCUGGGCUUGUUCUGUAUCGCCAUCACAUGGCUGGUACUAGCGCUUUUCUUGAUGUCAGGCUCUGCUAUUUUAAGCAUGCCACACAGCUCAUUCAGACCCUUCUCCGUCCCAUGCAUAUGGUAGUUCGAGAUGAAGUUCCCAUAGCUAGGCGGAAGAGACGAAAGAAUGAAAUCAGUGGCCAACUCUUGGCCCAGUGGGAAGCCUAGCUUCUCCAACCGUUGAGUGUAACCAACCAUCUUGAUUACGUGUGGUCCUACUGCUGCGCCUUCUGCUAGCUUGCUCUCAACAAAGGCCUUAGACACAUUGAACCUUUCAGUCCUGGCCUGUGUUUGGAACAUGUCUCUAAGCGCCACGAUCAUAUCGUGCGCCUCAUGGUUUGUUUCGAACUGCAUCUGCAGCUCGGGUUCCAUGCAAGCAAGCAUAAGGCAGCUUACUUCGAGGUUAGCAUCACAUGCUUUCUUGUAAGCAUUCUUAGCAGCAGCGGGUGCAUCAUCAGCAGGUUCUUCUGGUAGUGGGUUUUCUAGAACAUCUUCCUUUUUCUCAGCCCUGAGAACAAUUCUCAGGUUACGGAUCCAAUUCGAGUAGUUUGUUCCAUUCAACUUGUCCUUCUCAAGGACCGAACGCAAAGCAAACGAUGUGGUGGUGUUGCUAGGUGCCAUUUAAUCUACAACAAAAGUAAUGCAAAAUACACUAAGACAAACAUAUCCAUGAUAGAGCAAAUUAUAUUAAACUACUUUAACAGAAUCUACUCCCACUAAAAUCAAUAUCCCUCUAUUGAAACUUAGUGAUUCAGGAUCCACAACUAACAAGUCUACUAGUGAGCUUUAGCAUCACCGCUAGCAAACGAGGUAGAUCGGUAAGCAACUUUUGCUAAUCAUAUCACAUAUGACUCCUGUUGUUGGGUGACAUCUCUAUGUCUCGGCGCCCAACCUUUAUGCCCCAAGGUCCUUAACCGUUAAGAUAACCUUGUUAAGCAAACCAACCCUUAUGCGUGUAAGUGUCCGACACAAACCCGUCUAGUCAAGGAAAACUAGUGGCACCCUAAUUUCAUAGACCCACCACUAAUUGUACAAGACAUGGGAUGGUGCAAGUUUUAGUUGGGAGGGCAUACUAACUUAAACUUUGUGAGGGAUCGUUCUACUUCUAACAUCACAGCAUGCAGAAAGUAAAACAUAAACAGAAUAGCAUUCACACAGUUGUGACACAGUAUGGCCCAUUUUCAUAUGGUGAUCUCCAUCUCCAUAGAACCUGUUCACCAUGGUGAUCUCCAUCUCCAUGUUCCAUGUGCGCCAUCCUCCUGGUGAUGAGUCCUCCAAGAACUAGAGCAUGCUAUUACGCCUAAUAGCUAGUAAAGAAUCUAGUAAUGAAGAUUACAUAGUUGCUUGGAUCAUCACAGAUUGGUACGCAGACCAUUAAAUACAAUAAAGUGACAACACAUAUGGCUCCUGCCGUGUUGCCGUACGCGCGACACGCAGGUCACGAAUGAGUUACACACAUGCAUCACAUACACAAGGGGGCCAUACUGAUCACAAGAUACAUACAUACAUCCUGCAAAAGAGAGUUAGGCGUCCUAACGUUCCAAACUUCGGAGGCCCAAAACUCCAUCUUCCAAGCCGAAUUUGGGAAAUCUAAUCUCGCCGAAAAUGGCGAAGCGGUUGAAAUUCAUGUGUAACUUUUUCUAUAGAUCAAUUUUCGUAUAAAAAUCGCCCCGAUCCGAGAUCGUACCGAAAAGUUACGGCUGAUUUACCGAAGCAUACGCAUACGGCAAAAUCCCGACCCCGGCAGUAGAUCCCAUCUACUAUUGCACAUCUAAUGUGCCUGGCGUAUGACCCUGGAUCUCGAUUCGACCAAUCAUAUUGAUCUUCCCUCACUGCAACUGGAUUUACGUGUAUCACUUAACUCCGAUGGCGGAAACCGACCGGUAGGAGUAUGUCGUUACACUACCAUUGCAACAAGGGCACGAAACCAGGACAUAGAUCAAACUGAAAACUCGCAUAUCUCCAUAUGCACACAUCCCGAAUCCAAAACUAAGCAGCUACGGCUCUGAUACCACUGUUGGGAUACGAGGUAGGCUACACUAGCGCAAUUCAAAAAAAUCUACCGCGUAUAACCAGGAAGAACUGCCGUAUAAGGAUCACGGGAUUACCACUCGACGCACUACUGGUGCGGAAGAUGUAGAUAUGCGUCGAUGCAGUGAAGACGAUCACGUAGUCGUACGUAGUCGAUCAACGUAGUCGUACGUAGUCGAUCACGUCCAGCAGCUCCUCAGCAGCUCCUCCACGUGCAGCAAGAUCGCCUCCGGUACCGCGGCUCGUCGUCGGCUCGUCGUGGCUCAUCGGCGGCUCGUCGACGGCUCGUCCAAGUGCUGCAGGCGCAACACCUCCAAGGUAUCCACACGUGCAGGGAGGAAGCGUCGCAAGUCGGACUGCUAGAUCCGCGAGUUGCAACAGGCGAGGGCGUGGGAGGCGCGGCAGGUGUGUUUCGCCAAAAAGGUGUAAACCCUAGGGCGUCCCCACCCCUCUAUUUAUAGAGGUUCCUGAUGGGCCUCUGGAUCCGAGGCCCAUUAGUACUCCUAAACCUAAUCCAACUCGGAUCAGAUCCGAAUUGGGCUUUCAGCCCCUUAAGUGUGUGACCCUAUGGGUUCGGAUACGUAUAGACAUGGCCCGAGUACUCCUACUCGGCCCAAUAGUCGGUAGCGGCCUCUAGCAAGACGUGCCAACUCCUAUACGCACACGAAGAUCAUAUCAGACGAACCAUCACAACAUAAUAUACAUGCUAUUCCCUUUGCCUCACGAUAUUUGGUCUAGCUUCAAGCCGACCGCUCUUUCUUGAUCCUGUGAUUCGGAAUCCCUUUGUAGGUUAACUCUUAACCGUACGUAGCAUGGCCAUGCAUUUUCGGAUCCGAUCACUCGAGGGGCCCAGAGAUAUCACUCUCAAUCAGAGAGGGGCAAAUCUCAUCUUGACUGACCAUGUCUCAUAGCAUGCUUCUUGACAAACCCGAAAGCUACCUUUAUAACUACCCUGUUACGGUGUAGCGUUUGAUAGCCCCUAAGUAGGUCAAUCCACAUCUAGAAUACAUGCGACAAUCUCAGGUCUAAGGACAAAGCGUAUAUGUUAUUUUAAAGAGAGAACUACUUCUCGUGUUGGGUCAGUCCUAACACAUGUCUCCACAUGUGUCCACAUUAUUAGUUCAACAUCUCCAUGUCCAUGACUUGUGAAACAUAGUCAUCAACUAAUACAUGUGCUAGUCUAAUAUUCAUGUGUGUCCUCACAUGAACUCCAACUAGGGACAACUUUAGAAUAACCAUACAAGUAAAGAGUUUCACAUACAAUUCACAUAAUUGCAAAUCAAUUCAAGUAGCCUUUAAUGGAUAUUCAAUGAACACAAUAUACAAAUCAUGGAUACAAAUGGAAUAUCAUCAUCUCUAUGAUUGCCUCUAGGGCAUACCUCCAACAAGCUGAUGUAAAGAGAUCGGGCUGAUGUAUCUAGAACAACAUGAUGUCGGGCCAUCCAAUCCAUACCAAGGAUGACAUCUUCUAGGUCAAGGAUGAUAAGGUUUUCCUUGAAGAGGGUGGGACCUAGCUGGAGAGGUACAAGAAUAACGACCUGAUCUGACGUUAUCCUUCCUCCAGGAGUGGCAAUCACAUAGGGUUCCUUAGCGUGACCGACACUUAGCCCACAUCUUUCCCUUGCCUUACUCCCGAUAAAGCUAUGAGAGGCUCCCGAAUCAAACAACACAACAACAGCUUGAUUUAAAACAAGGAAAGUACCCGUCAUUACUGGCGCACCUUCGGGGAGCUCAGUCAAGCUGGUGUAGUUGAGUCGGCCUUGCCGGACUUGCACCUUGGGCCUUCUUCCUCUGGCUGCCAUGGGGUUCUGACCUUGCUGUGGAUUCUUGUUCCUGGGGCAGUCCUUCGCGAAAUGUCCUUCAUUGCCGCAGGUAAAACAACGAUUACUGGCUGCAGGGCGGGGUGGCGUUGGCAGGGUCGGCCGGGGCACUUGCGGUUGGAAGCCUGGAAAACGAGGCAUUGUCGCCGACGGGGGUCGGGCGAUCCAUUUCCCUGACGGCUGGGGUCGGCCAGGGGCUUGUGGAGGGAUCAUCCGGAACCUUCGAGUCGGUGGACUCGGAAAUGCCACAGAGGCUUUCCUCUUCUGGUCAGCCUUGAGGGCUUGCAUGCAGUCCUCCUGAGAGAUGGCCAGGUUGACCAACUCGUUGUAGGUGUCCACCUUGAUGGGGUUCAACCUUUCCCUGAGCUCCAAGCUCAGUCCUCGGCGGAAUCUGUCCUGCUUCUUCUCGUCUGUGUCCGCAUGAUAGCCAGCAUAACGCCAUAGGUCAUUGAAAGAUUGGGCGUAAUGCAGCACAUCCCGAGUUCCUUGGGUGAGGGCCAAAAACUCGUUGAGCUUGCGCUCCAGGAGACCUUCGGGAAUGUGAUGCGCCUUGAACGCCAUCUUGAACUCGUUCCAGCUGACCACGUGGCCAGCCGGCAGCAUGGCAUGGUAGUGGUCCCACCAAAGCCGUGCGGAGCCACGCAGCUGCUGAGCUGCGAACCGCGCCUUGUUGUGAUCGGGGCAUGGAGCGGUGAGGAGCUCGAACUUGGAUUCGAUUGUACGAACCCAUGCGUCAGCAUCGAGCGGUUCUUGUGUCUUUUGGAACAGCGGGGGCUGUGUCCCCAGGAAGUCCUCAUACCGCGCGAUAUGCGGCUGCGGUUGUGCUCUUCCACCAUGUGGCUGUUGUUGCUGUCCUUUCACCAGAUGCCUUAGCAACUCAGUUUGAGUUGCUAGGAUUGCCUCCAAUGGCGAUGGGGGCGGGGGCGGGGGAAGAUCCUGUCGCUGUUCACUACCGCUGGACACAGCACCAGACCUAGUGCGGUGCGCCAUCUGCAAGAGUUAACGCCCCAUUAAUUUCAUGACCUUAGGUAUACUCCAACAAAUGGAACGUAUGGAUUAAAUCCCUUAAUGCGACUCUUGCCAAUAGUGCAUCACACGUCCUCAUAGAGAAAGCACAUUCCUCUCAUUCUCAGCAUAGAUAACCUCUACUUGACCUGGUACUCCACUUCAGGCAACACAUGCCACAUACAGACUACAGACUCCUACGAUCUGAUCCACUCAAUCCAAGGGGUCGGACACGGUCCGUACUUGAAAAGGGUUGGACGAGGCGGAGACUGCCUCAAAGGGUCGGCGCACUCGGCCUCACAAACUGGGGUCGGCCAACUGAACAGAUCCUCAGAACACAGCAUAUGGUCACGGCACAACUUACUCAACCUAGCAUCCACGCCAUACAAAGAUGAGAAAGCUAUGCACCGGGGUUACUUUAUAUACAACGGUGUUUCAACACAGGGAGCACUCAACUCGAGGCUAACCUAUUACAACUUUUCCAAAAUCUAGGCUGCCGAGGAGUACAACAAAAAGAUGGUUCCCUGAGAACCCUUAAGCUACCAAUGGACACUAUGAGUCGGAGAAGGGGCGCCAUCUUCUUCUAUGUCCAUGUUGGACGCUCCCUCAUCUUCCUCAGGGUCCUCCUGUGCUUCGAGCUGCAUGUUGAGGGCAUGCAUAUCCUCGAGCUCGGCUUGGUGCUCCUCUAGGUGGGCAUUGGCAACUGCCAACUCCAUUUCCACCUCCAUGUUUUCCUCUGAGAGCUCUAUCAUGCCGUCCAUGAGGUCGGCAACUUCUCCUUCUAGCUCAGAGAUCCGAUCUUGCAUAUCGUGGAUCUGGAUACCACGCUGGAUCAGCUGGUAGGUUUGGCCUACCAUAUCUCUUCUUGCUGCCUGGAGGUGACCGUGGGUAUCUGCUGCCGUCCAGGCGAAAAGGGUCAUGGCUCUCCCCUGAAGCUCUAUCAACCGGUAGAGAGCGGCCAUGCACCGGAUGUUGGUGGAGAUGGUAACCAUGGCACAGGUGGUGGCUAACACCUCGAUGUUCCCGACACGGUCAAGCCAGGCCGGGUCCAGCCGGUUCCUGAAGGGGAAGAGGCCGAUCGGGUCUAGCGUGAUCUCCACGGGAUGCAGCUGACAGAACUGGGUGAGCAACUGAAGGGCGGCAGACUCCCAUGUAUCUUCCGGGGCAAGACCAUAGGCUAUUAUGCCCAGAGAGGGCCAGUCGGGCCGGGCAAGGGGAGGUGGUACCAACGCUUGCACCUGGCACGUCUGAAGGCCCUGUUCCAGAUAUAACCGCCCGGCAUACAAGGGCGGGGACUGAUACCCAAACCACUUCAGCGUAUCCCACAGAAUCGUGGGAAACCCCUCGAAAUGCAGGCACGUUGACUGGAAGGUACCGUCCGCUCCAAAAACAACAUGUCCGGGAGCAGCCAUCUGGAACCAAGAAAACCGGAAACCACGUGAGAUAAACUCCAAGGAUCAGGGGUCGGAUAGAGAAGCAUACGGGUUUAACCGAGAGCACUAAGAGAAACUAGAAAUCCUUAGAUCCAGAAGAACUCUUUUGAACAGGGUUGCUGUUGAGAAAGGGAACCGUACGACCUUGAAGAUGUGACACAUGCACGGCCUACCUUACUCUUAACCAAAAACAACUGCCCGAAACUCGGGUCUUACGCGGUCAGUGCCGGUGACAAGGCAACAAUACGUCUCUCCCUAUAAUAACUAGUCGGUUCUAGUAACGUCUCCUAAACGAACGCGGUUAGCAACCUGCAGAAAACACCACACACGAACCUUUCGUGCCAGCACCCACGAAAGCGUUCUCAAACAUUACCGCUCCCUAUAGGAACGGCACCCAUGCGUUUAAGGCUGCAUGGAUAGCACUCAACCGUGGAAAUAGGCUCCCUUUGAAUGGAUCCGUAUAACCCUUCGCAUACUCGUGAUGCGGAAUCGGCACACGUAUGACAAACGUGGCGAAACAACCGUGCUGAUAGGUUCGUUGGAAUCGAACCGUACCAACCUUCGUAUGGAACACAUACGGAACCUGCGCACGUGUAAUAGACGUGGGCGAAAACAACCGCGAAGAUAGGGUCCUUCGAAUGGAGCUCCCUAUCAACCCUCGCAUGCUCGUGAUGCGGAACUCGGCACACGUAUGAUAGACGUGGCGAAGUGCUGGAAGAGUUAGCAAAAUAACCAAAUAUUUAUUAGUCACCUAAAACAACCCCAAAAUCCCCUAGGGCCUCUCGCACUAAGUCAUCCUUAACGAUUGUACGAGAUUUUUCAAAAGUUUCUUGCAACUUUUAUCCCUUUCAAAGAAUGUUUAGGGCUUGUUGGGUUCUCUGAAAUGCUAAACACGGCUCUGAUACCAGCUGUGGCGGAACCACCUCGGAUUAGCUUGAUUAAGCAGGGUUAAACCGCCUAACAUGCGACACUCCUGCCUAAACCGAGUUAAUACGAAGUGCCGUCGGAUUUCAUCCGAUUUAACCACUUAAACAGGAUCGAGUUCAGCAAACCCACACGAAGGUGAGCGGUUACAGAGAAUACAACAAGUCCACUGAGUUGAACAAGUUUUACCCAUUUGGUUUGGCCAUAAAAUCCAACAUCAGAGUUUUACAAGUUUUCAAGGAAACAACAGAGAAAACACUAGCGGAAGACUUCGUCGGGGUCGGACAUCCUUGGUGAGGCCAACCGGGACAUCACUGGCUCCUUCCCUCGCCGUCCGAGGAAGGAUCCCACUCGACCGUCCAGCCUGGCGGGAGCUGGGGCGGCCAAGCACCAACCAGAGAGGGGUCGGAAGCAGCAACUUCACCUGAAAACAGGAGCCACAACAAGGCUGAGCUACUAAGCUCAACAAGACUUAACCGAUAGGAGGAAGGGCUACUCCUCCUUCUAGACAUGCAAGGCUGUUUGGCUGAGGGGGUUGUUUGCCAAAAGCACUAAGUAACCCUAUUUUCAAGUUUUAGCUCCGGUUCUAGGUUCAUUUACCAAUCUAGGUUGUGCCACCUAUUCUAAGCAUUCAUAGAAUCAAACAAGAUGUAUAGAUACAACAACAAACAUUGCCAUCAUCAGAUUCCUCAUUUACUCAGGGUGACAUAGCGAUCAAGCAAUCUCAAACUGUGAGAGGCAGACGAAUCGAUUCGAGUUCUUUAAUCAUGCAUGGUGAACCUAGCCUCACGACAUCCACGCACCCGGAGGUCGCUUCCUGUGUCGGCCUUCCCCAUCAAUCCCCUAACCCGUGUCGGGCCCAUUUCCUUUGGUGCAAGGUUCCACAGACCCGGCGUCUGCCAUUCUGUGACCACGCUUGCCACCACGUGCGACAACCAGCAGGGGAAACUCCGUUCCAAGAACAAUGGGGCGACCACUCACGUCUAGGUUCAAUCCGGUACUAGGCUUCCUCAUCCCAUACUAAGUAUGAGGCUAGUACUUUCAAACACUUGAUCACGAACACCACCACUGUCGGGCCUUAGCAAGAUUUCAUAGACAAACGGGGCAACCAUCCGACCACCAAAAAGUUACCAAAACCUUGCCCCGUCCAUCGUCCUUAUAGUUAUAACAGGAGAGUAAACAUGCAACUCCUACAACUCGCGAGAGACAGGAAAUCACUCGACUUCUACCGUCUCCUAGUUAAGCAAUGCAGCUACUCGGUCCAACAGCUAGUGCUCAGAUCACUGGGAUGUGCAAAUGCACAAGCAUGUUACAGAAGGCAUGCGCAAGUCUGGUAAAACACAUAGGACUUUCAUGCAACCGGGGCUUGCCUUCAAGCAAGGAGGACGGAAACUGCUCGACUUCGGGGGCGACUUCGGCUUCGGAGGACAGGAGCUCGGCUACAGCUUUUUCUUCUGGCGCCGGGUGAAGCUCGUAGAAGCCGUCGGCGAGGUGCAGCUCUACACGAAUGCAAUGCAGGGGUUAGCAUAGACAGUUACUUCAACAGCAACACUGGCUCGCCUGAGCCCAGAAACUCGCGACAAAGAGCAGGAGGUUAAGGUGGUUCGAGAGCUGAUGAUGAUCAAGAGGUAAGGGUAGGAAGGAACUAGUGGUCUGAUCCUUGAACUAGAGGAUGUGAUAAACUGGGGGUCCUUAGACGCAAGCGUUGAAGGGUUCCCAAGUUUUACACAUACACCCUCGAGUUGAAGAAAAAGAUCACAGCCAAGCCCUCGGGCGAGGCGGACAAGGGUCGGCGGAACAGACAGGGUCGGGCGAGACGAAACCGGGGUCGGGCGGAUAGGAGGGGUCGGGCGAGGCGGACUGGGGUCGGCAACUCACCUUCUUCCUGAAAGGAAAGCUUGGGGUCGGAACGAAGCAGACUUGGGCGGAGGGACUACGGUUUGAUCAGAAGCUAAGACCGGCGAUGCUCCGGCGGCGGCGCUGCUUCUUGCGGAUCACAAGAGAGCUUUUACGCAGCACGGAGGAGCAAGCUGCUGGGUGACUUGGAGAAGAACUGAGGGAGAACUGAGAGAAGAACUCCUCAAGAACUGGGUGGGUGGCGCUAGGAGCUUGAGCAGGGAGCUAGACGAGGCUGAAGGCAACGAGAGCGGAGGGAACUCCGGCGACGGGGGCAUUCCUUUUAUAGCUGCUGGAGCAGAGGAAAGGAAACGGCGCGGAGAGAGAGAAGGGGAGCGGCGCGAAGGCCGGGGAGAGGCAAUGGAGUGCUCUGCCGGGGCGGCGAUUGAGCAAAGAGGGCGGUGGUGCAGAACUCCGGGGGUGACGCCAGCAAUCAUGGCGUUCUGCCGUCAGGGUGGCGUAGGAGUGGGUAGACUGGUGGUUGAGAUUUGGCGGAAAGUGGGCGUCGUCGUGCGGAAGAUGUGAUAGAAGUGACCGGCUUAACGAAACUAGAAUCGAGGGCGCUCGGGUGAGAAGGCAGGCGGACGCGGGCGCGGGGGAGAGCGCGGAACAACAGAUUGUCGGGCGGCUUCGAACAGAGCGGGGGAAAGGAACUGUCGCGGCCGCGGUCGGGGUUGGCGGUGGAGGAAUCGUCGUGUAGCGGCGACCAGGCAGCGCAACUGUGGCUGAAGGGACGGAAAAGACGGGCGACAUUGGGCUCUGGGGCCGGGAUCUGGUGGCGUGAUGAUGGGCGCGGGAGGCGAGGUUCUGCAGAAAGGGGUGCAGAGGGCUUCCGCUGCCAUUGGGGAAAGGGGCGCGGGAACCCACUCGGUCGCUGUCCAGAGACAAAACUGAGCGGCAGGCGUUGGAGAAGACGAGCCACGAGGCAGGAAGACUCUGAAGCAGCCAUGCAACUCGAGUGCGGCUGUCGCGGGGGAUCUGGAAAAGAUCUCGCGGGUCCACCAGUGGAUAGAUCGGACGGGUGAGGAAGAUUAACAAAAUCUGACGGUGGGCUGAGCUCGUCGGGGUCGGGAGAGGAGCGAAGCCGGAAGGGGUUGGAUCUCAGGGGUCGGGACCGGCGGGAAACUGAGCACUUAGGUGCGGUCAAGCAAGACAGCUGACUAAGGUUAAGGGCUGCGAUCAAGACUAACUAGAAGGCUUAGGGGUCGGUCGUUACACCUGCACUAUGCGCAGGCCUUCAAUGAUCUGUGCCGAUACGCUGGGUAUCAUGCGGACACAGAUUAGAAGAAGCAGGACAGGUUCCACAGAGGGUUAAGCUUGGAGCUCAGAGAGAGAUUAAACCCAAUAAGGGUGAAUACGUACAACGAGUUGGUCAACUUGGCCAUCUCACAAGAGGACUGCAUGAAGGCUCUGGUAGCCGAGAGGAAGAGGAAGGCUCCACUGCCAACGCCCAGCCCACCUACACAACGUUUCAGAAUGGUUCCACCACAGGCACCCAGCCGACCUCAGCAGCCGGGAAGAUGGGUUGCCCGACCCCCACCAGCGGUAGCACUUCAUUUUCCGGGAUUUCAACCUCAGGCUCCGCGGCCGACCCUACCGCCACCACCGUGCCCUGCAAAUGGUAACCACUGCUUCACCUGCGGCAAUUUGGGGCAUUUCGCCAAGGACUGCCCCAGGAAUCAGAAUCAGCGCCAAGGGCAAAGCAAUGCGAUGCUCAAUAAAGGGAAGAGGCCCAAGAUGCAAGUUCGCCAAGGUCGGUUGAACUUCACCAAUGCAGCAGAGCUUCCUGAAGGUGCACCGAUAAUGACGGGUACCUUUCUUAUUCACAGUCUUUCAGCUUUGGUUUUGUUUGACUCAGGAGCCUCACAUAGUUUUAUUGGAAGAAAGACUAGUGACAAAUAUGGGUUAAAGGAAUGCCAAACAAGAGGAUCUUUUAGGAUAUCCACCCCGGGUGGGGUAAUCACAUCUGAUAGGAUGAGUGUCAAUGUGCCUAUCUAGCUAGGCCGAACCCUUUUUAAGGAGAAUCUUGUUAUUCUCGAUCUGGAGGGGAUUGAUGUCAUCCUAGGAAUGGAUUGGAUGACAAGGCACCAGGUUGUGUUAGAUAUUCCAGCCCGAGCUAUCCAUGUCAACUCACCCCACCAAGGCCCCUCUGUUGUCCAAUUGCCUCGCCGAGAAGAUGUGAAUUCUUGUGCGUAUCCCGCAAUUGAGACCCAAUUGAAGGACAUCCCUGUAGUCUGUGAGUACCCCGACGUGUUUCCCGAUGUUUUGCCGGGCAUGCCGCCCGAUAGAGAUGUGGAGUUUUCCAUAGAGUUGAUCCCCGGCACCGCCCCUAUCUCCAAAAGACCUUAUCAGAUGCCACCCGCUGAGUUGGCCGAGUUAAAAACCUAUUUGAAGGAUCUGUUGGAAAAAGGCUUUAUCCGACCCAGCACUUCACCUUGGGGUUGCCCAGCCCUGUUUGUGAAGAAGAAGGAUGGGAGUCUACGCAUGUGUGUGGACUACCGACCUCUCAAUGCGGUGACUGUCAAGAACAAGUAUCCACUUCCCCGCAUUGAUGUUCUGUUUGAUCAGUUAGCUGGAGCAAGAGUAUUCUCCAAGAUCGAUCUUCGUUCCGGUUAUCACCAAAUCAAGAUCAGACCCUGUAACAUUCGCAAUACUACCUUCUCCACAAGAUAUGGACUCUACUAGUACCUGGUUAUGCCUUUUGGAGUCACCAAUGCACCCGCUUACUUCAUGUAUCUCAUGAAUUCGGUGUUCAUGCCCGAGUUAGACAAGUUUGUGGUGGUGUUCAUUGAUGAUAUCCUAGUGUACUCGAAGAACGAAGAAGAACAUGCCGAUCAUCUUCAUGUGGUUCUUCAACGGUUGAAGGAUCAUCAGCUUUAUGCCAAGUUCUCCAAGUGUGAAUUUUGGUUAGAUAGUGUCAAGUUCUUGGGACACACUAUCUCUUGGAAUGGCAUAGCCGUUGACCCCAGCAAGGUACAGGAAGUCAUGGACUGGAAGCCUCCCACUUCAGUUCACCAGAUCCGAAGUUUUCUUGGAUUGGCAGGCUACUAUCGGCGCUUCAUUCUAGAUUUCUCCAAGAUAGCUAAGCCGAUGACCGAGCUGUUGAAGAAAAAGAGGUCAAAUUUGUAUGGAACGACAAGUGUGUAGAAGCCUUCAACACCUUGAAACACUUGCUAACCUCAGCCCCGGUUUUGGCUCAACCCGACACUUCUAAGUCGUUUGACGUAUACUGUGACGCCUCUGGCACUGGACUUGGGUGUGUUCUUAUGCAAGACAAUCGAGUCAUUGCCUAUGCCUCACGGGCGUUACGACCUCAUGAGCUGAACUAUCCGACCCAUGAUCUUGAGUUGGCAGCAGUGAUUCAUGCCUUAAAAAUAUGGAGACACUAUCUGAUGGGCACCCACUGUAACAUCUACAUCGAUCACAAGAGCCUCAAGUACAUCUUCACUCAGGCCGACCUCAACAUGCGCCAAAGAAGAUGGUUGGAGUUGAUAAAGGAUUACAAUUUGGAGGUGCAUUAUCACCCCGGCAAGGCCAACGUAGUGGCAGAUGCUCUUAGCCGCAAGACCCAUUGCAAUUGCUUGUUGGCAACCAACUUCACAGAGACUCUGUGCCAUGAGGUGGGAAAACUUAAUUUGGAAAUUGUCUCCCAUGGAACCCUCGGACACAUCUCACCCUUGAGUCUGCUUUGGAGGACCAAAUUGGGACGGCACAGUUAGAAUAUGAGGAAGUAAGGCGAACCAAAAGAAAGAUUUCAUGGAAGGAUGAGAGGUAUAAGCAAUUCUGACAGAAUGAGAAUGGGAGAGUGUACUUUGAGAACCGACUCAUUGUUCCGUCCGACCCCACCCUUAGGAAGCAACUCCUAGAUGAAGCUCAUCUCUCCAAGUUCUCAAUCCAUCCUGGCAGCAAUAAGAUGUAUCAUGAUCUCCGUCAAAUCUUCUGGUGGAGUGGAAUGAAACCUGAGAUUGCACGAUAUGUUUCAGAAUACGACACCUGUCAAUGUGUCAAAGCCAGCCAUUUAAAGGUAGCAGGUACCCUGCAACCCCUACCUAUUCCCUCUUGGAAAUGGCAAGACAUCAGCAUGGACUUCAUUGUUGGACUACCCCUUAUCGCAGCGGCAUGAUUCCAUUUGGGUGAUUGUGGAUCAUCUUACCAAGACUGCCUACUUUCUUCCGGUUCACACCACCUACACGGCCAAGAAAUAUGCAGAGUUGUAUCUUGACCGCAUUGUUUCCUUGCACGGUGUGCCUAGGACGAUCAUAUUUGAUCGAGGAGCUCAGUUUGUAGCGCGUUUUUGGGAACAGCUACAAGCAUCAAUGGGCACCAAGCUCAUUCGUAGCUCGACUUACCACCCUCAAACCGAUGGUCAAACUGAAAGGGUAAAUCAGAUCCUUGAAGACAUGUUGAGAGCUUGUGUCAUCCAUUAUGACAAAAAUUGGGAUAAGUGCUUACCAUUGGCAGAGUUCUCCUAUAACAAUAGCUACCAGACUAGCUUGAAGAUGGCACGAUUUGAAGCCCUAUAUGGUCGGAAAUGUCGGACACCGUUGAAUUGGUCACAAGAUGGUGAAAGACAGACCUAUGGCCCUGACUUAGUAGUAGAAGAAGAAGAACAAGUGAAGAUAAUUCAAGCAAAUCUCAAGGCCGCCCAAUCUUGACAGAAGAGUUACUCCGACACGAGAAGAAGACCCCUGCAAUUUGAUAUUGGUGAUCAUGUGUAUCUUCGAGUCUCCCCGACCAAAGGAGUGCAACGGUUUGGAGUAAAAGGGAAAUUGGCUCCCCGUUACAUUGGCCCUUAUGAGAUUGUGGAAAUUUGCAGACCCGUUGCUUACCGGAUCCAACUACUCGGGCAGCUCUCGGCCCUUCAUGAUGUUUUCCAUGUCUCCCAACUGAAGAAAUGUGUCCAAGUCCCAACUGAGAUCUUAGGGCAGGAGCAACUUCAAAUCGAACCCGACCUGACCUAUGCUGAGUACCCGGCCAAAGUUCUUAACCGUAAGGAGAGGCACACCCGACGACAAGUGGUGAAAAUGUACAAAAUCCUAUGGAAUAACCACACAGAGGAUGAAGCAACAUGGGAAACAGAAGAGUAUCUGAACAAGCAUUUCCAAGGUUUUCUUUUCAGCCAAGGAGGUAAGGACUGCACACCCCCAGUGGUCGCUCUUACACUCGAAUCUCGAGACGAGAUUUAUUUUAAGAGGGGUAGGCUGUAACGACCCUGGUCAAAUCAUUCGAGUUAAUCUAAAUUGGAAGCCCAAAUUCCUCUGUCUCAGCUCUUCCCGAGCAGGAGUGCUCCACUCCAGUUCCCGGUCCCGACCCUUGAAGACCCGAACCAACCCCGUCGGUUCCUUCUGAGUUCCCCGAGGCAGUGCUUCUUUCAAUCUUGGAGCUGUGGGACAACCGAGACUGAUCGGUGGACCCGCAAAUCUUUUCCCCGGAUCUCCCGAGGCAAACGCACUCGAGCGGCCUGCACCGCUUCAGAGCUCCCCCGCCGCGUGGCUCAACUUCUCCGACACCCGCCGCUUCGCCCAUUCGCCGGCCGCGACAGGAUGGAUUCUCGCGCCCUCCUCCCCAUUCGCAGCGAAAGCCCCUCUGCAACCCUUUCUGCAACGCCUCAUCUCGCUCGCGCCCUCGCCGGUCGUGCCUUGGUGCUCCGUCGCCGCUGUGGCAGAGCUUUGCCGCCUGCUGCGUCAAACCGCCUCGCGGCUCGCGCCCAUCAUCAUCUCACCAGAUCCCCGGCUGCAAGGCCCGAUGCCUUCCGGCUUUUCCGCCGCCUCUCCAUAGUCGCGCCGCCCACGAACUCGCUACGCGACGAUUCCUCCAUCGCCAACCCCGACUCCGGCCGCGACAGUUGUUGGUAUACGAGGUACGCUACACUAGCGCAAUUCAAAAAUUCUACUGCGUAUAACCAGGAAGAACUGCCGUAUAAGGAUCACGAGAUUACCACUCGACGCACUACUGGUGCGGAAGAUGUAGAUAUGCGUCGAUGCAGUGAAGAUGAUCACGUAGUCGUACGUAGUCGAUCAACGUAAUCGUACGUAGUCGAUCACGUCCAGCAGCUCCUCAGCAGCUCGUCCACGUGCAGCAAGAUCGCCUCCGGUGCCGCGGCUCAUCGUCGGCUUGUCGUGGCUCAUCGGCGGCUCGUCGACGGCUCGUCCAAGUGCUGUAGGCGCAACACCUCCAAGGUAUCCACACAUGCAGGGAGGAAGCAUCGCAAGCCGGACUGCUAGAUCCGUGAGUUGCAACAGGCGAGGGCGUGGGAGGCGCGGCAGGUGUGUUUUGCCAAAAGGUGUAAACACUAGGGCGCCCCCACCCCUCUAGGUUCCUGACGGGCCUCUGGAUCCGAGGCCCAUUAGUACUUCUAAACCUAAUCCAACUCGGAUCAGAUCCGAAUUGGGCUUCCAGCCCCUUAAGUGUGUGAUCCUAUGGGUUCGGAUACGUAUAGACAUGGCCCGAGUACUCCUACUCGGCCCAAUAGUCGGUAGCGGCCUCUAGCAAGACGUGCCAACUCCUAUACGCACACGAAGAUCAUAUCAGACGAACCAUCACAACAUAAUAUACAUGCUAUUCCCUUUGCCUCACGAUAUUUGGUCUAGCUUCAAGCCAACCGCUCUUUCUCGAUCCUGUGAUCCGGAAUCCCUUUGUAGGUUAACUCUUAACCGUACGUAGCAUGGCCAUGCAUUUUUGGAUCCGAUCACUCGAGGGGCCCAGAGAUAUCACUCUCAAUCAGAGAGGGGCAAAUCCCAUCUUGAUUGACCAUGUCUCAUAGCAUGCUUCUUGACAAACCCGAAAGCUACCUUUAUAACUACCCUGUUACGACGUAGCGUUUGAUAGCCCCUAAGUAGGUCGAUCCACAUCUAGAAUACAUGCGACAAUCUCAGGUCUAAGGACAAAGCGUAUAUGUUGUUUAAAGAGAGAACUACUUCUCGUGUUGGGUCAGUCCUAGCACAUGUCUCCACAUGUGUCCACAUUAUUAGUUCAACAUCUCCAUGUCCAUGACUUGUGAAACAUAGUCAUCAACUAAUACAUGUGCUAGUCUAAUAUUCAUGUGUGUCCUCACAUGAACUCCGACUAGGGACAACUUUAGAAUAACCAUACAAGUAAAGAGUUUCACAUACAAUUCACAUAAUUGCAAAUCAAUUCAAGUAGCCUUUAAUGGAUAUUCAAUGAACACAAUAUACAAAUCAUGGAUACAAAUGGAAUAUCAUCAUCUCUAUGAUUGCCUCUAGGGCAUACCUCCAACAACAGUUCCUUGUCCGCCUUGCCAGAACUGUGCCCGGCAAACCGCUGUUUCGCGCUUGCCCGCGCAGCCGCAGCCCACCUGUCUUUUCACCUGUUGCAACCUCGCUUGUAGUGCCGUUCUCCCUAUCACACCAAUCAGAUCCGCCGCUCGAUGAUGCCCACCUCCGCCAAAUCUCAACCCCGGCAAAAUCGCGCCUGCGCCGCCUUGUCUCCAGUGCCCAAUAGCCGAGGACGCUAUCUCCGAAGUCCUGUUCCGCCGCCCAUCGCCGCUCAAUUGCCGCCAUGGCAGUGCACUCCAUCCUUUUCUUCCGGUCUUAGUGCUACUCCAACUCUCUCUCUUCCGUGCAGCUAUAAAAGGGAAUGCCAGAGUCCUACUUGAGUUCCCUUCGCCAUCGUUGCCUUGCCGCCUUGUUCCUCUGUUUCGUGCUCGAGCGCCGCCACCUAAGUUCUUGAGGAACUCUCAUCUCUGCUCAACACCCGCCCCUCCCAAUCCACCUAGCCGCCUGCUCCUCCGCGCUGUGCUAGAGCUUCCUUGUUGCUCACAAGAAGCUCCACCGCCGUCGGAGCACCGCCGGACAUCGCCGCCACCCAAGCCUUAGUGCUUAAGACCUUCCGCCCAAGUCUACUCCUUCCCGACCCCAAAGCUUCACCUAUAAACCGAAGGUAAGCUGCCGACCCCUCACCGGUUCGCCCGACCCUAUCUGUUCGCCCGACCCCUUUUCCGUCUCGCCCGACCCUGUCUGUUAGCCGACCCUUAUCUGCCUCGCCUGAGGACUUGGCUGUAUCCUUUCCUUGGCCCGAGGGUACCUGUGUAAAAGAGCGGGGACUUCUCUACGUUAAUUCUGAGGACCCCCAGCACAGCUAUUCCUCUAGCUUAAGGGUCAGAUCAUAAGUUUCUUCCCAUCCGACCCUUUUAUCUUGCUCUCCACCAACUAAAGUAAACUUCCCCACAUUUUCUGUAGCCUUGCUGCAAGUGUCCGAGCUUAACUGCAAGUGUUGUUGAAAUAACCGUCUAAACACUAACUCCUGCAUUGCAUUCGUGUAGAGUCGCACCUCGCUGACGGCGUCUACGAGCUACACCCAGUGCCAGAAGACGGAGCUGUAGCUGAGCUACCAGUUCCAGAAGCCGAAGUCACCCCAGCUGAAGACUAGUUCUCCUCCCCUCCGCUUGAAGGCAAGCCCCAGAGCAUGAACCCCAAAUUUUUCCCAAACUUGCGCAUGCCUUCUUUCUCAUGUUUGUGCAUUUACGUAAAGGAGUUGUUUGCAACCUUAGAUGCAUGACAUAGUUCCUUUGAUCUGAACACUAGUUUGUUAGGCCGAGUAGUUGCUAUGCUUAAAUAGGAAACGGUAAAAGUCGAGUGAUUUCCUGUCACUCGCGAGUUAUAGGAGUUGGUUGUUUUCCUUCUGUUACAACUAUAAGGAUGAUGGACGGGGCAGGGUUUUGGUUAACUCUUUUGGUGGUCGGUUGAUCACCCCGUCUGUCUAUGAAAUCUGUUAAGGCCCGACAGUGGUGGUGUUCGUGAUCAAGUAUUUGAAAGUACUAAUCUCAUACCUAGUAUGGGAUGGGGAAGCCUAGUACCUGAUUGAACUAGGGCGUGGCUUAUACCCCUGCUGUCCCUGGAACGAGGUUCCCAUGGUGCAUCAUGUGGGUGCAAGUGCGGUUACAGUACGGUAGAGGCCGGGACUGUGGAGCAUUGCAUGCCAAGGGAAGUUUGGACCUGACACGUGCUUGGGAAUUGAUGGGGACGGCCGACAUAGGAAGCGACCCUUGUGGUGCGUGGAUGUCAUGAGAUUAGGUUCGCCAUGCAUGGUUAAGAAACUCGAAUCGAUUCAUCUGCCUCUCACAGUUUGAGACUGCUUGAUCGCUAUGCUACACUGAGUAAUGAAAGAGUCUGAUGAUGACAUGGUCUUGAUGAUGAGCUUAUAUACAUAAAGUUGGAUCUAUGUUUGCUUAGAGUAAGAUGCCAACGUAGACUGGUUAAUGAACUUAGAAGUUGAGCUAUAACUUGAAAGCAAGGACCUAACAUAGUCGCUUUUGGCAAACAAACCCCUCAGCCAAAGAGCCUUGCAUGUCUAGACGUGGUGGAGUAGUUUUACCACCGGUCGGUUAAGUCUUGUUAAGCUUAGCCGCUCAGCCUUGUUUGUGGCUCUCUUUUUUAGGUGAAGUCGUAGCUCCUGAGUUUGCUCCUGUUGGCACUUGGCCGCCCCAGCUCCCUCCGGGUUGGACGGUCGAGUGGGAUCCCUCCUCAGACGGCGAGGAAAGGGAUCACUGAUGUCCUGAUCAGCCUCAUCAGGAACAUCCGACCCCGGCGCUAGCUUCCGCUAUUUUACCUUUCCGCUGCUUUUGAAUCUUGUAAAACUCUGACUUUCGUUUUGAUGUUGAACUAAAUUGUCAAACUUGUUUAACUCAGUGGAUUUGUUGUAUUCUCUGGAACCACUCACCUUCGUGUGAGUUUUGCUAACUCGGUCCUGUUAAGUGGUUAAAUCGGAUGAAAUCCGACGGCACUUCGAGUUAACUUGACUAAGGCAUGAGUGUCGCGUGUCAAGCGACUUAACCGUGCUUUAAUCAAGGUAAUCCGAGGUGGUUCCACCACACUCCUGCAGGAUGUAAAUCAGUCCGGAUCGCCGCAAUUCUCGGAUAUGAAUGCACUUGAUCAUUGCUUAAGCAUCGUAGUGUAACAAAGAGAAGGGAACCGUUGCUUUUGAAUAAAUAUGUUGAAUGACUUAGUUCCAUCUGGUUGAUAAAAUAUUUUUCAUCAUCUAGACUGGUCAGGUAACAGACUCAAUCUGAAAUAAAAGAUAAAACUAAGGUUUUACAUAUGGUAAGCUUUUUCGGCAAAAUGUGAGUCAGCGAGUACACCAUAAAGCCAUCAUACAGUAUGACAGAAAUAUUUAUAUUGGUUAGACAAGUCAGACUUGCUGAGUACUUUGUACUCAGGGGAUCCUUUGUUGUUGUUUUCAGAAACCCAGCAGGGACCCACCGAGGAGGAAGCACCGAAGAACUAGGGUAUCUUAAGAGUCUCAUGAUACCCUAGAAUAAACUUAGAUGUUUAAUUACUUACCUCGGACUGUUUUAUAUUUUAAACUCUUAGCAAUGGUUUAACUUGCACUGUUAAGUUUCCUCAAUCUAUGGUUUGUAAAUCGUACCUCGGUUAUGUAUGUAAAAAUGUAAUAUUUGUUGAUGCUAUCCCAUCGUGGAAGCGGUCCUGAUGUAUGGCUAUGGAACACCCUAUGGAGGUUUUCAAGGAGUUCUGUGAACAGAACCCUUGAUGGACUACCAGAUUUACACUAUUUUAAGUGCGUUUUGGAUAAUUGUUGUUCUGACAGCAAUUAGGUGCACUUAAGUCAGUUUAAGUUGGGCAGUUCCACCAUAGCUGGUAUCAGAGCCAUAGGUUGGGAUAAUCAACAGAUAUUACUAUUUAAAAAUUGAGACUCUAUUUUAAAUAAAGAAAACGUGAGUCUUAGGUGGCAGUAGUAUUAAUUGGUUUCUUGUUUUGCAGAUGCUAACUGUUUGCUGCGUGUCGCUAGUAUUCGGUAGCAUAUUACUAGGGAGGGAUUACGAUGCCAUCAAUUUUCCUACGAGUGUGUAUAUGAGUCUGAAAGCACGUAGGAAUCGCUGCAUCAUAAUUGCAUAGCAUGUUUUAAAAACUUUUGGGUUUGGUGACUGUCGUUAGACCUAAAACCCGUUCCGUGCGUUAGAAGUUAGACGUGGUCAGGACCGGUGCAAACAGGGGACCGAAGAAGAAAGUACCAAGGAAGAUGAAUAGACCUAGAAUCCUUUGAUGCAACCAGCUUCACUAUAAUACUAUGGAAGGACAAAAGAAUGAAAAUACUUCGGGAACGAGUAAGCCAAGGUGAUGUUACUUGUUUUACCCAGAAUGAAAAAGGGGUGCUCUAUUUCAAAAACUGAAUAGUAGUACCCAAGAAGAUGGGCUUGAGAAAAAAGAUCCUAGAUGAAACUCAUUUGUCAAGAUUCUCUAUCCACCUUGGAAGUACUAAGAUGUAUCAAGACCUGAAGCAAUGCUUUUGGUGGACAAGGAUGAAGAGGGAAAUAGCCAAGUAUGUAUCUGAAUGUGAUACAUGCCAAAGGGUGAAGGCCACACAUCAGAAAUCAGCUGGCUUAUUGCAACCCUUAACCAUUCGUAAAUGGAAGUGGGAAGACAUUUCCAUGGAUUUUAUAGUAGGAUUGCCUACUACCUCAAAGGGGUAUGAUUCCAUAUGGGUUAUCGUGGAUCGACUCACUAAGUCGGCUCAUUUUAUUCCUGUCAAGACUACUUACCGUAUGCCAGUUUAUGUGGAACUCUAUAUGUCUCGAGUAGUGUCAGCACCUCGAACAUGUCAACGCCUCAUGGCUCCACAUGGCAGCCACGUGGCCAUCUAGUCUACAUGGCACUGCCACAUGGCGCACACGUGGUCGUCCCCAGCCGGCCGGGAUCCAUGUGUCGGGCGGAUCCUGUGCGUGUGGCGGAACUGCUCAAAUUAACUUGGCUAAAGCACACUUAAGUCGCCUAACACACGAUCAUGUACUUUAAUCAAGUCAACUCGGUAGUCCGUCGGAUUUCAUCCGAUAAACCACUUAUCACAGGAUCGAGAAAGCAUAGCUCACACGAAGGUGAGUGGUUACAGAGAUUACAACAGUCUAUCCAUAUUAAACAAGUGCAUCAAAUUGCUACAACAUCCAGUUUGAAAUUCAAACAUAGUUUGCAGAGUUUCAAGCAGCAGAAAUAAAUAAGCGGAAGCUAACGUCGUUGUAGGAUAUCAUGACGAAGCCGAUCAUGACAUUAAUGAUCCCUGUCCUCACCGUCCGAGGAAGGAUCCUACUCGACCGUCCAUCUCGGAGGGAGUUGGGUGGGCCAAGUUCUACUUGCAGCGAGCUCAGGGGUAACAACAUCACCUGAAAAGAUGUGCCACAAGCAAGGCUGAGCAACUAUGCUCAACAAGACUUAACCGACGGGUGGUAACUACAUCCACCAACACCUAAACAUGCAAGCUUUUUGGUUUUGGGGUUUGUUUUUGCCAAAAGCGACUAGAGUAGGUCUUUACUUUCAAUAUUUUAGCACCAUGUUCUAGUUGAUUAACCAUUCUAGGUAAGCAACUAUACUAAGCAGGCAUAGCUUUUCAAGCAAUUAAUAACAAGUAACAACAUUUAAUCAUCGUCACAUUCCUUUCUUACUCAGUAUAGCAUAGCGAUCAAGUAGUCCCAAACUGUGAGAGGCAGACGAAUCGAUUCGAAUUUCUUAACCAUGCAUGGUGAACCUAAUCUCAUGACAUCCAUGCACCACGAAGGGCCGCUUCACUUGUCAGCCGUCCCCAUCGAUUCCCAGACCUGUGUUGGGCCCACUUCCCUUGGUACAAGGCUUCAUAGACCCGGCCUCUGUCGUUCUAUGACCGCACUUGUCACCACAUGCAGCCACAAGGGAAACUCCGUUCCAGAGACAGUGGGGCGAUCCACUCAUGUCCUGGUUCAAUCAGGUACUAGGCUUCCCAAUCCCAUACUAGGUAUGAGAUUAGUACUUUAAAACACUUGAUCACGAACACUAUCACAUCUCGACCUUAGUCAAUUUCAAGUAGACAGACGGGGCAAUCCACCGACCACCAAAAAUAGUUCACAGAGCCCUGCCCCGCCCAUCGUCCUUACAGUUGCAGCAAAAGAAAAGGGCAUUCAACUCCUAUAACUUGCGAGUGAUAGGCAAUCACUUGACUUUUACCGAGUCCUAUUAAGCACUGCAACUACUCAACUUAAUAUACUAGUGUUCACAACAAGGGUACUGAGUUCAUGCAUCUACGAUUUCAAUCAACUCCUGGAACAUAAAUGCACAAUCAAGCAAUCAAUUGUAUUUCAAUAUUUAAAGAUAGGAAUUCAUGCUCCGGGACUUGCUUUCGCACGGGGAGUUAGCGAACUAGUCCUCGGCUUGCUCUGGUGCAGGCUCAGCUCUGGCGUGGUGCAGAUCUGCUACGGCUUCUUCUUCCGGCGCUGGGUGCAGCUUGUACGUGCCGUCAGCAAGGUUCACUUCUACACGAAAUACAAAUGCAACAAGUUAAAUUUUCCAUGCUUUCACAUGCAGGAUGCAAAACAUGAGUUAUUGCCGGAGUAUAACUUACAUUUUGACCACAUUCACCUAAACAAGGUUCUAAACUUUUAUUAUCUUCAUGAGGUAAGGUGUGUUGUGGCAUAAAACCCGGCGUUGAUUUUAAUGGAGAUUGUGUACACAUAUAUGUGAAACGAGUUGAUUAACUUCAGAUUAGAAAGUUUGUUAAGUUUCUGAAUGUUUUUCUGUACCUCUUUCGAAAAUUACCAGUAUCAUUACUCAAAGUUUCUUUCAUCCAUUUAAUUAGGUCCAUCUUCCAAAUUUUAUGUCAUUAUCCAAACAGCAAGCUAUGAAGCUACAAAUUUAACAGCAACUUAACUUUGUCAUAGAUAAGCUACUGCAUAAAUUUGAGAUCCAUUGGAGGUGUAUAAAAAGAAUUAGAAUUACUUUAUUACCCUAAGGUAGCAUAUACUUAAACAUUUUUAAAACAUAAACCAUAACGAAACUGGUCAUGAAAUUUUAACAGUGAGUUAUAUGGGUGAUACAAAGCCUUUGGAGAAUUUUUCAUGAUUUUUAAUGAAGGACAUCUAUUUCACAUAUUUACCUCAUUUAUCUUUCUCUAAAAAGGAAAGUGAUUUUCUUUCUGCUUCUGACCAGGUUCUAUAACUUUCCAACAAACUACACUACACCACUGACCUAUUCCAAUUUGUUUCACAUUUUUAUCAUCUCUGGUUUAAAAAUUGUGCAAAAGAUUGUAGUUAUACAACUAGAACAGAGACUUCAACUUCUGAGCUAGGCUCCAAAUCAUUUUUCCAAGAUUCUAUUCUCUGAGACAAGCAAUUGAGAGUUGGAUUUACCUUUUUAGCAUUUUUCUGUGAUUUGCUAUGAUUUAAAUAGCUCAAACAAGGAUUAAAACAUAUAACAUUAAUUCUAACAGAGACAUGUGCAAACUUAUUUUUAUAUGAAACGACACACAACACUGAGUCUAACAAAAUUCAUCUUGCAUUUUUAUCAUUUUUACACUUUUCUAUGCCUUUUCAAAGUUUUAGCCUUUUUAGAUCUAGGAAAAAAAAAGAAAACCGAGGCAAACUUGCAAUCUAGCCCUCAAGUCUAUGGUUUAAUCACGUAAAGGUCCCUGGUUUUUGCGCCUACACCCCUGGACAGAUUCCCACCUUAAACAUAACUCCUGAACAUUAUCCCAUAACCCCCUAGACUUCUAUUCUUCUCAAAACUCACUGAUAUCUUCUUCCUUGGAACAGAUCGCACAGGCACAGGAUUGUCACACAUGGGGGCACACGGCCGGCCGGGGAGAGGGUAAAGAAGGUGUGGCGGCGCUAGGGGAGGGGGUGGUGCCAUGCCCAGGACAAGGGGUCUCCUUGGUGCGGCACAGGUAGGGAGGAAAGGGGCGGCACACAACAUCAUGGUUAGGAGCUCACCUAGGUUCCGUUUUAGCUGUUGGUUGUCGAUGAGGAAGGCCGGAAGGGGGCGUUCACGGUGAGGGUCAUGGCUGCAAUUGACAGUUUCUGAUCGGAGGAGAAACUUGGAUUCCCGACCAAGGGAUGGACGGCGGGCGAUGAGGAGAGGCUGAGGGUGGAGCCAAGGGAGUGUAGAAGCUUAGGGCGUGAGGGAUUUGGCGGAGGCGGAGGCGGAGGGAGCUGGCCGGAUUUCGCCGGGGAACAGGAACCUCUCGAGUUGGCUGUUUGGGGCAAAAAUGGAGGAAGGCUUGGUUUGGGGAGGCUCUGGCUUGGAGGAUAAGGCCGGCUCAAGGCCUGGGGGUGGUGCAAGGAUAAGAACGACACGACAAGGCGUCGGGGGCACGCUGGACGGGCAUUGGCGGAGCGGCUGUGACGCGGCAGCCAUGGCGUGGUCAUGUGCAUGCGGCGAGGUGCUGCGGCGAGGCACGGUAGGUGAGGUGCUGCAGCGAGGUGCGGCAGGCGAGGUGGAGCGUCGACUGGUUAGCGCGCGGGCGCGGGUUGGGCGAUGGGGGUGGCGCGGGCGAGCUUGCGCCACGGGGCGGGCGACAUGCAGCACGCUCUGGCGCGUGUGCUCUGGCGCAGGGCGAGAACGCGGGACAGUUGCAGGGCCGGAGUUUUGGGGCAAAAUUGCACGCGAUUUUUGAACUAAACCACGUUGGCUCCCUUUACAAAAAUUGUUUUCCUAACAACCGAGUUCAAACUUUACUAAAGGUUUUUGCCCAGAUUUCAAACGGAUUCAGAGAUAAAAUGCGCCAAAGUUCGUAAAAAUUGAAACUUUCAGACUUAGGCGCUUCAGCCAUUUUUGGAUAGUGUUCACUAUUUUAGCUGUGUUUGACCUUGUUUUUGAAAACCUUUUGUGCAGAUGUUGGCCUAGCUCCAAUAAUCAAAGUGGUUAAGGACUUGUAGCACUAAAAAUUUUAUAAAAAGUCUAUUUUGAGUUUACAUUAAAAAUUGUGAGAUAAAGGGCUUCAAAGUUUGGGUUUUUCAUGUUUUUCACAAUUUGGCACAUAUUUGAAUUUCAAGUUUUUGAAAGCCUUCUGCUCAGAUUCAAACAAAACGCCAAAAACAAAAGUUGUUAGAAAAGAUGAGUUUAACAACUCUUAGUUGGACAAAAUUUCAGGUUCUUAUAUAAAAAUUUAAAUUAUGGCUUAAUCAAUUUUUAAGCUCUUAGGGGUCAAAGUUGACCUUUGACUCGGUUAAUUUGCUGCUAAAAGCUUCACUUAGGCUUAAAGAAGGUUUAGUUAACCUAGGGUUGUUACAGUGCACUAUCGGCAUGUGGCCACGGGUGUGGCACAGGCCUGAUUGGCGGCGACGCAGCGGUGACCGCGCCCACAACGUCGUGGUGUCACGGCGCAGCUGCUGCGCGUGCGCGCGGGCAUGAGGCAGUCCCCGACCGCGGCACGACCACGGCGGCAUGCGGGGUCCCGGUGUCCUAGGCCCGUAGCGGCUGGUAGCAAGGUGAACGGCGGAGCUCCUACCAUGGAUCGAAGGCUGGGCAUACGACAAGCAAACAAGAGGAAAGAGAGGGGCGGCGAGGCUCACUGCGGGAAGAUGGCAAAGGCGGGCGGCGUCGAGCGGCGAUCGACAGCUCCGGCUCCUUCAUUAGAUGCCCCUCUUCUUUUUCUUCUCUUCUACUUCCCCCCUCCUUCCCUUUCCUCCUCUUCUCCUACUCCUCCCUCCUCCUCUACUCCUUCCCUCUUCUCUCAUCAGGUGGUCGAUGGCGCAAGGGCGAAGCCCCAGGUGGAUGGCGAGGAGAGGCCCCGAGCGGCUCUACUUAUAGGGGAGAGACGGCUGGAGUUCCGGAGGGAGGUUGCGGCUUUAGGGUUUGGGGGCACAACGUCGGUGAUGUGGACGGCUAGGAUGUGGCAUCGCACGGUGCGGGUGACGUGAUGGCCAUCCGAGGCUGCUAGCGCAAAAGCAAGGGCGCAGGCGAGGUCACGGGGCGCACGUGAGGUGCGCGUGAGCGGGUCCGGCGCAGUAGCGAGAAAGAAAGAGAGGGAGAGCGGGGCGCGGGUGCCGACUGCGGGCUAGGCCAGCUGGCCGGUUAAGAGGCCUGCUGGGCUGGUCGUCGAGCUGCGCAGGCGACGCGGUAGAGCAGGCCAGGUCGGCUGUCUGGCUGGGCCGGGGCGAAGGUGGGUGAGGGUGAGGCGCGAGCGGGCCAGGGCGGUGGGCUGCGGCUGGCCUGGUUGGUUAGGAGGGUUAGAUAGGUUUUGUUUUUAUUUAGAUUUAGAUUUAGUUUGAGUUUUGAAUUAGAUUAAAAAUUCAAACACACACUCAAACAUGAUAUCCACAUAAAUUCUAAAAAAAUCCAAAUCAUUCCACACAAGUUUUGAAAUGGAAUUUUGGGAUGAGAGGAGAAUUUGACUACCAUUUUCAAAUAAGCACACAAUUCAAAUAAAAGUUUUAAAUUUUUGAAAAUUUCACUCAAAUAAAUAUUACAAAAUUCUGGAAUAUUACAAACAUAACCACUUCACCUCGUACCCCGAGAAAGCUAUACAAAGCUUAACACUCCUCAACAUCUGAGAAAUUCGGUUGGAACGAAACUCUAGAUUUUUCGGACUGUGUGAGUCCUCCUUGAUUUCCUUGGUGGCAAAAAUAAAAAAGGAAGUGGCUGCUUGGGUAGGGGCAGGGCAAAAAACCUAACGGAACUUUUAGCGCAGUAAUUUUUUUGUUACUCUCUACCUAUUAGCCAGCUUGUAACUCUUCUUCUUUAUCAAUAAAAUAGGCACAAUCUUAUACCCAUUAAUUUUAAAAAAAGAGAUAAAAGCUAACAAUGUUUUCCAUGGAUGGAAACAUUAACGUAAGAAGAUAUACAAGUAACAACCUAUUUGAGACUUCAGUAGUGUUCAUACUAUACCAUACUAGUAGUAACAGUAGCAUUAAGCAGCCAGCUUACAUUGAACAGCAGAGCACAAUACUUGUGUCAGUAUAAAAAAAGACUUGUGUAAGGCCAGCUACACAAGUUAGCUCGCAUUUCAUAAUUAAGUUUCAGAUUUCGUGCAAGGCCAGAUACUUUAGCACUGCACUCUUGAUAAGCGGCGGUCCGCGUGUUUGGUUUCCUACAUCGAACCAGAUCCUCCAGAAUACAUUCAUCCAGGUUCCAGAAAUAUGCCGUCCAGAUGGCUGAACCAUCCUGUGCGUCCAAAACUCUCGAACCACGCCGUCUAGGACAGGCCGAGCAUGAUCGAGAGGCGAACUAUUCACUGUCCGCCUUCCCCUCCACUCAUUAGUCUUUUAUGUCAAUUUAUUUAUCUAACAAAUUUUAUUUGUUUUCUCAUUGUAUCAGAGGUAAAGUUACCACCUAUAGUAAGGAGGUUACCAUACCCUGAUUCAAUCACGUAACCAAACAUGAUCUUGUACCAUCCUGUAUCAUCCUAUUCAAGUAACCAAAUAAAACCAUGUACCGUCCCAUUCAGACAACCAAACAUACAACUUGUAUCAUAUCAUUCAGAAUCAUUCUAUCCAGGUGAACCAUCCCAUACAUGUUCCACUUCAUUCAAGUAACCAAACACUACCCAAGAGAUCCAUUAUUCAUCAGGAUAAGCUAGGAUCGCAGGGGCUCGUUGCGGCUGUGGGUGUGGACCACCAUCUCUUCCUAGCUACCCGCCGCUGGCGGCCGGCGAGUGCAAGACUGGUAGGUUUAGGUAGUGUUUAGUUACUCGAAUGAAGUGGAACAUGUAUGGAAUGGUUACAUUAAGUAGCCAGCUUACAUUGAACAACAGAGCACAGUACUUGUGUCAGUAUAAAAAAGACUAGUGUAAGGCCAGCUACACAAGUUAGCUCGCAUUUCAUAAUUAAGUUUCAGAUUUCGUGCAAGGCCAGAUACUUUAGCACUGCACUCUUGAUGUACCGAAAGGAAGAUUAACAUAUAAGUACAAUACCGAAGUAAUGACUAUGGAAAUAGGCUUAGAAAUACAACUGGAAGCUAGGUACAGUGCAAUAAACCUUAGUGCCUCAUCAUAGCUCCGUUAGCUUCCAGGAAAGUAUAAUGCUGUAUUUGCAGAGAAAAAAAAAAUCACCUUCUAGUGGUGAUCAAGUACGCGAGAUUCUUGCAGUUGCAAUAGAAACAUCUGCCAAACCGGUCCCAUUUGACCACAAUAGCAGCUGCAAAGCCAACGCCGAAGCCAAGCCCAACGAAGAGAAACAAAACCACAUCAAUAUGACGAGAAGACUUGUGCCCAUGUGCCACACCUGGAGGGUGAGGUGAACUACCACAAGGAAAUUUUGGCAAUUGCAGCCCACACAAUCCAGCAUUCCCUUCAAAUGAGCUGCUGUCAAAUGUAGAGAACUGACGUGACUGCGGUAUCUUCCCCACCAAGUGAUUGCAUGACAAGUUUAGGGAGCCAAGAAAGGUGAGAUCAGUUAGCUCUUGUGGAAUGUCCCCUGAGAGUUGGUUGCAGGACAGGUCUAGUGACUCCAAAUCAGUCAUUGCUUCGAAGUUGGGCUGGAAUUUUUCCAGUGAAGGCAUUGUGUGACAGAUUCAGUACGCGUAGUGAUACAAGGCUUCCAAAUGUUUCAGGAAUAGUACCCUCCAAACUAUUUUUUGAGAAGUCAAUUGCUGUUACGGUAGUCAUUCCAAAUCGCAUAUCUUCCCCCUUGUACAUGAUCUCAAUAGAAUAUUGAUAGAAACGUUCUUCUCCGUGUAAGGUGUUUAGAGUUUCGAGAGUUUUCCCAGAACUAUUAAACUCUGCCAUCAUUGACUUUAACUGCUUGAACCAUUGUGGCCUCAAAGUACCAGAGAAGUUGUUUGAGGCAAGAUCGAUAAUUUGCAAGCUAGGGAAACAUUCCUCACAUUUUGUGUCCCCAACAAUAUCACCUAUGGUGCCAUACAUUUGGUUUGAUCUCAGGACGAGUACAAAAAGCUUGGGAAGCCCCCUCAACCAAGGAAAAGCAUCAGCUAUUUUGUUGCUUCCAAAGUCUAUAACCUCCAAGUCUGUACAGUUAGAAAGGCCCCUAGGAAGCCUCCCUUCGAUCUUAUUGCCAUGUAAAUCUAUCGUCUGUAAAUGACAUCUUGUUGUUAUAUUGGAAGGCAGCAUCCUUUGCAAGCGAUUCUGCCUCAAAUUUAAAACACGUAAGUGGAUAUUUUCUAUAAAACAAGGUGGAAUCGGGCCAUUAAGGUAGUUAUAUGAUAGAUCAAGGGCAUCCAGCUCUGUGGCAUUGCAAAUUGAGGGAGAUACAUGGCCGUGUAUAGGGCCAGAAAGCUGGUUGAAAGAGAGAUCAAGGUGAGUUAAUAUAGGAAGACUGAAAAUAGAUGGUGGAAUCUCCCCUGGAAGGACAAUAGAAAACAUUAAGUUAGAAAGUGUUUCCCCUUCUACAAAUUGAAAUCAGAAGAUGCUACCUUCUAUUUUGUUCAGAACAUGAAUACUUGACCCUUUCUCAAGAAAAGUAAAAGUUGAUAUCGUACCAUAGAAAUAUAUAUCCCAAGUUUAUUUAUUUUAUUUUGAGAAAAUUGCAUUACUAGUCUCUAAAUAAAUGGCCAAAACUUGUGUGGUAACCUCGCCGACCCUUGCACUUGUUGCAAAUUACUUUCCCAACCCCCUCAUCUUUGUUGUGCCACGUGUUAGGCAAUGGUUCGAUGCUGGUUCAACUCAUUAAUUUGCUAAUAGUGGGGUGGGUGAGAUUAGUGUGCAAGUUUAAGGACUACCGGAAGAAUUUAGUGCACCUACGGACCAUAGAAUUUCAUAAUCGUAGGACCCAUGAAGCUGAAAUGAUCCGGACCCAUCAUGGAUCAUAAUUUUAUGGUAUUAUGAUUUAUGAUACCCAGUGUAUAGUCCUGUACCAUCAAAAUGAAUUGGUAAGAUCACUUAUAUAGGAUCCCCAUCCGAACAUCAAAAUUUGUUAAUAUCUGAAAUUAAGUAAAUCCAUGAGUAAUUAUAUAUGUUUCUUCAGUUUAAUUCAACAUCUUUUACUCUUUGCAUGACAUCUGACCAUUAAUUGUUUUAAAUUAUGAUUAGAUAAUGUUUGGAGUUAAGUUGAAAUGUAGAAUUGACAUUGACAUGAAUAAGUGGACUUGAGUUUACAAGAAUUAAUAAAUUUAUAAAAAAUAGCAUUGUAGAUUUCUUUUCAAGAACUUGUUUAACUUUUUAAUAUAUGCAUUUUUUACUCAUUACGCUGCAAAAUCCUCCCCCAAAGUUCUUGACACAAUGUCAAACUCAUUUGUUGUGUUUAACCUCUUGCAAUGAUCUAUAUAAGCUGCCAGCUUUUGUAUAAGAGGGCCGGGGUUAGAGAAGUAUAUCGUGUCAACUGCACCAAUGAAGUUAUUUUAGAGUAAACUAGAGCAAAUGAGAAGCUUUAUGAGCCCUAAUACCCAUUUAAGAUUUCCAUUGUUAAUUAUUUUAGUAUUCAACAUUGAGUCAACUUUUCUAAAUAAAAGUUGAUUAGGCUUUUACACAUAGUUUGAAUCAUAGUUAAAUGAUUUAGAAUGAUAUCCAACUUGAAUCAUAAAGUAUACAUUUAGAUGUUUCACAUAGUUUGGCUUUUCUAAAAGUUAAAUGUUUAAAUGAUAUCAUUUAUACUUCAAUAUUUACAAUUAAAAUAUGGAUAAAUUAUAACUCGGUUUUCCCUAAUUAUUGAUAAAAUGACCCAUGUCAAUAUGAAUGUGUUUUCUAAAUAAACUUUGUCUAGCCCAACACGACAGAUGUAUUAAUUCGAUAAGAUGUGUUCAUCUUUCUAAAGUUAAGUGUGUAAUGGGUAUAAUUUAUACAUGAACAUUUAUGAAUAAAAUAUGAUAAGGUUUUACCUCAGUUUUUGUAAAUAAAGUAUAAUUUGCAUUAAUUCCAACAUAGGUUAUUUUUCUUUCUAUAGUAUCCUUCACAUAUGUUUUGUUAAUUAAAAUAAACUGGGUGUGACAAGAGCAAUCUUGGUUCAAAUCCUAUAUACUGCACAUGUGCAUAUUUUGUGUGAGAAAUUGUAUGAUGUGUGACAGCUAGAAAUUUGCUAGCUACAUAUACCUAACUUUUUAUGCGCGGGUGCGGCUGACUAGCUUCUCCAGAGCAAGCAGACUCAUGCCCCUCCAGGUGUAGUUUGGUCAAGGAGGGAGCAGAGGCGCCGGCCACCUCAGAAAUCUGUCACGGUUUAACUUGUCACUUGUGGCAUGUCGGGCGUAGGGCUAUGUUUUUUUUAACUAAAUAGCACAGAAUGGAUAAUACAGCAUUUUGCAAUCGCAAAUAUGUGUGCGUUUGUGGGUAGGGGUAUUGUUACGUACCGUUGAGAGAAUUAAAAGAAAGAUCCAGCAUUGUUAGCUGGGUCAAAUUAACUAUUGAGCUUGGUACGCUUCCGGAAAAAUUGCAAACUCGAAGAACCAAAUUUGUGAGUUCACCAAUUGCAGCUGGCAUUGGUCCUGAAAACCCACAUGAUACUAUAUACAUGUUUCUCAAAUUUGUGAGUUGCCAAUUGGAGCCGGCAUUGAACCUGAAAACCCAGAAUGCUCGAUAUACAUGUUUCUCAAAUUUGUGAGCUUGCCAAUUGCAGGCGGCAUUGGUCCUGAAAACCCAACAUCCUCGAUAUACAAGUUUCUCAAAUUUGUGAGUUCACCAAUUGCAGCUGGCAUUGGUCCUGAAAACCCAACAUCCUUGAUAUACAAGUUUCUUAAAUUUGUGAGUCCACCAAUUGCAGCUGGCAUUGGUCCUGAAAACGUAGAUAAUAUAUGCAAGUUUCUCAAAUUUGUGAGGUUGCCGAUAGAAGAUGGCAUGGAGCCAUAUGUUGUGCAAUCAUCCAUUGCAAGUGUUUGCAAGCCCGUGAGGUUUCCAACUGCAUGAAGUACUGGCCUAGGGAGGUUGCAGUCUUGGAUUUUCAAGUUUUUCAAGUUCAUGAAGUUGCUAAGUAAGGUAGGCGGUACCCCAGAGAAGUUACAUCCAAAGAGUCCCAAACUUGUUAGGUUUUUGUGCUGGCCAAUCCAUGAGAAAAUUGGACCUAAGUCGCUUCCUGAGUCCAAAUCGUGGUCCAACUCAUUAUCCAAAAAACAAUCAAGGUCCAACUGGUGUAGAGACUCAAGUCUACCGAAUGCAGAGAGAAAAUCCAUAGAAAUUAAAUUCCUUUUAAGACCCAACUCCUUCAACGAUGUGAAAUUACUAGAAGGCGUUGGUAUGUCAUAUACCAAGUUGGUCCCAUCAAGUCUCAAAGUCUCUAAAGAGCUGGCAUUAGAAAAGUUUGGCACAUGGCCUGAGAGAUUCAUAUUAUAGGACAAAUCAAGGACCCUUAGAUUUUUUGAUUGAAAGGGUCUAGAUGGUAACGGCCCCUCAAGAUCUGUCUGAGAAAGUUGAAGCACGGUUAAAUUGGGAAAAUCCAUGAAGAACUCUGGAAAUGGACGACCACUAGGUUCAUAAAAGUUUUCUUGGAGUUUGAUCACAACAAGAGAAUGGAGUCUCGAGAGCGCUUUAUGAAUAGGACCACUCAGGUGACAAUCAGCUAAACUAAGUACCUGAAGUUGAGGAACAUAUGCAGCAAGAGAUGUGCCCCACUCUUCUCCACUAUUAGACAAAUCCACCGAGUCAAGGUAGAGCUCUCUUAAGUUGCUGAGGUUUACCACAAAGGUAUCAAAACUUGAUUCCCAUAAAUAGUUAUAAUAAUCAUAAUAGUUUGGACCAUAAAAACCGAGAGAAUAAUCAAUAUUGUAUGUUGAAAGAUCCAAUGAGAGAAGGUUCACUAGUUUACUGAUGCUAGGAGGUAUCUGACCAUAUAAUCCUGAAUUGGAAAGGUUUAGGUGGGUUAAAAAAGUGAACCUCUCAAAACCAGCAGAACGGAUGUUGUCUCCACCGAUGUCAUUCAUGCUAAGGUCGAGUCGCCGAAGUGAUAUGAGGCUGAAGAGUGCAGGGUCCAAGCCAUGACUUGACAAGCAACGGUUGUUGAGGUCGAGAAUGGUGACAUGGCCAGACGAAGGGUCACAGCCAACACCCUCCCAGAGACAACAGUCGGUACCAUUUCGCCAUGAUGAAAGCCUGGUGGUGGAUCUGUGAAGGAGAAGGACUUCUUCAGCUGGAGGAGCGCCUUAGCUUGGUUUGGAUGGCACAAAAAUGAGACAGGGAGGUGAGUGAGGUUACCACCAUCAGCACGGUGGGCAAUAGAGGUGGAGAGUAGUGUGUGUAGCUGAGCAAGAAAGAGCAGUAACACCCAGCCGAUGGAAGCCAUAGCAACUCAGUAUGAGCCGAUGAUAGGCUUACAAAGAGGCACAAGGCAGAUACAUAGUAAUGCGUGACAGAUUGUUAUGCAGCUUCCAGCUGCUGUCAAGUCUUCGUCCAUUAAUAAAUUAAUUAAUUUACGAGUACCAUGGCUAAGCUGUACGCAAUUGCGACACCUGAGGAGACUUGACUGUACCAUGGGCUAGCUGUACGCAAUUGCUACACCUGAGGAGACUUGAUUAGCCUUUCGUCAAAUGCUGUUGGUAUCAUCCACUGCUACAACAGUGACCGGUAAUUGGAAGUCUCACUAUAGCAAGACUUCCAAGUCAACUAAGCCGGCCGCUACAUUCUGAGGAAGGUGGAAUUGAAGAUCAAAUCAAGUUGGGCGUUGGGAUGAAUUAGUCCGCACUCCGCAGAUAACAACAUCGAAUAUGCUGAUCUGAUGAUGUGCUUCAUUUUCUUUUUGGUUGGAGUGGAGCGGCAUCAAGAUCCUACUGCUGUGGAAAACACUGACUUGACUCGUUUUAUCUCGCACAAAACGUGGCUGAAGAUGAUAGUGGUGCUUAAAGAAUCAGCGAGAAGGAGCAAGUAAAAAUGCAGUUGAGCUGCAGCUGAAACAUGUCGCGACGUAUUCCAGCCGCGGUAGUUCUCGUCUUCUCGAAGAAGACGUUGCAGUGUUCACGUCUAGAGCUCAUCCAAUCCAUAGCGUUCCUCCGGCCGAACCGUGCGAUACGAAGGAGACGUCGCGUCACAUGCAUGUUCCUCAGGUCGCCUUUGCCUACGACCAAUAAGACGAUGACACCAGAACCUUUUUGUUUUUUUUUCUAAUCAGCAGCUUUCAAAGCGGGUACCCGCGGACAGCGCUGACCGUGUCAAAUUUGGCGAGCAUUAGCCGCAGUUGCACUCGUCCACCACCACUGAUUGCUGAAGCUCCCUACAAUACAGGGUAAGGAACAUCUAAGAUCUGAGCAAGUAAAGUCAGGAUAUUUAACUAUUUGUCAUUCUUACGGAUGGUGCUCCUUCAAAAACAACUCUAACGAAUUCCUACAUAUCUGUCAUUGAAGAAAGAAUUAGUCUAAACUUUUACCAUUUUUGCAGAUGUGGUGAGCCACGUCCUCGUGCUAGCGUGAAUUGAGCUGGCAAUGACCAUAGUGCCCCUGCCUCCCUCACCUUAGCCAUCCCCUUCCCUCUAUCCUGCCACACCUAUUGCUGCAUGGUCUUUCGUUGUUGUGCGGCUCCUCUGUGGUACAUCGCAGGGGAGGAUACCACGACUUGGAGGUGCCGGGGGGGAGGAGGAUACCGUGUUGAUGCGCAAAUCUAGGUGUCCACUCCUUCAUUGAAGGAUAUCCAAACACGGCCUAUUCACAGACAUGGCCACUUAACUUUCAGCUUACAUCUCUUGAUGUGUAAUAUGGCUCUGUUUGGCAUGGCUCCAACUCCAGGUUUUGCUGCUCAACUUCGGCUGGAGCUAGCUUUGCUUGGAGUUGGAGUUGGAGUUGUGUGGAUGGGAUGUUUGGUAGAAGGGUACCCAGCUCCAAAAAAAGAGGAUUUUCAUAGUUAAUUGCCAUUUUUGCCCCCUGGCCCCACAUGUCAUCCUCUGUAAUACCAAUUUUUUUCCUUUUUUGUGAGCUUAUAUUCUUCCUUGGGACUGAAUCAGCUCGUCUGCUCGCCCAUGGCCCGCGAGGCCUGGCUCGAUUCACCCUACCCAAGCUAGUAACCAGAUAGAGUCAGCAGCGCACCGGAUGGGGGCUAGCAGUGGCAAACAGUUCUAGGUCGGCAGCAGGCGGAUCACAGGACGUUGCCGAUGCACGGGAUAGAGCUUGCGGCGUGUAGAAUGGGCGCGGCGUAGGAUGGGGCCAGCUGGCGACGUGCAGGAUGGGGUGCGCGGGGUGGGGCCAGCGGCGUGUAGGAUGGGUGGGCGGUGCGCGGGACGGAGCCACCGCACAGGAUGGUAGUGGUGUUGGAUGGGUUUAGCGGCGCGCAUGAUGAGGUUGACAUGUAGGACAAUGGCGGUGCGCAAGGGGAACGAUGGCUCCAGCCCUCACGCGCGAUGGCGGAGGCGCAAGGUGAUGGUGACGGCGCAUAGUUGGAUGGCGGCAGCGGCAAGGAUCAAGGAGCAGCGGCACGUGGGCUGAGGGUUGGGUCCUGGGCUAGGGGCGGCACAUGGGUUGGUAGUCACGAGGGAGAUGAAGGUUGUGGGAACAGAUGAAGCGGGGGGGGGGGGAUAGAACCGAAACAUUUUCUUGUGUAACCGACGGUAGUGGUGGGUAAGUAUCUUGUAACUCCACGUCUAGAUACGUUUCGCAGUGUUUUGGAUCUGUGAAAGUGGUGUUCUACGAAAAUGAACUAGAACUCCAAUAACUCCAUGAAGUUAGACUGCUUCAUUUUUUUUUGGAGUUGGGGUGUUUGGCUGGCUUUAUUUUUUGGAGUUCGGGUAUUGUUUUAUUUACAUGGCUUUCCUAUAUAUCUACCGAAAGAUAAUUACUUAUAUAUCGCCUGAUGUUUGAGACUGGUGCAGUGCAAAUAGACCAUGAAGACUGUGGGGAGCAAGAAAUGCAUGCACUGACUACAUACGUGACCAUGGAGUUGGACAAUGACACGUGUCAUCAACUGAAAUGUUGGACGUGGUGGGACAAGUGGGUGAGAGUGGCUUGUUUGAAUUUCAAUCUUUAAAAGAACUUUAUCUCUUAAAUCACAAGUUAUUUUUAAAUCUAUUUAAUUUGAACUGUGGCAUUUCUUUGAAUCGAUUCAACAAAUAAGGUCCAAUGAAAUAUUUUAAAUGUUUUUUCAAAAAAUCAAAUAUACUAGCUCAUGUUACAUAUACUAAUUUAAUAUUUUGAAUAUACAAUUUCAACAUUGUAAUUAAAUUGAUUCAUGUUUUAUAUAACAUGUAAACAUUUUGAAAUAAAAAAUUUUGAUCUAGUUUUUCCAAAAUGUUGACUUAUGGUUUGAAAAUUGUUGAAUAUAGUUGUUUCAAAUUGUUGAUCUAGUUUUUGAAAAAUGUGAAAUCUAAUGUUUUUGAAAUGUUGAUAUAUGUAUUGCAAAAUGCUGAACAUCAUUUUUUCAAUGUUGAUCUAGGUUUCAAAAAAAAUGUUCAAUCUAGUAUUUAAAAAAUGUUGAUCUAGGUUUUGCAAAAUGUUGAAUAGAGAUUUUUAAAAUGGGGAUGUAUGUCCGGCACAAUGUUGAAAAAAAAACAGAGUUGGAAAUCAAUAUACAUGUGUGAGACCAGAUACACAGGUUAGCUCACACUUGACAAUAGCGCAGGUUUUGUGCAAGGCCAGAUGCUUGAGCACAACACACUUAUUUACCCAAAAGAAGAUUAACAAGUACAAGAAGUAACAGCAGAAGAAAGACCAAAGUAUACCGCAACACCUCAUCAGAUCACAGAUCCUUCACUUUCACUAGAGCAUAAUUCAUUCCUUCGAAAGUCACACCUUCCAGCAGCGUUCAAGUUCUAGAAACUCUUGCAGUUGCAAUAAACCAUCUGCCAACCCGAUUCCAUCUCACCAGAAUAGCAGCUGCGAAUCCGACACCAAAGCCCAACCCGGCGAAGAGAAACAAGACCACAUCAACAUGAUGAAAUGACUUGUCUACCUGUGCAACACCAGGAGUGUAAGGUGAAGCGCCAUAGGGUAACUUUGACAGCGGUGGCCCGCACAGUCCAGCAUUUCCUUCAAAUGAACUGCUGUCAAAUAUAUGUGCAGAACUGACGCGAUUGCGGUAUCUUCCCCACCAAUUUUUUUUGAAACUGUAGACCCGGCUGAGAUUAUCGGACUUGUAUUAAUUAAUAGAGAAGAGAGUCACAGGGCCUAAGCCAAAAAUAAAGGAAAAAAUAUAUAUUGAAAUUACAAAUUGGCGGUGUGAAACGGCGAUCAUUCGUCGAUUUGGCAGAUAGAGCCUAAGUGCCUUGCUCCCACUAAAAUCCAACAUCGCGCCUCCUCCUUGAUUUUGCCGAGUAGUUGGUCGAGGCUUUUGAAUUUUUGUUGAAAAACUCUAGCAUUGCGCUCCUUCCAGAUUUCUCAAGACACCAGAAUGAUCAGUGAUCUGAAACCCUUCAGCGGGGUGCCACUCAUUGACCCUAGUUGUGUCCACCAUUGGCUCACAGAUGAAAUUGUAGUCCAAUCUCCUCUAGGCGGGAUGUGUGCAGCCGUCCACUCAAAUAUUUUGUCCCAGACUCGUAGAGCAGAUGCAAUAAUAUUUCGUCGUGCGAGUGACAAAGCAUGCAUACUUUUUGAUUGGGCCAUCCUUGCGUAAUCAAGCGAUCUUCCAUCCACAGUCUGUUUUGAUAGGCGAGCCAUGAGGAGAAUUUGCACUUCGGUGGUGCCCAUGUUCUCCAGAUUAGGUGCUCCAUGUCCGAGGGUAUUGAAGAUUGGAACCGCACCAUGUAUGCCGAAGUUGUUGUGUAUUCACCGUGCUUGGUCAGAUUCUAGGUGAUGGAGUUUGGUGUUCCCGGGUUGAGCUAGAUUGAUCUUGUUCCGGCUCAAAGGAGAGUCAAUUCUGAGAGAUGUGUCGUUGAUGAUAUGAUGGCCACAUUGAUGUCCUAAAUCCACCUGUCGUUGGUUAUGGCAUCCUGACCGUUCUUCUCUUGUUUUUUGAAAUUUUAUACACCGACGGCGCAAUAUUUCUUAGCGCUUCCCCCUGCAGCCAUACCGAGUCCCAGAAUUUGGCCUUCUCCCCAUCUCCUAACGUGAUGGUCAUUGCAGACGCGAACAACUUUUUAUCCUUGUCGUUGUACGGUGUUGGCAUACCGACCCACGGUUUGCGUGGUUCCUUCCAUUCGUGCCAUAACCAUCAUAGUCUCAAUGCUCGUGUGAACUUCUUUAGAUGCAGUAUUCCUAGGCCACCAAGUUUAGUCAGUUUGCAUGCUGUGUGCCAUGCCACUUUACACUUGCCGCCGACAAUCUGAUCUGCACCAGUCCAGAGGAAACGCUUCCUUCAUUUGUCUAUUUCUUCCAGUAUCGUUGCUGGGGCGUUUAGGGCAGAGAGGUAGUAGAUCGGUUGUGAUGAGAGGACCGCCUUGACUAGUGUUCUUCUUCCCGCUGGGUGAGCAUCUUGCCAGCCCAGUUGGCUAAUCUUGCGUUCUCUUUGUCGGAUAAUGUCUCAAAGUGAGCCUUUUGUAAUCUGCCUAGUGUAGUCCUAGGUAUUUGACUAGGAAGGUUGCUCUUGCUGCUGGGAAGGGGGCUAGAAUCGAAUCCAGCUCGAGUCUAUUGCAACAUAUGGGUGCUACCGAGCUUUUCUGAUUGUUAGUGAUUAGCCCGUUGACUUUGCCAAAUUUGUCUAACAGCUCUUUGGUGUUCCGAACAUUCGCAGUUGUCAGAUUAAUGAAAAUUACCGCAUCGUCCGCGUAUAACGAUAGGCGUAAGCGGGCACCACCGCAUCUCCUCCACCUCAAACCAAACCCUAGCUCCAAGCCGCACACGCUAACAUCGACACCCGAGCCACCGCAACCCUAGCUAGCCACACGCCGUCGUCGAUCCGUGCCGUCGCUGCAUUUCCGUCGCCAAGAAGACCCCCAGGAGCUUUGCCGCAAGGUGAGGAAGCCCCUGGUGUGGCUCUUGUGCGCUCCCAUGCCUCUCUCCACGCGCACGAGCUCGCCGGAGUUCGGCAAGCUCGGUUGGGCCGCCUCAUCGAGCCUCCGGCCGCCACUAGCGCCCAAUCCUCCUCCUCAACACCCUAGAUCAACUCUUCGUGUCUGUAGCUUUCUCCAGGGCCAGAUCCUAUUGAAAAUUGUACCUGGAAACUCAAUUCUGAGCAAAGUCCAGCAUGUCGCCGCCGCGUGCCGCUCGCCUCCGCCGCCCGCGCACCGUCGAUCUCCUCUCGGUAGCUGCUAGCCGUACGAUCUGCUUUCGACAGCUCAGAUCCAAUCUAAUCCGAGUCAAACCAGCCGCGUACCGGUCAAACCCCAUGCUGCGCUGUUCGUUUUUCUAAAGAGUCCCUGGGUUUCGAGGUUUUUGCACCUGAGGUCCAGCGUAGUUCAAAGAUCAUUAGAUCUAGGUCCUUUUUCUUCUGUUCUAGCCCCUGAGCUUUUGCAAAAUAGUGCCCACCAUCCUAGAUCCUCUCUUUUGCGCGUUAAACCUUUGGUUUAUCCGCGUAUUUAUGUUUUAGCCCUCGGUUUCUCCAAGCUUAGCUUCUGAAAGUUUUAAAUCUUUGCCAACAAGCUCAUGCACCUUGUUUAGUGCAUAUCUUUAGCGUUUUAGGUCCGUUUUCAGUGCUUCCUGUGUCUAUGAGUUUGUCUUUACGCAUAGAUUAGUUUUAUGAUCUUAUUUCUCUCUAUUGUUACUGAUUGAUGUAAUGUUUUCUUAUUUUAUUCCUUUGCUUGCUUGUAUGUGAUCGUGUGAUGGGUCAGAAGGACUGCAACUCGAGGGAUUCGGAGGUCAAGACUUUGAAGACUAUGAGCAGCUGGAGCAAAUCCAAGAAGCCAAGUUGUGCCCCUGUUCACAACUAAACCUAUGAAACUUUUUACUUUCCUGUUCAAUAACAUUUAUGCCAUGCACUUUAAGUUACAAACAUAAUGGAUCCUAACUAAGGAGUGACUAGUUUUAUUCCCAGUAUAUUGAUCAACCCGGGCUUACAUAAUGUUGGGUAGUACAUGCUUAGUUUCUCAACUUGGGUAUGGUGGUAUUAGUGAACUUGAUGGUUAAACUUGUUUUAUUUAUGCUGUGCUUUUCAUUAACACAAGAUCACCAUGCUUAAAAUUGGAACAUGGAGAACCACCCGGGAAAACAAUACAACCACAAGAACUAAAUGGAUCUGGUCUUGGCUAAUUAAUUAGAGACUUUAGUCUGGGGUAAUCUUACCGAAAGGGCAAGAGGGGCGGUGGCAGAUGGGGUAUAACCCGGUCCUCUUGUGAAGUGAGCUUUGCUAAGAUACUAUGCCCACUAGGGAGGUUUAUACUCUGCAACUGAUCUGGAAACCUUAGCGGGUUACCGCUUACUAGGGGAUCUUUGUAAAGACCUCGUAGCGUCCCUAUGCAAUCACACCUCGGUAGUGUGGUAUUGUGCCUAGCCCGCACAGCAUGGUUGGGUCUAAAGUUCUUUUGAACUUUUACGCGACUUGUGGGUAAAGAUGUGCAACCUCUGCAGAGUGUAAAACUGAUCGAUCAGCAAUGCUCACGGUCAAGAGCGGCCUGGACCCUCACAUGAUUAAAUUAUCGGAAGUUGAAUUAAAUUAUUGUUAUUUAUUUCUGUUAUCUUUAUUUAUGUUCAUGCUUAAUGUGGGUGGUAUAAACUUACAUUUAGUAAAUGCUAAUAAAACUUGACCAACCAAUUAAAAUGCUGACUUGCUAAUCAACCUUAGCCUAUCCUUGAACAGCCUUACACUACACAUUCCUCACGCUUGCUGAGUACCAACCAUAAGUGUACCCACCCUUGCUAAAACCGCUACUCAAAAUAAGUCAACGAUGUGGAGCUCUUCCAAGAUUGGGAGGAGUACUAGGCGUACGUGUUUCUCCAAUCAUCUGCCUGUGAAGUCGCCGUUUUCGUUGAAGAUCCGCUACGAUAAUAAUAUUCUUUUUGCUAUUCAGUUUAAAAGACUAUCGGUCAUGUAAUAAUUGUAUACUCUCUCUACGUUAUGACAUUGUCUUUGUUACUCACUGAAGUCGUCGCAUGUGUGUAAUUUGAUCCCGGUGCACAUGUAAUUUAUGCAUUAGUUUUGCAUUUAAAAUUGGGUGUGACAGAGAGAUACAUGGCCUUUUAUAUUGCUUCUGGACAUGCUGAGAUAUCUGGUGUCCCUAAGAUAGGAAGCCCAGUUGGGUGGGACGGAAGAGAAUCUGUUGUUGGAAUAUCCCAAGAAAGAAGCUGAUGCGUUUGGCAUUGGGAUCUGCCCUAAAAGCUUAUUGAAACUAAGAUCAAGCACUAGUAGUGAUUUACUAAAAGGGAGAACAUCCGAAGCAAGUUGCAUGCCCGUAAGCACGUUAUGCGAAAGAUUCAAAUAAUAAAGGCUACUACUGCUCCAUGUCUCCCAGAUCCGAUUUGGUAUAUCCCCACUGAUUUUAUUAGAUGAAAGAUCCAAAUAUUGUAUAUUUUUAAGACGCAUCAAAGAUGUUGGGAAUCGAAUUAUAUUGCAAGACGCGAGCCCUAAAUAGUAAAGUCUGGCCAAAUAGGUAGCCAAAGGAUUAUUACCAUCUGCAUCCGUGACAUGCAACUCAUUGUAGGAAAGAUACAAACUGGUGAGAUCACUUAAUCUCCAAAAAUGGGAGAGGUUCACGGAACCUAUCAACUUGUUCGAGCUAACAUCUAUAUGUACCAAACUUGUUAGUUGAAAGAAGGCCAUGGGAAUAAAACCUGACAGAACAUUGUUGCUCAAGCGCACUUUCGCCAACCGUGAUUCUGCCUUGUCAAAGCCAUAUAUGGGGCCAGAAAGUUGGUUGUAAGAAAGAUCCAGGACACUUAAUGCAGGAAGACUGAAUAUAGAUGCUGGAAUCUCUCGUGCAAAGACAAUAGAAAACAUUAAGUUAGAAAGUCUCCUCUUCUAGAAAUAUCUGAAUUCAGAAAAUGAUGGCUCCUAUUUUGUUCAGAACAUGAUAAGUUAUGCCACUGAUACUGUACCAGCGAAAAAGCUCCCAAGCCUAGUUAUUUUAUCCUUAGAAAAUUGCAUGACAUGGACUCUAAAAGCCAACACUUUAUGUGGUUACACUUAAAGAGUGUUUUGUUUCACCACUCAGUCCAACUGCAGAACGUGCGGCUAGCGGCCUUCACGGAGGAGCAAACUGGAGCGCAAGAGGAGAAAAUCACCAGAAUCAAGAGAGCUGGGGUAGCAAAUCGCCCAUUUGUUCCUGUUUUGUUGGCGUGCUGUUUAUGGGUAGUGUUGUUUAUUUUUAGGUGUAUGCAAAAAGUAUUCUUGAUGAAAUAUGUUGCAUCACAUAUUCUAGAAUAAAAAAGUGAAAAUAUUGGUGCUCUGUUGAAUUUCAAUUAUAUUGCUGGAAUUCCUUCCUCCAUUUUUUUCUUUUUCCUUUUCUUCAAUUUUCAAUUAUGUUUGAUGGAAUUUCUUUGAUUCAAAUUCGACUAUAAUUUAUUGAGCUUCAUGCACCAAUCGGUUGCACCUAAAGUCUUAACCCGAUUUGGAAGGACGAUAGUUCUAUUAUACUUCAACAUAAUUAACACUCAAAUUCCAAGGAAAACCACUUCAAAUCCCAACAGCCAAGUGGAGCCACAUGGGUAUAGUGGGGAUUUAGGACCUCAUGUUAUACUUGUGCAUUUAACAAAGGUUAGCAACUCUAUUAUAUUUUAAGAGUUUAGGAAUCUAGAUGACUUCAAGGAAAAAGUUCAGAGAUCGAUAAUCAUUAGGAAUAGCCAGACUUUUGGUCCUACAUCGAUUCUUUUUUUCUUAAGCGGCUGGCACCAUUACACUGCCCGACAUAUAUUGAUAGGGUAGGAGGUCUUACAUCCAUUCCACUUGUACAGCAACUAGUGUAACUCAAGGGCUAAACAAUGUGCUCCAAAAAUGCUUGAACAAGUAAACACAAGCCUGAGCAUAUAUUGGGGCCGUUCGGUUGAGCUGGCUGCUGCUGUUAAGCAGCACAGCUGAUCAGCCGGCCAUGCAGCUGCUACAGCAGCGCAUCAGCUAGGCAGUGGCGCAUCAGCUGGGCAGCAGCGGCUGCAGGCAGCUACUUUUGUACCCAGCGAUCAAGUCAAGUUUUGAAAACAAACAAUGUUGUAAACUCAGUUGGAACUGGAUUAUAUAAAAGGCAAAAUUCAAUGAGCAAACAAAGGUCACUUUAAACAAUCAUUGAAAGAGCAAGUACAAAUAUUUUUUGAUUGAGGCUUCAGAAUAUAAUUGCAACAAAUUACAGUACAGAACCACAUUGAUAAUAUUCAGAUGACUAACCUAUUAAAAUAAGAUCACAAAUGCAUACCAUAUUUCAUGAUAAUGUGACCAGUGAAUCAUUAAUUCAUCUAAAAGACACAUUUUUUUUCAGCUCCUUCAGAAAAAAGAAAUACCGUGACAAGCAUUGCCGUCUCAGCUCCUUGAUUGUCUUUAAAAGUAACGUAGGCAAGCAGACAAACAGAGAAAUAGGCCCAAUAUAUUGACUAAAUAUAUGAUACAAGCACAACCACAUAUCUGCAGACAGUGAUAUGAACCAAAUCACCAGAAGCGCUAUCCAUAACUCUCAAACACCUCAUUUUAGUUUCCAAGACCUGGGCACCCUGAUAACAGUCUAGUCUAGCACAAAAUAAAUGGCAUGCAUAUUGAACUCAAGAGUACACAGGGCAUACAAUUAGAACAUUUUAGCCCUACCCUACAAUAGUUGAUCAGUGCUUUCUCAAGUCACAACAACAACAAAUUAGAAAGAAAUUGAUAGGUUAUAUUCAUAACAACAAAAUAGCAAAUUGAGAAAAUAUCUCCGUCAUGUCAACCCAUAAAGUCCCGCUGCAAUCCAAUCACGAACUUUACUAAUAUCAUCGUUGGCAGUAGCGGCAAACCAAUCUGAUGCAGGAUCAUUUUCAUCACUUGUCCUACUAAGAUAGGUCCCAUGAGCAAACAUGUCAGCACCAACCAUUCCCGGUUCGUUGUUGUCCAAUGCAAAAUUGUGUAGCGCAAAGCAUGCAACAAUAAUCUUUGAUUGCUUCUCCAUAUUAUAUAACGGUAUACCUCUUAGAAUCUGCCACUUAUUCUUUAGCACUCCAAAAGAUCGUUCCACAACAUUCCGAAGGCACGAAUGAUGGUAGUUAAAAAUUUCAUUCAAAUUCUCAGGACCUUUGGCAUUAAACUCCGAUAAAUGGUACCUGCCCUUGCGAUAUGACGCCAUAUAACCCUCACGCAGUGGGUAACCAGAAUCCACCAAAUAGUACUUUCCUACAUAUCAACAUUGUUAUACAAAUAGCAAUUUAGAUUGGCACUCCCAUAUGUUGCAUACUAUAAAACUUACAAACAACAUAAGAUCACCUUGGGGUGGGUGAGGGAAAUGCUCAGCUUGGUUUAAAGCCUCCCUCAAAAUAGCAGUGUCAUGCACAGCACCCUUCUUCCCCGUAGCGACAAAUGUGAACCUCAUGCCCAUGUCACAAACGGCUAAGACAUUCUGGCUGGUGAACCCCUUUCUAUUGAUAAAAUCAUCAUGUGCGUGCUCAGGGACUGACACCGGAAUGUGGGUUCCAUCUAUAGCUCCUAUGCACCCAUCAAAAUAUGGUGAGAAUUGAUGCAGCUUAGGAUGCACAUACCUGAACAGUGGAUCCAUUGGUCUAAUAAUAGUACGUGCAAAAGAGACCACGGCAUCUAACACUUCACCGAACUUCCGACUCACGGUGUCUAGUGACCUACGAAAUCUAUCCGACAUUUGUCUCUGGCAUUGUCUUGUGCCACAUGCCCAUAGGAACAUCCCUAAUGCCUCAACUGAAUCACAUUGUCGUGUGGAUUUUAGCCCAUGGUUGGACACUAAGAUUGAAUGCAACAACUGGAAUGCAGAUGGAUGGAGACGGAAAUUUUUGUAGCACUUCUUACUGUCAGCAAGGUUAAUAGCAACCCAUUGACGCCCAGUCAACUCCUGCAAGUGCAACGGACCAUCUUGCAUGCCACAUGCACUUGAGGUAGACGAUGCAUACGCAGCUAACACACCAAUGGUUGCACCCAUGUACCACCAUGUAGACCCCUCAUCGUUCAACCUUGCUGGUGAGGUGCUGGUGUUGCUCGAAUUUUCGGAGCUUGACUUUCCUUUCAUUUUCAGACCAUAACAGUGAUCAGUGGUCCCAGCUUCUGUAAUCAGCGAUCUGGAACAAAUCUGAUUCUUUGUUAAGCCUAGAUAUGCUAGUUUCAAGACGACAUAUAAAAAGCAUGCCAUGUUUUCUUAUCUAAGAAUCUCUAAAACAAAAUAAUAGCAUAUUCAGUACCCAUCUUUUAACAUGUUGUGCCCCUUUUCUUUUCUUUCAAAAAUCCUAAGUACUUAAAUAUGGAAAUAUGAUUUCAUUGCAUACCUUUACGAUCCAUUUGACCUUCACUUGUUGAUAGCCACCUCAUUCAUCGUGAAGACCUUCAGGCUGUAAGGUUGUAAACAAGAAUUUCCAAAAUGUUAAAAACAACAGUAGCAGCAUCAUACUCAAGUGGAACGACACAAAUUUAUAUGGAUUAGUAGCAUGAAUAAUCAAGGUCUAACACAACAUAAUUCACAUUACAAACAUGAUGCCACACCAUGCCAUAGUCACAGUACAAAUACACACAUUCCUAGGUAGAUGCAAAUACAUUGUAAUCAUGGACCGGUAUUACUUCCUCUUGACAUUAUCCCAAGUCCAUCGGAGCCAUGCAAUCCGGUUCUCUGAAGCGGUAAUGCUCCUAUAAGAUGCACGUCGGGCUGGUGAUCUAAACAGCUCAGUAGCUAUGAAGUACAACUCAGACCCAUUCGGUACACCAUCUUGUUCGACAAGGUGCAGCAUUUCCGUAACCUCCUCUUCCUCACGGCUGAUUAGAUUUCUUUCAUUCAUAGUCCUUUGAAUCAUGCUCUCAGAUAUACGCUCGACAUAGUACUCCAUGCUCUUAGUUCUCUUGGGUGAUGGGCUAUCAACAACAUGCUCCUUUCCGGACCUUUGCGACACACGACCCACACUAGACCGUCCAACAGUGUCCUCCAACCAGUCAACAUUUUCAUCCACCAUUGGGUCAGGGGUGUCUUCACUUCCACAGCUUGGUGUUCUAUCUUCAAUUCCACCAACACACAACAUUGGACCGCCUUCAAUGUCCGUUGUCCCGAAAAGAGUGGUUAACUCAUCAUAGAAUGGAAAUGUCUUGCCACGGAAAUAUUUGUUUGCCUCGUUCUCCUAGAAGUCAUAAAUAGGAAAUAUGUAAGCAUGAGGGCAAUCCGAGGUCAAAGCCGAAGGUAAAUGAUAGAAAGCCAUAAUUAUUAGGACAAAAAGUAGGUAACUCAAUUCGGGCUGCCCACCAUUCAUCAUCGCAAUCAAUGGUGCGGGUACUGUUGUUCCACCCGGUACCACUCUUGUCCUUUAGUUUCCUCCAAUCCUUGUAUUGCCUCUUAAAGGCAUUAAAUUUGUUCUGAAGCUGUUUGCAGGAAUAUUUCCUGCCCAUCUAUUGUUUGAAAUUUGUAUACAGGUUGUGCCAACCUACCUUGGUUAGGCCCCUUUUGUUGUAGUUGAGCUUGUUCUUCUCAUCAAUGCAAAGGUCUAGGAAUAUUUUUGUAGUGUUAUCAUCCCAAUUGGCACGACCUGCAUCCAUCUGUGUGCUACUUUGAAUUAUAUGCCUUCCUAAGUACAAGGUGCUACUUUGAAUUAUAUGCCUUCCUAAGUACGAGGUUUGUAUGCCACACACGCAGUAGCAAUGACAACAUGCAAGAUACGAAUCAACAUUUAUCACAAAGGGAACAAAAAAGAUGGAACUGAUGCUUGCCUCAUUGUGCUUACGUCUUGCAGGAGUUGUACACAGCAGGAACCGAGGGGCUUCAUGUGGAGACCAUGACGAUGUAGAGGAGUUUGCCAGUGCUGCUGCCUGUGGAAGUUUCUUUUUUUGGCACACAAGGAAUGCUCUCCUUAGCUAGAGUCGUAUUUACUACUGUAAAAAGAAUAUAUAAAGUGAGAAAAAUUUAAAAGUCAGCCUAAACAUUGUCAUAUUUUAAUGCAGGAAGUAAAUAGUAAUGAGCAAAAAAAAAGAAGAAUAAUAUUUACUGUCAAAAGGGAGGAGAGAAUUUACAGUCACCUAAUUUUUGCAGGCACUUCCCAAUUCCCACCCACUGAAUGUUACUGAGUGGAUUUAGUGGUUUCUAUCACUAAAACUAGCCACUAACAAGAUGAAAGCAGCAGCAGUGCAGAUGCAAAAUAGCAAUGCCCGUGGUGGUGAUGGCCGCAUUUGUGGCACUCCAGAGUAGCAGCAGUGCAGGUGCACCGUCCAGUUCAGUCAGAUAGAUGAGCGUCAGUUGAUUUCCGAGGGCAAGGCAGAUCAAGCUGGCAAUGCAACAUGCAGGCAGAGGUAGCCAACAAUGCAGCCCUUUCAAUUAGAGGUACUGGUCAGUGCAGCUGACAAAAGCACACCAGUAGUAUGCAAGUUCAGAGGUGGUCACUUGAGUUUCAGAUUUGGAACACUUUUGCCUCUUUCUAAAAAUGAGCAGUAAGUAAAAUUGGUGCAAUGGAUUGUUUGCCUGGCGUCUUACUGCCUAUUCUAGCAUAAUUGACCUGAACGCCCCUAAGGUUGAGCAUAGCUCAUGUUUGUUCUGAAUACAGGGAGUCAAUAAGUCUUAUAUAUUUUGUGUUUGCUAAAUAAAAAUUAUAUUACAAUACUACCAAAUGCAUAUAAAUAGAAAGAUAAUAAAUUAACCAAAUGAUAGAUCGGUCUAGUCCGAAACAUCUGUUGGAAACACGCCGGAGUAACUCCGAAACGUCUGUUGGAAACAUGCCGGAGUAACGACUCCCAGGUCGCCGGCGAGUCUCCUGGCCAAAGCACAGGGACACACACGCACACACAGGUAGACACUGAAUUGGUGCUUGCUAACUUGGCCCUCUUCCUUGGCCUUUAUGCCUUGUAUUUAUAGACUAUUACAAGGAAAGUAAUCAGGGCUUCAAUCAGCCCGAUGCACACAGCCACACAAUUGCUAACUGUCUAUUUGCCAGGGCUGUCAUGGAACAUUACAUUUCUGUAGAUGAUCAACAACCAUUACCAUGAGUUACCAUUACAACAAUAUGCUCCUGUCGUCCAACAUACACAAGAUGCACUUACAGUACAGAGCAGAAUAAUGGGAAGCCUUCACACUUCACACUAGUGUAGCUAACAAAAUUGAAGGCACAUGAGAUCUUACUGCCUACUCUACCAAAAUUGACUCAAUUACGCACGAUAUAAGAGGUUACUGCCUAAUGUAAGGCAAAAGAGAUCUUACCCCCAGGUUCUCUGUUGAGAUGCACAAAAUCUAGCAGCAUACAAAUGUAGAUCGAGAAUGGAGAGGAUUGGCGGAGCUGGGUGGACCGGCGAUGGUGGGACGGAGCGGCGGGGCGGAGGUCGGCGGGGGCGUGGCUGGCCGGCGCCGGGUGAGGGGCGGAGCUGGAUCGGGCGCGGACGGUGGGGCGGAGAGGAGGGGCAGAGAGGAGGGGCCGCGACGGCGGGGCGGAGGCCGGCGGGGGCGGGGCUGGCCGGCGGCAGGGGAGGGGCGGAUGUAGGUGGGGCGUCGACGGCGGGGCGAAGAGGGGCGGCGACGAUGGGGCGGAGUCUGGCGGGGGUGGAGCUNNNNNNNNNNNNNNNNNNNNNNNNNNNNNNNNNNNNNNNNNNNNNNNNNNNNNNNNNNNNNNNNNNNNNNNNNNNNNNNNNNNNNNNNNNNNNNNNNNNNCGGCAGGAGGCCCGAAAUUCAAUCUUCCCAUCGGAAUCUGGGAAAUGUAAGGCCGCGGAAAUGGGCCAGAGUCUGGCGGGGGUGGAUCUGUUUUGCGGCGGGGGAGGAUUGGAGCUGGGUGGGGCUUCGAUGGUGGGGCCGUGCCGGCGGGGGCGGGGGCGGCCGGAGGCGGACUGGGCGGCGGGCGCUGUUCGGGAGAUGCAGGACCUGGACAGGGAUUAAGUGCAGCUGUUCGGCUGCCUUGCUGGGCUGUUGCUGUUGGGCCGCAGCCGAACGGCUAGGCUGCACAGCAACAGCUGCAGCCGCCCAAGUAGCUUAAGCGAACGGGCCCAAAAAAAGACACGGGAGACAAUAUUCACUAGUAGAGAAUUCACCUUCUAUACGUCCCAUUUUGUCCCGGUUUAAAGUUGGCCCGGGACAAAAGGUUCACCAACCGGGACUAAAGCUCGAUCACUGGUGGGGGGCUCACCAACCAGGACCUUUUAUCCCAGUUGGAAAGGCUAGUGGAAAAAAAAACCCUGAGAGGCCUUUUAUCCCGGUUUGAAACAUCAACCGGGAUAAAAGGGUCCCCACGAGUUAAUACAAAAAGAUUGCAUCCCCUAUAUAGUCAGAUGUGCUGUGUAGGUGGGAUGGCAAGGAAGCUACGCGCGAGGGUGGAGGUUGCGGGUUCGAAUCCCACGCAGUGCGCACGCGCAUAUUUUGCGUGAAAAAUCGCGUGACUUGUGACUUGCGACGUGUGGGGGGCCCUCCCGGGAUUUCUUUUUUCUUUUUUGCAGCGGGGAUAAAAGGGGACCCGGGACAAAAGACCCCCCCCCUGUCUCGGUUGGUUUAUCUCCGGAUGGAUUUUCGGAAGAUUUGCAUCCUAGCAACCGGGACUAAAGGCCAAUUCUCUACCGGUGAUUAUUGUUACCUUGGAGAGAAUUAAAUGAAAGUUCCAGCAAUGUUAACCUAGUCAGAUUAGCUAUUGAACUUGGUAUGCUUCCAUAAAAAUUGCAACCUUGAAGAACUAACCAUUCCAACUCACUAAGCUGGCCGAUUGCAUAAGGUAUCAACGACCCAAAAUUCUGAUGGCCUAUUGGGCAAGGUGUCGGAGACAGAGAAUUAUAACCAAGAAUACGCAUGGAUUUCAAAUUAGUGAGGUUACCAAUUGCAUCCGGUAUUGGUCCUGAGAACCCACAAUUAUUUAUAUACAUGUUUCUCAAAUUUGUGAGUCCGCCAAUUGCAGCCGGCAUAGGCCCUGAAAACCAACAAUCAAUUAUCCACAUGAUUUUCAAUUUUUUUAGUUUGCUGAUUGCGGUCGGCAUUGGCCCUGAAAACCCAGAAUCAAUUAUACCCAUUUUCCUCAAAUUUGUGAGGUUGCCGAUAGAAGAUGGCAUGGAACCAUAUGUUGUGCAGCGAUCCAUUUCCAGUGUUUGCAAGUCCACGAGAUUCCCAAUUGCACAAAAUACUUCCCUAGGGAGGUUACAAUCAACCAUUUCCAAGCUUCUCAAGUUCUUGAAGUUGCUAACCAAGGUAGGCGUUAUCUCAGAGAAGUUACAUCCAUAGAGUGCCAAAUUCAAACUCAUUAGGUUCUUUUGCUGUCCAAUCCAUGAGAUAAUUGAUCCUAACUCAUUGAGUCCAGCGUGAGGUCCAACUGGCACAGGGACCUAAGUCUACCAAAUGAAGAGAGAAAAUCCACCGAUAAAUUCCCUCCGAGACUCAAAUGCUUCAAGGACUUGAAAUUAUUAGAAGGCAUUGAUCUGGCAUAAGAAAAGUUGGUCCAGUCUAGCCUCAAAGUCUCUAAAGAAUUUGGAUAAGAAAAGUUUGGCAAAUGCCCUCCGGAUUAUUGGACAAAUCGACAACUCUUAAUUUUUUUUUAUUGGAAGGGUUUGAUGGGGAACCGCCCCUCAAGAUAAAUACUAGAAAGUUGAAGCACAGUUAAAUUGAUAAAAUCCAUGAAGAUUUCUGGAAAUGGACCGGCAGUUAUAUCACCAUUUCUUUGGAGGUUGAUCACAACGAGAGAACGGAACCGCGAGAGAGACUCAUGAAUAGGACCACUCAGGCUGCAAGUGGCCAAGCUGAGUAUCUGAUGUCGAGGAACAUGUGUAGCAAGAGAUGUGCACCACUCUUCUCCACUGGUAGACAAAUCCACACUGUCAAGAUAGAGCUCUCUUAGAUUACUGAGGUUUGCCACUAGGGCAUCAAAAUCGGGUCCCCACAGAGAGUUAGAAGUGACAAUAUAGUAGGAGCUGUCGGAUGUGUCAUAAGCAUCAUCAUCAUCAUCUUCAAAGGACUGGAAAGAUCCAACGACACAAGGUUCACGAGUUUACCGAUGCCAAUAGGUAUCUUGCCACACAAGCCCAAAUUGGAGAGGUUAAGGUGAGUUUGUUGGAAAAAUAACGUGGUGGUCAAAAGACCGAGAGGAAAAUGGGAAGGAUAAGAUUGACGCCCGACUCCGACUCCCUCGCGCACGUCCACCCCGCGCCUCGAUCGGAGGUGCAACCGAACAAUUGGUUGCGGCCCCGAGCGACCCGGCCCCGAGCGACCCAACUCUAUAAGAGAAGGGGGCCGGUGGGUUUGGAACAUGCCAACGCACCAAACCCUACUCACACCCCCUACAUGCCUCCCGAUCACAGUGGCGUUGGAGUUGCUCGAAGGCCGUCGCCACACCACCAUUGCCGUCUGUGGACAGAAGAGGUGGAGACCUGAAGGGAGACGCAAUCUACUCCGAGCUAGUACACCUAUGGCACCCGUCAUCCCGGCCUCGUCCACGACCCUAAUGGCCGGAUCGUCACAAGCAGUGGCAGCUGGUUGUACUCUAACAUCUUCAUUGAGUGGUGUUCAUGUUCUAGAUGUGCAAAGAUCCUGUUUUAGUUAAGAUUAAGUAAUGUAGAUUCUUACAUUUGGUAUCAGUUAGUCAAUCCCAUCUAGACUUGGAUCCUAAGGCUGUGUAGAUUGAAUCUUAGUGUGCAAUUGAGUUGAAUUGUACUGGUUUUCUAUGUUCUUGAUCUACACAGUAGCUUUCUAGUACGAAUUGCUAUGCUAUUAGGCUUAAUCUUCUUCAGCUACAUGUCAAUGUUCAAGUUUUAGUUCACUGACUUGAUCUGUUAAGUCAGAUUAGACCAAAUUAGUUCUCAGUUAGCCUAAUUCCAUGCCUAAGCUACUAGAUCAGUUCUUAAUUAAGUCUAAAAUCAAGGUUAAUUAAGUCAAUUAAGUUAGUCUCUAUGUUUAAGUUCAGUUAUUUAGGUCGAGGUCUACUGUUUUCCCCAAACCCCACUGUCUAGCUCCAAUCUGUGCAAUUAAGUCCUCAAUCAGUAAAAUUGGACACGCAAAAGCAUGUAGAAGGAGAGGAAUUGGGCGAAUUUCAGGUCGAAUUAAGGAAAACCCAAAGAAAAUCCCCAUCAGAAAUCCUAACCCUAACUCAAGGAUAAGAACUUACCUCGAAUCACGACGGCCGCAUAGGGCAUGAUGGCCGCUGCGUGUGGAUGCCGGCGUGCACCUCCGCUGAGCCACACCGGCCAUAAGCACGCACAUGAACAAGUCAAGCCGCGGGCCCGGAUGCGCCUCGGUCUCCUUCCCGUGACCCAACCCGCGGCAUCAGAUCCUCCACGCACGAACCUGUCGACGCCGCGGCAAGCUUCAGGUUAGCUCGCCAUCACCGGUCUUGCGGCCGACCGCGCCUUCUGCUCAGUCACCCCCUACCAUGGAAAAGUGCUCCAGUGGAGCCCCCUGACGGCGCGCCGCGCGACUUGGUCGCAUGCACGCGCCGGUGGGAGGGCCCGCAGAGGCAUGGGCGCAGGGUGGCGGCGCAGCUCAUCGGCGGCUGCUGCUCGGGGUUGGGGCAGAAGCAGGCAGAGAAGAGGGGAGGGUUGCAGUGGAGACAGGCAAAAAUGGCCUAGGGUUCGGGAGAGGCGCAGCGCUCGCCGGUUUUGUCCCACCGAAACUCGCGCUCCGCCGUCGGAUGCAACGGAUGGCUUAGAAGAGCGCGGACAAGCGCAGCGCGCUGUUGGGCCAGAUUGGCGGCCCACCCAUUGGCUGCUGGGCUUAGAGUCUAGGCCGGCGCGAGGAACCCGGCAUGGGCUGUUAGCUGGGCUUACUCGGACCAUGAGAAGGCGCGGGCCCACUUAAACUCUGUGUGGCACGUGCUCUUUAGGGCCAUGAGGAAGGAACGCCGUGCGCCAUCGUUCUUGCACGAUUGGGCUGCCUGCGAGCAGGGCUUGCGAAGGUCGUUAGCUAGGCGCGGACUGGUUGUUUUGCGCUGGGCCGAUUUCGGCCACUAGCGGGCUGCUGCUUUUUUGGCUCGCACGGGCCGUCAGAUCGCUGGCAGGCCAGCGGGCCAUUUUGCGCUUGCAUCAGUUGGGCCGUCAGUUGAUAAGUGCGCACUUGGGCUAUUUCGGGCCAAUAAGGGGAGGUAGCUACGGGCCAAAAGUUGAGUUUGCGCUGGUUUUAAGAUUGAGCACGGUCCACUGUUUCUCCCAUUUGUUAUGCUAAUAAGUGUCUAAGUUGCACAUAGUUAAAUAAAAUAAUAUUCUGAUUAAAUUGAACCAACACGAAAUUUAUUUCACAAUUAUUUAUUAAGGCAUGCAAUUAAUUUCUGACCAAUGUUGAUAUUAAUUUGAUAUGCAUAAGUGUUUUAUUUAAGUUUUAAGUUAUUUUGCUUCCGCCCAACAGUGAUGCGAAAUUAAUUCAUGUUAUUUUAUUUAAGUUUUAAGUAUUUUGCUUCUUCCCAACGGUGAUGCAAAAUUAUUUCAUAUCAUUUUAAUUAUGUCUUUGCUUCUACCGAAUGGUGAUGCAAAGUUGUUUAUGUUUUUAAUCGAGCCAACGCAGAUUAAAUUUAUUACUUAUUAUUGUUAUCAUUACUAAUUGAAAUUCUCUCAUUUACUCAGACUUGACUCCAUCAAGCAUCAUAAGCUAUGUCAACAGUACAGAGAAGCUUGGAGGAGACAACUUCACUAAUUGGAAGAACCAGAUUGGAUUGGUCCUAUGCAUUAUGGAUCGGGACCACUUCAUGAGGGAGAAUCAUCCUGUUGCUCCGACUGCUCAAGGGGAUAAUGAUAGUACCCUUCCUGAGCGCACUGCUGCCUAUGAGAAGGAAAAAGAGCGGUAGGAGCGAUCAAACAGGGUGGCCCUAAUGAUCAUGGAGCGGACCAUAAACCUUGCAAUAAGGGAAGCUAUUGAGAAAAAUCCCAAAAGUGUCAAACAUUUUAUGGAGAAGGUUGAGGAGUACUUCAAAAGCUUCAGUAAGGCUAAUGCUAGCACCCUCCUGACUAAGUUAAUGAACACUAAGUAUGAUGGGCAAGGCAAUGAAAGGGAGCACAUCAUGAGCCCCGUUGACCUAAGGGAUAUGCUCAACGACUUGAAUUGCCCUCUUAAUGAUGAGACACUGCUUCACCACAUCAUGCUUUCGCUGCCCUCAGUGUUUGAACCCUUUAAGAUAAACUAUAAUGGCAGCAACAUGAAGUGGGAUAUUCCCACACUCAUCAUGAAGUGUUCUCGGGAGGAAGAAAGGCUCAGAUCAGAGAAAGGCAAUUUUGCCAACCUCAUCAGGCAUGAGGUAAAUAAGGGAAAAAAAUAAGCAAAUUGUCCCUUUUAAGAAAAUUAAGAAGCCUCAUCAACCUUCUCGUAAGAAUGAUGGGUCAUCCUCGUCUAAGGGUCCAAAAUGCCAUCAAUGCGUGGCCUAUGGGCACAUCAAGAAGCACUGUGAAAAGUUAAAGGAAUGGUGCAUAAAAAAUGGUAAUGAUGACUUUAUUUCUACAGUCGAUGAGUCCCUUUAUGUUGAUUUUUCAUUAAGUACAUGGUGGAUUGAUUCUAGGGCAACCAUUCAUAUUACUGAUUCCUCACGGGGAUUACAUGGCGCACAGACUAUAAGAAAGGGGACUCGCGCCGUUAAAGUUGCCAAUGGAGUUGAAGCUGAAGUUGAGGCUGUUGGAGAUCUCACUUUAGAACUUAGUAGUAUCUUUAGGCUUCAUUUAAGUAAUGUUCUUUAUGUACCAUCACUUAAGAGAAACUUGAUUUCUAUUUCAUCAUUAGAUUGUGAAGGUUAUUCCUGCAACUUUGGGAACAACAAGUAUGUAAUAAGUUUUGACAAUAAGAUUAUUGGUCAUGCCCCUUUACAUGAUAAGCUUUACUUGUUGCCUCUAAGUAUUAAUUCCUCUGUGACGAAUGUAAGCGAUGCCAACCAUAAGCGAAAGAGAAACAUUGAGACUUCGUCAAAAUUGUGGCACUUCCGCUUAGGCCACAUCACAUUUCGAAGGGGAGAAUGGAGCGUCUCAUUAGAGAAGAGAUACUUCCAAAAUUAGAUUUCUCUGACUUAGAUCAAUGCGUUGACUGUAUUAAGGGAAAAUUUGCAAAACAAAUUAAAAAGGAUGGAGCUAAGCAGAGUUCAGGAUUAUUAGAAAUAAUUCAUACUGAUAUAUGUGGUCCAUUUAAUGUAAGAUCAGUGGAUGGUUAUAAUUAUUUAAUUACCUUCACUGAUAAUUUCUCCCGCUAUGAAUACAUCUAUCCCAUACUCGAAAAGUCUGAAGCACUUGAUAAGUUUAAAAUCUUUAAAGCUGAAGUAGAAAAUCAGCAUGACUAAAAGAUCAAAGUGGUAAGAUCAGAUAGGGAAGGGGAGUAUUAUGGGAAACACUCCACAUAUGGACAAAUUUUGGGACCCUUUGUCAGAUUUCUCCGAGGUAAUGGUAUAGCAGCUCAGUAUUCCAUUCCUGGUGAGCCUCAGCAAAAUGGUGUUGCUGAGAGAAGAAAUCGCACCGUUAUGAACAUGGUGCAUAUUAUGCUAUGUAACUCUACGCUGCCAGUGAGUUUGUGCAUGCAAGCUUUAAAGACUGCCGCACACAUUAAUAAUUGUGUUCCUAGUAAGUCAGUCCCUAAGACUCCUUAUGAGCUUUGGACUAGUAGGAAGCCUAUAUGAAUUAUUUACAUGUAUGGGGCUGCGCAGCUGAAGUAAAGAUUUUUAAUCCACAACUUGGGAAAUUAGAUCCAAGACUGAAAGCUGUUAUUUUAUUAGAUAUCCAGAAAAGUCAAAGGGGUACCUCUUUUAUUGUCCUAAGCAUACCACUAAGUUUGUGGAGACAAGGCAUGUUGUUUUCUUAGAGGAAACUGGAUGCACUGAGGCUAGGAAAAUUGAUCUUGAGGAGAUUCGAACUUAUGAGCCGUUACCCAUAAGAUAGGAUUAUCAUACUCCUAUGCCAUAUACCACAGUUACAUCUCAGGUGGUGGAACUUCUAGUAGAAAAUGUGGGAGUAACAUCUACCUUAAGUGAUAAUGUAGAUGCACCUUUGAUAAGUGAGCAUCAAGGUGAGGAUGUGGUAGAACCUGCUGGUGGAUUGCAAGGGGAGGCAACUGAUGAGCCCGAGGUGAUUCAGCAGGAACCUGCUCAAGUAGAAGCACCACAGGAAGUAACACCACAACAUCUGAGAAGGUCAACAUGUGAGAGGAAGUACACCCGUUUCGAUGAGUAUGUGUACAUAAGUGAAGAAGGGCACAACAUGGGGAAGGUGGAUGGUCCAAACUCAUUUAAGGAGGCUAUAAUUAGUGAACACUUGCAUAAGUGGAGCGAGGACAUGGAAGAAGAGUUGAAGUCCAUGGAAGCAAAUAGAGUAUGGGACUUAGUAGAAAUUCCUGAAGGAGCCAAAACAAUAGGCUGUAAAUGGGUCUACAAAAUGAAAUAUGACUCUAAAGGGAAGAUCAAAAGGUUCAAAGCAAGACUCGUGGCUAAGGGCUUCACUCAAGUAGAAGGAGUCGAUUAUAAUAAAACCUUAUCGGCUAUCUCAAAGAAAGAUUCAUUUAGAAUCGUUAUGUCUUUAGUAGCUCAUUAUGAUCUUGAGCUACAUCAAAUCGAUGUUAAGAGUGCGUUCCCUAAUGGUGACUUGCAUGAGAAUGUAUACAUGAAGCAACCUGAAGGUUUUGUCGUGGAAGGCAAGGAAUAUUUGGGAUGCAAACUAUGAAAAUCCAUUUAUGGAUUGAAACAAGCAUGCAAAAAAUGGUACCUUAAGUUUGAUGAAGUAAUUAAGAGAAUUGGCUUCAUUGAAAAUAAGAAAGACAACUGCAUAUAUGUUAAGACUAAGGGGAGCUCUAUAAUCAUCCUAGUGCUUUAUGUGGAUGACAUCCUAUUAGCAAGCAGCGAUAAGAACUUGCUGCAUGAGACAAAGGGCUUUCUCUCAUUGAACUUUGAUAUGAAGCACCUUGGUGAUGCCGCUUAUGUCUUAGGCAUUGAGAUUCACUGAGAUAGGUCCAAGGGUGUAUUAGGACUCUCUCAAAGAGCUUACAUAGAGAAGGUCCUUGAAAGAUAUAAUAUGCACCAAUGUUUAGGCACAACUGCUCCAAUUGUCAAGGGCGAUAAGUUUGGGUCAUUCCGAAGUCCUAGGAAUCAAUUAGAAAUUGAUCAAACAAGAACGAUUCCUUAUGGUUCAGAUGUCGGAAAUAUAAUGUAUGCACAAGUGUGUACACGCCCUAACUUGGCCUUUAUAAGCAGGAUGCUUUGAAGCUAUCAGUCUAAUCCAGGAAUAGGCCAUUGGGAAGGAGUUAAGAAAGCUUUGCGUUACAUGCAAGCACUAAGAAUUACAUGCUAACGUAUAGGAGAACUGAGAAAUUAGAGAUAAUCAGCUAUUUCAGAUACUGAUUUUGAGGGUUGUGUUGGCACAAAGAGAUCCACAUCAGGUUAUGUCUUCACACUUGCAAAUGGCGUUAUAUCGUGGAAAAGCUCCAAACAAACAUUAACAGCUGCAUCGAUGAUGCAAGCUGAGUUUGUGGCAUGUUAUGAAGCUAUGGGACAAGCUGUAUGGCUUAAGAGUUUCAUCCUAGAAUUAAGAGUGGUAGACAGCAUAAGUAGGCCACUAAAAUUAUACUGCAAUAAUAAGUCAGUAGUUUUCUAUUCGAAUAACAACAAGUCAAGUGAUGCUGCAAAGCACAUUGAGAUUAAGUAUCUUGAUGUGAAAGAUAGAAUCCAAGAUCACACCAUUGAGUUAGAGCAUAUAAGUACUAAGAAGAUGCUUGUGGAUCCAUUAACAAAAGGCUUAUCUCCCAUUAUAUUCAGUGAACAUGUUGCCAGCAUGGGAUUAUCGGAUAGCUUGUGAUCUUGGAGGGUCAUAAGACAACUGCCUCCCAUCAUGAUAGGUAGUUUUAUACAUUGUGGACAACUGUGUCAUAGUGGGAUUUUAAUCAUCAUUGUCACACAUUAUCUCCCUGCAUAAUGCUGCUUUAAGAAUGGCAUAAAUUAUAGGCCUUUAGACCAAAGGGGAGAACGUUGGAAAAAUAACGUGGUGGUCAAAAGGCUGAGACGAAAACGGGAAGGAUAAGAUUGACGCCUCCCGAUCACGGUGGCAUUGGAGUUGGCCAAAGGCCGUCGCCGCACCACCAUCACUAUCCAUGGACAGACGAGGUGGAGACCUAAAGGGAGAUGCGAUCUACUCCGAGCUAGUACACCUACAACAUCUGUCAUCCCGGCCUCGUCCACAACCCUAAUGGCCGGAUCUUCACAAGCCGUGGCAGCUGGUUGUACUCUAACAUCUUCAUUGAGUGGUGUUCACAUUCUAGAUGUGCAAAGAUCCUGUUUUAGUUAAGAUUAAGUAAUGUAGAUUCCUACAGAGUUAACGAAGCCAACCUCUCGAUUCCAGUAGUAGGGAUGUUUUCUUAUGGCAUAUCUUGUGCCCCACUAACAUCACUCAUGCUAAGGUCAAGGCUAUUAGGCAAUGUAUAGCCGUAUAUAGCUGAUUUAUAGCUUUCCAUGUAUACUGAUUGUAUUCCUUGUAUACCAAACCAUAUUGGCUAUAUAAUAGAGGUCACCCCCCUCAUUAGGGUUCGUGGUGUUUUCCCAAACUCUAUCUAUCUACAUGGUAUCACAAGACCAGGAUCAAUCUGACAGGGACUUUCCUUCCGCUCCACCUCUCCCUGACGCGCCUAACCCUAGGUGCAGCUCCUGUGCGGUGGCGCUUCUCCCCUAGGCUGGCGCCCCUCCCCACCUCCCUUCCUCCCAUGGCCAAUGAUUCCUCUAUCGAGUCCUCCCUGUCCGGUGGUGGCCUUCUGUCCACUGGUGGCCCCAGGCCGGUGCCUGGCGAUGGCUCCCUGCCCAUCUCCGGUGACACCCCCCCCACUGGACUUGAACCACUGGGCGGCUAUGGCACCCUCCUUGGCACCGACGAUGGCCCUGCGUUGCCCCUUGGUGGCGGUCUUCUCCUCCACCAGGCGCCGUCGGCCAUCAUCCACCUGUGGCGGAACCGCCCAGAUUUACUUAGCUAAAGCACCAUUAAGUCACCUGACAUGCGAUCUUAUGCUUUAACCAAGAUAACUCGGCAGUCCGUUUAAUUUCGUCCGAUAAACCACUACACAGGACCGAGAAGCAGAGCUCACACGAAGGUGAGUGGUUCCAGAGAUUUCAAUAGAUCACCCAACUUAAACAAGUACCUUAAUUUUACAAACUCGGGUUCGAAAUUCCACAAAGUUUUACGGAGUUCUCAAGCAGCGGGAAAAUAUAAACCAACGGAAGCUAGCGUCAGGGGUCGGAUGUCACGAUGAGGCCGACCAUGACAUCAAUGGUCCCUAUCCUCACCGUCCGAGAAGGGAUCCCACUCGAUCGUCCACUCAGGAGGAAGCUGGGGAGGCCAAGUGCCAACAGCAGCAAACUCAGGAGCUUCAACAUCACCUGAAAAGAUUGUCACAACAAGGCUGAGCGACUACGCUCAACAAGACUUAACCGACCGUUGGGAACUACUCCACCAACUUCUAGACAUGCACGGCUCUUUGGCUGAGGGGUUGGUUUUGCCAACGCGACUAUAGUAGGUCCUUACUUUCAAGAUUUUAGACACAGGUUCUACUGUUGUUUAUCAUUCUAAGUUAGUAGCUAUACUAAUCAGGCAAAAGUUUCCAAGCAAUUUAUGACAAGCAUACAGGUUAACAUCACCAUCAAGUUCCAUUCUUACUUAGUGUAGCAUAGUGAUCAAGCAGUCCCAAACUGUGAGAGGCAGACGAAUUGAUUCGAAUAUCUUAACCAUGCAUGGUGAACCUAAUCUCACGAUAUCCGCACACCACAAAGGGUCGCUUCCUCUGUCGGUCGCACCCAUCAAUCCCUUGACCCGUGUCGAGCCCACUUCUCUUGGUACAAGGCUCCACAGACCCGGCCUCUGCCGUUCUGUGACCGCACUUGUCACCACAUGCGGCCGGAAGGGAAACUCUAUUCCAGAGACAGUGGAUCGAACCGCUCAUGUCCUGGUUCAAUCAGGUACUAGGCUUCCCCAUCCCAUACUAGAUAUGAGAUUAGUACUUUCAAACACUUGAUCGCGAACACCAUCACCUUUCGACCUUAAACCAAUUUCAUGUAGACAGACGGGGCAAUCCACCAACCACCAAAAUAGUUCACAGAGCCCUGCCCCCUCCAUCGUCCUUAUAGUUGUAACAAAAAGGAGAGCAAGCAACUCCUAUAACUCGCGAGUGACAGGGAAUCACUCGACUUUUACCGAGUCAUGUUAAGCAUUGCAACUACUCGGCCUAUCAUACUAGUGUUCAUAUCAAAGGGAACUAAGUCAUGCAUCUAUGGUUUCAAACAACUCCUGAAACGUAAAUGCACUUACAUACAACAGAAGGCAUGCGCAAGUUUAGAAAGACUGGGUGAUGCUCGGGGGCUUGCCUUCAAGUGGGGCGGAAGCAAACUAAUCUUCAACACUCUCGGGCUCAGCUCCUGCAGGCAGCUUAGCUACAACUUCAUCUUCGGGCACCGGGUGCAGCUCGUACGUGCCGUCGGCGAGGUUCAGCUCUACACGGAAUGCAAUGCAAGGGUGAGACACAGACGGUGAUUUCAACAACACUUGCAAAGAUUUAGCCCAAAAACUGUAGCAAAACUACAGGAAAAGUGUGAAACCCACGUCAUUGGAUUUUACUCAGAAAGAGGAUUCCAACCCAAGUGAUCUCACAUUUUUCUGAUUGUUCCCCGAUUUAAGAUGGAAUUUCCAAGCCUCUGCCGAUUUAGAACAAGAUAAAAGAGUCGGGUCAGGAAAAACUUGCAAUCUGACCCUUAGACCUAAGGAAUAACUGUACCGGGAUCCUUAGAUUUAACACAGAGAAGUCCUCAAAAUUUUACACAGAUGCCCUUGGUCAAAAGAAAAAGACAUAGCCGAGCCCUCGGGCGAGGCAGACAGGGGUCGGGCGAGACGGACAGGGGUUGGCAGCUCACCUUUGGUCCUACUGAUGAAGUCUUAGGGUUGGCAAGAAGCAAGCUCAGGCGGAACGACAAAAGGCGUUAAGUUUCGGGCGGCGGCGACGUCUGGCGGUGCUCCGGCAGUGGUGGUGCUUCUUGCGGACAACAAGCAAGUUUUAGCGCUGCACGAAGGAAAGCGAAGCGGUUGGCGGGGUCGGCAAGGCAGGGUGUUGGACGGAAGGGGGAGCUCCACAGAGAGCUCAGGCGGCGGUGCGUGAGCACGAAACAGAGGAGUGUGUGGUGGAGAGUGCGCUAGAGGAGAAACCAAGCAAGCAGUGCGGCAAGGGCAAUGGUGGCGAAGAGAACUCCCGUAAGAGGCUCUGGUACCCAUUUUAUAGCUGUGCGGAAGUGAACGAGAUCGAGCAGUGUGAGGAUAAGAUCGAGGGAGAAGAGGAGUGCUCUACCGUGGCGGCGAUUGGUCGGUGUCUCCAUUGGCCGGAGAAGCGGAGCUCCAGGGAUAGGAUCCUAUGGCAUUGGGCAAGGAAGACAGUGCUAGGCAAGCGCGGUUUUGCUGAGCAGAAGGAUUGGUGAGGUCGAGCGCGUGCUUGGUCGCGUGAAGCGCCGGAUUGGGUGCGGCGACUCGGUAUUGGCGGACAGGAGAGAGCGAGGUGCACUUCAGGCAAGGGCGCCGUAGGCGAGGUGACAGGGCGAGCGAUGCGAUGCGAGCAUGCGUGGAUUAGCGACUCUGCCGGGGCACACUACUGGCGAGGCGGGGGAAAGGAGUUGUCACUGCCUGCGCGGCGAUUGGCGAAGACGGCAGCGUCGCGGGGCGCACGUGGGCAGCGCGAUUGAGGUUGACGGGAGGGCCGGAAGGUGUUGGGGCGCGCGGCUGGGGGUCCAGGUGAGGCGAUGCGCACGGGAGGCGAGGCGGUACUGGCGCGGCAGCGGCCAAUCUUUGGUCACAGCGGCGGGUAGUGUGCCUGGCGCGACUGGCGAGGUCUCAGGCGAGACGAGACGGGGCGGAGAGGUCUGCAGGGUGCUUCUGCGCGCGAUUGGGAAGGAGGUGCUGAUCCAUCUUGUCGCGGCCGGCGACUGGGUGAGGCGGCGCUUGCCGGUGAGGUCACGCCAUGCGGCGGCAGUGCUCCGAAACAGGGCGCACGCGCGCUCUGGCGCUCUUUGUCCGAUGGAUCCGCGGGAUUCCUUGCCGGGCCCAUCUUCCAGCCUCUUGAUCUUCCGAUUUCCAAACUGCACCACAUUGACUCCCUUCACAAGGGUUGUAGAACACAGGCUAAGGUCCAACUUUUGUAAUUGGACUGAGUUAAAAAACGCGGUGGAUUUGGAGAUCCAAAGCUCCAAAGUUUGGAGGAACAUUGGUUUCAGGACUUAGAGAAAAGCGGCGGUUUGGCUGGUUUUCAAGGGUCAGGACUGAUUUGAGCUGCAGAUUUGGGAAUCUUCUGAGGCGAAUUGGACCAAUGUCCAAUUAACAAAGUUGUGGUAGGAACUUUGUUCUCCAACUUCUAUAAAGGGUUUUCUUGAUGUUCAGUUCAACUUUCCAAAGAUAAACCUUCCUUAAGGCGCUAGGUCAGGCUGAUUUUCCAGACUUAGCCAGAAUGGCUGAAGGAAGUCUGAGUUGACCAGACUAGGGGGCUUGUCUUAAGAUUAAACUCGGCUGAUUUAAAUCUAGGUCGUUACACCACCCCUACGCCACGAUCUCCGUCAAGGCUCACAUCCCCAUGAUGUUGACGAUGAAGACCUCCAGCUACUCCAAGUGGGUUUCCUUCUUCAAAUCCAUGUGUGGCAAGUUCGGCCUCAAGUCGCACAUCGACAGCACCGUGACGCCCCGUCCUGAUGACCCCGAUUGGGAUCAAGCGGAUUGCUGCGUCCUCUUCUGGAUCUUUGGCUCUAUCGUGGACCUCGCCAUGGAGGAUGAUGAGCAGACCGCCAGGGCCCUCUGGCUCACCAUUUAAGGCCUCUUCCAUGCCAACAAGCAAUCCCGGGCGAUCUUCCUCAGCUACGACUUCCACUCCAUGACCCAGGAGGACUCCUCCAUCUCGUAGUACUGCCAGCGCAUGAAGAACCUCGCUGACACCCUCCGUGACAUUGGGCAUCCCAUUCAAAACUCCCAGUUGGUCCUGAAUCUUCUCCACGGCCUCAACCCGCACUACUCCAACACCACCGACGACAUCGGCAACUCCCCCGCCGGCUUCCAGUCCUUUGCCCAGGCUCGUGACAUGCUCACCUUGAAGGAGCUUCGCCUCGUCAACUUGCUGCUCUACGUCGAUGACAUCAUCCUCACCGCCUCAUGUUCGACGCUCCUCCACCACAUCAUGGCUAGUUUUCAGUCCGAGUUCGCCAUGACGGAUCUUGGUGAUCUUCAUCACUUUCUUGGCAUCUCCGUGACGCGCUCCCCUGAUGGCUUGUUCCUGUCCUAAUGACAGUACACCCUGGACCUCCUCCAGCAUGCCAGCAUGGCUGAGUGUCACUCUACGACGAGUCCUGCUGACACUCAUGCCAAGCUCUCGGCGACCGACGGCAACAAGCUCAAGGAUGGCUCUAAGAAACCGCUGGAAGUUAAAUUCAACAAAAGUUCAAUUCGAGAAAAGUUCAAUUCAAGAAAAGUUAAAUUGUAUCACCUCCCCAGGACUUUGUUCUUUUGUUUUUGGUUCCCAAAGCACAAUUUCAUUAUCAGCACUCUGCAAAUCCAAGCUAGCAUAGAUCAGAUUCCUCAUUAUACAGGAACCAAAACUGGCACUGGGAAAAAAAAGGUUGAAAGACUGAACCCAUGCACAGUACAAGAAUACAGGAUCCAGAUACAGUGGUAUUUUGAAGCAUCAAAAGAAUGACGACUGUACUACUACUAUAGCAGCAAUUUGUAUCCAUUUAAGGGAAGGAAUUUCACCUCUGACAGGAUGAAGUCACCAAGCCAUCUUGUACAAUCAACAUAGUUAGAGUGUACUGCAGCAAUCAACACCUGCAAGGAAAGAAACAGGUUGGUUUGAUGGCAUGAGGAUUAAACACCAACAGUAGUUUGCAAAGGAAUAGAUCUAAGAUGAUUAUAGAUGCUAAACAUACCGGAAACUGGACAUAUUUUGUUGGAAACUUUGAUGGAAGGUCAGUCCAGGAAUAUGAUUUGUCAACAUAUUGCCAAAAUUCUGUGACAACAUUGGGAAACUCUAUCAAUGAUAUGCAGCAUGCAAAUGUAAACAUGAUGCUACUUUGAAGUAGUUUUCCAACCUUUCAUUGACCAGAUUUUCACAGUGUUGUCCAUGCCACAACUUGCAAAACGCUCAAUAUCACUAGGGUGGAAGUCCUUCAGCCAAAAUAAUGUAUUUUGGUCAGUACAUUUAUGCCUAACGUAAUGGAAGUACAAAAGCCGUAGUAGUCACCAGGACUAUAUUUAUCCCUGAUGUAAUGCUCAAUAACAAAUAGUAACAUCAGAAGCUGAAAGAGUGGUAGCUUCAGGGCACUUUGAGCAAGUAAUAUUCUGAAACAAUACCAUAAGAGGAGGCAGGAGCUACUUACAACACUCAACACUUCAUUGCGAUGACCUCAAGCUCCAGCAAAUACCAAGAUGCAGAUCCCUGUAUGGACAUUCCAUAGCCUAACAGAUUCAUCCUAUUCAAUAAUGAAUAAUGCCAUAUGAAACAGUGUCAGAACAAUUAUAACAAAGUACAUUCAGCCUAAGAACAGGUUAUCUGCUAACCUUGCUUGCAGAAAUGAUGAGCGAAGGCUUCAACGCUUGAGUCCUUAUCUCAUUUAUUGAGUCACCAUGGCCAGCAAAGCUCUGUAGAAUUCCAUAAACAGAAAUAACAAAUAAACACGUGCACAGUCUAAUUCAUAGGAUAGGAUAGUAUUUAUUGGCAUGCCCUGUCUCGUGACUAUAUGUAUAACGCCAAAAUAGAUACACUAGGUUGAACGUGUCUUGACUAUAACGGACAUGCUGAAGUAUCCAAAAACCAGAAUCUUCUGUGAGCAAAAGUUACAGUUUGCUAGUGGUAUUAAUGCAUAGCAAACAGACAAUUCCUUAAUCAAACCAAAUUCAAAUGACCUUCUGGAUCGGAUAUCAUAGAUGGUAUCUGUCAGGUAAGCAACUGAUGUACAGAUUUGUGCAAAUGAAGCUUCAUUCAAGUUUGACGUAGUAACAAAGACAAGGCUAGGGGUACUAUACCUUAGCUAACUUCUCCGUAGCACAGUUGAUGACCCGAAUGAUCCCAUUGCCUCCUGCUGCUCAAUGACUCCAUUCUUGGUGACCAGUGUGGCAUCCAAUGUAUCAAUCAGCUCUUCCUUCUUCUUGAGCAAGGCGUUCUUCUCCUCUAUCACCCUGUCCCUAGCCUUCAGUGCCUCCUCCAUCCGAACAACUCUCACCUCCAGCGUGACAAUCCUCAGCGAGUCCCUCUUGUCGUAGGUGUCCGGUGCAGUGUCCACCUCGUGCUACAGGCGACGGUUCAUCCGGUCCAGGUCAGUCAAAUAGUGCUCAAGUCCCAUUAUCUUGCCCUCAAGUAUGGCGUUGGUACCGAUGCAGUUGUCCCAACCAUUGUGAAGUACCUCCACCUCUCUGUCAUUCCAGAACAGCGCCAAGUCCUGAGCGUGAAUACAGCGGGAGGCCACGCAAAACUUCUCGUUGGGCUCUGCAUAUGCGUCCUCGUAGUACUGAUGGACUAAACUCUCGAAAUCCCUCAGCCCACGGCAAGCCCUGGUUAGGCAACGGUAGGGAGUCUGAGCCAACCUGUCACGGAGCUGCGCAUGCACCUCACACACAGCCCUUCUGGCGGCAGUCCGGUGAGCCGUUGACACUGACAGCUCAAACCCAAGUAGAAGAAUAAGCAAAGUCUAGUCAGAAAUAGCGGUAGUCAACAGAACUGUCCAUAACCAGUGGACACGGAUUAUAGCUACAGCUUUAUACACUCUGCAGAGGAUGUACAACUAUACCCACACGGAUGGAGUCUAAACGGUGGCGAUCCGUCGAAACCCCACCUAACAGCCGGAGCCCUAGUAGGUGGAUAGCUCUGUCAUAUUUCCUCGAGUCUGGAAUCAUCCUUAGCUGCAGGGCACGCCGUCACCAGUGAGCACCUCGAAGCUAUGAAACCUACCCAUGCCGGGGUGUAGUCUGGUCAAAGCAAGCCAACGCCUUGAACUCAUUACAUGAUCCUCCAAUCUGCCUAGAGGCUGAGCACUAUCCACCACUAGUCUCGAACCGAACUCUGCCCAUAACGUAAGCGAGCGGUAUCUACGUAAAAUAGUUGCUGUGACUAGUGGUAAACUGACUCAGUGCUUAAGCGGCUGAGAGCGAGCACUCUACUCCACAAGUAUGUGCCGAAACACAUGCAACAUAUAAGUACGCUACCUGCUCCUCAGUAACAAACAAGGUACCCACCACAGGUACGGGGUAUAGAGAGAGUCCAGAAUGCUCUCUCCUAGCAAGGCACUCCUUAGUACCAACCAUGGCGCUCCCGCCAAAACAUAUCAAGGAGUCACACUCACCCAAAACUCAAGCGAGAGUGUUCAAUGAAUCCUAUCACCGAAACUGUGGCAUAUGCCCAUCCAUAACUCAAAAGCAUGUAUAUGGAUAUAUGAGCGGUGGACUAGCUAGGGGUCUGUAGCUAGUCCACAAAAGUAGGUAACAAGGAAAACAGAAUACAAAAUUAUCAAGGCAUGGCUAAAAAUAUUGGCUAUGCAAUCCAACAUCAUCAAGCAUCAUAAAUAAAGCACCAGCAACUAAGCAUGCAUAUGAUCUAUGUGAUUGGGAGUGGCAUGACACCUUGUCCGUAGUUGUUUGGAUCUUCCUCGGCAUAGUCGGAGUCUUGAGGGUCUUCUGGGUCGUAGCUCGAGUCUGAACAGACCAAGAUAUGACAUAAAGUAAAUUAAAUGGCAUUACAACUAGGAAGAAACUCCAAGAAAGCCAAAUUUAGUAGAUCCAAAUAACACCAAACUAGUUACAAACAACACGGGCUCCAUUUUACGAAUUUAAUGCAACUGGUUCCAUAUUUUUCGCAGUUAAAAUGAAUUAGUUAUGAAUUUUUUAAGAUUAAAGGAUUCAUUUAAUUAUUUAAAUAAUUUUAGAAAAUAUUUAUUAUUACAGUGACAUGUGCCAGCGCUUGGUUGUGCCAUGUGGGAGCAUAAGAGUGCGCCACGUGUCUCCUAACGCCAAGCUAACGUCAGCGUUGACCGGUCAACAGGGCCCCACCAGUGGGCCCGAGCCUCGGACAUGUCAACGCCUCGUGGCUCCACGUGGCAGCCACGUGGCACUGCCACAUGGCGCACACGUGGUCGUCCCCAGCUGGCCGGGAUCCGCGCGCCACCCGCGUGUGGCCAUGGGUGUGGUGCAGGCCUGAUUGGCUGCGACACAGCGGUGACUGUGCCCACGACGUCAUGGUGUGGCGCGACGUCACGGCGCGGCUGCUGCACGUGUGCGCGGGCAGGAGGUAGUCCCGGCCGCGGCACGACCGCGGCGGCGUGCGGGGUCCCGGGCCCGCGGUGGCUGGCAGCGAGGCGAGCGGCGGCACUACAACCGUGGCUCGAAGGCUGGGCAUACGACAAGCAAACAAGAGGAAAGAGAGGGGCAACGAGGUUCACUGCAGGGAGACGGUGAAAUUGGGCGGCGUCGGGCGGUGGUCGACAGCUCAGGCUCCUCCCUCAGACGGCCCCUCUUCUUCUUCUUCUCUUCUACUUCCCCUCCUUCUCUUUCCUCCUCAUCUCCUACUCCUCCCUCCUCCUCUACUCCUUCCCCCUUCUCUCACUCGGGUGGUCGAUGGCGCAAGGGCGAAGCCCCGAGUGGAUGGCGAAGAGAGGCCCCGAGCGGCUCUACUUAUAGCGGAGAGGCGGCUGUGUUCCAGAGGGAGGUUGCGGCAGCACUUUAGGGUUUGGGGGCGUGGCGUCGGUGAUGUGGAUGGCUAGGAUGUGGUGUUGCAUGGUGCGGGUGACGUGGCGGCCAUCCGAGGCUCCCAGCACAAAAGCAAGGGUGCGGGCGAGGUCAUGGGUGCGCACGCGAGGCGCGCGUGAGCGGUACGGCCGGAGGAAGAAGGAAGAGGAACAGGGGCACCUCACAGGUGGGUCCGGUGCAGCAGCAAGAGAGAAAGAGAGGGAGAGCGGGGCGCGGGUGGCGACUGCGGGCUGGGCCAGCUGGCCGGUUAUGAGGCCUGCUGGGCUGGUCACUGAGCUGCGCGGGCGAGGCAGCUGAGCGGCGCGGGCGAGGUGGCUGAGCAGGCCAGGCCGGCUGUCUGGCUAGGCCGGGGUGAAGGUAGGUGAGGGUGAGGCGCGAGCGGGCCAGGCCGGUGGGCUGCGGCUAGCCUGGUUGGUUAGGAGGGUUAGAUAGGUUUUGUUUUUAUUUAGAUUUAGAUUUAGUUGGAGUGUUGAAUCAAAUUCAAAAUUCAAACACACACUCAAACAUGAGAUCCAAAUAAAAUCUAAAAAGAUCCAAAUCAUUCCACACAAGUUUUGAAAUGGAAUUUUGGGACGAGAAGAGAAUUUGACUACCAUUUUCAAACAAGCACACAAUUCAAACAAAAGUUUUAAAUUUUUGGAAAUUUUACUUAAAUAAAUAUUACAAAAUUCUGGAAUAUUACAAACAUAACCACUUCACCUCGUACCCCGAGAAAAGCGAUACGAAGCUUAACACUCCUCGACAUCUGGGAAAUUUGGUCAGAACGAAACUCUAGAUUUUUCGGACUGUGUGAGUCAUCCUUGAUUUCCUUGGUGGCAAAAAUUAAAAAGGAAGCUUAAGUUUUGUAGGUCUUUUGGAUUAAACCAACUUGGUAAGCUAUCACCCCAAAAGCCAUGGACAUUCAAUUCUCUCAUGAGGGCACAAGCCAUCGAUCACUUCAUUCUCACGUGGUGUCGGCUCGAAAACUCUGGGAUUAGUUCGCCAGUUCAGCUCUAUUUCCUUGAGGUAUUUCUUGUCAACGAGUCUAGCCUCAGCAGCCUGUUCCUUGCUCCUCACAGUAUGAAUAGAAUUAAUGCAUAGCAUUCCGCUAAGCUGAUUCAUGCCCUUCAGCUCACCAAUUGCCCCCCUCCGUGCUUCGACUGUGAAAUAUCUCAAGUUCCUUUAAUAAGUCAAUAGAGGCUUUUACUGGAAGUGCUAGUUGACGCAAGUUGAUUAGCUUUGUUACAUCCUGACGAAUUGUUCUCAGACAUGAACCAAAUGCAACAACAACUUGUAGGCUGUUAAGGCACCAGAAUUUCGAUGGCACUUCAUUUAUAUUGCUGUAGGAUAUAUCAAGAUAUCGGAGGCUAUUCAACCCACAUAUGCUUUGGGGUAGACUUUUCAGCUUGCAACCUUUUAGGCUCAAAAACAGGAUGUUAGAAAGCUGACUGAACCAGGUGAUCUCAACAUCCAAUUCGGUACCAAACCUAAGUGAACGCAGUUUGUUCAAAUUUUGAAUGUUUGUCAUUGUGCCCAAGGACUUACGUACCAUCCACCUCGAUUGACAUGUGGCGAGGUUUAUUUGUCAUUCCGCUCAAAUCUUUCAUCGAGAAACAUUCAUGGAUAGAAACAUACUGCGCAGUAUCAUGGAUCAGGUCAUGCAUUACGUAUUUAUCUUGAUUAGGGAACUUUGGAUCAGUUUGGAAAAGACACCUGCCUCUCAAAUCAUCCAAAUACUUCAUCCCGACAUCUUCAAGACGCUUGCUCACUUGUGGUGAAACAAAGCCCUCUGCCACCCAAAUGUCAACGAUCUCAUGUCUUUUGAAGCUAUAAUCUUUCGGAAAUAUGGAGCAAAAUGCAAAGCAUCUCCUAAGUUCAGUUGGGAGGUACAAGUAGCUCAGUCGAAGUGCUGGUAAUAUGUCGCUAUGUUUUUGUUCUUGCUCCCAUAAUUCACUGUCCUUGAUAGUCCUCCAAUGUUGCUCAGUCAGAUUACUAUUCAACAAGCGUCCGAGAGUUUUGGCAGCCAAAGGAGUACCAUGCAACUUAGAGGAAAUGCUCUGACCAAUCUCUUGUAAGCGAGGAUAUGACUCUGGGCACUCUUUACCAAACGCACAUUUCUUGAAAAAUUCCCAAAAUACACCAGCGGGCAAUCCUUCGAGCUGGAGAGGCUUACAACUGCAUUUGGACCAUGCGGUGACAUUCUGAGCAAUGUUUUUGUGUCUUGUAGUCACUAAGAUCAUGCUACCUUCAAGUCCAUUCUUCAACGGUGCAUAAAAAGACUCCCAUUGUGGUAAUUUCCCAAAUAUCAUCCAGCACCAAAAGGAACUUUUGGAUCUUCAGCAUGUGCCACAGAUCUGCUUCAAGAACACCCAAACCACAAGACAAGUCGAAGUUUGGCUGGAUGAUGAUCUCCUUUUUCAUCCUUUCAAUGUCAAACAGGUCCGAAACACAGACCCGUAUCCUUACAGUAAAGUGGCCUUCACUCUUUCAUCACUGUCGAUGAGCUGAGCCAGGGUGGUCUUCCCCAUCCCGCCAAUGCCAAAAAUUGGCAAGACAGAAACAUUGCCACAGUUAGCAGUCUCAGCAAGCCCUGCACUGCUGUUACUGUCAAAGUUAAGUCGCUUGGCUUUGGAUGUAGAUGCGAUGGCGUCAUGACUUGCUGCUUCUGUGCCUUUUCCUUUAGACCCUGCAGAUGUACUGCCCAUAGUGAGUGGCAUGCCCAUUUGUGAGAUCACCUGAUUAAUUUCGGCAGCACGAUCAAUCGUCAGAGUCACACCCAGCAUCUCCAUCACUUGAUCCCUUUCCGUGUCACGCGGUGAUGAGUUCAUUCGUUGUUGGCAUGCAUGACCUGCACUGGCUGAACACGAUCAAGACCAAUCAAGCAUAGCACUUCUUUAACUUCAGCCAUAACCUUGUGGAGCUGAUCUUUGGUGUCCCUUAUCCUUUUUACUGCUAGCAUGGACGAGAUGUUUGGCAAUAUUCAGAGAGGAUGAUGACACGAGUUGACCUGCCCUGCUCCGGCUGGCGUCCUCAAUCUUGUGCCGCAGCGCCUGGUCCUCGAACUCUCGGUGGAGGUCCUCGGCGUCGUAGGUGGUGUACUUGUGCUGCAAGAGAUGGGCCUCCACCAUGCCCCACUCGCUGCGACUGAUGAGCAGCUUGGUCUUGAGUUGGUCCAGCUCGUUUUCCAGCUGGGUCGGCGCUUGGCUCAUGCUCAUCCCGAAUGACAGGAUGCCUUGCACGGUGUCCAUGGUCGCGCGCGCUCCUAGAUCUUGGUGCGUUGGUGGAGCUGCUCGUGAAGUCGUGAUGAUGGUGCUCCUCCUCCUCUUCCUCCUGCUUGGCACAGGGGCAGAAGGGAGCGAUUACCUGAUGAUGGUGCCACCGAUUACUGGCCUUCGCCCUCCCAACACCGGACUGGUGAUUUUCACCGGAGGGAUCGUAAGAGAGAUCGGGCAGAGAGGUGUAGGAUCAAAUUGCGUGUGCACCCAACGUGGAAUGGCGCUGGAUAUAUCUAGCUACAUGGUUGCAUGCCCUGCCGAUCUGGGCAAUCGGUAUUGCAUUUGCAGAUUUGCUUCGGUUUCAUCGAUGAUCCCUCCGGCGUUGGUUUCUUCGAUCGGUCCUGUCUUGGGUUCCAUCGAACUUGAUCGAGCUGUCUUGAGGCCGGCGGAGUAACUAAGAGAUCCAUUAUUCAUCGGGAUAAGCUAGGAUCGCAGGGGCUCGUUGCGGCUGCGGGCGUGGACCACCAUCUCUUCCUGCCUGCCGCCGGCGGCCGGCGAGUGCAAGACUGGUAGGUUUAGGAGAGGAAAGGCCAAAAGGCGUGAGCUGUGAAGGAAUGGACCUGGCAACCGGGUGCGGCUUGUGUUGUAUCUUGGGCCGGUUGGGCCGAGUGCAAGUUCCGGGGCCUCCUCGGUGGUGGUUUUGUUGGCUGCAAACUGAUGAGGCCUCGUGCCUUGGCUGCGAAGAAGACGGCUACUCAAAAGCAUUUCUCCCCCAGCAGCUUGAAACGGUCGCCCGCGGACAGCAAGCAAGCGUUCGCGAGCCUGACCGUGCACUGUACAGCACAGGACAGGGAUCCAUGCUUUCCGGCAACACCCAUCGGCGCCAGGCUUACCCACCAGUACACCUGGCACCUGCUGGCUGUCCAGCUCCAAACCUCUCCAUCACAAGACAGAGGUCGUCAAUGGCUUCUUCGGUUUGCAACAGCACAGUGGACAAGAAAAGCAGGGGCAAAGCUACAUUGGGCUAGCCGAGUGAUUAGUAACUAAUUUUUACCACUUGUGCACUCCCUAACCUCCAAUUUCGUGCACCACUGUCUGGCCCACCAACAACCUGCAGCCCAGCAGUUAGCAUAGGCCAGCUUUCAGCAACCCAUCAAGCCCACGAUGCACUAUAGGUGCAUGCAGCUGCGGGCCUGCCGCAUCCGCCCGCGUGCGUUGCACGUGACAAGUCCUCACGGAGAACACGAAACAAUCGUCCGCGAAGCCCGCUCGCUCGCCCAAACGUGAGAACUCAUCGUAGAAAGGCGGCGGAAGAGAGGGAGGCGGCACUCGCGCGUCGCCGUGUCGCACCAUCUCCAGUCGCUGCGGUACGUCUCCUCGCCGGAAUCAGCACCCCCAACCUUAAGCGAUCAUCAUCAACUCCUAUUUUUUUGUUUCUCUCCAUUGUUGCACUGCACAUUCUUCUAGCCUCCCCUUUUGCUCAAGCCCACUCCACUCGAAUGGUACACAAUUAUUUUUCUCACAUGUGCUUUUGUGCCAAUCAGCUUCUUUGAAGUAAUCCGUUAGUGUUUCAAUUUCAUGGUUACUUAUUCUCCUAUAUUCAAUUGAAUUGUAGGGUUAGGGUUUGCAAUUGGGGUUUUACUUCUACAAAUUGCAAUGAAAGGGCAAAGGAGAAGGAACUUAGGAAGGAUUCAUUGAGAUUUGAGACUCAAGAAAUAAACAAAAAUCAUGUCAAGUAAGUUUAUGGGUGUUUGGUCAAUUAAUCAUUUAUUUUUCUUCCCUUGAUUCUUGAACAGAUGAACAUGAGAAGCAUUAAUGUAACUGACAUUUUAAAAAAAUGUGUUAUAUGUGUGUUUAUGGAAAGAUGGUUAAAAAGAAAAGCGCCAGAUGAUGCUAACAAUUUUUGGUAAUUCUCAUCAGCAAAACAACAAUAUUAAUGUUAAUCCAAUACCACCAGCUCCAGAAGAUAUCGAUUGGGAGGAGGAGAUCCAACUUCAUCCUGGUAAAAGAGAAGAAAUACGUUCUUGUCACCCUAAUCUUAGAGAAUCGGUAAGAAGAAUGUACUUGGCAAAUGAGCCUUGUCAGCUCGCACUCUUAAUUUUUCAUCUACUCGGAUUGGGGAUAAAAAUUGAAGGUUUAAUCUUGAAUGGUUUGAUGAAUUUGGAAACUGGCUUGAGUACAGUGAGUCUACCGAUAGAGCCUACUGUUUUACCUGUUUCUUGUUUAGAGACCCCACUAAGAAGGAGGCUGGGUACAAGUCAUUUAUUUUAGAUGGUUGGAAUAAUUGGUAUAAUAAAGAAAGAUUAAAGGAGCAUGUUGGCAGUGUUGACAGCUAUCACAAUGUAGCAACGAAAAAAAUGUGAUGAUAUGUUGAAAAGAGAAUAGCACAUUGAUGUUAAGUUACAUGAACAGCUUGAGAGUUCUAAGAAUGCAUAUUUUGUUCGACUUAAUGAUGCAAUUGAUACUAUCAGAUUGCUACUCAAGCAAGGACUACCUUUCCGGGGGCAUGAUGAAUCAAAGACAUCCUUAAACAAAGGGAACUACAGGGAAGUUUAUGAUUGCUUAGCUCAACAUGAUGCAGCUUUAGCCAAGGCAUUGACAAUUGAUGCUGCAUAUAAUAGUAUUUUGGUAUCUGCUGACAUACGGAAAGACAUCAUCAACUGUUUUGCAGAUGAUAUUUUACAUUCUAUCCUUGGAGACAUUGGGAAAGAUGUAUUUUGCUUGCUAGUUGAUGAGUCUAGAGAUGUCUCUUUCAAAGAGCAAUUGGCAGUGGUGUUAAGAUAUGUUGAUAAAUGUGGAUUUGUGAACGAGAGCUUUGUUGGUGCUAGCAAUACGCAAGGUGAGUUCAAUGGCUUAAAAUCUUUGAUCAUGAGAGAAAAUAGUAGUGCAUAUUAUCUCCGUUGCUUUGCCCAUUAACUUCAAUUAGUGGUUGUAGCUGUUGCUAGAAAGCAUACAGGCAUUGCUGAAUUUUUUAACAAUAUCUCUAUCUUAUUGAAUGUGGUUGGUGGAUCUUCAAAGAGAAGGGACAUGAUUUGAGAUAUCAAUCUCAAAGAAGUUAGUAAGGCCUUAGGCUGUGGGUUACUUAGUAUCGGGACAGGAUUGAAUCAAGAACAAUGUCUUCAAAGACCUAGAGUCUCACUAUAAAUCUCUUAGAAGUUUAGUUAAAUUCCAAAUAAUUAUCAAAGUGCUUGAAUUUGUGGAAAAGGAAGGCAGGGAGGGAAAGGCAAGGGUGUUCUUAGAAAAGUACACUCAUGAACGGGAUGAAUGAUACACGAGUUCAGCGUCACCUAGUCAAGCCGGAUUCCAGAUUCCAUCGUACUGACACUUGCUGCGCUGCUUUGCUAUCUAUUAAUUCUCCUCAAUCUAUAGUAACAGAUAACAACUCUGUCCGCAGCAUGAUAUGGAAAUUUUCUCACACUGGCGGGUACACGAUGGCUUCAGCCUAUAGAGUGCAAUUCAUUAACUUCACCAAAAAAACACAAAUCUGCGCAAUCUGGACUUCUUGCCCCUCUCCUAAAUGCAAAUUCUUCGUGUGAUUAAUCCUUCAUAACCAUGCUUGGACUUUGGAUCGGCUUGCUCAAAGAGGAUGGCCUCAUAGCCCAGCUUGCCCCCUCUAUAAACAGAUAAUGGAAUUCUCUCUUCACCUGCUGGCCAAGUGCAGAUUCACUAGGAAAAUUUGGAGUCCUCGUGGCUAUUUAGACAAAGCAGCCAGUACUACACCCACUGGAAUGGGAACAAAGCUACAAUACCUUGGAAUGGUGGACCAACAUUGAAAUGGACCUGAAUUUUCAUUUCUGAGAAUUCAAGCCUACGCACCUCCGUGAUAGUUCUAGGAGGCUAUCACGUGCGAAUCCAUGUCUCAGAUAGUACAAAUUCAUACCAACAUAGAAAUAUAAAGCAACAACAUAGUACCAUAUCAUAAAUAUCAUAAGUAACAAGUACAUCUCUUCGGUACAUGCCAGAACAUGUCCAUCAGGAUUGAAUCAGAAAGGUAAAAUAUCUAUGCAGCGAAAGCGUAAGCUACGGCGAACUCCAUCUCCAGAGGCGACUCGAGCGAAGGACCAUCCCUAGUCUUCCUAUCCAUCAUUGUCGAAGUCGUAGUCGGGCUCCGACCCUAAAAAGCCACCAUCUACUCGAGAAGCGGGUAGGCCAUGUCAACUCCCAAAAGGAGCAAGCUAAGGAAAUGGGGGAAUUAUACUAUAUGCAUGAGUAAAACCUAUAUAUGGUUGUAGAGGUGUAUGCAACAGCAGCAUCAAUCAAGGAAGCAGCAAAGCAUUACCAUCUUCGAGGUCAACACCUCAAAUAAGGAAGUUGGCACAAAUCACCAGAUCCUUCGCCCAUGGGUCCAGCAUCCAACACACUAGUCGAUGUGAGAGCUCCCUUCCCUCACAUCUCAAUGGCAAACUCCAGCCUAUCUCAAAAAGGGGAGGUAGAAGAAUAAGCAAAGUCUAGUCAGAGGUAGCGGUAGUCAAUAGCACUGUCCAUAACUAGUGGAUAUGGACUUUAGCUAUAGCUUUAUACACUCUGCAGAGGUUGUACAACUGUACCUGCAUGGAUGGAGCUUGAACGGUAGUGAUCCGUCCAAACCCCACCUAACAGCCGGAGCUCUAGUAGGUGGAUAGCUCUCUCUUGUUUCCUCAAGUCUGGAACCUUCCUCAGCUGCAGGGCAUGCCGUCACCAGUGAGGACCUCGAAGCUGUGAAAUCUACCCACGCCGGGGUGCAGUCUGGUCAGAGCAGGCCAACACCUCGAACUCCUUACACGAUCCUCCAAUCCGCCUACAGGCUAAGCACUAUCCACCAAUAGUCUCAGACCGAACCUCGCCCAUAACGUAAGUGAGCGGUAUGUACGUAAAAUAGCAGUUGUGGCUGGUGGUAAAUGACUCGAUCCUUAAGCGGCUGAGAGCGAGCACUCUACUCCACAAGUAUGUGCUGAAGCACCUGCAACGUACAAGUAUGCCACCUGCUCCUCAGUAACAAACAAGGUACCCGCCACAAGUAUGGGGUAGAGAGAGAGUCCAUAAUGCUCUCUCUCGGCAAGGCACUCCUCAGUACCAACCAUGGCUCGCUCCUACCAAAAUACAUCAAGGAGUCACACUUACCCAAAACUCACAUGAGAGUGUUUAAGAAAUCCUAUCACCAAAACCAUGGCACGCCCAUCCAUAACUCAAAAGCAUGUAUAUGGAUAUAUGAGCGGUGGACUAGCUAGGGGUCUGUAGCUAGUCCACAAAAGUAGGUAAGAAGGAAAACAUGAUAAAAAAUUAUCAAGGCAUGGCUAAAAACAUUAGCUAUACAAUCCAACAUCAUUAAGCAUCAUAAAUAAAGCGCUAACAACUAAGCAUGCACAGGAUCUAUAUGAUUGGAAGUGAUAUAAAGCACUAGCAACUAUACAUUGGCUUGCCCGUAGUCGUUUGGAUCUUCCUCAACGUAGUCGGAGUCUUGAGGGUCUUUCGGGUCGUAGCUCGGGUCUGAACAGAACGAGAUACGAUGUAAAGUAAAUUAAACGGCAUUACAUCUAGGCAAAAAUUCCAAGAAUGCUAAAUUUAGAAGAUCCAAAUAAUACCAAACUAGUUACAAACAACACGGGCUUGAUUUUAUGAAUUUAAUGCAAAUGGUUUCAUAUUUUUCAGAGUAAAAAUGAAUUAGUUAUGAAUUCUUAAAUAUUAAAGGAUUUAUUUAAUCGUUUAAAUAAUUUCAGAAAAAAAUUAUUAUUAUGGUGACACGUGUCAGUGCCUGGUUUUGCCACAUGGCAGCACGAGAGUGUGCCACAUGUCUGCUAAUGUCAGACCGGUAACGGUCAACGUUGACCCGGUCAGUCAACGAUGACCUGGUCAACGUUGACUGUCAACUGGGUCCCACCGAUCAGCAGUGGCCCCACAGGUCAGUGGGCCCUGCCAAUGGGCCACCAGUGGGCUUGGGCCUCGGACACGUCAUCGCCUCGUGACUCCACGUGGCAGCCACGUGGCCAUCUAGUCGACAUGGCACUGCCACGUGGCCGUCCCCAGCUGGUCAGGAUCCGGUGUGUCAACUGGAUCCUGUGUGCCACCCGCAUGUGGCCACGGGUGUGGCGUAGGCCUGAUUUGUGGCGACGUGGCGUGGCGGGGCGUGGCGGUGACUGCGCCUAUGACGUCGUGGUGCAGCGCGCCAGCUGUGCGUGCGCAUGGGCAUGGGGCAGUCCCCGACCACGGCACGACCGCGGUGACAUGCAGGGUCCCGGUGUCCUAGGCCCACAGUGGCUAGCGGCGAGGUGAGCAGUGGCGCUCCUAUGGCGGCUCGAAGGUCAUAUGACAAGGAAACAAGAGGAAAGAGAGGGGUAGCGAGGCUCACUGCGGGGAGAUGGCGAAGGCGGGCACUGUCGGGCGGCGGUCGACAGCUCUGGCUCCUCCCUCAGAUGGCCCCUCUUCUUCUUCUUCUCCUCUACUUCACCUCCUUCUUCCCUUUCCUCCUCUUCUCCUCCUCCUCCCUCCUCUUCUGCUCCUUCCCCCUUCUCUCACUCGGGUGGCUGGCGGCGCAAGGGUGAAGCCCUGGGUGGAUGGCAACAAGAGGCCCCGGGUGCCUCUACUUAUAGCGGAGAGGCGGCUAGGGUUCCGAAGGGAGGGUGCGGCGGCGCGCUUGGGUUUGGGGGCGUGGCGCUGGCGACGUGGACAGCCGGGAUGCGGCAGCGCACGGUACGGGUGGUGUGGCGGCCAUUCGAGGUCGCUAGCGCAAAAGCAAGGGCGCGGGCGAGGUCACGGGUGCGCGCUCCCAUGUGGGAGUGUGUGCCAGCACGGACGGGGAGGCGCGCGUGAGCGGUACGGCUGGAGGAAGAAGGAAGAGGAACAAGGGCACCUGAUGGGCGGGUCCAGCGCGGCGGCGAGAGAGAAAGAGAGGGAGAGCGGGGCGCGGGCAGCAAUGUGCGGGCUGGGCCAGCUGGCCGGUUAGGAGGCCUGCUGGGCUGAUCACCAGGCUGCGCAGGCGAGGCGGCGGAGCAGGCCAGGCUGGCUGGGUCGGGGCGAAGGCGGGUGAGGGUGAGGCGUGAGAGGAUCACGCCGGUUGGCUGCGGCCAGCCUGGUUGGGUAGAGGGUUAGACGAGAUCCAAAUAAAAUCUAAAAAGAUCCAAAUCAUUCCACACAAGUUUUGAAAUGGAAUUUUGGGAUGAGAAGAGAAUUUGACUACCAUUUUCAAACAAGCACAAAAUUCAAACAAAAGUUUUGAAUUUUUGGAAAUUUCACUUAAAUAAAUAUUACAAAAUUAUGGAAUAUUACAAACAUAACUGCUCCACCUCGUACCCCGAGAAAUGCGAUACGAAGCCUCAACGUCUGGGAAAUUUGGUUAAAACGAAACUCUACAUUUUUCUCGGACUGUGUGAGUCCUCCUUGAUUUCCUUGAUGGCAAAAAUUAAAAAGGAAGCGGCUGCUUGGGUGGGGGCAGGGAAUACUUGUGUCCCACCUUACAUUGAACAACAGAGCACAAUACUUGUGUCAGUAUAAAAAAAAACUUGUGUAAGGCCAGCUACACAAGUUAGCUCGCAUUUCAUAAUUAAGUUUCAGAUUUCGUGCAAGGCCAGAUACUUUAGCACUGCACUCUUGAUGUACCGAAAGGAAGAUUAACAUAUAAGUACAAUACCGAAGUAAUGACUAUGGAAAUAGGCUUAGAAAUACAACAGAAGCUAGGUACAGUGCAAUAAACCUUAGUGCCUCAUCAUAGCUCCCUUAGCUUCCAGGAAAGUAUAAUGCUGUAUUUGCAGAGAAAAAAAAUAUCACCUUCUAGUGGUGAUCAAGUACGCGAGACUCUUGCACUUGCAAUAGAAAGAUCUGCCAAACCGGUCCCAUUUGACCACAAUAGCAGCUGCAAAGCCAACGCCGAAGCCAAGCCCAACGAAGAGAAACAAAACCACAUCAAUAUGACGAGAUGACUUGUCCCCAUGUGCCACACCUGGAGAGUGAGGUGAACUACCACAAGGAAAUUUUGGCAAUUGCAGCCCACACAAUCCAGCAUUCCCUUCAAAUGAGCUGCUGUCAAAUGUAGAGAACUGACGUGACUGCGGUAUCUUCCCCACCAAGUGAUUGUAUGACAAGUUUAGGGAGCCAAGAAAGGUGAGAUCAGUUAGCUCUUGUGGAAUGUCCCCUGAGAGUUGGUUGCAGGACAGGUCUAGUGACUCCAAAUCAGUCAUGCUUCCAAGUUGGGCUGGAAUUUUUCCAGUGAAGGCAUUGUGUGACAGACUCAGUACGCGUAGUGAUACAAGGCUUCCAAAUGUUUCAGGAAUAGUACCCUCCAAACUAUUUUUUGAGAAGUCAAUUGCUGUUACGGUAGUCAGCAUCCUUCCAAAUGGCAUAUCUGCCCCCUUGUACAUGAUCUCAACAGAAUAUUGAUAUAAAUGUUCUCCGUUAUUGAUAGUUAUAGUGUCUAGAGUUCCGAGAGGUUUCCCAGAACUAUUAAACUCUGCCAUCAUUGACUUUAACUGCUCGAACCAUUGUGGCCUCAAAGUACCAGAGAAGUUGUUUGAGGCAAGAUCGAUAAUUUGCAAGCUAGGGAAACAUUCCUCACAUUUUGUGUCCCCAACAAUAUCACCUAUGGUGCCAUACAUUUGGUUUGAUCUCAGGACGAGUACAGAAAGAUUGGGAAGCCCCCUCAACCAAGAAGGAAAAGCAUCAGCUAUUUUGUUGCUUCCAAAGUCUAUAACCUCCAAGUCUGUACAGUUAGAAAGGCCCCUAGGAAGCCUCCCUUCGAUCUUAUUGCCAUGUAAAUCUAUCGUCUGUAAAUUACAUCUUGUUGUUAUAUUGGAAGGCAGCAUCCCUUUCAAGUGAUUCUCCCUCAAAUUUAAAAAACUUAAGGGGGUAUUUUCUAUAAAACAAGGUGGAAUCGGGCCAUUAAAGUAGUUAUAUGAUAGAUCAAGGACAUCCAGCUCUGUGGCAUUGCAAAUUGAGGGAGAUACAUGGCCGUGUAUAUUAUUUUUGGACAUGCUGAGAUAAAUGGUGUCCCGAAGAUAGGUGGUCCAGUUUGGCAGAAGGGAAGAGAACAUGUUGUUGGAAUAAUCCAAGACUUGUCCUGAUAAUUUUGGCAUAGGGAUCAUCCCUGAAAGUCUAUUGAAACUAAGAUCAAGCACUUCCAUUGGUGUAUUGAAGGGGACAGCAUCCGAAUUAAGUUGCAUGCCCGUGAACAUGUUAUGUGAAAGAUUCAAAUGAGAUCCCCUCGUCUCCCAGAUCCAAUUUGGUAUAUCCCCACUGAUUUUAUUACAUGAAAGAUCCAAAUACCAUAUACGGUCAACAUGCCUCAAAAAUCUUGGAAGUUGAGUUAUCUUGCAAGAUGCGAGCCCUAAUUCAUGUAGUCCAUCCAAAUAGCUGGUUUCCACUGGAUUAUUAUCUUCUGAGGCCAUGACAUGCAACUUAUUGUAGGAAAGAUGCAAAACAGUGAGGUAAUUUAAUCUCCGAAAAUGUGCAAGGUCCACGGAACCUAUCAAGUUGUUUGAGCUAACAUCUAUACAUACUAAACUUGUUAGUUGAAAGAUGGCUUUGGGAAUAAAACCUGACAAUUCAUUGUUCUUGAACCUCACGGUCUCCAACUGUGGACCUGCCUUGUCAAAGCCUUGUAUAGGGCCAGAAAGCUGGUUGAAAGAGAGAUCAAGGCGAUUUAAUAUAGGAAGACUGAAAAUAGAUGGUGGAAUCUCCCCUGGAAGGACAAUAGAAAACAUUAAGUUAGAAAGUGUUUCCCCUUCUACAAAUUGAAAUUAGAAGAUGCUACCUCCUAUUUUGUUCAGAACAUGAAUACUUGACCCUUUCUCGAGAAAAGUAAAAGAUGAUAUCGUACCAUAGAAAUAUAUAUCCCAAGUUUAUUUAUUUUAUUUUGAGAAAAUUGCAUUAGUAGUCUCAAAAUAAAUGGCCAAAACUUGUGUGGUAACCUCGCCGACCCUUGCACUUGUUGCAAAUUACUUUCCCCAGCCCCCUCGUCUUUGUUGUGCCACGUGUUAGGCAAUGGUUUCAUGCUGGUUCAACACAUUAAUUUGCUAAUAGUGGGAUGGGUGAGAUUAGUGUGUGCAAGUUUAAGGACUACCGGAAGAAUUUAGUGCACCUACGGGCCAUAGAAUUUCAUAAUCCUAGGACCCAUGAAGCUGAAAUGAUCCGGACCCAUCAUGGAUCAUAAUUUUAUGGUAUUAUGAUUUAUGAUACCCGGUGUAUAGUCCUGUACCAUCAAAAAGAAUUGGUAAGAUCACUUAUAUAGAAUCCCAAUCCUAACAUCAAAAUUUGUUAAUAUCUGAAAUUAAAUCCAUGAGUAAUUAUAUAUGUUUCUUCAGUUUAAUUCGACAUCUUUUACUCUUUGCAUGACAUCUGACCAUUAAAUUAUUUUAAAUUAUGAUUAGAUAAUGUUUGGAGUUAAGUUGAAAUGUCGAAUUGACAUUGACACGAAUAAGUAGACUCGAGUUUACAAGAAUUAAUAAAUUUAUAAAAAUAGCAUUGUAGAUUUCUUUUCAAGAACUUGUUUAACUUUUUAAUACAUGCAUAUUUUUACUCAUUACGCUGCAAAAUCCUCCCCCAAAGUUCUUGACACAGUGUCAAACUCAUUUGUUGUGUUUAAGCUCUUGCAAUGAUCUAUAUAAGCUGCCAGCUUUUGUAUAAGAGGGCCGGGUUAGAGAAGUAUAUCGUGUCAACUACGCCAAUGAAAUUCUUUUAGAGUAAACUAGAGCAAAUGAGAAGCUUUAUGAGCCCUAAUACCAUUUAAGAUUUCCAUUGUCCUUCCUACCCUGUCAAAUGAACACUCAAGCUCAUAUAGAAGUGACAUGUGUGGUUGUUGCAUCAAGAAGGAACCUUAAGGGAGGAUUUUGCAACAGGGUUAGGCUUGUGGGUUCGUUAGGCCCUUCACACAACGUGUGCUUGGAGUAUUGCUUGAAAUGGAGAGAGGAGGUUUGGGCAUCAAUCACUCCCCCAAGUGGCCAAGUUGAAACCAGGAGCAGCACUGUGACAGAAUAAAACAGAUACCAACUUUUCUCACAUGGGCCUCGACUUUUUUUCCUAGAGUCACUCGACAUAGUAGAGGCCUUAAUGCAACUAUAUUUCUUUUAGGGGAUAAUUGCAACUCAAGAUGACUACUAGGAGCAUGAGACGUGCACACAUGCGUCAGUGGCAAGCUUGCACCUACUCUGAGCAGAGGAGGGCGCAGUUGGAGCUUGCAAGGCCCACGGUGUGGAGCACUGACGCUUAGGGAUGCAAACAGGCUAACCCAGAUAUAGGGCUGAAUCAUGUUGGCAACUGUAGCAUAGACUAUAAGUGGGUUCGCAGGCUAGCCUGCUUGAUUUGCAGCAAUAUAUUAUGGUGGAGGGAUGCCCUUGACCUGUUACAUGCCUUUACAAAUUAAGAGCAUGUUAGGAGAUCCUUACUCCUCAAUCCAACUACCAUAUUGGGAGGGUUAACAAAAAAUAGUGUUCCAGCAGAUUUUUUUUACUUUUUUCCAUUUCACAAUAGUUAUUAGGAAAAACUAAUAAUCCACCCUAACUUAUCCUAAAAAAAGAGUAUCUCAAUAUGGUAGUUUGGAUUGUGAUUAUUGGGGAACUGCAAAAACAACUUUUCCAAUAACCAUAAAAGAAAUAUUGGGACAUUUCCAUUACCUUGUUAUUAGGAAAAAUUGAUUGGAAAACUGGUGAAGAUGCUCUAAGGGAUCCUCAAGUUGGCGUGCGACUGCGCACGCGGUGGGGGGAGCACAAGCAGCCCAAUAUGACUUAAUUUUAGCCCAAGUUAGGUUUAGUUGUGACCAAACUAACAUCCAUGUUCUAUUUUUUUCCCUUUCUUCAUUCUUUUGGGUUUUACAUUCUCUUGUCCUUUUCUUUAAUUAUUUCCUUUUAUAUUAUUCUGCAUAUUAUUUUAUUUCCUUUAUAUUUAUUAUUUGUUUCUAUUAUUUGUUUCGUUUUCUUUUCUGUUUUCCUUUUCUACUAGGAAAUUCUAACUUUUCAUUUAUUUUAUUGUUUCCGUUUUUAUUAUCUUUUAUGCUUCUUUUAUUUUUUAUUUUUAGUAACAAUUUUUUGUAUAUUUUGUUUGCUAGUAAGAAUAAUUUAUUCAAUUAGUUUUCUUUAUUGUUUCACUCUAGCACUACUUUAAAAAUCAUUUGUGCAUACGAUCAUUCUAUUUUUUUUUACAACGGUGCUUAAUAACAACCGUCUCUAGCAAGGGUUCCAAAAAUACAAGUAUUUAUAGAGGUGGGCCACAUAAUUAAGUAACUGUCUGAAAAUCAAUUUGGAAGGCACACCACCUAAGCUGCUACUACUAGAAAUUGACUUCUAGAGGCAGGCCUAAUAAGCAACUGCCUCUAAAAUUGUAAACAACCAAUUUUAAAGAAAAAUAAUAUUCUUUUUUAAAUGAAGAAGAAUGAAGACAAAUUUACUAGCAUAACUAUAGAGCUCGAUGACAUCUAAAAUUUCAUAGUUCAUAACCUUUUCAUGUAAGACUAUUUACAAGCCCAAAUAAAAUUCAUCACCAUUUCUUAUAUUUAUUUUUAAAAAUAAAUUAUGAUUUCCAAAAUGGCCUUGGAAGGAGAUGUGCUCUUCAAAAAAGUUGUAGUGCAUGACGAGAUCUAAAAAUUUGUAAUUGAUAUUUUUUUUCAAAUUUAUGAUCGUUAGAGUGUCAAAUGCAUAGUACAAUAUUCAGAGAAGUGAAAUCAAAAGAAUCCCUUAUAUAGUUAAUAUGUGUUUCGUAAAGAGAAAACUACGCGUGAAGAGACGUGUCGUACCAUGAAUUUUUUGGAUUUCAGGAUAUGACUAGAAAUAAUAAUUAAACAAUAAUUUUCAAUAAUUUUAAUUUUUUUCAACAUUUAUUUUCUUGAGAGGAAAUUUAGUAUAGGAAAAUGAUUGGUUAUUUUUUCUAAAUUAAAUAAAUUAGUUCUUUGUGUGUUGCAUUCAUGCCGAGGCAUCUUGGUGUUUCAUGAGUGCAGACAUUUUAAAAAUGUGUUUCUAUAACAUUUAGGUUCUUCUAAGAAUUUUCCAAAUUUUUCUAGGAUCUAUUGUCAUUUUCGUAGAGCUAAAUAUUUUUAUUAUAAGGCCCUAGAAUCCCUUUCUUGAGUUCCAAGUAUUUUAUUUGGAUUCAUCGUGUCCCAAACUAUCUCUAUAAAUUUUCCUAGGAUUUUAGCUUUUUAGAGUACUUUUUGUGGUUUCAUUGAUUUAUCUAGAAUUUUCUAGAUUUAUCUUUGCACGGGAAACAUCUCUAAAAAUGAAAUAGAAAGAAAUCCCCUUUUCUUGAGGUUGGGCUCAUGGGACCGACCUGCUCUAGCCCAGCAGCCGGCCUGCCAGGCCCAUCUGAGCCCUGCAGCUCUUGGUGUCCAUGCCGGACACAGUAUGGCACCACCGCCUCCCCAACUAACUUGGGUGUGCAUGCCACGGCUCCACCCCUGCCCCCAUAAAUAGCGAAGCCGCAUCCCCUGCUUGCCAUGCUGCCCCAACUCGUGCAUGUGCUGCGCCUCGCCCUUGCUCGCGCAAGCGCUGCCAACCGCCGGAGCCGAGCUGCGCCGCCACCUCGAUCUGCCAGACCCCGGCGUCCCAAGACCAAGCCGCCACCUCCCAGAGUUGCGCCACGACAGGCCGCCUCCAACCAAGGCAUCCACUACACCAAAAAGGCCACUGGAGCAACACUGCCUCGCCUCGCAACGCCAAUCCGGCCGCCGUCUGUUGUCCGCUGCCAGCCAAAAUUCCAACUGGAAUCUGUCCACCCCGCCGCUGGUGAGCACCUCCAUAGAGUCCCCUCGACCUCCUCUUCCAAUCCCCGUCCUCGCGACCGGACUGCCCCCAAUCCCGCUGGUCAGAAGCCAGCCACCAUGGCCAUUAGAAGCUCUUUGAGCUUUUGUGAUUAGGCCCCUUGGAGAUCUUGUAAUGUUUACAAGUUUUCCUAUGUCUUGCUCCUUGUACCGUGAACCCCAUGGACUUUAUCUGAUCCUUGCAAUCAAACCAAGUUGUAAUCUUUAUCAGAUCUAACCUCGAGCCUUAUCAAUUUCGCGAGCACUCUUUGAUGUGUCUUGCAAAUCUUCUCUGCUAGCCCCUAUUGUCUAGGGUUAAUCACGAUUAGACCCCUGCAGCUUGUUUCAUCGAUCCUUUGUUUUAGCUCCGUUUAACCUCGUUCUUAUUGUGUUAGGUUGAUGAUAACAUAAAUUACACGUUAGUAAUGAUGGUUUCCAUCAUGCAUGUUUUUGAAAAUAAAUUUAAUAUUAAUUUAUUGAUGCCUGUUAAACAUGUCUUCCUUAAUUAAAAUCUACAUAGAGUUAUACACCUCUUUUUAUAAUCAAUGUUAAUUCGAUUAAUGCUUACUUCAUAUAUUUUUCUAAAUAAAAGCAAAGUAGAGCUACACCUCGGUUUUUCAUAAACUAAUGUUAAUUAUUUUAAUAUUCAACAUUGAGUCAACUUUUCCAAAUAAAAGUUGAUUAGGCUUUUACACUGGCUUUUAUAAAUAAAUAUUAGCUUGAUUAAUACCAACAUGAUUAUGUUUUCAAUAACAAUUUGAUCCACUUGAAUCAUAAAGUAUACGUUUAGAUGUUUCACAUAGUUUGGCUUUUCUAAACGUUAAAUGUUUAAAUGAUUGAUAAAAUGACCAAUGUCAAUAUGAAUGUGUUUUCUAAAUAAACUUUGUUUAGCCCAACAUGACAGAUGUAUUAAUUUGAUUAGAUGUGUUCAUCUUUCUAAAGUUUAGUGUGUAACGGGUAUAAUUUAUACAUGAACAUUUAUGAAUAAAUCUUGAUUAGGUUUUACCUCUGUUUUUUAAAUAAAGUAUAAUUUGCAUUAAUUCCAACAUAGGUUAUUUUUGUUUCUAAAGUAUCCUUUACAUAUAUUUUGUUAAUUAAAAUAAACCGGGUGUGACAAGAGCAAUCUUGGUUCAAAUCCUAUAUACUGCACAUUUGCAUAUUUUGUGUGAGAAAUUGUAUGAUGUGUGACAGCUAGAAAUUUGCUAGCUACAUAUACCUAACUUUUUUAUGCGCGGGUACGGCUGACUAGCUUCUCCAGAGCAAGCAGACUCAUGCCCCUCCAGCAGGUGUAGUUUGGUCAAGGAGGGAGCAGAGGCGCCGGCCACCUCACACAUCUGUCACGGUUUAACUUGUCACUAGUGGCAUGUCGGGCGUAGGGCUAUGUUUUUUUUUAACUAAAUAGCACAGAAUGGAUAAUACAGCAUUUUGCAAUCGCAAAUAUGUGUGUGUGUGGGUAGGGGUAUUGUUACGUACCGUUGAGAGAAUUAAAAGAAAGAUCCAGCAUUGUUAGCUGGGUCAAAUUAACUAUUGAGCUUGGUAUGCUUCCGGAAAAAUUGCAAUCUUGAAGAACUAACCAUCUCAACUUAUUGAGCUGCCCAAUUGCAUUAGGUAUCAACCCAGAAAUCUGACGACCACUAAUUUCCAUGGCUUCCAAGUUAGUGAGGUUGCCAAUUGGAGCCGGCAUUGAACCUGAAAACCCAGAAUGCUGGAGGUACAUGUUUCUCAAAUUUGUGAGUUCACCAAUUGCAGCUGGCAUUGGUCCUGAAAAAUCAGCACCCUCGAUAUACAAGUUUCUCAAAUUUGUGAGUUCACCAAUUGCAGCUGGCAUUGGUCCUGAAAACCCAGGAUUGUUCAUAUACAAGUUUCUCAAAUUUGUGAGUUCACCAAUUGCAGCUGGCAUUGGUCCUGAAAACCUAGCACCCUCGAUAUACAAGUUUCUCAAAUUUGUGAGUUCACCAAUUGCAGCUGGCAUUGGUCCUGAAAACCUAGAUGAUAUAUACAAGUUUCUCAAAUUUGUGAGGUUGCCGAUAGAAGAUGGCAUGGAGCCAUAUGUGUUGCAAUCAUGCAUUUCAAGUGUUUGCAAGCCCGUGAGGUUUCCAACUGCCCCAGAGAAGUUACAUCCAAAGAGUCCCAAACUUGUUAGGUUUUUGUGCUGGCCAAUCCAUGAGAAAAUUGGACCUAAGUCGCUUCCUGAGUCCAAAUCGUGGUCCAACUCAUUAUCCAAAAAACAAUCAAGGUCCAACUGGUGUAGAGACUCAAGUCUACCAAAUGCAGAGAGAAAAUCCAUAGAAAUUAAAUUCCUGUUAAGGCCCAACUCCUUCAACGACGUGAAAUUACUAGAAGGCGUUGGUAUGGCAUAUACAAAGUUGGUCCUAUCAAGUCUCAAAGUCUCUAAAGAGCUGGCAUUAGAAAAGUUUGGCACAUGGCCUGAGAGAUUCAUAUUAUAGGACAAAUCGAGGACCCUUAGAUUUUUCGAUUGAAAGGGUCUAGAGGGUAACCGCCCCUCAAGAUUUAUCCCAGAAAGUUGAAGCACGGUUAAAUUGGGAAAAUCCAUGAAGAACUCUGGAAAUGGACCAGCACUUGCAUAAAUGGAGGUUUCUUGGAGGUUGAUCACAACAAGAGAAUGGAGUCUCGAGAACGCUUUAUGAAUAGGACCACUCAGGUGACAAUCAGCCAAACUAAGUACCUGAAGUUGAGGAACAUAUGCAGCAAGAGAUGUGCCCCACUCUUCUCCACUAUUAGACAAAUCCACUGAGUCAAGGUAGAGCUCUCUUAAGUUGCUGAGGUUUGCCACAAAGGUAUCAAAACUUGAUUCCCAUAAAUUGUUAUAAUAAUCAUAAGAGUUUGAACCAUAAAAACCGCCAGAAUAAUAAUCAGUAUUGUAUGUUGAAAGAUCCAAUGAGAGAAGGUUCACUAGUUUACUGAUGCUAGGAGGUAUCUGACCAUAUAAUCCUGAAUUGGAAAGGUUUAGGUGGGUUAAAAAAGUGAACCUCUCAAAACCAGCAGAACGGAUGUUGUCUCCAUUGAUGUCAUUCAUGCUAAGGUCGAGUCGCUGAAGUGAUAUGAGGCUGAAGAGUGCAGGGUCCAAGCCAUGAGUUGACAAGCGACGGUUGUUGAGGUCGAGAAUGGUGACAUGGCCAGAGGAAGGGUCGCAGCCAACACCCUCCCAGAGACAACAGUCGGUACCAUUUCGCCAUGACGAAAGCCUGGUGGUGGAUCUGCUGAAGGAGAAGGACUUCUUCAGCUGGAGGAGCGCCUUAGCUUGGUUUGGAUGGCACAAAAAUGAGACAGGGAGGUGAGUGAGGUUACCACCAUCAGCACGGUGGGCAAUAGAGGUGGAGAGUAGUGUGUGGAGCUGAGCAAGAAAGAGCAAUAACACCCAGCCGAUGGAAGCCAUAGCAACUCAGUAUGAGCCGAUAAUAGGCUUACAAAGAGGCACAAGGCAGAUACAUAAAGGAUUGUCUAGUCUAGUAAUGCGUGACAGAUUGUUAUGCAGCUUCCAGCUGCUGUCAAGUCUUCAUCCAUUAAUAAAUUAAUUAAUUAUUUAUUUUUUUGGCUGCAAUAUGAAAAAUCCUAGUCUUUGCUCCAGCAAAGAGGUCAAUCAUAUGGACUUCGUUGUCAAAAAAGAAAAUUAUGUAGACAGUGACCGGUAAUUGGAAGUCUCACUAUAGCAAGACCUCCUAAUAAUUCAUCUAUCAUUGGAUGGUCCUCUCAUAGAUUUUUUCUGACUUCGCCCGGACAGGCUAAUAUGCAAAUUUAAUUGUGACAAAUAAUUAUCAUUCACACAAUCACUUCCAUUUUCUUUUUCAUUCGUUACCUCCAACCUAAAAGCCAUGUCCAUAGUAUGUUGCUCCCUUACUGUAUUGUACAUGUUCUUCCCUGCUAGCUUGAGACCCUGUUCCCCGGCAGUCAUGGGUGUAAUCAUCCUCGCCCUGGUGGCCUCCCUUCUUGCACCAUGGGAUACAGCUGAGCCAUGGAAAAUAUGUGUUAAGGAGAAUGCCUUGUUCCUCAGGGGUGGAGGCAACCACUGUAAAAGAAAAAAAAUUAUACAAAACUUUGUAUGAUGCCAACGCUAUUAUACUCCACCUGACCGGGAGAAGAAAUGUUGUAGAUGCAUGAUAUCUGGGAUUUUUUUUUUCGUUUUAAAAAAAUAGAGCGCAUCAAGCAGUGAUGCAUUCUUCUGUACGUAGCUGGUUUGUCCUUUCGUGAGCCGAUGAUAGGCUUACAAAGAGGCACAAGGCAGAUACAUAAAGGAUUGUUAUGCAGCUUCCAGCUGCUGUCAAGUCUUCAUCCAUUAAUAAAUCAAUUAAUUUACGAGUACCAUGGCUAAGCUGUUCGCAAUUGCGACACCUGAGGAGACUUGACUGUACCAUGGGCUAGCUGUACGCAAUUGCUACACCUGAGGAGACUUGACUAGGCUUUCGUCAAAUGCUGUUGGUAUCAUCCACUGCUACAACAGUGACCGGUAAUUGAAAGUCUCACUAUAGCAAGACUUCCAAGUCAACUAAGCCGGCCGCUACAUUCUGAGGAAGGUGGAAUUGAAGAUCAAAUCAAGUUGGGUGUUGGGAUGAAUUAGUCCGCACUCCGCAGAUAGCAACAUCGAAUAUACUGAUCUGAUGAUGUGCUUCAUUUUUUUUUGGUUGGAGUGGAGCGGCAUCAAGAUCCUACUGCUGUGGAAAACACUGACUUGACUCGUUUUAUCUCGCACAAAACGUGGCUGAAGAUGAUAGUGGUGCUUAAAGAAUCAGCGAGAAGGAGCAAGUAAAAUGCAGUUGAGCCGCAGCUAAAACUUGUCGCGAAUCGCAAUAUUCCGACCACUGUAGUUCUCGUCGUCUCGAAGGAGACGUUGCAGUGUUCACGUCUAGAGCUCAUCACCACAUGCUAGCGUGAAUUGAGCAUAGCAAUGACCAUAGUGGCCCUGCCUUCCUCACCUUAGCCAUCCCCUUUCCUCUAUCCUCCCACACCUAUUGCUGCAUGGUCUUUGGCUGUUGUGCGGCUCCUCUGCGGUACAUCAUGGGGGAGGAUACCACGACUUGGAGGUGCCGGGGGGGAUAGCGUGCUGAUGCGCAAAUCUAGGUGUCCACUCCUCCAUCGAAGGAAAUCCAAACACGGCCUAUUCACAGACAUAGCCACUUAACUUUCAGCUUACAUCUUUUGAUGUGUAAUAUGGCUCUGUUUGGCAUGGCUCCAACUUCUGGUUUUGAUGCUCCACUCCUCAACUUCAGCUGGAGCUAGCUUUGUUUAGAGUUGGAGUUGUGUGGAUGGGAUGUUUGGUAGUGUAACACCCAAAAUUUUGAAUAAUUCAAACUCAUUAAAACUUGCUCAAAUUAAGGUGUCAUUUAAAUUUUAGGCAUUUAAUUUCAUUUUCCUUAACUUAAUUAAAUUCAUCAUAGGAAUUAUUUGUGCAUUCAUGCUGGUGCAUUUAUUUUGAUUGCUUGAGUUUGAAUCAAAGUUUGAAUUUCCAAAUUUGAAUUCAAAUUCCAAAACCCUUUUCUUUUUCUCUUUCAUUUUCUUUCUCCUUCUUCUCCUCCUGGGCCGAAACUUCCUUCCCCUUCCCUUUCUUUUUCUUCUUGCGGCCCAGCAUCACCCGCGCCCCCUUCCUCUUUCGGCCUGGCCGCCCCAUCCUCACCGGCCCGCAACUGCUCCGCCGGCCCUCCUCCUUUUCUUUUCCUUGCGGCCCAGCUGCACCACAGCCUUGCGGCCCAGUCCUCUGCCUCCGCCUUUCGCCCGCUCGCCGCUUCCUCAGCCGCGGCCCACACGCGCGCGCCGGCCCGCGUAGCCACCCCGGCCUGCCGCUCACCCGAUGCCGCGCAGCCCGCGAACGCGCGCCGGCCCACGAAGUCGCGCCGGCCCGCCACCCGCCUUCUCCUUCCUCCGGCCGGACUCCGCUCCGUCCCGCAACCGCCGCUCCGCCAUCUCCGGAGUCCCGCCGGCCCCCGCUCCGAUUUCUUCGGGGAUUCAAACCCGGGGCUCUAUCUCCAAGCCCCUAUAAAAGCCGCCGCCUCCUCCCGGUCUCCUCCGCCAAACACCAGCGCCGCAGCUCACCCGAAACCCUAGCCGCCCGAGCUCCUAGCGCCGCCGCUGCUUCCCCGCCGUCGUUCGCCGCCUCCGGUGAGCCCCCGUCGUCAAAGACAUCCAAAUCGGGAUCGCCGUGUUCCCCUCUUUCUUCUGGUGCCUUCCGCGUGUUAAACCGUGCACCGUGGCGUUAUUUCGCCCAACUCCGGCGACCCGCCGCUCGCCGUCGCGCGCCGCCGCUCGCCGCCGUCGCCGCUCUGGUUUCCGCCGCCGUCGCGAGUCGUCGUCGACCGUAGCCGUCGGAUCAAGAUCCGACGGUCAAUCGCGGGUCAAUCCGGCCGCGUACCGGUCAACCGAGCCGCGCCGCGCCGCUUUUGCACUUGAGCCCCUAUCUUUUCCGCAAAUCAACCCGCGGUCCAGAUCGCGUUGAAAAUAUUUACAGAUCUGCCCCUGCAUUUUUCGGUUUAGCCCUUGAGCUUUCCAAAAAUCAACCCGCCGUCCGGGUUUGAUGUUUUUACGCGUCAGACCCUCGGUUUAUACGCAUAAUUACGUAUAAGCCCUCGGUUUUCGCGGAUAGGCCCUGAAAGUUUUGUUUUUCUCAUAGAAAAGUCCCUGGAUCUUGUUUUAAUCAUAUCUUUUGCAUCUUAACUUCGUUUUUCGUGUUCUUUAUAUCCACGUGUUCGUUUUAAAGCGUAGAUCAUCUUUUCAAGCUUGUUUUCUCUGUUUGACUAUGUUUGGUGUACUGUUUUCUUACUUUUUGCCCAUGUUUGCUUGUAUGUGCUCGUGUGACGCGUGUAGACGCCCCGCAGUUCGAGGGAGUUGCAGAUCAAGCCUUCGAGUUGUACGAACAGCAGGAGCAAGGCCAAGAAGGCAAGUCGUGUCCUUGAUCACUACCUUUUUGUCCUAUACACCUUUACUUUCUCGUACUCAACAUUUAUGCUAUGCACAUGUUAAGAUUAAAUUGAUGGGUCCCAAUUAAGGUUCGCCUAGAUUGAUUUACCUUUGCCUUGACCAACCAGUUUACUUUAUGUUGGGUAGCUCGUGCUUAGUGCUUACUUGGUACAUGGUGGUUUAACUACACACAAUGCUUAAUCUUGAUUUACUUCUGUUAUACCUUUCAUUAAGACAAGAUCAAUAUUUGUUAAUCGGAACAUGGAGCGACCACCCAGGAAAAUAGUGCUACCACAAGACUAAAUGGCUCUGGUCUUGGCUGAUUAAUUAGAAACCUUAGUCUGGGGUGACCUUACUCGGGAUGAGGCAAGAGGGGGGACUGAGUCGUUGCAUUUUACCUGGGAUGGGUGGUGCACGCCAGACACCGAAACCUUAGCGGGUUACCACUGACUAAUGAAUCUUUGUAAAGGCCUCGUAGCGUCCCUAUGCAAUCACACCUCGGAAGUGUGGUAUGGUGCCUUGCAAACACCGCAUGGUUGGGUCCAAAGUUCUUAUGAACUUUUACGCGACUUGUGGGUAAAGAUGUGCCACCUCUGCAGAGUGUUAAACUGAUCGAUCAGCCGUGCUCACGGUUAAGAGCGGCCUGGACCCUCACAUGAUAAUAUUAUCGGAAGAUGGACUUAACUUGUUAUCAUUUCAUGCAUUUGUUGCUUACUUUAUGUUCAUGUUUAAUUUCGGGUGGUAUGAACUUAUACUUAGUUAAUUGCUAAUAAAACUUGACCAACUUAAUUAAAAGCGAAUGCUAUUUAUGCCUUAGCCAUACCUUGAAUUAGCCUUACACUACACUACUUCCCACGACUUAUUGAGUACCAACCAUAAGUGUACUCACCCUUGCAAAACCGCUGUUCAGACCAAGUUAAUUGGGAAGAGGAGUACUUCCACGACUUCGAGGAGUUCUAGGCGUACGUUUCUUCAGUCAGCUGCCUGUGGAGUCGUCGUCAUCUUUGGAGUUCCGCUGCGUAAUAAUUAGACUUUGUGGUUUAUGUGAGACUUUCGGUCAUGUAAUAAUGGUUAAUACUCUCUUUAUUCGAUUUAGCACUGUCUUUGUUAUUCACUAUUGUCGUACAUGUGUGUAACUUGAUCCUGGCGCACAUGUAUUUAAUGCACUCGAUUUUGUCCUUAAAAUCGGGUGUGACAGGUAGAAGGGUACCUAGCUCCAAAAAAAGAGGAUUUUCAUAGUUAAUUGUCAUUUUUGCCCCCCAUAGCCUCACAUGUCAUCCUCUAUAUACCUAUUUUUUUCCUUUUUUCUGAGCUUAUCUUCUUCCUCGGGACUGAAUCAGCUCAUCCGCUCACCCGUGGCCCGCGAGACCUUGCUCCAUUCAUCCUACCCAAGCUAGUAACCAAAUAGAGUCUGCAGCGCACUGGAUGGGGACUAGCAGUGGCAAACAGUUCUAGGUCGGCAGCAGGCGGAUCGCAGGAUGUUACUGAUGCACGGGAUAGAGCUUGCGGCGUGUAGAAUGGGCAUGGCAUAGGAUGGGGCCAGCUAGCGACGUGCAGGAUGGGGCGCGCGGGGUGGGGCCAGCGGCGUGUAGGAUGGGUAGGCGGUACGUGGGAUGGAGCCACCGCACAGGAUGGUAGUGGUGCUGGAUGGGGUUGGCGCCUCACUGAGGCUGGCGUGUAGGACAAUGGCAGUGUGCAAGGGGAACGAUGGCUCCAGCCCUCACGAGUGAUGGUGCAGGCGCAAGGCAAUAGCGAUGGCGCAUAGUUGGAUGGCGGCGACGGCAAGGAUCAAGGAGCAGCGGCGUGUGGGCUGGGGGGCGGUCCUGGGCUAGGGGCGGCGCAUGGGUUGGUAGUCGCGAGGGAGAUGAAGGUUGUGGGAACGGAUGAAGCUAGGGGAAAAAAUAGAACUGAAACAUUUUCUUGUGUAACCGACGAUAGUGGUGGGUAAGUAUCUUCUAACUCCACGUCUAGGUUCGUUUCGUAGUGUUUUGGAUCUGUUAAAGAGGUGCUCUAAGGAAAUGAAGUAGAACUCCAGUAACUCCAUGAAGUUAGACUGCUUCAUUAUUUUUUAGAGUUAGGAUGUUUGGCUGGCUUCACUCAGCUCUGGGCUGGAGUUUGGAGUUGGAACCAUUGCAAAUAGACCCUAGGAGCUUGGUACUAAAACUGUAUAGUUCCUCCGUAGGUUUGCAAAAAGAUAGAGGAGAAGCAAGCACAAAAUUCACAAGACUUCCCUUAUGCAAGGGUACUUCGAUACUACAUGUGGCGGAACCCCUCAGAUUAACUCAACUAAAGCACGGUUAAAUCGCUUAACACGCGAAUCUCAUGCUUUAAUCAAGUCAACUCGACGGUCCGUCGGAUUUCAUCCGAUUUUACCACUUAACAAAACUGAGUUAUCAUAGCUCACAUGAAGGUGAGUGGUUCCAAAGAAUACAACGGGUCCACAAUUAGUUUAACAAUUCAUUACACAUUGGUUUCAAAAUAGAGUUUUACAAGGUUCGAAAGAAACAACGGAAGGCAAAAACAUAGCGUCUAGCAUCGGGGUCGGAUGUCCCUGGUGAGGCCAAUCAGGACAUCAGUGUCCCAUUUCCUACCGUCCGAGGAAGGAUCCCACUCGACCGUCCACCCAGGAGGGGGCUGGGGCGGCCAAGUGCCAGCAGCAAGCUUAGAAGGCUCAACUUCACCUGAAAAGAGAAGCCACAAACAAGGCUGAGCUUCUAAGCUCAACAAGACUUAAUCGACCGGUGGGAAAAACUACUCCACCACUUCUAGACAUGUGAGGCUCUUUGGCUGAGGGGUUUUGUUUGCCAAAAGCAACUAUGUUUGGUCCUUACUUUCAAUAUUUUAGCUCAGAUUCUAAGUUCAUUAACCGGUCUGCAUUGGCAACCUAUACUAAGCAAGCAUAGAUCCAACAUUAUGUAUAUAAGCUCAACAUCAAGACCAUGUCAUCAUCAGACUCCUUCUUUACUCAGUGUAGCAUAGCGAUCAAGCAGUCUCAAACUGUGAGAGGCAGACGAAUCAAUUCGAGUUCUUUAACCAUGCAUGGCGCGCAACACCGGGGUUCGCUUCCUGUGUCGGCCUUCCCCAUCAAUUCCCUGACCCGUGUCGGGCCCACUUCCCUUGGUGCAAGGUUCCACAGAUCCGGCCUCUGCCAUUCCGUGACCACACUUGCCACCACAUGCAGCCGCAGGGGAACUCCGUUCCAGGGACAGUGGAUCGAACCGCUCACGUCCAGGUUCAAUCAGGUACUAGGCUUUCCCAUCCCAUAAUGGGUAUGAUAUUAGUACUUUCAAACACUUGAUCACGAACACCACCACUGUCGGGCCUUAAACAAAUUCAAUAAACAGAUGGGGCGAUCAGCCGACCACCAAAAGAGUUAACCAACACCCUGCCCCGUCCAUCGUCCUUAUAGUUGUAACCAGAAAGAACAGCCAACUCCUAUAACUCGCGAGUGACAGGGAAUCACUCGACUUUUACCGAGUCCUAUUAAGCAUUGCAACUACUCGACCCAACAGACUAGUGUUCAGAUCAAAGGGACUAAGUCACGCAUCUAUGGUUUCAAACAACUCCUAUACGUAAAUGCACAUUCAUAAGAAGGAAGGCAUGUGCAAGUUUAGAAAAUUGGGUUCAUGCUCCUGGGGCUUGCCUUCAAGUGGGGUGGAGGUGAACUGGUCCUCACCGGGUUCUGCUUCGGCUUCUGCGAUCGGUGGAUCCGCUACGGCUCCGUCUUCAGGCGCCGGAUGUAGCUCGUAGGUGCCAUCGGCGAGAUGUAAAUCUACAUGAAUGCAAUGCAGGAGUUAGCACUUAGACGGUUAUUUCAACAAUACUUGCAAGUUUAAGCUCAGACACUUGUAGCAAAGCUACAGGAAAGGUGGGGGAGUCCAACUUCAGUUGGUGGAGAACAGGAUAAAAGGGUCGGAUGGGGAUAAACUUAUGAUCUAACCCUUAAACUUAAGGAAUAACUGCACCGGGGUCCUCAGACUUGUGGUGGAACCACCUCGGAUUAGCUUGAUCAAAGCACGGUUAAGUCGCCUAACACGCGACACUCAUGCCUUAAUCAAGUUAACUCGAAGUGCCGUUGGAUUUCGUCCAAUUUAACCACUUAACAGGACCGAGUUAGCAAAACUCACACGAAGGUGAGUGGUUUCCAGAGAAUACAACAGGUCCAACAGUAGAUUUACAAGUUGCUACACACUUGGUUGAAAAUCAGAGCUUAACCAGUUCUGAAGAAAACAACAGAGGAUAAAAACAAGCGGAAGCUACUCGUCGGGGUCGGACGUCCCUGGUGAGGCCAGCCAGGACAUUAGUGAUCCCAUUCCCCACCGUCUGAGGAGGGAUCCCAUUCGACCGUCCAACCCGGAGGGAGUUGGGGCAGCCAAGAGCCAACAACAAACUCGGAAGCUGCGACUUUACCUGAAAAGAGAAGCCACAAACAAGGCUGAGCUUCUAAGCUCAACAAGACUUAACCGACCGGUGGGAAAAAAAACUACUCCACCACUUCUAGACAUGCAAGGCUCUUUGGCUGAGGGGUUUGUUUGCCAAAAGCACUAUGUAGAUCCUUAUUUUCAAAGUUUUAGCUCAGAUUCUAAGUUCAUUAACCGGUCUAAGUUGGCAACUUACUCUAAGCAAACAUAGAUCCAACCUUAGGUAUAUAAAACAUCAUCAAGACCAUAUCAUCAUCAGAUUCCUUUAUUACUCAGUGUAGCAUAGGGAUCAAGUAGUCUCAAACUGUGAGAGGCAGACGAAUCGAUUCGAGUUCUUUAACCAUGCAUGGUGAACCUAACCUCCCGACAUCCGCGCACCACCGAGGGUUGCUUCCUGUGUCGGCCUUCCCCAUCAAUUUCCUAACCCAUGUCGGGCCUAUUUCCUUUGGUGCAAGGUUCCACAGACCCGGCCUCUGCCGUUCUGUGACCACACUUGCCACCACGUGCGGCCACAAGGGAACUCCGUUCCAAGGACAAUGGGGCGACCGCUCACGUCUAGGUUCAAUCAGGUACUAGGCUUCCCCAUCCCAUACUGAGUAUGAGGUUAGUACUUUCAAACACUUGAUCACGAACACCACCACUGUCGGGCCUUAACAUAUUCCAUAGACAGAUAGGGCGAUCAGCCGACCACAAAAAGUUAACCAAAAGUUAACCCGAUUUUUUUACACAUAUACCCUCGGGUCAAGGAAAAGGAUACAGCCGAGUCCUCGGGCGAGGCGGAAAAGGGUCGGCGAAACAGACAGGGUCGGGCGAGAUGGAGAAGGGGUCGGGCGAAACAGACAGGGUCGGGCGAGAUGGAAAAAGGGGUCGGGCAAGACCGAAAAAGGGGUCGGGUGACAUGAGAAGGGGGUCGGCAGCUUACCUUCAGUUUAUAGGUGAAGUUUUGGGAUCAGGAAGGAGUAGACUUGGGCAAAAGGACUAAAGCACUAAGACUUGGGCAGCGGCGAUGUCCGGCGGUGCUCCGGCGGCGGCGGAGCUUCUUGUGAGCAGCAAAGAAGCUCUAGCACUGCGCGGAGGAGCAGGCGGCUGGGUGGAUUGGGAGGUGCGGGUGUUGAGCGGGGAUGGGAGUUCCUCAAGAACUUAGGUGGCAGCGCUGAAGCACGAAACAGAGGAAAAGGCGGUAAGGCAACGACGGCGAAGGGAAUCUCCGGUAGGACUCGGGCAUUCCCUUUUAUAGCCGCGCGGGAGAGAGAGGGUUGGAGCAGCACGAAGACCGGGAAGAAAAAGAUGGAGUACGCUGCUAUGGCGGCGAUUGAGCGGCGAUGGGCAGCGGAACAGGACUUCGGAGAUGACGCCUUCGGCCAUUGGGCACUGGAGACAGGGCGACGCAGGCGCGGUUUUGCCGGUGGUUGAGGUUUGGCGGAGGUGGGCGUCGCCGUGCGGCGGAUCUGAUGGGUGUGACAGGGGGAACGACGCUAUAAGCGAGGUUGCACAGGUGAUAAGAUAGGCAGGCUGCGGCUACGCGGUCGAGCGCGAAGUAGCGGUUUGCCGGGCACAGUUCUGGCAAGGCGGAAAAGAACUGUUGCGGCCGAAGUCGGGGUUGGCGAUGGAGGAAUCGUCGCGUAGCGAGUCCGGAGCGGCGUGACUGUGGAGAGGCGUCGGAAAAGCCGGAAGGCAUCGGGCCUUGCAGCAGGAGAUCCGGUGAGGUGAUGAUGGGCGCGAGCAGCGAGGUAGUUUGGACGCAGCAGGCGGCAAGCUCUGCCACAGCGGCGUCGGAGCACCAAGGCGCGGCCGGCGAGGACGCGAGCGAGACAAGACGCUGCAGAAAGGAUUGCAGAGGGGCUUCCGCUGCGAUUGGGGAGGAGGGCGCGGGAAUCCAUCCGGUCGCGGCCGGCGACUAGGCGGAGCGGCGGGCGUCGGAGGAGUUGAGCCACGCGGCGGAGAAGCUCUGAAGCGGGCAUGCUACUCGAGUGUAUGGCCGAAAGCUGUUUAGGAAGUUGGAUCCGGUAAGCAACGGGUCCACAAAUUUCCACAAUCUCAUAAGGGCCAAUGUAGCGGGGAGCCAAUUUUCCUUUUACUCCAAACCGUUGCACUCCUUUGGUCGGGGAGACUCAAAGAUACACACAAUCACCAAUAUCAAACUGCAGGGGUCUUCUUCUCCGGUCGGAGUAACUCUUCUGUCGAGACUAGGCGGGCUUUGAGAUUCGCUUGAAUUAUCUUCACUUGUUCUUCUGCUUCUAUUACUAAGUCAGGGCCAUAGGUUUGUCUUUCUCGAGCUUGUGACCAAUUCAACGGUGUCCGACAUCUCCGGCCAUAUAAGGCUUCAAACGGUGCCGUCUUCAAGCUAGUCUGGUAGCUAUUGUUAUAGGAGAACUCUGCCAAUGGUAAGCACUUAUCCCAAUUUUUAUCAUAAUGGAUGACACAAGCUCUCAACAUGUCUUCAAGGAUCUGAUUUACUCUUUCGGUCUGACCAUCGGUUUGAGGGUGAUAGGUAGAGCUACGAAUGAGCUUGGUGCCCAUUGAUGCUUGUAGCUGUUCCCAAAAACGUGCUACAAACUGAGCUCCUCGAUCAGAGAUGAUCGUCCCAGGUACACCGUGUAGGGAAACAAUGCGGUCAAGAUACAACUCCACAUAUUUCUUGGCCAUGUAGGUGGUGUGAACAGGGAUAAAGUGGGCAGUCUUGGUAAGACGAUCCACAAUCACCCAAAUGGAAUUAUGUCGCUGCGAUGUAAGGGGUAAUCCAACAAUGAAGUCCAUGCUAAUGUCCUCCCACUUCCAAGAGGGAAUAGGUAGGGGCUGCAGGGUACCUGCUACCUUUAAAUGGCUGGCUUUGACAUGUUGGCAGGUGUCACAUUCUGAAACAUACCGCGCAAUCUCUGGCUUCAUUCCACUCCACCAGAAGAUUUGACGGAGAUCAUGAUACAUCUUAUUGCUGCCAGGAUGGAUUGAGAACUUGGAGAGAUGAGCUUCAUCUAGGAUUUGCUUUCUCAGAUUGGGGUCGGAUGGUACAACCAGUCGAUUUCCAUAGUACACUCUCCCAUUCUCAUCCUGUCGGAAUUGCUUAUACCCUUCAUCUUUCAAUGAAAUCUUCCUUUUGAUCCACCUUACUUCCUCAUCCUCUAACUGUGCUGACCUAAUUUGGUCUUCCAGGACAGACUCAAAAGAUAUGUGGCCAAGGGUUCCAUGGGAAAUAAUUUCCAAACUGAGCUUUCCCAUCUCCUGGCACACGGUCUCUGUGAAGUUGGUUGCCAUCAAGCAAUUGCAAUGAGUCUUGCGACUAAGUGCAUCGGCCACCACGUUGGCCUUGCCGGGGUGAUAGUGCACUUCCAAAUCAUAUUCUUUAAUCAACUCCAACCAUCUUCUCUGUCGCAUGUUAAGGUCGGCCUGAGUGAAGAUGUACUUGAGGCUCUUGUGGUCGGUGUAGAUGUUACAGUGGGUGCCCAUCAGAUAGUGUCUCCAUAUCUUUAAGGCAUGAAUCACUGCUGCCAACUCAAGAUCAUGGGUCGGGUAGUUCAGCUCAUGAGGUCGUAACGCCCACGAGGCAUAGGCAAUGACUCAGUGGUUUUGCAUGAGAACACAACCAAGUCCAGUGCCAGAGGCGUCACAAUAUAUGUCAAACGGCUUAGAAGGGUCGGGUUGAGCCAAAACUGGGGCUGAGGUUAGCAAGUGUUUCAAAGUGUUGAAGGCUUCUUCACACUUGUUGCUCCACACAAAUUUGACUUCUUUCUUCAGCAGCUCAGUCAUCGGCUUUGCUAUCUUGGAGAAAUCCGAAAUGAAGCGCCGAUAGUAGCCUGCUAGUCCAAGGAAACUUCGGAUCUGGUGAACUGAGGUGGGCGGCUUCCAGUCCAUGACUUCCUGUACCUUGCUGGGGUCAACUGCUAUGCCAUCCCGAGAAAUGGUGUGUCCCAAGAACUUGACACUCUCUAACCAAAAUUCACACUUGGAGAAUUUGGCAUAGAGCUGAUGAUCUCUUAACCGUUGGAGAACCACAUGAAGAUGUUCGGCAUGUUCUUCUUCACUCUUGGAGUACACCAGAAUAUCAUCAAUGAACACCACCACGAACUUGUCCAGUUCGGGCAUGAACACCGAAUUCAUGAGAUACAUGAAAUAGGCGGGUGCAUUGGUGAGUCCAAAAGACAUGACCAGGUACUCGUAGAGUCCAUAUCUUGUGGAGAAGGCAGUUUUGGGAAUGUCACAGGGUCAGAUCUUGAUUUGGUGAUAACCGGAACGAAGAUCGAUCUUGGAGAAUACUCUUGCUCCAGCUAAUUGAUCAAACAAGACAUCGAUGUGGGGAAGUGGAUAUUUGUUCUUGACAGUCAUCGCAUUGAGAGGUCGGUAGUCCACACACAUGCGUAGACUUUCAUCCUUCUUCUUCACAAACAAGGCUGGGCAACCCCAGGGUGAAGUACUCGAUCGGAUGAAGCCUUUCUCCAACAGAUCAUGCAACUGGGUUUUUAACUCGGCCAGCUCAGCCGGUGGCAUCCGAUAGGGUCUCUUGGAUAUCGGAGCGGUGCCAGGCUGCAGUUCAAUGGCGAACUCGAUAUCUCUGUCUGGCGGCAUGCCAGGCAAGUCAUCUGGAAACACAUCCGGGUACUCACAGACAACAGGAAGGCUUUCUAUCUAGGCUUCCGAUAUAGGGUAUGCACAAGGAAUUGCGUACUUAGGGGGGGUCAAGGGUAGGGUAGAACUGCCAUGAAAGGGUGAGUUGAUGUGGAGAGCUCGGGCAGCUGCAUCUAGAACCACUUGGUGUCUGGUCAUCCAAUCCAUCCCAAGGAUGAUAUCUAUUCCUUCCAGGUCAAGGAUGAUGAGAUUUUCCUUAAAAAGAGUUUGGCCUAGCUGGAUAGGUACAAGGGUAACUAUCUUGUCUGAGGCUAUCUUCCUUCCCGGAGUGGAGAUCACAUAUAAUCCUUUAGUGUGAUCGACACUCAGCUCACAUCUUUCUCUAGUCUUACUCCCGAUGAAGCUAUGGGAGGCUCCCGAAUCAAACAAAACAACAACAGUUUGAUUUAGGACAAGGAAGGUACCCGUCAUCACUGGCGCACCUUCGGGGAGCUCAGUCAAGCUGGUGUAGUUGAGCCGUCCUUGGCGAACUUGCACCUUGGGCCUUCUUCCUCUGUUCGCCAUGGGGUUCUGGCCAGGCUGCUGAUUCUUGUUCCUGGGGCAGUCCUUAGCAAAAUGCCCUUCAUUCCCGCAGGUGAAACAGUGGUUGCUAUUCACAGGGCGCGGCGUCAGUAAGGUCGGCCGGGGCGCCUGUGGUUGGAAACCAGGAAAACAAGGUGCCGCUGGUGGUGGUCGGGCAACCCAUCUUCCUGACUCCUGGGGUCAGCUGGGUGCCUGUAGGGGAACCACCCUGAACCUUCGAGCGGGCGGGCUCGGUAAUGCCACUGAGGCCUUUCUCUGCUGGUCGGCUUUGAGAGCCUGCAUGCAAUUCUCUUGGGAGAUGGCCAGAUUCACCAACUCGUUGUAGGUAUCCACUUAAUGGGGUUCAACCUCUCCUUGAGCUCCAGAUUUAAUCCUCUGUGGAACCUGUCCCUUUUCUUCUCGUCGGUGUCCACGUGAUAGCCGGCAUAACGGCACAGGUCGUUGAAGGCUUGUGCGUAGUGUAGGACAUCACGGCUUCCUUGGGUAAGGGCCAAGAACUCAUUGAGUUUGCGUUCUAGAAGACCUUCUAGAAUGUGAUGCCCUCUGAAAGCGGUCUUGAACUCGUUCCAGCUGAUAGCAUGGUCGGCCGGCAACAUAGCAUGGUAGUGAUCCCACCAAAGCCGGGCGGAACCACGCAGCUGUUGAGCCGCAAACCGGGCUUUGUUAUGGUCGGGGCACGGGGUGGUAAGGAGCUUGAACUUGGAUUCGAUCGUACGAACCCAUGCAUCUGCAUCGAGCGGGUCUUCCAUCUUGUGGAAGGUCGGGGGCUGCGUGCUCAAGAAGUCUUCAUAACGAGCAUCUUGAGGUUGUUGAUGAGCCGUCCUUCCAUGGGGCUACUGUUGUUGUCCUUGUACAAUGUGCCUUAGCAGCUUUGUCUGAGCCGCUAGGAUGGCUUCCAACGAAGGUGGGGGCAGAGGCGGAGGAAGAUCCUGCCUCUGCUCGCUACCACUGGGCACAGAGCCAGAUCGGGUGCGGUGCACCAUCUACAAGAGCCAACGUUCCAUAAAUUCCAUAACCUCAGAAGUAUUCCAAUCAUGCAGGAACGUAUACUUUAAGUCCUCAAAAUGCGACUCUUGCCAAUAGUGCAACGCAACAACAUCUCUUAUUAAGGAUAUACACACUUCCUCUUGCCAUCUUAGUUAGCCACUCGCUUGGUUCUGCACACAACCUCGGGCAAACCAAAACCGUAUCCCAGGAGUUCCACUAUAUCCGACCUUAGGCCAAGGGGUCGGGCUAAGCAAAACAGUGCAACAAGGGGUCUGGUGAAGCGAACCGCACAAGAAGGGGUCGGGCGAGAUGGAGAAUUGCCUCGAGGGGUCGAGCGUGUCCGACCUUGCGGCUCGGGGUCGGCCAAGUUUUGGACAGACCCACCGAAAAUGGGUGUGUGGUCACAGCACGAAACUCCCACAACUUGGCAUCCACGGCGUGUCGCAAAAAGGGGUCAAGGGUCAAGUUCAGAUCUGAUUUCACUAAGAUCAUUACAUUGUGGUUCCCCAAAACACAGGAGGAAUACUCAACUCAAGGCUAACUCAUUACACCACUAUCCAAAACUCAGGUUGCCGAGAAGUACAACAAAAGAUUAGCUCCCUACAGCUCUCAAAGUAUGAGGGUACACUGUUAGUCGGAGAAAGGGCGUCGCCAUCCUCAAUGUCCAUGCUGGAUGCUCCCAUGACUUCCUCGGGAUCUUCUUGCUCGUCCAAUUGCAUCUCAAGGGCAUGUAUAGCAUCAAACUCGGCGUGGUGCUCGUCCAGAUGAGCAUUAGCAACUGCUAGCUCCAUCUCGACCUCCAUCUUUUCUUCGGAAAGCUCGAUCAUGCCAUCCACCAGGUCCGUUACUUCUCCCUCGAGUUCGGAGAAUCGGUCUUGCAUGUCAUGGAUCUGUAUGCCUCUCUGGAUGAGUUGAUAUGUUUGUCCCACCAAGUCUCUCUUGGCGGCGUUGAAGAGCCCUUGGGUGUCUAUGGCUAUCCAAGCCAAGACAGCCAUUGCUCGGCCUUGAAGCUCGAUCAGCCGAUAUAAGGCUGACAUGCAUCUGGUGGUGGUAGAGAUAGUGACCAGUGAAUGGGAGGUUGCCAACACCUCUAUGUUGUUGAUGCGAUCAAGCUAAGCCGGGUCCAUCCGGUCCCUGGCAGGAAACAGGCCGAUUGGGUCCAAGGUGACCUUAAGCGGGUGUAACCGACAGAAAUGGGUGAGGAUUUGUAGAGCAGCCGACUCCCAGGUGUCUUCCAGAGCGUGUUCGCAAGUCAAGACUUCGAGCUGGGGCCACUCGGGCUGCAUAGGGGGUGGAGGUACAACCACCUGUAGGUUGCACCUCUCCACUCUGUGCUCCUGGUACAUCCGUCCCACGUACAAAGGCGGGGACUGGUACCCAAACCACCUUAAGGUAUCCUACAAAAUAGCAGGAAAACCCUCAAAGUGUAGGCAUGUAGAGUGGGAAAUGCCAUCAGCGCCGUACAACAUGUGUCCGGGGGCGGCCAUUUGGAACCAAGAACCGAAACAUCAUGAGAUAGAAAUCCCAAGAAGAACAGAUCGGGUAGGAGAAGAACUUGGAAAUCAACCAGAGCGUAAGCUGGAAAGGAGGCUAGAAAUCCUUAAAGCGAAGAAGAGCUUUUCCAAGGCAAGGUUGUUUUAGGGAGGUGGUUUCACAGAUUCUAGUUGAUGAUGCAUGCACAGCCUACCUCGUCCUCUCAACCAAAACAACUGCCAAAACUUUGGUCUUACGCAGUUAGUGCCGGUGGCAAGGCAACCAGUACGUCUCUCCCUAUAAUAGCUAGUCGGGUUCUAGUAGCGUCUCCUAAGCGAACGCGGUUAGUGCACCUGCAGAAAAACACAACCACUUGAACCUUUCAUGCCAGCACCCACGAAAGCAUCCCCAAGCAUUACCGUUCACUAUUGAAACGACACCCAUGCGUUUAAGGCUGCAUGGACAGCACAACAACCGUGGAAAUAGGUCCCCUUUGAAUGGAACCGUAUAACCCUUCGCAUACUCGUGAUGCGGAAUCAACGCACGUAUAAUAGACGUGGGCGAACAACCGUGAUGAUAGGCUCGUUGGAAUCGAACCAUACCACCCUUCGUAUGAAUCAACACACGGAACCUGCGCACGUGUGAUAGACGUGGGCGAAACAACCGUGAUGAUAGGGUCCUUUGAAUAGAACUCCCUAUCAACCCUCGCAUACUCGUGAUGCGGAACUCGGCACACGUAUGAUACACGUGGCGAAGUGCUGGGGGUUAGCAAAAUAACCAAUAAGUAGUAGCCACCUGAAACAACCCAAAAUCCCCUAGGGCCUCUCGUGCUAAAGUCAUCCUUAACGACCGUACGAGAUUUUUUUUUUCAACAGUUUUCUUUUUGCAAAAUUUUAUUCAAAAGAAGUGUUUAGGGCUUAUUGUGUUCUCUGUAUUGCUAAACCAGCUCUGGUACCAGCUGUGGCGGAACCACCUCGGAUUAGCUUGAUCAAAGCACGGUUAAGUCGUCUGACACGCGACACUCAUGCCUUAAUCAAGUUAACUCGAAGUGCCAUCGGAUUUCGUCCGAUUUAACCACUUAACAGGACCGAGUUAGCAAAACUCACACGAAGGUGAGUGGUUUCCAGAGAAUACAACAGGUCCAACAGUAGAUUUACAAGUUGCUACACACUUGGUUGAAAAUCAGAGCUUAACCAGUUCUGAAGAAAACAACAGAGGAUAAAAACAAGCGGAAGCUACUCGUCGAGGUCGGACGUCCCUGGUGAGGCCAGCCAAGACAUUAGUGAUCCCAUUCCCCACCGUCUAAGGAGGGAUCCCAUUCGACUGUCCAACCCGGAGGGAGUUGGGGCAGCCAAGAGCCAACAACAAACUCGGAAGCUGCGACUUUACCUGAAAAGAGAAGCCACAAACAAGGCUGAGCUUCUAAGCUCAACAAGACUUGACCGACCGGUGGGAAAAAAAACUACUCCACCACUUCUAGACAUGCAAGGCUCUUUGGCUGAGGGGUUUGUUUGCCAAAAGCACUAUGUAGAUCCUUAUUUUCAAAGUUUUAGCUCAGAUUCUAAGUUCAUUAACCGGUCUAAGUUGGCAACUUACUCUAAGCAAACAUAGAUCAAACCUUAGGUAUAUAAAACAUCAUCAAGACCAUGCCAUCAUCAGAUUCCUUUAUUACUCAGUGUAGCAUAGCGAUCAAGUAGUCUCAAACUGUGAGAGGCAGACGAAUCAAUUCGAGUUCUUUAACCAUGCAUGGUGAACCUAACCUCACGACAUCCGCGCACCACCGAGGGUCGCUUCCUGUGUCAGCCUUCCCCAUCAAUUCCCUAACCCAUGUCGGGCCCAUUUCCUUUGGUGCAAGGUUCCACAGACCCGGCCUCUGCCGUUCUGUGACCACACUUGCCACCACGUGCGGCCGCAGGGGAACUCCAUUCCAAGGACAAUGGGGCGACCGCUCACGUCUAGGUUGAAUCAGGUACUAGGCUUCCCCAUCCCAUACUGAGUAUGAGGUUAGUACUUUCAAACACUUGAUCACGAACACCACCACUGUUGGGCCUUAACAGAUUCCAUAGACAGACGGGGCGAUCAGCCGACCACCAAAAGUUAACCAAAACCCUGCCCCGUCCAUCGUCCUUAUAGUUGUAACAGAAGGAGAAACAACCAACUCCUAUAACUCGUGAGUGACAGGAAAUCACUCGACUUUUACCAAUUCCUAUUUAAGCAUAGCAACUACUCGGUCCAACAAACUAGUGUUCAGAUCAAAGGAACUAUGUCAUGCAUCUAUGGUUGCAAACAACUCCUAUACGUAAAUGCACAAACAUGAUGAAGAAGGCAUGUGCAAGUUUAGGAAUUUGGGGUUCAUGCUCUAGGGCUUGCCUUCAAGCGAGGAGGAAGGGAACUGGUCUUCUGCUGGGGCGGCUUCGGCUUCUGGGAGCGGUAGCUCGGCUACAGCUCCGUCUUUGGACGCCGGGUACAGCUCAUAGACACCGUCAGUGAGAUGCAACUCUACACGAAUGCAAUGCAGGAGUUAGUGUUUUAGACGGUUAAUUCAACAACACUUGCAGUUAAAGCUCGGACACUGGUAGCAAGGCUACAGAAAAGGUGGGGAGAGAUUACUUUAGUUGGUGGAGAGCAAGAUCAAAGGGUCAGAUAGGGUAAACUUAUGAUCUGACCCCUAAACUUUAGGAGAUAACUAUGUUCGAGGUCCUCAGACUUAGCGCAGAGAAGUCCCCGAUUUUUUUUACACAUAUACCCUCGGGUCAAGGAAAAGGAUACAGCCGAGUCCUCAGGCGAGGCGGAAAAGGGUCGGCGAAACAGACAGGGUCGGGCGAGACGGAUAAGGGGUCGGGCGAAACAGACAGGGUCGGGCGAGACGGAAAAAGGAGUCGGGUGAAACAGACAGGGUCGGGCGAGACCGAAAAAGGGGUCGGGUGACAUGAGAAGGGGGUCGGCAGCUUACCUUCAGUUUAUAGGUGAAGUUUUGGGAUCGGGAAGGAGUAGACUUGGGCGGAAGGACUGAAGCACUAAGACUUGGGCAGCGGCGAUGUCCGACGGUGCUCCGGCGGCGGCGGAGCUUCUUGUGAGCAGCAAGGAAGCUCUAGCACUGCGCGGAGGAGCAGGCGGCUGGGUGGAUUGGGAGGUGCGGGUGUUGAGCGGGGAUGGGAGUUCCUCAAGAACUUAGGUGGCAUCACUGAAGCACGAAACAGAGGAAAAGACGGUAAGGCAACGACGGCGAAGGGAAUCUCUGGUAGGACUCGGGCAUUCCCUUUUAUAGCCGCGCAGGAGAGAGAGGGUUGGAGCAGCACGAAGACCGGAAAGAAAAAGAUGGAGUGCGCUGCUAUGGCGGCGAUUGAGCGGCGAUGGGCGGCGGAACAGGACUUCGGAGAUGACGCCUUCGGCCAUUGGGCACUGGAGACAGGGCGACGCAGGCGCGGUUUUGCCAGUGGUUGAGGUUUGGCGGAGGUGGGCGUCGCCGUGCGGCGGAUCUGAUGGGUGUGACAGGGGGAACGACGCUAUAAGCGAGGUUGCACAGGUGAUAAGAUAGGCAGGCUGCGGCUGCGCGGGCGAGCGCGAAGUAGCGGUUUGCCGGGCACAGUUCUGGCAAGGCGGAAAAGAACUGUUGCGGCCGAAGUCGGGGUUGGCGAUGGAGGAAUUGUCGCGUAGCGAGUCCGGAGCGGCGUGACUGUGGAGAGGCGCCGGAAAAGCCGGAAGGCAUCGGGCCUUGCAGCAGGAGAUCCGGUGAGGUGAUGAUGGGCGCGAGCAGCGAGGCAGUUUGGACGCAGCAGGUGGCAAGCUCUGCCACAGCGGCGUCGGAGCACCAAGGCGCGGCCGGCGAGGACGCGAGCGAGACAAGACGCUGCAGAAAGGGUUGCAGAGGGGCUUCCGCUGCAAUUGGGGAGGAGGGCGCGGGAAUCCAUCCGGUCGUGGCUGGCGACUGGGCGGAGCGGCGGGCGUCGGAGGAGUUGAGCCACGCGGCGGAGAAGCUCUGAAGCGGGCAUGCUACUCGAGUGUGUCUGCAUCGGGAGAUCCGGGGAAAAGAUUUGCGGGUCCACGGUUAGUCUCCGUUGUUACCCAGCUCCAAGAUUGAAAAGGGGCACUGCCUUGGGGAACUCAGAAGGGACUGACGGGAUGGGUCGAGUUCUCAGGGGUCGGGACCGGAACUGGAGGUUGAGCACUUAAGCUCAGGGGAGCUGAGUCAGUGGGAUUAGGGACUCGGAUCAAGAUCAACUCAGAUGAUUUGACCACGGUCGUUACAAGACUUAACACAGAGAAGUCCUCGAUAUUUUACACAGAUACCCUCGGGUCAAGGAAAGAGAUACAGCCAAGCCCUCGGGCGAGGUGGAUAAGGGUGGGCGAACAGACAGAGUCGGGCGAGACGGAAAAGGGGUCGGGCGAACCGGAAAGGGGUCGGCAGCUUACCUUCAGGUCUACUGGUGAAGUUUUGGGGUCGGGAAGGAACAGACUUGGGCGGAGAGACUAAAGCACUAAGGCUUGGGCGGCGGCGAUGUUCAACGGUGCUCCGGCGGUGGCGGUGCUUCUUGUGGAUAAUAAGAAAGCUCUAGCACAGUGCGGAGGAAUAGGCGGCUAGUGGGUUCGGGAGAAGCGGGUUUGAGCGGAGAGGGGAACUUCUUCAAGAGCUCAAGCAGCAGGGCUCAAGUGGGAGCAGAGUAUGGGGCGGUGAAAUAGCGAUGGCGAAGGAAACUCCGGUGGGGGCUCUGGUACUUCUUUUUUAUAGCUGCGCGGAAGAGAGAGAAUUUGAGUAGCACGAAGACCGGGAAGAAAAGGAUGGAGUGCGCUACCCUGGCGGCGAUUGAGCGGCGAUGGGUGGCGGAACAGAGCUUUGGAGACAGGGUCUUUGGUCCUUGGGCACGGCAGACAAGACCGGCGCAGGCGCGGUUUGGCCGGGAUUUAGAUUUGGCAGAGGCGAGCAUGGUCUGGUCGCGUCAAGCGGUGGAUUGUGGCGGCGACUUGACUGGCGUGACCGGAAGAAAGGCGCUACAAGCGAGAUCGCAGCAGGCGAGGUGACAGGGCGAGCGGCAGCGCGAGCAAGCGCAAAACAGCGGCUUGCCGGGGCAUAUCACUGGCGAAGCGGAAAAGGAGCUGUCUCUGCCGGAGUCAUGGUUGGUGGGGGCGGUAUCAUCGUGGAGCGAGCUCGUGGGCGGCGCGACUGUGGAGAGGUGGAAAAGCCGAAAAGCAUUGGGGCUUGCAGCCGGGGAUCCGGGCGAGGUGAUGGGUGCGGGGUGCGAGGCGGUCUGACGCAGCAGCGGCAAAAACUCUGCCACGGCGGUGACGGGGCACCUUGGCACGGCCAGCGAGGAUGCGAGCGAGACGAGGCGAGGCAGAAAGGGCUGCAGGGGCGUCCGCUGUGAUUGGGAGGGAGGCGCGUUGAUCCAUCCUGUCGCGACCGGCGACUGGGCGAGGCGGCGCACGUCGGAGAGAUCGAGCCACGCGGCGGGGAAGCUCUAAAGCGGGCGCACGCUGCUCUGGCGCGUUUGUCUCGAGAGAACCGGGAAAACUGGUUGUGGGUCCACCAGUCAGUCUCUGGUUCUCUUUCAGCUCCAAGAUUAGAAGGAACACUGCCUUUGGGACUAGAGAAGAACCGGCGGUUUGGUUUGGGCUUCAGGGGUCGGGGUCGAGAACCGGACCGUAAGCGCUCGUGCUCAGGAAGAGCAGAGUCAGCUGGAUUAGGGACUCGGUUGAAGAUUAACUCGGCUGAUUCACCAAGGUCGUUACACUACACACACGAUUUCACCAUGUAAAUUUAGGAAACAAAAAAAAUUUACCCUCCUAAUAAUUCAUCUAUUAUUGGAUGGUCCUCUCAUUGAUUUUUUCUGACUUCGCCCGGACAGGCUAAUAUGCAAAUUUACUUGUGACAAAUAAUUAUCAUUCACACAAUCACUUCCAUUUUCUUUUUCAUUCGUUACCUCCAACCUAAAAGCCAUGUCCAUAGUAUGUUGCUCCCUUACUGUAUUGUACAUGUUCUUCCCUGCUAGCUUGAGACCCUGUUCCCCGGCAGUCAUGGGUGUAAUCAUCCUCGCCCUGGUGGCCUCCCUUCUUGCACCAUGGGAUACAGCUGAGCCAUGGAAAAUAUGUGUUAAGGAGAAUGCCUUGUUCCUCAGGGGUGGAGGCAGGAUUUUGGUAUAGGGGGGCAACCACUGUAAAAGAAAAAAAAUUAUACAAAACUUUGUAUGAUGCCAACGCUAUUAUACUCCACCUGACCGGGAGAAGAAAUGUUGUAGAUGCAUGAUAUCUGGGAUUUUUUUUUUCGUUUUAAAAAAAUAGAGCGCAUCAAGCAGUGAUGCAUUCUUCUGUACGUAGCUGGUUUGUCCUUUCGUGAGCCGAUGAUAGGCUUACAAAGAGGCACAGGCAGAUACAUAAUGGAUUGUCUAUUCUAGUAAUGCGUGACAGAUUGUUAUGCAGCUUCCAGCUGCUGUCAAGUCUUCAUCCAUUAAUAAAUCAAUUAAUUAAUUUUUUUGGCUGCAAUAUGAAAAAUCCUAGUCUUUGCUCCAGCAAACAGGUCAAUUAUAUGGACUUCGUUGUCAAAAAAGAAAGUUAUGUAGACAUGAAGGCAACGAAGACAUUAUUAAUGAUGUACCCGAGAGAAUCAUAAACAAUUUGGAUGAAAAUCCUAUCAGGUAAGGAUCCAUAAGGACUUAGGUUAAAUGAUCUACAAUGUGAAAGCACAUUAACAUACUCUAUAAAUAUGUGGAGCGACUCGCUCCAACAUGCUAGAAACUCUAGCCGCCACUGCGACUAUAGUAGGCUAACUGCAUUUACGAGUAUCAUGGGCUAGCUGUACGCAAUUGCGACCUGAGGAGACUUGACUAGUAUAGCCUUUCAUCAAAUGCUGUUGGUAUCAUCCACUGCUACAACAGUGACCGGUAAUUGGCCCUGAAAAUCCAGAAUCAAUUAUACCCAUUUUCCUCAAAUUUGUGAGGUUGCCGAUAGAAGAUGGCACGGAACCAUACACUGGUAGAGAAUUGACCUUUAGUCCCGGUUGGUAGGGUGCAUAUCUCUCGGAUAUCCAUCCGGGAUAAACCAACCGGGACAAAAGGGGGGGGUCUUUAGUCCCGGGUAUUUUAACCGGGAGUAAAGGACCCCCUUUAGUCCCGGUUGGUGUCACCAACCGGGACUAAAGGGCCUGCCACGCCAGGCACGGGACAGGCCCUUUAGUCCCGGUUGGAUUUCCCAACCGGGACUAAAGGGGUCCCCUUUAGUCCCGGCUCAAUUCCAACCGGGACUAAAUUGCGCUUGCAUGGCACUGGUGACGCCUGAAUUUUUCAUGCAUGCAUCACGUAUACGUAUAGUAGUACCGCGGCCCUUUUAAUUUGUUAACCUUGUAGUUGAGAUUUUUUUAGAACGAAAUCAACUAGUAUUUAAACGAAUGGGAUUUGUAAUUAUACAACUACUAUAUAUAUACACAAUCCUUAUACACAAUUCAUAUACACAAUUCAACUAGCUUAAUUAGUACAAAUCGAUCAUAUAUACAAAUAAAUCAAAGUAUCUUCCUACGAUCUUCCCGUCGUGGUGUUGCUGAGAGGAGUGUCUAAUUGUCGUCCAUCGUAAUAAAAUUCUCCUCUUGGAUCUACCACCUCGUCCAUUAUGAAUCCAAUGAGACCUUCACAUAUUGCCGCUACUCUUUCUUCCUUCAAGAGUCCUUGUUGAAUAUUUAACAUCUAUAAUUUGGAAAUUUGUGAAUGUUACAUGAACAAAUACAUAUAAGGAGCUAGAAAAUAAUUAACUAGUAAUAUAUUUAUUUUACGUACUUUAAAGUUGUGCGGCGUCAUCUUCGGUCCCUUGGGUCCCAAAAAACUGUGCAUGUGCUCACAGAUGUAGUAGCCACAUAGAUUAUUCCCGGGUUCCUGUCUUAAGCACUUCAGUGCGGAAAAAAUAAGUUAUGAACUAUUCGUGUUAUACAAUGUAAUAAAUGUGCAGACUUCAUACGUACCGGGAAGUCUGUGUUCCAUGUAAGAUUUUCUUUGAAUGGACCUUUGUGUGUCCUUAUGAAUUGUUUCCAUGCAUUGCGGAUUAGAAUAAUGAAUGACAUAGUGUAACAGGGAUAAAAUUUAGGAAAUAAAUUUUUGCAUAGAGAUAAAGGUCCAGAAUUAUUACAAGCCUAGCAUGUCUUGCAAUUCUUGGUAGUCCACCGGAUCUUUCCUUAACGAAUCAAAGACAGUGACGUGGCUUCUUUCAGGCUCAAUUAUAAUAAGGAUCCAGUGGAAGCUGCGUGCGUAAAAUGUUCAUGCAUAUUAGAGCUAACUAACAUGUAGAGAUAAGGAAAAAGACAUCGAAAGUAGACGGUAUACACACACUUACUUGAAGUUGUAUGGAAGUAGUAUGAAAUCCUUGAAUGUUUGUUUGUGUAGGAAAUUGUAUAUUUCGGCAAAGGUUUUUUCCGGCGCUAAUUGUAUCUGUUGUUGGUUAACUACAGAUGGAUCCAUGAAGCCUACAUGUAGGUACGCCUCUCGGCGGCAUGUCUGAAUUAGCAUCCUACAUGAAAUGGAAGAUGAAGUUAGUACGGUGACGCACGCCAAAAUUUACAUGUAGAGAUAAUAAACGGACACUUACAGAAUCCAAGCGCUGAUCAGAGAGACGUCCAGGGCAUCAUGAUGGUACACUUCGUAUAUAUCCUUGAAGUCUAGCCACAGCACUUUCUCCCCUUCACCGUGAAAAUCUAUCGGUUUUACCUUCAUGCCGAUCAUCUCCCUCGAGUUGGCGGAUGCCGUCAUGUACCAUUGAUGGAAUUCGUACAUCUUUGUUGACAGCUUCCGUAGCAUUGAAGGCUUCACUAGAGGUUUGCCUAGCUCAUAAGGCCAUCUCGGCUCAGGGGGCGGUGCAGUUGGCGUCUCGACUUGCCCUAUGCAUUCAUCAAGUCCCAGACCUGUUUCUUCCAUGAAUUUCAAUAUAUUUGCUUGUUGAUCCAAGGGCAUUGCUUUUACCCGUUGAGCAUCUUUUUUCGAUAAAUGGCUGAGGUCGGGGACUGGACCUUUGGAGGAUGAUUUUCCUUUUCUUUUAUCCUUUUCAUCAGCCUUUACUAGAGCCCGUUCAUAGUUUGACAAGAGUGGUAUCCUUUUCUUGGCUCCUUCCUCCAUCCUGAUAAAAAAGUUUAAAUCCCGCCGACUUACUGGCGGUGGCUCCAUCUCCCUUGCCUUUUUUAAUUCGGCUUGUUUCUUGAACCACUCACUGGCCUCUCGUUGGAUUUCUGCCCACUGUUCCGCAUGAGACAUUGCCUCAAAGCGUUCCUUGCGAGCCACUUCAGGGUCGACCUUUGUUUUCUUCUUUCGAGGCUGUCUUUGCUUGGGAGGCGGUGCUCGUGACUUCUUGAGUGGUGCUGCAGGUUCCUUCGAGGGGGCCGCUCUUGGUGCCGGCGACGGUGAUCGGGGAGGGGUGUUGUUAUUGUCGUCGUCGCUCCCAGCACCAGGAUGUGGUGGAGAUGGAGACCUUGAUAUAGAUGGAAGCGACGGUCCUGGAGCAGGAGAUGCCGGUCUCGAGGUAUGAGGAGAAGGUCGCUGCUCGGGAUCUACGGGGAGCGGUCUUGAGGUCUGAGGAGAUGGCUCCGUGCGGGAAAUAAUGAUGUAGCGUUUCUUCCAUAGAAUGAUCCCAUGAAGCGCAUCUGCCAAUGUCUUUUCCCCGUCGCCUCCCGGGAAGUCGAGCUCUAGACCUUCAUACUGGGCAUCUACUAUUUGCUCGACGCAGACGCUGGCGUAGCCUGUUGGAAUGUCCAUGCCAUGACUGCUCUGCCCUGCCAGCGUUGGUAACGCACUCCCGUACGCUACCUGUACAUAUAGCAGAAGUAAACAAGUUGAACUCCGAUCUCGAGGCCUGGAUCAAUUGACAAGAUUGCAUAAAUAUUAUGUAUAAGUAUACCUUAAUAGUGAGGUUGCCGACCGGUGCAUGCAGCUCACAUGAGGUCCGUUGCGUGAUGGCAUCCACGGGGAACCGUUGCUCCUCCACGGGUAACCUGGGCGUCUGCGCAUCGGGGACCCCUGUAGAAGCACAACUGCUCCCGAGGCGUUGAGAAGGGCUGGCGGUGUGAGGAUUCGGCAUUGCUCCAGAUUGCGCCAACUCCGCAACUGCAUCGGCCACCCGCCGAUUGAUUUCAUCCAUCAUUCGUUGUUCUAGCAUCUGCCGCCAGCUCUCCUCCAUCUGUUCCUUUCUUCGCUUCCGGCUGUCGCCUCGGAAAGCGAACUUCCACGGAACCACCCCGAACCCCCGGCAACGUCCUGGGUGCUCUGGAUUACCGAGGGCCAAUGUGAGCUCAUCAUUUUCUCGGUCCACCCUCAACCUCCCAGCCUUGGAAUCUUCAAUGUUCUUCAUGAGAUGUUCGGCCUUCUCACGUAUUCUGUCAUUGAAAAUCAGCGUCCCAUCCUCUUGGCUUAGGGAGCCUCCAUGAGCGUAGUACCAGUUCUUUGAUCGUUCGGGCCAUUCAAUAGUUGCAGGUAUGAUUCCCCGUUCGAUCAGAUCUUGUUCCAUCUUUCUCCACUUGGGAAUUGCUGAGCCAUACCCACCUCGCCCCAAAUGAUGGUGGUAGCCCUUCUGACUAGCAUUUGCAACGUUGGUCGUGAUCUUUUUCACACCUUCUUCACUCCUCUUGUAUUCAACAAAUGCAUCCCAGUGGUCCCUCAACUUGGGCCACGCGUUGAAGUCUGGAGUUUUGCCCUUCUUGAUGUAGUGGGUGUCCAGCAUCUUCUUGAAUGUCUGGAAUUGAGUAGCCAUCUUCUUAAGUGUCCACGCUUUGACAUCCUUCUCGCUAUAUCCUUCGGGGAAUGUGAAAUGUCUCUUCACGUCUUCCCACAGCAUAUUCUUUUCUGUCUCUGGAAGGGCGUACGGAUUAUCGCUUCUGCCCUUCCAUUCUCUGAUGCUGAUAGGCACGUUGUCCCGGACGAUUGCCCCGAUUUGACUAACGUACUUCUUUGCGACUUUCUCGGGAGCAACCGGCCUGCCCUCAUCUGUAAAUUCGGUGAUGACAAGCCUCCCUUCCAUCACCUUUGUACGACCUCGGGUCUUCUGCCCUUGUGUCGAUCCGGAGGGCUAACAGUUCAAGAUUCGUUAAUUAGUACGUAGUAGUAGCGGUGGCGUGAAACAAUACAAGAAUGGUUGUAUAUACCUCGCCGGAACCUUCCGCCACGGCAAGUUGUUGCUGCGGCUGUUGCUCUUCAUUCCCAUCGGCAGACAUGUUGAGGAACAUGUCCGCCUGGGUGCCCUCUUCAUCCGUGUAUGAUAGUGGAACGUUGUCGCCACUACCAUCACCAGCGAUUAUCUGCUCCAUGAUAUACCUUGCGGUCUCAUCGUCUGCCAUUUCAACUAUUGCUGGAAACAUACAUGGAAUCAUACAUGACAGUCAUAGAAAUCGUCUUAAUACAAAUUUGUAUAUAAUGACAGUCCGGAAUCAUACAUGUAUAUAAUGAAAUCAUAAAAUAACAUGAAUCGUACAAAGUCCGGAAUCUUUAUACAAAUUUCUAUGAAUUUAUACAAAUUUCUAUGAAUUUCUAUGAAUUUCUACAAAUUUCUACAAAUUUCUAUGAUUUUCUAUGAAUUUCUAUGAAUUUCUACAAAUUUCUAUGAAUUUCUAUGAAUUCUAUGAAGGNNNNNNNNNNNNNNNNNNNNNNNNNNNNNNNNNNNNNNNNNNNNNNNNNNNNNNNNNNNNNNNNNNNNNNNNNNNNNNNNNNNNNNNNNNNNNNNNNNNNNNNNNNNNNNNNNNNNNNNNNNNNNNNNNNNNNNNNNNNNNNNNNNNNNNNNNNNNNNNNNNNNNNNNNNNNNNNNNNNNNNNNNNNNNNNNNNNNNNNNNNNNNNNNNNNNNNNNNNNNNNNNNNNNNNNNNNNNNNNNNNNNNNNNNNNNNNNNNNNNNNNNNNNNNNNNNNNNNNNNNNNNNNNNNNNNNNNNNNNNNNNNNNNNNNNNNNNNNNNNNNNNNNNNNNNNNNNNNNNNNNNNNNNNNNNNNNNNNNNNNNNNNNNNNNNNNNNNNNNNNNNNNNNNNNNNNNNNNNNNNNNNNNNNNNNNNNNNNNNNNNNNNNNNNNNNNNNNNNNNNNNNNNNNNNNNNNNNNNNNNNNNNNNNNNNNNNNNNNNNNNNNNNNNNNNNNNNNNNNNNNNNNNNNNNNNNNNNNNNNNNNNNNNNNNNNNNNNNNNNNNNNNNNNNNNNNNNNNNNNNNNNNNNNNNNNNNNNNNNNNNNNNNNNNNNNNNNNNNNNNNNNNNNNNNNNNNNNNNNNNNNNNNNNNNNNNNNNNNNNNNNNNNNNNNNNNNNNNNNNNNNNNNNNNNNNNNNNNNNNNNNNNNNNNNNNNNNNNNNNNNNNNNNNNNNNNNNNNNNNNNNNNNNNNNNNNNNNNNNNNNNNNNNNNNNNNNNNNNNNNNNNNNNNNNNNNNNNNNNNNNNNNNNNNNNNNNNNNNNNNNNNNNNNNNNNNNNNNNNNNNNNNNNNNNNNNNNNNNNNNNNNNNNNNNNNNNNNNNNNNNNNNNNNNNNNNNNNNNNNNNNNNNNNNNNNNNNNNNNNNNNNNNNNNNNNNNNNNNNNNNNNNNNNNNNNNNNNNNNNNNNNNNNNNNNNNNNNNNNNNNNNNNNNNNNNNNNNNNNNNNNNNNNNNNNNNNNNNNNNNNNNNNNNNNNNNNNNNNNNNNNNNNNNNNNNNNNNNNNNNNNNNNNNNNNNNNNNNNNNNNNNNNNNNNNNNNNNNNNNNNNNNNNNNNNNNNNNNNNNNNNNNNNNNNNNNNNNNNNNNNNNNNNNNNNNNNNNNNNNNNNNNNNNNNNNNNNNNNNNNNNNNNNNNNNNNNNNNNNNNNNNNNNNNNNNNNNNNNNNNNNNNNNNNNNNNNNNNNNNNNNNNNNNNNNNNNNNNNNNNNNNNNNNNNNNNNNNNNNNNNNNNNNNNNNNNNNNNNNNNNNNNNNNNNNNNNNNNNNNNNNNNNNNNNNNNNNNNNNNNNNNNNNNNNNNNNNNNNNNNNNNNNNNNNNNNNNNNNNNNNNNNNNNNNNNNNNNNNNNNNNNNNNNNNNNNNNNNNNNNNNNNNNNNNNNNNNNNNNNNNNNNNNNNNNNNNNNNNNNNNNNNNNNNNNNNNNNNNNNNNNNNNNNNNNNNNNNNNNNNNNNNNNNNNNNNNNNNNNNNNNNNNNNNNNNNNNNNNNNNNNNNNNNNNNNNNNNNNNNNNNNNNNNNNNNNNNNNNNNNNNNNNNNNNNNNNNNNNNNNNNNNNNNNNNNNNNNNNNNNNNNNNNNNNNNNNNNNNNNNNNNNNNNNNNNNNNNNNNNNNNNNNNNNNNNNNNNNNNNNNNNNNNNNNNNNNNNNNNNNNNNNNNNNNNNNNNNNNNNNNNNNNNNNNNNNNNNNNNNNNNNNNNNNNNNNNNNNNNNNNNNNNNNNNNNNNNNNNNNNNNNNNNNNNNNNNNNNNNNNNNNNNNNNNNNNNNNNNNNNNNNNNNNNNNNNNNNNNNNNNNNNNNNNNNNNNNNNNNNNNNNNNNNNNNNNNNNNNNNNNNNNNNNNNNNNNNNNNNNNNNNNNNNNNNNNNNNNNNNNNNNNNNNNNNNNNNNNNNNNNNNNNNNNNNNNNNNNNNNNNNNNNNNNNNNNNNNNNNNNNNNNNNNNNNNNNNNNNNNNNNNNNNNNNNNNNNNNNNNNNNNNNNNNNNNNNNNNNNNNNNNNNNNNNNNNNNNNNNNNNNNNNNNNNNNNNNNNNNNNNNNNNNNNNNNNNNNNNNNNNNNNNNNNNNNNNNNNNNNNNNNNNNNNNNNNNNNNNNNNNNNNNNNNNNNNNNNNNNNNNNNNNNNNNNNNNNNNNNNNNNNNNNNNNNNNNNNNNNNNNNNNNNNNNNNNNNNNNNNNNNNNNNNNNNNNNNNNNNNNNNNNNNNNNNNNNNNNNNNNNNNNNNNNNNNNNNNNNNNNNNNNNNNNNNNNNNNNNNNNNNNNNNNNNNNNNNNNNNNNNNNNNNNNNNNNNNNNNNNNNNNNNNNNNNNNNNNNNNNNNNNNNNNNNNNNNNNNNNNNNNNNNNNNNNNNNNNNNNNNNNNNNNNNNNNNNNNNNNNNNNNNNNNNNNNNNNNNNNNNNNNNNNNNNNNNNNNNNNNNNNNNNNNNNNNNNNNNNNNNNNNNNNNNNNNNNNNNNNNNNNNNNNNNNNNNNNNNNNNNNNNNNNNNNNNNNNNNNNNNNNNNNNNNNNNNNNNNNNNNNNNNNNNNNNNNNNNNNNNNNNNNNNNNNNNNNNNNNNNNNNNNNNNNNNNNNNNNNNNNNNNNNNNNNNNNNNUGCCCCUCAACAUCACCAGGAUCAUCUCGCCUGAUCUUAUACCGCAAGGCUUCCCAGACGGGACAAGCAUCCAAUUCCUCGUAUUCAUCACCACGAUAGAGGAUACAGUCAUUAGGGCAUGCAUGUAUCUUCUGAACAUCCAAUCCGAGAGGGCAAAUAAUCUGUUUAGCUUCAUAUGUUGUGGACGGUAAUUCAUUAUUCUCGGGGAGAAUCUUCUUGACAAUGUUCAACAUCCCCUGAAAUGCCUUAUCGGACACACCAUUUUUUGCCUUCCAUUGCACAAAUUCUAGUGUCGUACCUAGUUUUUUAUGGCCCUGCUGGCAACCUGGGUACAAUAAUUUUUGGUGAUCAUCUAUCAUGCGCUGCAACUUUGCUGCUUCGUUCUCAGUUUCGCAAUCUCUAUGUGCAUCUCGUAUCACCUGACCAAGGUCAUCAGUAGGGUCAUUUUCUGCAAACUCAUCUUCAUCAGCCUCGCCCAUUGUAGUACCUGCAAAAGCUUGGCCUGCAACCCAGUCCGGAAUGGUGUCAUCUUCCUCCUCCUCCUCGCCAUCUUCCAUUACAACCCCUAGUUCACCGUGCUUGGUCCAAACCAAAUAGUUAGGCAUGAAACCGUAUUUAAACAAGUGGCUGUGAAUAGUCCCCCAGGAAUCCUUUGAAUACUCCUUCCUGUUAUUGCAUUGGAAGCAUGGACAACAUACGAACCCAUUCUCUGGCUUGUUCGCUUUUGCCACUUCGAGAAAAUAAUGCAAGCCAUCAAUAAACACCUUGCUCCGCCUGUCUGCAUUAUACAUCCAUUGCCGGUCCAUCUGCAUCGUAUUACGCAUGAAAAUGGAUUACACUUGACAAUGGAUUACGCGUGAAAAUCAAUUAAAGAUCCAAACAACAUGUUACAAUACAACAACAUGAAGAUCCAAAUACACAUAUUUAAAUUAAAGUCCCAAACAACAUUAUACAAUACAACAAGCCAUCCACUGGUUAUUAUCAAGGAGAGGACUUUAAGCAUCCUUGGACGGUGAAGAUGAAGGUUCCGCUGACCCAACCUCAUCCUUAGGUUUAUUUGUGCCGCCUGAAACGGUAGUACUAAGUGGACGUGAAACACCCGUGAUCAUCUCGCGAGGAUGUCCUCAACUGGGCGGCACCGCACUUCGUCAUUAAAGAGGUUAGAUGCUACGGAAAAGGGGACACGGUCACGAUGUCCGUAUCCACUCUUUCUCGUAGAAUCGAACCUCCUUCUUGACAUACGUUGCUGCUCGGCGGAGAACAUCCUCAGCGAGAUGAACACGGUAUGCAAGUUCAACAAGUAGCAGAAGUCAUCUAUGUACAAAAAUUCUUUCCUUACCACUACAGAAGUUGUUGAACUUGAAGACCGUGUUCAUUUCGCGAGGAUGUCCUCAGCUGGGCGGCACCGCACUUCGUCAUGAAAGAGGUUAGAUGCUACAGAAAAGGGGACACGGUCACGAUGUCCGUAUCCACUCUUUCUCGUAGAAUCGAACCUCCCUUCUUGACAUACGUUGCUGCUCGGCGGAGAACAUCUUAGCAGAAUGAACACGGUAUGCAAGUUCAACAAGUAUAUGGAUUUAAAAAACCAUAUUGAAUUUGAUAAGAUAAACCAUCUAGACAAGGUAGCAUCAUUUUUAAACCACUGAAAUAAUGCAUACUAUAUAUGACACAUCAAUCUCCCUCACAUUCCAGCUCAAAAUACCUCUCCAUUUUUCUACUUCAUCAUCACAUUGUAGCAAAUAAUCUUUCCAUCUCCAAAGCAUAAAUCAAAGCAUAACACGAGGAUGAAGUAGCAAACCUUCGCAACACUUGUGUUGGCUGAGUCAAAUUCCCACGAAAAUGAGGGGAAAAACUUCGGGCAGCACCUCCCUUGCUUUGGCACCACCGGAGGGUAGGUGAAGCUCAGCUCUCUAUCAAUGUGCUGGACUGGCUCGGGCUGGAGGAAGAAGAAAGUCUCUGUCUCGGGAUAUAGUGGGGGAUGAGUUUUUAUCCCGGUUAAAAACUCCAACCGAGACAAAAGGAAACACCUUUUGUCCCGGUUGGAAGUUAGUCCCGGUUGGAGGAUCCAACCGGGAUAAAAGGGACACCCUUUUAUCCCGGUUGGAACAACCAACCGGGACUAACCCUUUUAUCCCGGUUGGUGCCUCCAACCGGGAUAAAAGGGUCCCGCCACCGACGGCCCCCCGCUAGCCGUUGCAACCGGGACUAAAGGGGGGCCUUUAGUCCCGGUUGCAAUUACCAACUGGGACUAAUGCUCCCCUCCAAAUUCCCGCACCCCGGCGCACCCCCUUUUGUCCCGGGCCACUUUUAAACCGGGAUAAAAGGGGGCGGAUCGAAAGUCAGUUCUCUACUAGUGAUAUGUUGUGCAACGAUCCAUUUCCAGUGUUUGCAAGUCCACGAGAUUCCCAAUUGCUCAAAAUACUGCCCUAGGGAGGUUACAAUCAACCAUUUCCAAGCUUCUCAAGUUCUUGAAGUUGCUAACCAAGGUAGGCUUUAUCUCAGAGAAGUUACAUCCAUAGAGUGCCAAAUUCAAACUCAUUAGGUUCUUUUGCUGUCCUAUCCAUGAGAUAAUUGAUCCUAACUCAUUGAGUCCAGCGUGAGGUCCAACUGGCACAGGGACCUAAGUCUAGCAAAUGAAGAGAGAAAAUCCACCGAUAAAUUCCCUCCGAGACUCAAAUGCUUCAAGGACGUGAAAUUAUUAGAAGGCAUUGAUCUGGCAUAAGAAAAGUUGGUCCAGUCUAGCCUCAAAGUCUCUAAGCCCUUGUUUACUUGGCCAAAUUGGGAGGUGCCAAAUUACUGUAGCAACACUGUAGCGUUUCGUUUGUAUUUGUGAAUUAUUGUCCAAACAUUGACUAAUUAGGCUCAAAAGAUUCGUCUCGCAAAGUACAACAAAACUGUGCAAUUAGUUUUUGAUUUCGUCUACAUUUAGUACUUCAUGCAUGUACCGCAAGUUUGAUGUGAUGGGGAAUCUUCUUUUUGCAUAGUGUUAAAGUUGGGAGUUUGGAGGGAAGUAAACAAGGGGUAAAGAAUUUGUAUAAGAAAAGUUUGGCAAAUGCCCUGAGAGGUCCGGAUUAUUGGACAAAUCGACAACUCUUAAUUUUUUUGAUUGGAAGGGUUUGAUGGGGAACUGCCCCUCAAGAUAAAUACUAGAAAGUUAAAGCACAAUUAAAUUGAUAAAAUCCAUGAAGAUUUCUGAAAAUGGACCGGCAGUUAUAUCACCAUUUCCUUGGCGGUUGAUCACAAUGAGAGAACGGAGCCGCGAGAGAGACUCAUGAAUAGGACCACUCAGGCUGCAAGUGGCCAAGCUGAGUAUCUGACGUUGAGGAACAUGUGUAGCAAGAGAUGUGCACCACUCUUCUCCACUGGUAGACAAAUCCACACUGUCAAGAUAGAGCUCUCUUUUUUUUUGAGGGUAACAGGAGGGGUAAGCCCCUACUGUAUUUUAUUAGCACAAAAGCAAAGUUUAGGGGAGAAAAAAGAGGUACAUGACAGACAGGAAGAAGGAGGAGAGAAGAAACAUUACACCGAAUCUAGCCAUUCUAAAGUAGCUGUCCUCAAGUCUGAUCGCAUUCUGUGAGUGGCAGCCAAAGCUAGCUCGUCUUUGAAUUUUGUGAUGGUCCUGUGCACUGUUGGGUCUGAGUUGUUGAAGGUCCAGUCAUUUCAAAUCGACCAGAUAGCCCAAGUCAUUAGAAUUAUGACUUCCAUGAAAAAAGGCACGUUGAGCUUCCUUCUGAUGGAGUUAAAGAUAUGCACCGGUUGUCUAGCUGUACUAACAACCACUCCUAUCGAAGCCCAGCAAGCUUUCGCAAAGUUACACCUUAGGAAGAGGUGACUUCUAGUUUCUCUUUUUUGUAAAAUGCUGAGAUCACAAGUGAAGGAAUCCAGUGCCAUUGUUUUUCUUCCCAGGAUAUCUUUGGUGCUCAGUCUGUCCAUGGUCAGAAGCCAAAAGAAGACUUUAUGCUUCACUUGGCACUUUGAUUUCCAGAUCCAUUUGAAGAUGGGGUGAAUAUUUCGUGUUCCUGUCAGAGCUUUGUAUGCUUUGCUUACCAGGAACUUGGAACUCCCCCAGAUGUAAUUCCAUUGAUCCUUAUCCUGACUGCUAUUAACAUUGUUCAUUCGAUCUGGUAGAGCCAUAAGCUGCUGCUGUGCUAUUUCCGAUAGUGGCAAGUGGAAAAUUUGUACUAAUCCCUCUGAACCCUGUGCCUCUUUGAACGUGAUUUUUCCAUUUUUUGCGAAUGAGAGGAGUUGGGGGAAGUCUAUUGCUGGGACCUGUCCAUUCCAUGUGUCCUCCCAGAGAAGCGCUGUGGAGCCAUCCGACACCGUUGCCGAUGCCAAGCCUUUGAAUUUUUGUAACAGCUUAACUAUAUCCUUCCACCAAAACGAGCCCUUCCUUUGUUGCCCCGACAACUUACCAUUUCUGUAAUAAUUAUCCCAGACCAGAUGGACCCAAGGGAUGUCCUCUCUGUUGAAGAAUUUGUGCAGAAACUUCAUGAGGAGUGCUUCCUUCUGGGUGUUUAGAUUGAUGAUUCCCAAUCCUCCUUGUUGCUUGGGUACAUAUACCAGUGGCUAGGCUGCCUUGGCUAGUGUUUUGGAGUUUAUAUCCUGCCCACGCUAAAGGCAGUGUUUCCUAUAUUUGUCCAACUGCCUGAUUACACCUUUAUGUAGCUUUAGAGUGGCCAUGUGGUAAACUGGCGAUGAUGAAAGGACCGAAUUUACUAAUUCAAGUUUACCACCCUGCGACAACAUGCUAGAAUUCCUCCAAGUCUUCUUUCGACCCUUGUGAUGAGAGGCAAAAAGUCUUCCAUGUUUGGUUUCGUAGUGGCCAGGGGCAGUCCCAGAUACGUGAACGGGAGGCUACCCUCUUGACAGUCAAAGACAGAAGAUAAUGCAUGUAGUCUUUCUUCCGAGAUAUUUAGCGCUACCAUGACAGUCUUAUUGUAAUUCACCUUUAACCCCGUGGAGUCUGCAAAUUGGUUAAGAAGAUUCUUAAGAUGUAUCAACUGAUGGGGUUCGGCUUCCACCACCAGGAGGGUGUCAUCAGCAUAUUGGACAAUCGGGAAGUCAUCUCCUGCUCUUUCAGGGAUUGGUAGCUUCAGUCUGCCCUGAUUCUUAGCUUGGUUCAACAGAGACUAUAAAAGAUUAGCAGCUAAAACAAAAAGGAGUGGCGAGAGGGGAUCUCCUUGUCUAACCCCUCUUCUGCAGUGAAAAACUUUACCAAGGACGCCAUUGAGCAAUACUGAGGAUGUUCCUAAGCUCAGGAUAUCUUCGAUCCAUCCAAUCCAUCUUUCCCCAAAACCUUUAUGUUUCAAUAUUCCAAGAAUUACUUUGUGCUCAAUUUUGUCAAAUGCUUUUUCAAAGUCUAUCUUGAUCACAACCAGUUCUUUUUUGGAAGAUUUACAGAUGUGGAGAUACUUGAAAGCCUAAGCCAAGCAGUCUUGGAUUGUUCUAGACUUUAUGAAGCCAUACUGAUUUUUAUGAAUGAGUCUGAGAAUUACUUACUAAAGCCUUUGAGCUAGAAUCUUGGUGAUCAACUUGAUUGUGGAAUUUAAUAGUGAAGUUAGCCUGAAGUCAGCUACUUCGAGAGGACAAACCUUCUUGGGGAUUAAUGUGAUGUAUGAUGCGUUUAUACUCUGAACACAUACCUGCCUCUCAUAGAACCCUUCGCAGAGCUUGUAAAAGUCGUCUGAGAUCAGGUGCCAACAUUUUGCAAUGAACUCCCCAUUGAACCCAUCCGGGCCUGGUGAUUUGUUUUUGGGCAAGUCACUAAUGAUGUUGUCAAUUUCGUCCUUCGUGAAUGGUCUCUCAAGCCAUUCCAAAUCUGGAUCCUGGGUCAGAAUGGUUGAUAAGUCAAAGUACAUGUGCCUGAACUCUAUCUUUCCCAUUCUUUCUCUAAAGGCUUCCCAGCAAAUUCUAGCUUUGUCUUCAUGCUUCAUUGCCAUAGAUCCAUUACUCUCUUUUAGAGUGGUUAUGAAGUUGCCCCUAUUUCAAACUGAGGCAUGAGCAUGGAAGAAGGCCGUACAUUCAUCUCCCAUUUUUACCCAAUUAAUGGAGCUUCUUUGCUGCCAAUAGGUUUUCUACUGUGAGAGGAGAUUUUGUAGAUGUUCCCGAAUGAGCUUUCUGAAAUUCCAUUCUGCUAGAGUGAGGUCCCUAAAUUCUUCCAUGGUAUCCAUCAGCUGAAUGAUAUCCUUAGAGUUUUGAAUUACCUUAGCCAGAUUGGGAAGUUGUGACUUCCAUACCUUAAAGGUCUUCCUUAGGUUCUUGAAUUUGGCUCCAAUGGCCUUCGCCUUGUCUGAGCCUGAAUAUUGGCUGUUCCAACCCUGAGCAAGUGUGUUUGCAAACUGCUCGUGUUGAAGCCAGUAGUUUUCAAACCUAAAAACUUGUGGCCUGGGCAUAGAGGUUGAAAUGGAGAUUACGCAUGGAGUGUGGUCUGAAGAGUCUCUGGAGAGUGAAGUCGCCCAAGUGUUUGGGAAGAUGGAUGUCCAGUGAGAGGACAUAAAGAACCAAUCUAGUCUUUCCAGGAGAGGGUUCUGUUGCAUGUUUGUCCAAGUGUACUUGCAACCUUUGAGCUGGAUCUCAGUUAAACGCAGUCGACUAAUGGCCUCGUUGAACAAUAACAUUUCUUGGAUGUUACCUCCUGGCUUGUUUCUAUCUUGUGGUUUCCUAAUAAGGUUAAAGUCCCUCACAAUUAGCCAUCUCUCCUCAGCAUCCAUCUCCACAUGCUUGAACCAAUCUAUGAACUCCAAUGUCCCUUGAGGAGUGCAUGCAGCAUAUACAUUUGUGAGGACCCAUUGUUCUCCUGAUAUUUUGCACUGAAAUUCCAACGUUUGGGCAAAAUUGUUUUGGAAUACCGGUUCACCCUUAAAUUUGGAUCCAUUCCACAAAAUUAUGGCACCUCCAGAGUUCCCGACUGCUAGAAUAUAGUCGAACGAAUCUAUUUGUUGAGGGCAAAAAUUCUUUAAGUAUCUUACAUCGAAGAGAACCCUUUUGGUUUCCUGGAGGCACACUAUAUCACUGUUUGACUCUUGAAUUUUGCUUCGAACUGCAUUCCAUCAUUUCUACGAAUUGAUCCCCCUUACAUUCCACGAAAGAAUAUUCCAAUGUCUUUUUAGGGCCAUUAAUUAAACCAGAAAUGAGGGUAGCUCUUGCUAUUGACAUAAUCAACAGCAGUUCCAUGACGUGCAAAGAAAGAAGACUAGAAAUCCAGAAGCGAAUAAAAAAUGAACCAUUCGCACCUAACCAUAAGAUUAGUCCCAACAGAUUGUUCCAUCAAAAGCCAACAUAAAAGUGCCACACCAUAGUUUGUGUUUUCAAAAGCCAUAGAUAACCACCAGAACCUAAAACCAUUGAACAUUAAACCAAAUAAGUAAGAGGAGCAAUCAUCCAGGUCUUCAUCGCUUCUUGGGCUUCUUAACCACUUCACUAGGGCCUUCAAUGUAGUCCUUGUUCUUCUUCAUCUUGCCUAGACUUGUGCUGGGCAUGGUAUCCUUCCCCUUCUUAUCUCCUAUAGCCUUGGAGGAAGAUCCUCGGGAGUUGAGAGCAUCAUCCGUAAGCAGGUGCUGUCCUGCGUUACAGAAUUGUCCACCAAUUUCCUGCAGUUUGGUGGGAGAGAUUGAGGGGGGUGUGACUGAACAAGCUAGACAGUUCUUGUCUUGGCAUCCUUCCUGACAAAAUCCUCCAUUCCUUUCCUUGAGUCCGCUGCUUCUCCUAACACUUGACUCUACUUCUGGUACAACUCUUGCACCAAUUCUUGCCUUGGCCUUCUUGGGUGCUCUUUCAUCUUCAGAGAUCUGUCCUGCCUCCUGGAGUAAGGGGGAACUUCCAAGUUCUUCAGAGUCUCCAAGGCAGGGAAGAGAGCUGUUUCUGGGGCAAGAAGUUGGUAUAGCAAAAGACAUAGAUGUAGACAGGUCUGUGCAGCUUAUCAUUAGGUCCCAGGCCCUAGAAGCUAGAAAUUUCUUGGCCCAACUGAAGUGUUGUGAAGAUAGUAGCAUAACAAUAAAGAAAGCAGCCUAGUCUGAAGGGAUGUGUACUACCUGCUCUGGGCAGCCCACAGGGGAGAAGUGAUGAGCCCACAACCUAUAUAUAUUGGGGUUCUGGCUUGGUUGGAUCUCCUCUUCCUCAGUGACUCCAGCAAGCAUUGGCCCCUUUCCUUUAGGUCACCCAGCCAGUUAUGCAUGUCCAGCACAUUGCCUAAUUCUAGAGUGAGAACCAUGUUGACAUCAAUGUUAGCAUGCAAAGGCAUCUCUGGUGCCUGGGGCUGAUUGGGUUGCUGCUCCUGUAAGGCUGGUAAUCCUAACACCACUUGCUGGGGUAUCUGUUCCUGUUCAAUAUUGGGGAUCCCUCCAUCAUCCAUCUAUUGGGGGAAUCCUGCAAAUGCCUCAUGUGCAAUAGCCUGAGGUGCUCCCUGAUUGUAAACUACCAUAGGCAUAAGAGGGCCACCUGAGUUAGACGAAGCCUCAGAAGGUAGGGGUGGUGACAGAUUGAGGUGUAGGUCAGUUCAACCUGCUGUUCCUGGUGCUCCUCCUCCUCAUACUCAGUACAUACGAACCCUUGAAUAAAUAAGAUCAAUUCCAACGAGCCUUUCAAACUAGUACUUUUUGUAAUCGACUCUAUAGCUUCUUCAAUAAACGCUGGUUCUUCGAUCAAGUUUUGAAUGACUUUCUAGUCAGAAACAGAAGAAAAGGAAGUAGGAGAAGUGAACGGAAGCAGGGGAAGGCGAAAAGGGAAGGGAGGCAGUUGGAGAAAAGGGAUUUUCAUUUUUGCUUUUAUAGUCUUUACUGCUUAAUAAGAGAGUAAGCUAUGUCUCCACUCCUUUUCUUGGGACUGGCUAGGAAAGCACAAGAUGCCCUAGCCCAAAAUCAAACAUGGGUUCUAGCUCCAGAGAACAAACCUAAUCAAGAAAGGAAUUCAGAAAAUACCAAUCCAACUUCCUCCUAAAAUCACUUCUAACAGGCGAGCGUGACUUGUGCGCUUUUUCGUUAAAUCGAGCAAAUGGACUUUUCGGGAGAUCUCCUCCAAAUCACCGGUAUGACUAUCGAAAUCACCAUUAUUGAAAUUGGAGCUUUUCAAUUCCAUUUUGGUUCAUUAAUGUCCAUAGAUUUAGACUCCUUCCCCCUUCCCUUAUACGCACAAUCCUAUCCUAUCUGAGCCCGUCAUUGCAUGCACUUCGGACAGCCGCCCGUAGCAUCAUAAAUUUCCAAUACUGAUCGUGAAACACCAUGAGCAGCAGGAUGUUGAGGUUCGGAAUUCGAAGUGAAAUUCUUGAUUUGCCCGUUCCUAGUCGUCAUGGGAAAGAAAUAAGAAAGAAAUAAGCCCCGAGUAAUCGACCCGUUUCCCAAGCAGAGUCUCGCGAAACCUCCCCUCUUUACCCUCAAUUACAUCUGAAAGUGAUUUGUAUACUUUAUUUUUCUUUCUUUUCUUUUGAUAAGAAAUUGCCACCUCCAUGUCUUUGGAGAAAAUGCAUCAAGCUUACUGCCUUCAUUGCCAUGACAAGGUCUUUGAUGUCUUCCCUCAAGCAGGCAGUGAGAAAAUAGUGCUAAGGUAAGUCAGGAGUACGAGGAAUUCUGCUCGAUCUUCUCCUGGUUCAGAAUUGGGAGACAGGAGAUUCAUAUGAGAAAACAUAAGUAAACGGGCUUUCAUCAUCAUCUAUACCAGCAGCCACGCACGAUCCCAUAGGAACGAUUUUAUCGCCCUAAGAAGGAAGGCGGCGCAAAGGAGGCUCGAGGGCUUGUUAAGGAAGGCGGCUAGGGCUGCUGAAGGAGGGAAAACAAAAGGCGUUUUCUGGUCUCCCCUUCGCCUGGGGGUGCUUGUGGGGGGGUGAAAGCAAUUAGUUUAGAAGGAAGAGGAAGACCUGGGGGGCUUACGUCCUCAUUUCACUCUUUUUGCUCCUGCGAGUUGUUGUAGUGCGGAUGAAAAGAAGUCCCUGUGAGCGGCCUUGGAUCGAUAUGGUUCAUUCCUGGGCUAUGCUCUUUCAACCUAGAUAGCGAAAAAAAAGCUUUUCUUAUUUGAAAUUCCACUGAACCUUGACGUAAGAUAUGCUGUCCCUACCUACUGAGGAAUAAAAAGUGUACGUAGAAAAAGAGAGGAAAUGCAUCGAGGAGAACUUACCUUGUGAGUCACUACUCCAUUCAAGCAUGAGUUCGUUCAAAGUCGGCAAGGGGAAUCAGAGAAAGGGUUCCUUGCCUCUGACUAGCGACUCUACACUCACAAGGGAGAACAAAGAUCAAUCUUCUUAUUAGAAAAAUGAUAGUUCUAGAUUCUUUGACCGGCUUUGGUCGAGCAACCCGAUACAUUUCUUUGGUUGGCCUAUCUAUAUUCCAAGUAGUAACCAGGAUGCAUUCAUUCGGCAGUAAGCCCGAGACAAGUGAACAAAGGCUGGCGUAAGCACUAACAGAAUUGGGUUUGGUAAUCGACCGGGUUGAACAAAAAAGGAAACGUUUCCUUUUUUGUUAGAAAACGAGCUCUUUCCUUUCCCUUCCUGACCAUGAAACAGGCAAAAUAGGAAUCAACAAGUGUUUCCACAACUCUACCGCCCCAUCUUUUACUUUUUGGAUGGUCGGCGGCGCCAUAAACUCGAUAACCAGCACCGCGGAUGUUGGCUCGAUCAUGUUUAUAUUGGCAGGAGGAAGUACAGCAUGAGUGGGUAGGGGAUUAGUAGUGUUGUUGGGUGAUACGUAUAACCGGGUACGACUUACAGGUAAGCAUUUAUUUUCAAAGAAGAAAAGACUGGAUCUUAGAACGAUGUUUGGUGUCCUCAGCCUGCUAACACCAGGCCGCAGGUCACUCUGCUUUGACUCAAUAAACCAGUAUUUCUCAGCAAAGAGAUUGCCUAGGGCGAAAGCAAAUAAUCAAGAGAAGAAUCAAAUAAGUGUUGAAAGCCUAAGCAAAAGAUAGAAUUCAGUCAGGUCAAAUGUAGGUGAGUGUUGCUGCCACUAACCUUUUUACCCGGGAAUCGGUGGAAUUCAAAUCCCUUCGGACCUUGCUCGACACAGUCCUUAGUAUGAUGCCAAUCUCUUAGGAUGGACCGAGUCUUCCUGGAACCGGGAUUGAUACCGGGUCAAAGACAAAGCUGGACGAUAGGAGCAAUACGGGGAGAAAGUAGCGUAAUCAUUGGAAUCACGGGAACGCACGACUCGCUCUUCUCUUCAGCAUUCCAUCCCUGGGGCAUUUAACCUUGUUUUUCCCUUGUGAGCCGCCUAUGUAAAUCCACGAUCUUUAGGCAAAUUUGAAUCAAUCAUCGCUCCAGUGCCUCGCCCUACUUCAAUAAGGGCUUAUGCACUCCACUCGUAAACGAGUGGUUGGCCAGGGGGCCAAUCAGUUGAUGGGACGUGGGCGGUUGCCAAUGGGUGUAUCUUUUGUUGUAAUUCCAUCUCAUUAUCUCCUCAUCAUUCAUGUUGUCCUCCACUUCCCCCUCAUCCUGUCCUUGCACUUCAACCUCUAGAUUAUCAUUGAGAUUAGGAAAAGCUGGGUUGUUGUGGGCUUGCUGGUCCAAGAGUUGCUGCUGAAUCCCAGGGAAGAUAAAAUUCUCAUCUAAUCCCCCUGGAGAAAUAUCCUCAUCCUGUAACUGUCCCCCCAGGAUAUUCUGCCGCAAAAUUUCACACUGGACAGUCCAAGAAAUUCCUUCAUAAUCAUCCCCCUUAGAGAGAAUAAGGUAAUGCGGAACGUCAACUAAGUCGGUGACUCUAGCCUUAAUAAUAAUCCUUGCCAGUACAUUGUCCUUCUGCCACAAAAUCAAUCGACCAAACAAUUUGAUAGCGUCUUCAAUUUUUGUUGUGGUGCGAUUAUCUGUAGGGUACCCAAUCAACAUGAGCCAACAUUCUCUAUUGAACCCCACCCUUCUAGCAUUGGGACCACGAUUGUGCUUGACAAAUGAGAAACUAAAACCCUAACUGGCAUGAGGACUAUGAUAAACCAGACCAUCUCUGUCAGAAGGACGGAACAGACGAACAUAAGCUUGCCCUCUACCAAAGGGGCACCGCUGGACCUCCUUCACCUCUAGCCCAAGAACUCCAAUUAGAAAGUCCAGAAAGAUAUUCCUGAGGUUGCCAAAGUGAAUCUCACCAGGGGGUAGGUUAGCCACCGUGAUGAUUGCAAGGUCUUCAUUCAGCGGUGUGGCACGCGGGAUGACAACCCGCGCAAAUUGCUGACGCCCUUCGACGAGGACACGAUGGAACCCCGUGAGCAUCAUCGGCUCAGGGUCCAUGUUCAGGAAUGCCAUUGUUUGGGGGUCAGUGGGCUGUUUGCUCCGGCAAUGGAGAGCACCCUCGGGGGAGGGGAGGCACUGUUGGGGUGACUGGUGCGCUAGAGGAGACGAAGGGUCGGGUGGGAUGACGGUUGCCUUUCUCUUGGGAAGUUGCGAAGAGCCCGAUGGAAGAGGAAAAGCUUCUGGGCCCUUGGGUGGAGUCCCGUUAUUAGAAACUGGGCCAGCCUUGAACCACGAACUGGUGCAGCCAGCCGGCCAAGCAUUGGGCGAGACGCCUGAAGAGAAAUUACAGCUAAAAGAGUUGCCACGGAGGUUAAUGAAAUCUAGGAGACUGUGGUAAAGACGAUAGUCUUUACGCAGAUGUCCCACUUGUUUACGGUGCUAGCACCUGACCAAAAUCGGACAAGAGGAUCUCAGGUAGUUGGGAGAUAAGCACCAGGAACAGACGUGGCCACGGUCAACCUUUGAUAUAGAGGUUUGCCACUAGGGCAUCAAAAUCGGGUCCCCACAGAGAGUUAGAAGUGACAACAUAGUAGGAGCUGUCGGAUGUGUCAUAAUCAUCAUCAUCAUCUUCAAAGGACUGGAAAGAUCCAACGACACAAGGUUCACGAGUUUACCGAUGCCAAUAGGUAUCUGGCCACACAAGCCCAAAUUGCAGAGGUUAAGGUGAGUUAGCGAAGCCAGCCUCUCGAUUCCAGUAGCAAGGAUGUUGUCUAACAGCAUAUCUUCAUCUUGUGCCCCACUGAAAUCAUUCAUGCUAAGGUCAAGGCGAUGAAGGGUUGUCAAGCUGAAGAUUGCAGGGUCCAAGCCAUUACUGGACAAGCCAUGAUUGUUGAGGUCAAGUAUGGUGACAUUACCGGAGGUGUCGUCGCAGCCAACACCUUCCCAGAGACAGCACUCAGUACCAUCUCGCCAUGAUGAAAGCCUUGUGGUCGAUUCAUGGAAGGAGAAUGACUUCUUCAGCUGGAACUAUCGGAUGUGUCAUAAUCAUCAUAUCAUCAUCAUCUUCAAAGGAUAUGGAAAGAUCCAACGACACAAGGUUCACGAGUUUACCGAUGCCAAUAGGUAUCUGGCCACACAAGCCCAAAUUGGAGAGGUUAAGGUGAGUUUGUUGGACAAAUAACGUGCUGGUCAAAAGACCAAGAGGAAAACGGGAAGGAUAUGAUUGACGCCUGACACAAACUCCCUAGCGCACGUCCACCCCGCGCCUCGGUCGAAGGCGCAACUGAACAAUUGAUUGCGGCCCCGAGCGACCCGGCCCUGAGUGACCCAGCUCUAUAAGAGAAGGGGGCCAGCGGGUUUGGAACACGCCAACGCACCAAACCCUACGCACACCCCCUACAUGCCUCUCGAUCACGGCGGUGCUGCAGUUGCUCGAAGGCUGUCACCACACCACCGUCGCCGUCUGUGGACAGACGAGGUGGAGACCUGAAGGGAGAUGUGAUCUACUCGGCACCUACGGCAUCCGUCAUCCAAGCCUCGUCCACAACCCUAAUGGCCGGAUCGUCACAAGCAGUGGCAGCUGGUUGUACUCUAACAUCUUCAUUGAGUGGUGUUCAUGUUCUAGAUGUGCAAAGAUCCUUUUUUAGUUAAGAUUAAGUAAUGUAGAUUCCUACAUUUGGUAUCAGUUAGUCAAUCGCAUCUAGACUUGGAUCCUAAGGCUGUGUAGAUUGAAUCUUAGUGUGCAAUUGAGUUGAAUUGUACUGGUUUUCUAUGUUCUUGAUAUACAUAGUAGCUUUCUAGUACGAAUUGCUAUGCUAUUUGGCUUAAUCUUCUUCGGCUACAUGUCAAUGUUCAAGUUUUAGUUCACUGACUUGAUCUGUUAAGUCAGAUUAGACCGUAUUAGUUCUCAAUUAGCCUAAUUCCAUGCCUAAGCUACUAGAUCAGUUCUUAAUUAAGUCUAAAAUCAAGGUUAAUUAAGUCAAUUAAGUUAGUCUCCAUGUUUAAGUUCAGCUAUUAAGGUCGAGGUCUACUGUUUUCCCCAAACCCCACUGUCUAGCUCCAAUCCGCACAAUUAAGUCCUCAAUCACUAAAAUUGCACACGCAAAAGUAUGUAGAAGGAGUGGAAUUGGGCCAAUUUUAAGGUGAAUUAAGGAAACCCCAAAGAAAAUCCCCAUCAUAAAUCCUAACCCUAACUCGAGGAUAAGAACUUACCUCGAAUCACGACGGCCACGCGUGGCAUGAUGGCCGCUGCGCAUGGAUGUCGGCGUGCACCUCCGCCAAGCCACACCAGCCAUAAGCGCGCACAUGAACAAGUCAUGGUGCAGGCCCGGAUGCACCUCGGUCUCCUCCCCGCGACCCAACCCACGGCAUCAAAUCCUCCAUGCACGAACCUGUCUUGCGGCCGACGUGCCUUCUGCUCAGUCACCCCCUGCCGUGGAAAAGUGCUCCAGUGGAGCCCCCCGAUGGUGCGCCGCGCAACUUGGUCGCACGCGCGUGUUGGCGAGAGGGCCCACAGAGGCAUGGGCGCAAGGUGGCACCGCGGCUCAUCAGCGAUGGCUGCUCGGGGUUGGGGCAGAAGCAUGCAGAGAAGAGGGGAGGGUUGCGGCGGAGACAGGCAAAAAUGGCCUAGGGUUUGGGAGAGGCGCAGCGCUCGUGGGUUUUGUCCCACCGAAACUCGCGCUCUGCCGUCAGAUGCAACGGAUGGCUCAGAAGAGGGCGGACGAGCACAGCGCGCUGUUGGGCCAGAUUGGCAGCCCAGCCAUUGGUGCUGGGCUUAGAGUCUAGGCCAGCGGGGGGAACCCGGCAUGGGUCGUUAGCUGGGCUCACUCGGACCGUGAGAAGGCGCAGGCGCACCUAAGCUCUGUGUGGCACGCGCUCUUUAGGGCCAUGAGGAAGGUAGGUCGUGCGCCAUCGUUCUUGCACGAUUUGGCUGCCUGCGAGUAGAGCUUCCAAAGGACGUUAGCUGGGCACGAACUGGUUGUUUUGCGCUAGGCCGGUUUCGGCCGCUAGCGGGCUGCUGCUGUUUUGGCUCGCACGGGCCAUCAGAUCACUGGCAGGCCGCUGGGCCAUUUGUCGCUUGCAUCAGUUGGGCCAUUAGUUGCUGAGUGCGCACUUGGGCUAUUUCGGGCCAAUAAGGGGAGGUAGCUACGGGCCAAAAGUUGAGUUUGGGCUGGUUUUAAGAUUGAGCACAGUCCACUGUUUCUCCGUUUUGUUGUGCUAAUAAGUGUCUAAUAAGUUGCACAUAAUUAAACAAAAUAAUAUUCUGAUUAAAUUGAACCAACAGGAAAUUUAUUUCAGAAUUAUUUAUUAAGGCAUGCAAUUAAUUUCUGACCAAUGUUGAUAUUAAUUUGAUAUGCAUAAGUGUUUUAUUUAAGUUUUAAGUUAUUUUACUUCCGCCCAACAGUGAUGCAAAAUUAAUUCAUGUUAUUUUAUUUAAGUUUUAAGUAUUUUGCUUCUUCCCAACGGUGAUGCAAAAUUAUUUCAUGUCAUUUUAAUUAUGUCUUUGCUUCAACCCAAUGGUGAUGCAAAGUUGUUUAUGUUUUUAAUCGAGCCAACGCAGAUUAAAUUUAUUAUUUAUUAUUGUCAUCAUUACUAAUUGAAAUUCUCUCAUUUACUCAUACUUGACUCCAUCAAGCAUCAUAAGCUAUGUCACCGGCAUAGAGAAGCUUGGGGAGACAAUUUCACCAAUUGGAAGAACUAGAUUGGGUUGGUCCUAUGCAUUAUGGAUCGGGACCACUCCAUGAGGAAGAAUCAUCCUAUUGCUCCUACUGCUCAAGGGAAUAAUGAUACUACCCUUCCUGAGUGCACUGCUGCCUAUGAGAAGAAAAAGGAGCGGUAGGAGCAAUUAGACAGGGUGACCCUAAUGAUCAUGGAGCGGAUCAUAAACUCGGCAAUAAGGGGAGCUAUUGAGAAAAAUCUCAAAAGUGCCAAACAUUUUAUGGAGAAGGUUGAGGAGUACUUCAAAGGCUCCAGUAAGGCUAAUGCUAGCAUCCUCCUGACUAAAUUAAUGAACACUAAGUAUGAUGGGCAAGGCAGUGAAAGGGAGCACAUCAUGAGCCUUGUUAACCUAAGGGAUAAGCUCAAUGACUUGAAUUGCCCCCUUAAUGAUGAGACACUGCUUCACCACAUCAUGUUUUCGCUGCCCUCGGUGUUUGAACCCUUUAAGAUAAACUAUAAUGGCAGCGACAUCAAGUGGGAUAUUCCCACACUCAUCGCGAAGUGUUCUUAGGAGGAAGAAAGGCUCAGAUCAGAGAAGGGCGAUUUUGCCAACCUCAUCAGGCACGAGGUAAAUAAGGGCAAAAAUAAGCAAAUUGUCCCUUUUAAGAAAAUUAAGAAGCCUCAUCAACCUCCUCCUAAGAAUGAUGGGUCAUCCUCGUCUAAGGGUCUAAAAUGCCAUCAAUGCGUGGCCAAUGGGCACAUCAAGAAGCACUGUGAAAAGUUGAAGGAAUGGUGCAUAAAAAAUGGUAAUGAUGACUUUAUUUCUACAGUUGAUGAGUCCCUUUUUGUUGAUUUUCCAUUAAGUACAUGGUGGAUUGAUUCUGGGGCAACCAUUCAUAUUACUGAUUCCUCAUGGGGAUUACGUGGCGCAUAGACUAUAAGAAAGGGGACUCGCGCCAUUAAAGUUGCCAAUGGAGUUGAAGCUGAAGUUGAGGUUGUUGGAGAUCUCACUUUAGAACUUAGCAAUAUCUUCAGGCUUCAUUUAAGUAAUGUUCUUUAUGUACCAUCACUUAAGAGAAACUUGAUUUUUGUUUCAUCAUUAGAUUGUGAAGGUUAUUCCUGCAACUUUGGGAACAACACGUAUGUAAUAAGUUUUGACAAUAAGAUUAUUAGUCAUGCCCCUUUACAUGAUAAGCUUUACUUGUUGCCUCUAAGUACUAAUUCCUCUAUGAUGAAUGUAAGCGAUGUCAAUCAUAAGCGAAAGAGAAACAUUGAGACUUCGUCGAAAUUUUGGCACUUCUGCUUAGGCCACACCACAUUUCGAAGGAGAGAAUGGAACAUCUUAUUAGAGAAGAGAUACUUCCAAAAUUAGAUUUGUCUGACUAAGAUCAAUCCGUUGACCGUAUUAAGGGAAAAUUUGCAAAACAAAUUAAAAGGAUGGAGCUAAGCGUAGUUCAGGAUUAUUAGAAAUAAUUCAUACUGAUAUAUGCGGUCCAUUUAAUGUAAGAUCAGUGGAUGGUUAUAAUUAUUUCAUUGCCUUCACUGAUGAUUUCUCCCGCUAUGGAUACAUCUAUCCCAUACUCAAAAAGCUGAAGCACUUGAUAAGUUUAAAAUCUUUAAAGCUGAAGUAGAAACUCAACAUGACUUAAAGAUCAAAGUGGUAAGAUCAGACAGGGAAGGGGAGUAUUAUGGGAAACACUUCACAUAUGGACAAAUUCUAGGACCCUUUGCCAGAUUUCUCCAAGAUAAUGGUAUAGCAGCUCAGUAUUCCACUCCUGGUGAGCCUCAGCAAAAUGGUGUUGCUGAGAGAAGAAAUCGCAACCUUAUGAACAUGAUACAUAGUAUGCUCAGUAACUCUACGCUGCCAGUGAGUUUGUGGAUGGAAGCUUUAAAGACUACCGCACACAUUAAUAAUUGUGUUCCUAGUAAGUCAGUCCCUAAGACUAAUUAUGAGCUUUGGACUGGUAGGAAGCCUAGUAUGAAUUAUUUACAUGUAUGGGGCUGUGCAGCUGAAGCAAAGAUUUUUAAUCCACAACUUGGGAAAUUAGAUCUAAGACUGAAAGCUGUUAUUUUAUUGGAUAUCCAGAAAAGUCAAAGGGGUACCGCUUUUAUUGUCCUAAGCAUACCACUAAGUUUGUGAAGACAAGGUGUUGGCGCUAAAAAUCGGCCGAUGACCCUCGGCAUCGGACACACGAUCCGGCAGAAUCAGCUUAGCUCCUGUUCAAGUUACUGCCCUGGUGCGGUUCGCGCAGCGUGCCAGUCAAUCUGACCUGUUGAUUGACAAGGAAAGAAGAGUAUUAAAUUCCGGGGGUUUCAAUCGGCUAGGUUUCUGAUCUGCCUUAAAAAGCGUAUCAGCGAAUCGGCCGAUUUACUGUAGAGAUGACCGGCUGUAAAAUAGUCAAUACUCAUGUAGCAGUUGUAAGGAAAACCACUAAAGCAACCUAGACAACACUACAAAAGCAACACUUGGAGUAGAUCUAAUCGGCUAUGUAAUGAUAAAGGAUAAAAAUAAUAAAAGUCGACAGUUCGUACCUCAAGCUAGAUAACUGGUGAUAAAAACUAAAAUAAUAGGUAAAACCUAUGAUUCACGUUGAUAUCGAUAACUAGUUAAUAAAUCUAAACAAAAUGACAACGAUGCGCCCGAAGUUAAAGCUUAGAUAUUACUCGAUAAGAGGAACUUACAGAAUCGGCCGGAGAUCGUGUUGAUGCAAUCCUGCCAACCCGUACGAACUCGUGAAAGAAAAAGGUUUUGGCGAAGUCGCCAACUUGAAAGUAAAGUACGAGGAAAAAGUAGAUUUGUUGUAUUGAUUGAUGUGUUAUUUUUUACAAACCUCUAGAUAUGGCUAUUUAUAGCCUAUUACAACUGAUGUCCUAACCAACUAGGAUCUAUCUCUAAUUUUAAACGACAACAAAUAUUUACAAACACGACUCGUAUUCGAGUUGGUUACUAUUUUCCCACGGGCCUAUCUCUUUCUUCAGCAAAUCUUCAUCUUGGCCGAUCUUAGGCCCAAACGGGCCAAGCUGCGUUGACUCCCAAUCGACCAGCCUCCUCUUCCGCCAAUCAGCCGAAACACUGUAGCUUCAAUCGGCCAAUUCCUAACUGUAGCUUCUAGUCUGCCACAUCGGCCCCCCUUUCCCCUUCUUUGACGCCGAUUACAAACACGUGUCAAAAUCCGACGUCAACACAUGCCCCUUCGAAAUUCUUCUCAAUUUUAACUCCUUCUCCGAGGCAGGUGCAGCAAAAGCUCCUUUUUGUUCUGCAGUCUUCUCUCUGAUGAUUACAAUCUUUUCGAACUAGACGCCUGAGGCAACCGCUCCUCCAAAAUUUGUGUAGACGGCGUGGUAAAAAUCCUGCCUUUACCCUUCUCUCGAACCGUCCUUAAAUAUUCACAUCCCCUGCCGCUUCUUCUCCACGAGCUCAGAAACCCUUCUUUUCCCAGCGAAUCAUCUUCCGUCACAUUCCAGCACCCUUUCAUCUUCCACCCGCAUUCCUCUGGUGAUCCUUCUUUCAUCUUCCAACCACCCUGCUCCAUUUUCUCCAAUGGCGGCUCCAUCGGCAACCAUGAGCUUCAUUCCAGAGGUAAAUCUAAAGCUUUGCCCAUUUACUUUUCACCAUUCAUGCGACCUUUAGAUCUAUUCUUAGUUCUCCUUUUGCAUCCUUCUUAGGAACUCAGGCAGCAAAUCACCAUCCCUAUGUCUGAUGCACCUGGUCUCAUCGGCCUUGGCCCCAUGGGGAAUCCAAAUCCCACCAAUUUGAUCAACUUGGAAACCCACAGGAUUCCUUUCAAGCAGUCACCCAUGGAUUUAAGCCAGUGGACAGGCGCAUUUAGAUCCUAGCUGAACGAAACCCUUGGCUGGAAGGAGUGGUUUCAAAGAAUGUCCAAUUCUAAUAGAGUUCUCUGGGACAAACUAAAAAUCGGCCAAUGCAUAAAUUUGUCUCUAUCUCAAAUGGAGAAGAAUGAAUCCUUGGUCAUAGCAGCUUCUCACUUCUGGUCCGACGCUCUCAAUGCGUUCCUUUUCGGACACGGGCCCAUGACCCCCACUUUGGCCGAUGUCCUGAUGCUGACCGAUCUUGACAUCUCCUCCCCUAAUUCGCCCUUCGAUUUCCUGAUCAAACCAACCCAUCGCCUAGAAACAAAGGGAAUCGGCAGGUGGAGAGGCUACAUUGAUAAGAACAUGAAGACCGAGCCCAUCGGCGACAGAGAAUACACGGCUUUCCUGAUGAUGUGGCUAGAGAAGCACUUCUUCUGCGGUAAAGCAGUCGGCCCUUCCUCCAACACACAAGCCUUAGCCGAGGCCCUAGCGAGAGGCUCUACUGUCCCCUUAGGAAAACACUUGCUAGGAUCGGCUUACCAUAUGAUGCAUCAAAUCGCCGCCAAGCUAUCAUCUGGAUAGCCGAUUGGGAACCCUGGCAGUCCCUGGUGGUUUAUCACCCUCUGGCUCAACUUAUACAUGAGCAAGGUUUCCCGAGAACGAGUUGAGACCAAGACAUUUCCCAACAUCGAGUCAGAGGAAAACCCAACAGUACGAUGACAUUGCACUUCUUUUGGUGAGGCGACGUCAGCCUUCCCUGGCAGUAAGUUUACACCCACCAAGACAACCGAGUAUUUCAGAUGUUUCUAUAUCGACUUUAGUGAGGAAACCACAAGCUGGUACCCAUAACAGAGAACCGAGCCACUCUUUGAAAACCCCGACUGUUUCAAUUCAACUACCAAUUCCUUUGACAAUGAGCUCAUGGGCAUCCUGAUCAAGCCUGGGAUCCUACCAGCAAACUUUUUUUCAGGGAAAGACUCCCCAACCUAUGAAUUUUACAACCCAUCAGUGGUAGCAUGGCAAUUCAGUCUUGGACAGUUGCCGAUUAAGAUUUAUUUUGCUGGCCGCGUAAAGUUUCGGGACGGGCUCACCAAGGGGCUUGAAUAUAAUUGGCUGUGUAGCUUGACGCUAGAUUCUAGCACCGUUGACUUAGCCGACUAGGUGGUGGCUCCCUUUGCUGUCCAGCAAUUUAAGCUAUGGUGGGGUGAGUGGAAGCAACACCUCUUCUGCGUAUCUCCCACAACAUAUUGUAACGAUCUGGAUCCUGCCAACAUUGACCCAAAUGCAGAGGUAUUAAUCCUUCUGGCCAUUUUGACAUUGUACCCUUUGUGCUACAUGAUUACCACUGAUUUCCUCCUUUCUUGCAGUCGGGAAACCAACUCCCCCCAAAGCGCAGCCGUAGCGGCAGGCCGAUAGAGAAUCGUCACCCAUACACUCUAUUUCCAAUCAUCGGCUUCCAGGCCCCAUCAAUUGAAGACAUCACCACCAGCCGAUUGAAGCAAAAACUGAAGAUAUCUUCCUCAAAGAAGACAAGUCGUCGGGUACGCACCCACAUAGAACCGGCCAAUCAAUCAGCAGCACUACCAGACGAAUCCUCAGUUAUACCAACUCUGCCGAUUGUCCAGGAGGUCGAUCCCCAAGCCGCUAUGGAAGUUGGGUUGGCAGCUGCAUCCUUACUAGUAGAAGCUAUCCAGGUAAUUCUAUAUGCUUCACAUUUCUUCAAGUACAUUAUAAGUAUUAAUUUCAAUCUUCUGUUAGGCUGCGCAAAUCUUUCCUAAGCAGACCUCGCAACAAUCGGCUGCGCCCUAGGCAGAGACCGAACCACCAUCAAUUCCUUCGGCUGAGGUAAUGAAUAUACACCUCAUUUCAGGCCUCUCGAUCCUUAGUUGAAACUAACUGAUUUUUGAUGUAGGCUACUCUAGGUACAUCAAUCGUACCUUUUCAACUAUCAUCGGCCGGAUGACCCGCAGAGGUAAAGUAGCUGAUGCUCAUCCUCAAAUCUAACUAUUGCUCCAUACUUAUAGAGAUUCUCAUUUUUUUCAUUCUCCAGGAAGCCGGUCCAUGCACGGUGCGGAUCAUUGUCGAGUCCUCUUCCUGAAUCAAGGGCAGCAAUCCCAUCAACACAAAUGGAAGAAAUUCGUUUUAAAUGGGUAAGGGUCUUUGGCAUCCAAUUUAACCAAUUUCCACUAUCAUUGGCUAACCCGCUCCUUCUCCUCUUACUUCUACAGGAGCAAGACACGCCCAAUAACAACCUUUUUUCAUUCGCGGUUGCUGUCUCCGAUGAUGAGGAGGUAGCCUCUCGACAAGUGGCCCCAAGCUCAAUUCCCGACGAGGUCCGCGCGAAGCUCCAGAGCACCCGAGUCCUCCUUCAGGACGACAUCGGUCGAUUGGUAGAAGACGCCUCGCCGAUUCGCCAGAUCUUCAAUGAAAUAAAAGGCCAAGUCCCGAAAGAUGCAGAAGAAGCUCUCGCACUCGCGACAUACAUUGAACCAAUGCAAAUCCCGAUGUUUAGAGCCCUGCGGCACAUGGCCGAUCAUGCCAAGCUGGCAAAGGCACGUGAAGAAGAGGAUUCCUACAAACACCGAGCUCAAGAGGUACAUCACCGAAUCAGCGUACUUGAAAGUUCUCAUCUAGAUAUUGUCGGUACCAUAGACCGUCUCAAACGACGUAGGGCAGAGCUUGCCAAGGAGAUGGAACAGGUGAUGAAGGCCAUUGCUGCCGAAGAGAAGAAGCUCCUCAAUCUCCCAGUUGUCAUCACCGAUUUGAAACAAACGAGGCAAAAUCUUGCACAUGAGGCCAUCCAGCUUCAUCAUAACAAGCCAGAAGUCCCUGGAUCGGCCGAAGAUGACCAACAGGUUCUAGACUCAGCCGAUCAAAUCCACCGGCGGGCGAUUGCGGCCAUCAAUAUUCUUCUUGAAUGAAUGUAUCAACAUUGAAUUGCCCCUGUAUAAACAUUUAAUGCUCCUUUCACCGUUGAUGUAUGAAUAUGAAUCUGAACAUUUCCUUUCUGCAGCUUUUUUGCCCAAUGGUCGUUUGCUUCGAGUGGACGCCUUUACUAACCGUUGCUCCUUUACCUUCCUCCUUCCUAUAAAUAUGGGGUCUCUGCAUUUCUCCCAGAGGCAUUCACAUCUCAUCCACCCUUCUAUACUCUGUUUGACUGUUUUCAUAUCUCCAACUUGGCACUAAGAUGUCUUCCUCCUCCUCCGUCAAUUAGGUAUGGGAUCUUCCUUACACUCCUCAACAAAUUUUCCUUAACGACUGAAUGUCUGUUGCUUUUUCCAGCUGACCCGUCUCAGUCCUGAUCUUGAGCGAGCUAUCAAAAUCAUGCAUUCCGAGGAACCACUGACGUAGGCAGAUAGAGAUCUGAUCGAAGCCCAUCGUGAGGAACUUGAGGACCAUCUCCCGGCCCACAUCAAGAAGAUUGUAGAUCACAUCGAAGCCAAGAACCCCAUGAAGCCACCUCAGUCGCCGAUUGAGAGGAGUCACCAGCUACCCCACCAGGUCACUCUCAAAGAUGCCAUGGCGGCUCUGGAGGAAAAGAGCACCUGUCUCUUAAUAGAACUAGGCCGAGUCCAGAGGGAGAUUAAUAAAAACAAAGCCCAGCUGAAACGUAGUUAAUCGCAAUGUAACCCGAUAGAUGUAUUGGUACUUUUUAAUCUAAGGGCGACUCGUACCAUGUCGGCCAUGUAUCCAAUCACUGUACCAAGUAGUAAUCGGCCUGUUUGAUCAGAGGUUUCAUCCUCAAGGCGACGUUUCCCUGCAUCAGCUAUGCACACCCGAGUCCAUAGGAAUCGGCCAUAACGACUCGAUACGCUAUAUCGUCGGCUAUGUGUCUACCCAUAUGCUGGGAUAAUAUCUCUUCAAAUAUCUCCCAUUUAAGGCCCUUGUAAAUUCCUCUCCUUCGAUGGUCUCUAAUAUAUAUGCGUUUCCCGGCGCACAUCAACUGAUUUUAUACGGCCCUUCCCAAGUAGGCGACCACUUGCCGUAUUUGGGAUCCUUAGAUCCUAUCAGCAGUACCAAUUUCCAUACCAAAUCCCCUUGGGAGAACUGCUUGACCUUGACCUUUUUGUCAUACCACCUAGUAACUUUUUUCUUAUUUUCUUCAAUAUUGAUCAAGGCCCUCAAUCGCUGACCUGCCAAAUCAUCGAGUUCCCCUUUCAUGAGGAGAGAAUAAUCAUCGACCAUCAGCUGAUCUUGAAGUAACGUGCAUCUAGACUCUGUCCUCAAUUCCCAAGGUAGCACUGCCUCAUGUCCAUAUACCAAUUGAUAAGGAGAUAUCUUAGUAUCGCUGUGGCAGGCCAUCCUGUAGGCCCACAAAGAUUCAUUCAAAGAUGCGUGCCAUCUCUUGGGCUCCUCCUCUAUUUUCCUUUUGAUCAACUUGAUUAUCCCUUUAUUGGAUGAUUCGGCUUGACCAUUUGCUUGAGCAUAAUACGGAGAAGAAUUUAACAACUUAAUACCCAUAUCGGCAGUGAACUCCUCAAAUUCUCCCGAAGUAAACAUCGUUCCCUGAUCGGUCAUGAUGGUCUAAGGAAUACCAAACCGAUAGAUAAUGUGAUCCCUUACAAAAUCGAUCAUGAUGGCCGACGUCACGGUUUUCAGGGGGACUGCCUCCACCCACUUGGUAAAGUAGUAAGUGGCUACUAAUAUGAAUUUGUCUCCUUUGCUUGAUGGAGGAUAGAUCUGUCUGAUGAGGUCGAUCCCCCAACCCCUAAACGGCCACGGCUUAAUUAUUGGAUUCAUAGCCGAAGCUGGUGCACGUUGUACGUUGCCGAAUUUCUGACAAUCCUGGCACCCCUUAUAAUACUUAAAGCAAUCCUCGAGUAUCAUUGGCCAGUAAUAACCAUUGUUCCUAAUCAUCCACUUCAUCUUGUGAGCCGAUUGAUGAGCCCCACAUACGCCUUCGUGAAUUUCUCCCAUCAGAAUCUUUGCUUCUUCUACUCCGAGGCAUUUGAGUAGCACUCCAUCAAUCGUUCGGUAAAACAAGUCAUCUUCAAGUAACACAUAUUUCAUGGCCUAAAAAUGUACUCGUCGGUCCACUUUCUUGGAUGGGUCUCUUAAGUAAUCGGCGAUCUCCUUUCUCCAAUCGUCGGCCGCAAGCUCCAAAGACAUGGCACCUUGAAUCGGCCGAUACCUGGAAGCAUGUUGGGAAAGCAUAUUGGCUUCCUUGUUGUAACCUCUGGGAAUAUGCUCAACGAUUGCAGACUUGAACUCUUUCAAUAAUUGGAGGCAAUCUUCAUAGUCAAGAUAUCACCCUUGCAUUCAGACCUCCUGGUUAAUUGAUCCAAGAUGAGCAUGGAAUCCCCAAAAAUUUCCACUGCGUCGGCUUUGACUUCCCUCAAUAAUUGGAUACCCUUUAGGACAGCCCAAUAUUCUGCCUGAUUAUUAGUGGCGGACGCCUCAAUCGGCAGACAGAAAUCAUAACUUGCCUCCCGAGGCGAUAUGAGGAUGAUGCUGAUUCCCAAUCCGGCCCCACAUGAGGAACCAUCUAAGUACAGAGUCCAUGGAGCUCGCUCGAAGACGGUGACCUCUGGUCCACAGCGCUGGGCCACGAAAUCAGCCAUUACUUGACCCUUGACAGCUUUGGACGAUUCGUAUCUCAGGUCGAAUUCUGAGAGAGCUAGAAUCCACUUUCCAAUCCUCCCUUUCAAAAUUGGCAAUGACAACAUGUACUUGACCAUGUCAUCCUUGCAUAUGACUACGCAUUCCACCGAUAACAGAUAGUGCCUGAGUUUGGUGCAAGAAAAAUACAAACAAAGGCACAGACGUUCCACCGGAGGAUAUCUAGUCUCAGCGUCCAGGAGUCUUCUGCUGACAUAAUAGAUUACUCUUUCCUUUCCUUCAAACUCUUGGACUAGCACUGACCCAAUAGCUCGUUCGUCGGCCGACAAGUACAGUUUGAAUGGCUUGUCAGCCGCGGCACAACCAACAUUGGCGGUGAGACCAGGUACUGUUUGAUGUCGUCCAACGCUUUCUGCUGUUCCUCACCCCACACGAAUUCUUGGUCAGGUUUUAAUUUCAACAAAGGGGUGAAGGCUUGAAUACAUCCGGACAAGUUAGAUAUGAACCUCCGGAUGAACUUUGCUGAUUAAGGACUGUAGCUCAGUUUUGUUCUGGGGGGCCACAACUUUAUUGAUGGCAGCUAUGAUCUUCCGGUUAAUCUCUAUACCUCGCUCAUGGACCAUAAAUCCCAGAAAUUGUCCAGCUGAAACACCGAAGGCACAUUUGUUUAGGUUCAUUUUCAAUCCAUUCUUCCUUGUGCACUCCAACACUUUUCGCAAAUUGACCAGAUGUUCCCGAUGCCCCUUUGACUUGACCACGACGUUGUCGAUGUAGAUCUCCACCAGAACACCAAUAAGUUUGUGGAAAAUAUAAUUCAUAGCCCGUUGAUAUGUAGCUCGGCAUUUUUCAAACCGAAAGUCAUUACUACCCACUCGAACAAACCGAGGUGGCCUGAGCAUCUGAAGGCUGUUUUCGAAAUAUCUAUUUUGGCCAUUAAUAUUUGAUUAUACCUAGUGUUACCAUCCAUGAAGCUGAUGACUUUUUGUCCUGCGGCAGCAUCUAUUAAAACAUCAGCCGUCAGCAUCAGAUACCCAUCCAUCAGCGUAGCAUGAUUAAGAUUUCUAAAGUCAAUACACACACGCAGUUUUCCUUUUUUUCUUGUAUACAGGCACAAUAUUGGAAAUCCACUCGGCAUAGAGACACUAAUGAAUAAAACCUGCUUCGAUCAAUCUUGUGAUCUUGGCCUUAAUAUCAGGUAAAAUCUUAGGAUCACAACGCCGUGCGGGCUGCUGAUACGGCUGAUACCCUAGUUUUAUAGGCAACCGGUGUUCGAUAAUGGACCGAUCUAGACCAGGCAUCUCAUGAUACUCCCAAGCAAAACAGUCUUUAAACUCCCAUAAUAGACUUGUCAAUUCGUGCUUAUAUUCGGGGUCUAGCCUAGCACUAAUAUACGUCGGCCUUGGCUUGCUGCCGCCUCCAAGGUCCACCAUCUCCAACGAAUCAGCCGACAUAAAUCCAUGCCCCAGCUUCCCAUCUUCUUGGACAAACUGAUCCAUUUAAUCUGAUUCUUCAGAGCCGACUGCUUGGAUCGGCAGUAGACUAAAAUCGGACACCUUCAGGAAAUCGAUGUCCCAAGUGCUGCCAGAUAUGCAUCUGACAUGUUCACAACUCCACUGUUGCGUGUCGGCCGCGGCAACGCUAUAGGCGGAAUCGGUGGUGACUAUUUUGAUGUUGUCGCCGACCCACUAGAUAAGGCAUUGGUGCAUUGUAGACGGGAUGCAGCAGUUUGCGUGGAUCCAAGCUCACCCGAGCAACAUGUUAUAGGACCCUUUGCCAUUAAUAACAAAGAAAGUAGUGGGUAGGGUCUUACUGCCGAUGGUGAGGUCGAGACAGAGUGCUCCCCAGGCCAGGGAUACGUUGCCUUCGAAAUCUUUGAGCAUCAUAUCCAUCUUGGUUAGGUCUUCUUCACCCUUGCUCAAUUUGCGGAACAUAGCAUACGACAUGAUGUUCACAGCAGCGCCACCAUCUACCAACAGCUUGACGACCGGUCUCCAUUGACGUGUCCUUUGAGGAACAAGGCCUUGAGAUGCUGGUGUUUUUUGUCCUCGGGUUUCUCAAAAGUGGCUGUCAUUGGCUCCAGAGCCAAUUGUGCCAUUUGCUCUUCUAUUUCUGUCACGUCGCUUCGAUCGGCGGGAGCCAUGAAUUCCAUCGGCAAGAUGAACACCAUGCUGACGUCAGCUGCCGAAUCAUGAUUGUUGUCUCCCUCGCCAUUUUUUCUUCUGGGGUGCCAAACUCAAGACAUGUACCCUUUCUUAUCCAUCUCCUACCUUUGUUCUUCUUCCUGCUGCUCCCAUUGGCGCAAGCCCUGGACCCUUCGUUUCUGGGACUUAGUCAAACCAUCCGGGCACCAUCUGGGGUUUACUGGUUUGCUUGGUGGUUUUGCAUGCUCCCAGUUUGGCUCUCGCCCUAGGGGGUUCUCAUCUGAGACUCUGGCGUCGGACAAUUCUCCCAGAUGAUCGUAUGCAUUGGUCCUGCCCCCAAGCCAAUUAUGCUGGUCAACUCUGCCCCCCAGCCGAUCACGCACUGAAACACGUCGAUCUUCUUGCUCGUGCCUAUUUCUGCUGAUCGGUUCUAGUCCUCGAUCUCUGGAGCAUGAUCUCUUGAACGGAUGGCUGCUGCGAUAUCGAUUGUUGCAUUCGGGGCAGUUAUCGGCCGAUGGCAAUCUAAGGUUAUGCUCCUAGCAGUGGAUGAAAAAUGGGCACCUUCAGUUAUCUUCGUGUCGGCGCAUCAUCUUCUCAUGACAUCUUGAAUCUUCCCGCUGCCGCUGAUACUUGCUGAGUAAAUCAUGGGAAGUAAUAGGUCGACGUGGCUUUUCUGAUCCUUCACCUUCGUCUUCCAUCCACCCCUUUCCUUUGACAUCACCGACCGAGGCCUGGUUUCUGGGAUCUACUGCACCACUCCUUCUGGCCGAUUUUGAUGUUAGCACUUUGAUCUGGAGUAUGUUUCUUCCUGCGUCGACCAUGUUAGCGGGGAAGGGAUGAUUAUCUAUCUUCAUCGGCUUUGCCGGCUUUGCCGGGACUUCGAACUUGAGUCUUCCUUGCUCAAUGGUCGAUUGUAUCUGCUGCUGGAAGAUCUUGCACUCGUUUGUGUCAUGGGACGUGGUGUUGUGCUACUUGCAAUAUUUCAUCUUUUUGAGUUGUUCAGCCGACGGAAUCGUGUGGUAAGGCGAAAGUUUGAUCUGCCCCUCCUGAAGUAGCAAGUCAAAGAUUUUGUCGGCCUUUGAGGUGUCGAAGCCGAAUGUUUCUGGUUCCUUUUUUCCAAAUGGGUACGAUAUCGGCUUUUUCCCUUUUACCCAUUCUGCCAGGCCGAUUUCUACCUCUUCCUCCAAUUCGGGCCCUUCCACAUACGUCACCUUCUUUUGGAAAUUUCUUCGUUGGUCGAAGGGGCGUACUUCCUAGCCGGAAAGCCAAUGAACGAUCUGGCUCAAGCUCUCAAAUUUUUGGGAAGUGUAUUUCUCCUUGAUGUGUGGCAGGAGUCCUUGGAAAGCGAUAUCGGCCAACUGGGCAUCGGUCAAGACCAGGGUGUAGCACUUGAUUUUGACUUCUCUGAACCUCUGUACGUAGCUGGUCACCGAUUCGUCACUCCUUUGCUUGAGGCUCGUUAGAUCUGAGAGUUUCAUCUCGUGGACCCCCGCGUAGAAGUACUUAUGGAAUUGCUUCUCCAAAUUGGCCCAAGUAACAAUGGAGUUGGGCGGCAGUGUAGUGAACCACUAGAAGGUCGAUCCAGACAGGGACAAUGAGAACAGUCGCACUCGUAGAGCAUCUUGCGUGGCGGCUUCCCCGCACUGGAUGAUGAACCUAUUCACGUGUUCUACCGUUGAUGUGUAGUCCAGGCCCGAGAACUUGGUGAAAUCGGGGACUUUGUACCGAUGGGGGAACGGCAACAGGUCAUAGGCAGGUGGAUCUGGCAUCUUGUACGUGUAGGUUUGUACUUUUGGUUUCAACCCAAACUAAUCUUGAAUCACCUCUACUAUUCUUGUGGUCCAAUCAACCUGCUACUGAUGUACGACCGGUUGAGGAAUCGGUACGUGCUGCUGGAUUGGUGGCACCACGGCCGGGUGAUGGACCAGAGUGUGCUGCAGAUUUUGUGGCUGGGCUAUCGGCCGAGUAGCCGAUGGUUGAUGACGUAGGGGAUCUACCGCUCCAUCGUUCGGUAUCAUCGGCGCCGCAACUCUGAGCGGUUCUACAGUGCCUGCACCCCCGCCGAUUUCUGAAGUGGCUGGCUGGUAUUGCGGGGCUAUUGGCCGAGUGGCCGAUUGGAGUAAUGCCUAGAUUGGAAACUUCCCGUAACUGGUUGAUGGAUCCAGACCGGCGGUUGUUGCUGAUACCCCCCAUGGCGCUGAGUUUGAGAGCGGCGGUUGUAUGGAGGAAAUAGAAGUAGGAUGAGGCGGCGCUUGCGAUUGGUAGAAUGAUGUGCCGUUGUACCCCAGGGGCAUUGAAGUGUUGUACCCUCUAGUUUGCAUCUGCAUUGGCUGAGGAGCUGAGUGAGACGCAUCUAGCAUCGCUGAGAAGCCUCUGAUUGGUGCCACGAUUGGAGGGGCGUAAGCUGGUCCCUGAUACCCCUGAGCUGCGCCGCUGACCAGGGAACUGAUGACGGCGUUAUAUACGAUGUUGGUCAUUACCAUGGACUGGUUGAUCAUAGCCUGAUAAACAGAUUGUUGAAUCAUCUCAGACAUUUUCCUUGAGUCCUCGGUGAUGGUGAUAUGGCAAGAAGUGGGGAGGGGAGCUUUCUUGACGGUCUCCCCGCUUCUGGUACGACUGAAAGAUUGUAGCCAAGACCUCCUGUAUUCUUCUAUAGCCCGUGCCACUUCCUCCUUCUCGUCAUCCUUGCAAUCUGCUUCAGUGAUUUCAAUGACGUUAUCUUAAGAGAUCUCUGCAGCCUUCGACAUGUUGGAUCUUGGUUGGUCCCACCGGGCGUGCCAAAAGUGUGUUGGCACUGAAAAUUGGCCGAUGACCCUCAGCGUCGGACACACAACCCGGGAGAAUCUGCUUAGCUCUUGUUCGGGUUACUGCCCUAGUGUGGUUUGCACAGCGUGCCAGUCAAUCUGACCUGUUGAUUGAUAAGGAAAGAAGAGUAUUAAAUUCCGAGGGUUUCAAUUGGCUAGGUUUCCGAUCUGCCUUGAAAAGCGUAUCAGCGAAUCGGCCGAUUUACUGUAGAGAUGAUCGGCUGUAAAAUAGCCGGUACUCAUGUAGCAGUUGUAAGGAAAACCACUAAAGCAACUUAGACAACACUACAAAAGCAACACUUAGAGUAGAUCUAAUCGGCUAUGUAAUGAUAAAGGAUAAAAAUAAUAAAAGCCGACUGUUCGUACCUCAAGCUAGAUAAUUGGUGAUAAAAACUAAAACAAUAGGUAAAACCUAUGAUUCUAGUUGAUAUCGAUAACUAGUGAAUAAAUCUAAACGAAACGACAGCAAUGCGUCCAAAGUUAAAGCUUAGAUAUUACUCGAUAAGCAGAACUUACAGAAUCGGUCGGAGAUCGUGUCGAUGCAGCCCUGCCAACCCGUGCGAACUCGUGAAAGAAAAAGGUUUUGGCGAAGUCGUCAACUUGAAACUAAAGUAAGAGGAAAAAGUAGACUUGUUGUAUUGAUUGAUGUGUUGUUUUUUACAAACCUCUAGAGAUGGCUAUUUAUAGCCUGUUACAACUGAUUUCCUAACCGACUAGGAUCUAUCUCUAAUUUAAACGACAACAAAUAUUUACAAACACGACUCGUAUUCGAGUUGGCUAUUAUUUUCCCAUGGGCCUAUCUCUUUCUUCAGCAAAUCUUCCUCUUGGCCCAUCUUAGGCCCAAACGGGCAAAGCCGCUUUGACUCCCAAUCGGCCAGCCUCCUCUUCCGCCAAUCGGCCGAAACACUGUAGCUUCAAUCGGCCGAUUCCUAACUAUAGCUUCUAGUCCGCCGCAUCGGCCGCCCUUUCUCCUUCUUUGAUGCCGAUUACAAACACGUGUCAAAAUCCGGCGUCAACACAAGGCAUGCUGUUUUCAUAGAGGAAACUGGAUGCACUAAGGCUAGGAAAAUUGAUCUUGAGGAGAUUCGGACUUAUGAGUUGUUACCCAUAAGAUAGGAUUAUUAUGCUCCUACGCCAUAUACCACAGUUGUAUCUCAGGUGGUGGAACUUCUAGUAGAAAAUGUGGGAGUAACACCUACCUUAAGUGAUAAUGUAGAUGCACUAGUGAUAAGUGAGCAUCAAGGUGAAGAUGUGGUAGAACUUGCUGGUGGAUUGCAAGGGGAGGCAACUGAUGAGCUCGAGGUAAUUCAGCAGGAACCUGCUCAAGCAGAAGCACCACAGGAAGUAACACCACAACAUCUGAGAAGGUCAACACGUGAGAGCAAGUCCACCCUUUCCGAUGAAUAUGUGUACAUAAGUGAAGAAGGGCACGACAUAGGGAAGGUGGACGGUCCAAACUCAUUUAAGGAGGCCAUAAGAAGUGAACACUUGCAUAAGUGGAGCGAGGCCAUGGAAGAAGAGUUGAAGUCCAUGGAAGCAAAUAGAGUAUGGGACUUCGUAGAAAUUCCUGAAUGAGCCAAAAUAGUAGGCUGUAAAUGGGUCUACAAAAUGAAAUAUGACUCUAAAGGGAAGAUCGAAAGGUUCAAAGCAAGACUCGUGGCUCAGGGCUUCACUCAAGUAGAAGGAGUCGAUUAUAAUGAAACCUUCUCGGCUAUCUCAAAGAAAGAUUCAUUUAGAAUCGUUAUGGCUUUAGUAGCUCAUUAUGAUCUUGAGCUACAUCAGAUGGAUGCUAAGACUACGUUCCUUAAUGGUGACUUGCAUGAGAAUGUAUACAUGAAGUAACCUGAAGGUUUCGUCAUGGAAGGCAAGGAACAUUUGGGAUGCAAACGAUAAAAAUCCAUUUAUGGAUUGAAACAAGCAUGCAAACAAUGGUACCUUAUGUUUGAUGAAGUAAUUAAGAGAAUUGGCUUCAUUGAAAAUAAGAAAGACAACUGCAUAUAUGUUAAGACUAAGGGGAGCUCUAUAAUCAUCCUAGUGCUUUAUGUGGAUGACAUCCUAUUAGCAAGCAGCGAUAAGAACUUGUUGCAUGAGACAAAGGGCUUUCUCUCAUUGAACUUUGAUAUGAAGCACCUCUAUGAUGCCGCUUAUGUCUUAGGCAUUGAGAUUCACCGAGACAGGUCCAAGGGUGUAUUAGGACUCUCUCAAAGAGCUUACAUAGAGCCUCCUUGAAAGAUAUAAUAUGCACCAAUGUUCAGGCACAGCUGCUCCAGUUGUCAAGGGCGAUAAGUUUGGGUCAUUCCAACGUUCUAGGAAUCAAUUAGAAAUUGAUCAAAUGAGAAUGAUUCCUUAUGGUUCAGCUGUCGGAAGUAUAAUGUAUGCACAAGUGUGUACACGCCCUAACUUGGCCUUUAUAAGGAGGAUGCUUUGAAGCUAUCAGUCUAAUCUAGGAAUAGGCCAUUGGAAAGGAGUUAAGAAAGCUUUACGUUACAUGCAAGCACUAAGAAUUACAUGCUAACGUAUAGGAGAGUUGAGAAAUUAGAGAUAAUCAGCUAUUCAGAUGCUGAUUUUGAGGGUUGUGUAGGCACAAAGAGAUCCACAUCAGGUUAUGUCUUCACACUUGCAAAUAGGGCUAUAUCGUGGAAAAGCUCCAAACAAACAUUAACAGCUGCAACGACGAUACAAGCUGAGUUUGUGGCAUGUUAUGAAGUUGUGGGACAAGCUGUAUGGCUUAAGAGUUUCAUCCCAGGAUUAAGGGUGGUAGCCAGCAUAAGUAGGUCACUAAAAUUAUACUACGAUAAUAAGUCAGUAGUUUUCUAUUCGAAUAACAACAAGUCAAGUGAUGCUGCAAAGCAUAUUGAGAUUAAGUAUCUUGAUGUGAAAGAUAGAAUCCAAGAUCACACCAUUGAGUUAGAGCAUAUAAGUACUAAGAAGAUGCUUGCGGAUCCAUUAACAAAAGGCUUACCUCCCAUUAUAUCCAGUGAACAUGUUGCCGGCAUAGGAUUAUCGGAUAGCCUAUGAUCUUGGAGGGUCAUAAGACAACCGCCUCCCAUCAUGAUAGGUAGUUUUAUACAUUGUGGACAACUGUGUCACAGUGGGAUUUUAAUCAUCAUUGUCACACAUUGUCUCCCUGCAUAAUUCUUCUUUAAGAAUGGCAUGAGUUAUAGGCCUUUAGACCAAAGUGGAGAACGUUGAAAAAAUAACGUGGUGGUCAAAAGGCCGAGAGGAAAAUAGGAAGGAUAAGAUUGAUGCCGAUCACGGUGGCGCUGGAGUUGGCCAAAGGCCAUUGUCGCACCACCAUCACUGUCCAUGGACAGAUGAGGUGGAGACUUGAAGGGAGAUGCGAUCUACUCCGAGCUAGUACACCUACGACAUCUGUCAUCCCGGCCUCAUCCACGACCCUAAUGGAUGGAUUGUCACAAGCCGUGGUAGCUGGUUGUACUCUAACAUCUUCAUUGAGUGGUGUUCAUGUUCUAGAUGUGCAAAGAUCCUAUUUUAGUUAAGAUUAAGUAAUGUAGAUUCCUACAAAGUUAAUGAAGCCAACCUAUCGAUUCCAGUAGCAGCGAUGUUGUGUGACGGCAUAGCUUCAUCUUGUGCCCCACUAACAUCAUUCAUGCUAAGGUCAAGGCUAUUAGGCAAUGUAUAGCCAUAUAUAGCUGAUUUAUAGCUUUCCAUAUAUACUGAUUGUAUUCCUUGUAUACCAAACCAUAUUGGCUAUAUAAUAGAGGUCACCCCCUCAUUAGGUUGCGCGGUGUUUUCCCAAACUCUAUCUGUCUGCAUGGUAUCAUGAGAUCGGGAUCAAUCUAACUAGGACUUUCCUUCCACCCCACCUCUCCCUGACACACCUAACCCUAGGCGCACCUCCUGUGUGGUGGCGCUUCUCCCCUGCGCUAGUGCCCCUCCCCACCUCCCUUCCUCCCAUGGCCAACGAUUCCUCUUUCGAGUCCUCCCUGUCCGGUGGCGGCCUUCUGUCCACUGGUGGCCCCAAGCCGGUGCCUGGUGAUGGCUCUUUGCCCAUCUCCGCCGACACCACCCCCCACUGGACUUGAACCACCGGGUGGCUCCAGCGAUGGCCCUGCACUGCCCCCUGGUGGCGGUCUUCUCGUCCACCAGGCACCGCUGACCAUCAUCCACCCCUACGCAACGAUCUCCGUCAAGGCUCACGUCCCCAUGAUGUUGACGAUGAAGACCUCUAGCUACUCCAAGUGGUCUUCCUUCUUCAAAUCCAUGUGUGGCAAGUUCAGCCUCAAGUUGCACAUCAACAGCACCGUGGCGCCCCAUCCUGACGACCCCGAUUGGGAUCAAGCGGAUUGCUGCAUCCUCUUCUGGAUCUUUGGCUCCGUUGACGACUCAGUCAUGGACCUCACCAUGGAGGACGAUGAGCAGACUGCCAAGGCCCUUUGGCUCGCCAUUGAAGGCUUCUUUCGCGCCAACAAGCAAUCCCAGGCGAUCUUCCUCAGCUAUGACUUCCACUCCAUGACCUAGGGGGACUCCUCCAUCUCGUAGUAUUGCCAGCGCAUGAAGAACCUCGCCGACGCCCUCCAUGACAUUGGUCACCCUAUUCAGGACUCCUAGUUGGUCUUGAAUCUUCUCCACGGCCUCAACCCGCACUACUCCAACACCACCGACGACAUCGCCAACUCCCCCGCUGACUUCCCGUCCUUCGCCCAGGCUCGUGACAUGCUCACCUUGAAGGAGCUUCGCCUCGCCAACUUGCUACCUACUUGCUGCUCUAUGUCGAUGACAUCAUCCUCACCGCCUCAUCUUCGAUGCUCCUCCAGCACAUCAUGGCUAGUUUUCACUCUGAGUUUGCCAUGACAGAUCUUGGUGAUCUUCAUCACUUUCUCAGCAUCUCCAUCACGCGCUCCCCUGAUGGCCUGUUCCUGUCCUAGUAAAAGUACGCCCUGGACCUCCUCCAGCAUGUCGGUGGCUGAGUGUCACUCUACGGCGAGUCUUGUUGACACUCAUGCCAAGCUCUCGGCGACUGAUGGCAACAAGCUCAAGGAUGGCUCUGAGUACAGGAGUCUUGCACGGGCUCUCUAGUACCUCACCUUGACUCGACUUGACCUGGUAUAUGUAGUUCAGUAGGUGUGCCUCUUCAUGCACGAUCCCCGCGAGCCUCAUCUCACACUGAUCAAGCGCAUCCUGCACUAUGUGAAAGGCACCCUGUCCUCCGAGCUUCACAUCGGCACCGGCCCUGUCCAGUCCCUGACAGCCUACUCCCAUGCGGACUGGGUUGGCUGCCCCGACUCUCGACGCUCCACCUCCGGCUUCUACAUGUAUCUUGGGGAUAACUUGGUGUCUUGGUCCUCCACGCACCAGAGCACAGUGUCUCAGUCCAGUGCUGAGGCUGAAUAUCGGGCUAUGGCUCACGCUGUUGCAGAGUGUUGCUAACUUCGAUAGCUUCUUCAGGAGCUACGUCCCCCUCGCUUCGGCCACUGUUGUCUACUGUGAUAAUGUGAGUGUUGUCUAUAUGACAGCCAAUCCGGUUCAUCAUCGACGCACGAAGCAUAUCGAGAUUGACAUCCACUUCGUCCGGGAGAAGGUUGCUUUGGGACAGUUCGAGUGCUUCACGUGCCUUCGUCCCAUUAGUUCACGGACAUCAUGAUGAAAGGCCUUCCAGUUCAGCUGUUCACUGACUUUAGGUCCAGUCUUUGCAUCCGGGAACCUCCCGCGGCGACUGCGAGCGGGUAUUAGGCAAUGUAUAGCCGUAUAUAGCUGAUUCAUAGCUUUCCAUGUAUACUUAUUGUAUUCCUUGUAUACCAAACCAUAUUAGCUAUAUAAUAGAGGUCACGCCCCUAUUAGGGUGUGUGGUGUUUUCCUAAACUCUAUCUCUCUACAAAGGCAACGAAGGGUUGUCAAGUUGAAGACUGCAGGGUCCAAGCCAUUACUGGACAAGCCACGAUUGUUGAGGUCAAGUACGGUGACAUUACCGGAGGCGUCGUCGCAGCCAACACCUUCCAGAGACAGCACUCAGUACCAUCUCGCCAUGAUGAAAGCCUUGUGGUCGAUUCAUGGAAGGAGAAUGACUUCUUCAGCUGGAGGAGCACCUUAGCUUGGUCUGGAUGGCACAAAAAGGGAAGAUGAGUGAGGUUGCCACCAUCAGCAUGGUGAGGUGGCAGGGAGUGUGAGGAGCUGUGCAAGACAGAGCAGUAACGCCCAGCCGAUGGAAGCCAUGGUCCAAUGGAGGUAUGAGCUGACAAGCACCAAAAUGGCACAGAUACAUAAUGGUAGUCUAGUCUAGUAAUGGGUGACAGAAUUGUUGUACAUCUUGUGAAGCGGUAGUUUCACACAAGGCUUCUUCCAUGAGCUUAAGUGAUGGUCGCAAUUCAGAAUCUCCAAGUCUCUGCCCCUGUAAACACGCCAAUCAAGUAAGGGUAAGAUACAGACGUACACUAGCAAUGGAUCAUGACAGUAAGUUAAGGAAGAGACUUGUUACAACUUGUGAGACUUUCCAUAGUUGCUGUCGGUAUCGUUCAGCACCACUAGGACAUAAUAGUGACCUGGGAAGUGGAGCUCCAACUAUCAAGGCUUCCAUUUCAGAAAGAAAAAAAGGACUUCCAAGUCAAGUAAAGUGGCUACGAACCGAGGAAGGUGGAGCUGAAGCACAAAUCAACUGGAUAAACAGUAAAAAGAAAGUAGAGUAAAAUUCACAAAACAUACCUCAAGCUUGUAGUUUUCUAAUACCAGAAAAACUCAAGUUUUCUGAAAUUCGCUGUUAAAAAAUGAAAAAAGAAUACGAUGAGCGCUGCUUUAUCUUACAGCAUGCAAAAACCGGUAGCAGGUUAGGACAUAAAUCAGGCACGCAUCACCGAUGCUCGAAGAUGCAGAACAAACAUUUAACGGUUUUCCUAAGUUGCAACGACGAUUAAAUUUAUCUUGUCCAUGGCGCAAUAUAACAGCACGAGCAUCCCAUGUUACAACAUUUGAAGCAUAACAGAGCCGACAUCCAAAGAUUCAACAUUCAGUUAACACCAACCAUUCUGACUACAGCACAACCAGGUUGCAGUCUUGAACGACCAUAACACUAACCAGUUCAGAACCAAAUUAUCAUUCCCGCAUUUUCACUGGUAGCAGAGCAGCAGCACUUGCUUCAGUUUUUGAAGCUGCCAUGAUCCCUUUCGUCCCAUCGUCAGAUGGUGCCAUCCUCACCAGCUCCAAGGAUAGUGCUAGAAAAGGAAGACAACGUCACAUUUUUAAUCAACCCAAUGCAAAAACAGAAAACGAAAAUAAGCAAGAACAUUACACGCAAUUGAGAAUUUCUCCAUCAGUAUAAAAGAAAACUAGAAUAGGCAAUACACCAAGAGGAGCAUUAGAGUGAAGUACCUUCCAUCAAAAGACACUGCAGUCUGCCUUAUUGGUGAUCUGCAUUGCUGAUUAUAUAGCCUGAAAAUGAUACAGUAUUUGCAUCCAGAAGCAUAAGAGUUACUAAUACGCAGCACCAAUAAAAGUGGAGGACAAGAAUAACUGAAAUUCUUGCAUUAAAAAUUACCGGGGCAAUUAGGACAGGAGGGCUGGACUGUACUUCCCACACAUAGAUUUUGCCUUCACGAUUUCCUGUUUGAAGCGGAGGACGAUUAAUCAGCAAACGUUUCUAUGAAAAUCCAGUCAUAUAUUUUAAGUGUGAACAUUUUGCCGUGCCAAAACCUCUUUAUAACUUCUGGUGCGUGAAAUUUACAAAUCAAUAACUUAAAUAUAACUUUUAUGUCAGAAAACAGCCCAGAUGAUAGAUAUUACUUAUUGCCAACUGAUUGAAGUGAAAAUCGCACGAAAAUUUUAUAAACCAGAUGUCACACUCUGGCACAGGGUACUUCUGAAGAAUAUCGAUGCUUCCCUAUAUGAGGAAAGAGAAAGUCAUAUUACUUCAGAGGAAUGGGCAGUCAAUGACUAGAAAUCAAAGAAACCGCUGGAAGUUAAAUUUAAGAAAAGUUCAAUUCGAGAAAAGUUCAAUUCAAGAAAAGUUAAAUUGUAUCACCUCCCCAGGACUUUGUUCUUUUGUUUUUGGUUCCCAAAGGACAAUUUCAUUAUCAACACUCUGCAAAUCCAAGCUAGCAUAGAUCAGAUCCCUCAUUAUACAGGAACCAAAACUGGCACUGGGAAAAAAAGGUUGAAAGACUGAACCCAUGCACAGUACAAGAAUACAGGAUCCAGAUACAGUGGUAUUUUGAAGCAUCAAAAGAAUGACGACUGUACUACUACUAUAGCAGCAAUUUGUAUCCAUUUAAGGGAAGGAAUUUCACCUUUGACAGGAUGAAGUCACCAAGCCAUCUUGUACAAUCAACAUAGUUAGAGUGUACUGAAGCAAUCAACACCUGCAAGGAAAGAAACAGGUUGGUUUGAUGGCAUGAGGAUUAAACACCAACAGUAGUUUGCAAAGGAAUAGAUCUAAGAUGAUUAUAGAUGCUAAACAUACCGGAAACUGGACAUAUUUUGUUGGAAACUUUGAUGGAAGGUCAGUCCAGGAAUAUGAUUUGUCAACAUAUUGCCAAAAUUCUGUGACAACAUUGGGAAACUCUAUCAAUGAUAUGCAGCAUGCAAAUGUAAACAUGAUGCUACUUUGAAGUAGUUUUCCAACCUUUCAUUGACCAGAUUUUCACAGUGUUGUCCAUGCCACAACUUGCAAAACGCUCAAUAUCACUAGGGUGGAAGUCCUUCAGCCAAAAUAAUGUAUUUUGAUCAGUACAUUUAUGCCUAACGUAAUGGAAGUACAAAAGCCGUAGUAGUCGCCAGAACUAUAUUUAUCCCUGAUGUAAUGCUCAAUAACAAACAGUAACAUCAGAAGCUGAAAGAGUGGUAGCUUGAGGGCACUUUGAGCAAGUAAUAUUCUGAAACAAUACCAUAAGAGGAGGCAGGAGCUACUUACAACACUCAACACUUCAUUGCGAUGACCUCCAGCUCCGGCAAAUACCAAGAUGCAGAUCCCUGUAUGGAAUCCAUAGCCUAACAGAUUCAUCCUAUUCAAUAAUGAAUAAUGCCAUAUGAAACAGUGUCAGAACAAUUAUAACAAAGUACAUUCAGCCUAAGAACAGGUUAUCUGCUAACCUUGCUUGCAGAAAUGAUGAGCGAAGGCUACGCUUGAGUCCUUAUCUCAUUUAUUGAGUCACCAUGGACAACAAAGCUCUGUAGAAUUCCAUAAACAGAAAUAACAAAUAAACACGUGCACAGUCUAAUUCAUAGGAUAGGAUAGUAUUUAUUGGCAUGCCCAGUCUCCUGACUAUAUGUAUAACGCCAAAAUAGAUACACUAGGUUGAACGUGUCUUGACUAUAACGGACAUGCUGAAGUAUCCAAAAACCAGAAUCUUCUGUGAGCAAAAGUUACAGUUUGCUAGUGGUAUUAAUGCAUAGCAAACAGACAAUUCCUUAAUCAAACCAAAUUCAAAUGACCUUCUGGAUCGGAUAUCAUAGAUGGUAUCUGUCAGGUAAGCAACUGAUGUACAGAUUUAUGCAAAUGAAGCUUCAUUCAAGUUUGACGUAGGAACAAAGACAAGGCUAGGGGUACUAUACCUUAGCUAACUUCUCCGUAGCGCAGUUGAUGACCCGAAUGAUCCCAUUGCUUCCUGCUGCUCAAUGACUCCAUUCUUGGUGACCAGUGUGGCAUCCAAUGUAUCAAUCAGCUCUUCCUUCUUCUUGAGCAAGGCGUUCUUCUCCUCUAUCACUCUGUCCCUAGCCUUCAGUGCCUCCUCCAUCCAAACAACUCUCACCUCCAGCGUGGCAAUCCUCAGCGAGUCCCUCUCGUCGUAGGUGUCCGGUGCAGUGUCCACCUCGUGUUGUAGGCGACGGUUCGUCUGGUCCAGGUCAGUCAAAUAGUGCUCAAGUCCCAUUAUCUUGCCCUGAAGUAUGGCAUUGGUACCGAUGCAGUUGUCCCAACCAUUGUGAAGUACCUCCACCUCUCUGUCAUUCCAGAACAGCGCUAAGUCCUGAGCGUGAAUACAGCGGGAGGCCACGCAAAACUUCUCGUUGGGCUCUGCAUAUGUGUCCUCGUAGUACUGAUGGGCUAAACUCUCGAAAUCCCUCGGCCCACGGCAAGCCCUGGUUAGGCAACGGUAGGGAGUCUGAGCCAACCUGUCACGGAGCUGCGCAUGCACCUCACACACAGCCCUUCUGGCGGCAGUCCGGUGAGCCUUUGACACUGACAGCUCAAACCCAAGUAGAAGAAUAAGCAAAGUCUAGUCAGAAAUAGCGGUAGUCAACAGCACUGUCCAUAACUAGUGGACACGGAUUAUAGCUACAACUUUAUACACUCUAUAGAGGAUGUACAGCUGUACCUGCACGGAUGGAGUCUAAAUGGUGGCGAUCUGUUGAAACCCCACCGAACAGCCAGAGCCCUAGUAGGUGGAUAGCUAUCUCAUAUUUCGACGAGUCUGGAAUCAUCCGCAGCUGCAGGGCACACCGUCACCAGUAAGGACCUCGAAGCUAUGAAACCUACCCACGCCAGGGUGUAGUCUGGUCAGAGCAAGCCAACGCCUUAAACUCAUUACAUGAUCCUCCAAUCCGCCUAGAGGCUGAGCACUAUCCACCACUAGUCUCGGACCGAACCCUGCCCAUAACGUAAGCGAGCGGUAUGUAAGUAAAAUAGCUGUUGUGACUAGUGGUAAACUGACUUGGUGCUUAAGCGGUUGAGAGCGAGCACUCUACUCCACAAGUAUAUGCCGAAACACAUGCAACAUACAAGUACGCCACCUGCUCCUCAGUAACAAACAAGGUACCUGCCACAAGUACGGGGUAUAGAGAGAGUCCAGAAUGCUCUCUCCUAGCAAGGCACUCCUUAGUACUAACCAUGGCGCUCCCGCCAAAACAUAUCAAGGAGUCACACUCACCCAAAACUCAAGCGAGAGUGUUCAAUGAAUCCUAUCACCAAAAUCAUAGCAUAUGCUCAUCCAUAACUCAAAAGCAUGUAUAUGGAUAUAUGAGCGGUGGACUAGCUAGGGGUCUAUAGCUAGUCCACAAAAGUAGGUAACAAGGAAAACAUGAUACAAAAUUAUCAAGGCAUGGCUUAAAACAUUGGCUAUGCAAUUCAACAUCAUCAAGCAUCAUAAAUAAAGCACUAGCAACUAAGCAUGCAUAUAAUCUAUGUGAUUGGGAGUGACAUGGCACCUUGUUCGUAGUUGUUUGGAUCUUCCUCAGCAUAGUCGGAGUCUUGAGGGUCUUCCGGGUCAUAGCUCGGGUCUGAACAGACCGAGAUAUGAUAUAAAAUAAAUUAAACGGCAUUACAACUAGAAAAAAACUCCAAGAAAGCUAAAUUUAGCAGAUCCAAAUAACACCAAACUAGUUACAAACAACACGGGCUCCAUUUUACGAAUUUAAUGCAACUGGUUCCAUAUUUUUCGCAGUUAAAAUGAAUUAGUUAUGAAUUUUUAAAGAUUAAAGGAUUUAUUUAAUUAUUUAAAUAAUUUUAGAAAAUAUUUAUUAUUACGGUGACACAUGUCAGUGCCUGGUUGUGCCAUGUGGGAGCAUAAGAGUGCGCCACGUGUCUCCUAACGCCAAGCUGACGUCAGCGUUGACCGGUCAACUAGGCCCCACCAGUGGGUCCGUGCCUCGGACAUGUCAACGUCGCGUGGCUCCACGUGGCAGCCACGUGGCCAUCUAGUCUACGUGGCACUGCCACAUGGCGCACACGUGGUCGUCCCCAGCUGGCCGGGAUCCGCGCGCCACCCGGAUCCCGUCCGCCACCCACGUGUAGCCACGGGUGUGGCGCAGGCCUGAUUGGCGGCAACGCAGCGGUGAUCGUGCCCACGACAUCAUGGUGUGGCACGACGUCACGGCGCGGCUGCUGCACGUGUGCGCGGGCAGGAGGCAGUCCCCGGCUGCGGCACGACCGCGGCGGUGUGCGGGGUCCCAGGCCCGCGGUGGCUGGCAGCGAGGCAAGCGGCGGCACUACUACCGUGGCUUGAAGGCUGGGCAUACGACAAGCAAACAAGAGGAAAGAGAGGGGCAGCGAGGUUCACUGCAGGGAGACGGCGAAAGCGGGUGGCGUCGGGUGGUGGUCGACAGCUCAGGCUCCUCCCUUAGAUGGCCCCUCUUCUUCUUCUUCUCUUCUACUUCCCCUCCUCCUUCUCUUUCCUCCUCUUCUCCUACUCCUCCCUCCUCCUCUACUCCUUCCCCAUUCUCUCACUCAGGUGGUUGAUGGCGCAAGGGCGAAGCCCCGAGUGGAUGGCGAGGAGAGGCCCCGGGCGGCUCUACUUAUAGCGGAGAGGCGGCUAGGGUCCCGGAGGGAGGUUGCGGUGGCACUUUAGGGUUUGGGGGCAUGGCGUUGGUGAUGUGGAUGGCUGGGAUGUGGUGUCGCAUGGUGCGGGCGACGUGGUGGCCGUACGAGGCCGCCAGCGCAAAAGCAAGGGCACGGGCGAGGUCACGGGUGCGCACGCGAGGCACGCGUGAGCGGUACGGCCGGAGGAAGAAGGAAGAGGACCAGGGGCACCUGACGGGCAGGUCCGGUGCGGCAGCGAGAGAGAAAGAGAGGGAGAGCGGGGCAUGGGUGGCAACUGCGGGCUGGGCCAGCUGGCCGGUUAGGAGGCUUGCUGGGCUGGUCACUGAGCUGCGCGGGCGAGGUGGCAGAGCAGGCCAGGCCGGCUGUCUGGCUAGGCCGGGGCGAAGGUAGGUGAGGGUGAGGCGCGAGCGGGCCAAGCCGGUGGGCUGCGGCUAGCCUGGUUGGUUAGGAGGGUUAGAUAGGUUUUGUUUUUAUUUAGAUUUAGAUUUAGUUUGAGUUUUGAAUCAGAUUCAAAAUUCAAACACACACUCAAACAUGAGAUCCAAAUAAAAUCUAAAAAGAUCCAAAUCGUUCCACACAAGUUUUGAAAUGGAAUUUUGGGACGAGAAGAGAAUUUGACUACCAUUUUCAAACGAGCACACAAUUCAAACAAAAGUUUUAAAUUUUUGGAAAUUUCACUUAAAUAAAUAUUACAAAAUUCUAGAAUAUUACAAACAUAACCGCUUCAGCUCGUACCCUGAGAAAAGCGAUACGAAGCUUAACACUCCUCAACAUCUGGGAAAUUUGGUCAGAACGAAACUCUAGAUUUUUCGGACUGUGUGAGUCAUCCUUGAUUUCCUUGGUGGCAAAAUUAAAAAGGAAGCUUAAGUUUUGUAGGUCUUUUGAAUUAAACCAACUUGGUAAGCUAUCACCCCAAAAGCCAUGGGCAUUCAAUUCUCUCAUUAGAGCACAAGCCAUCGAUCACUUCAUUCUUUCGAAAACUCUGGGAUUAGUUCGCCAGUUCAGCUCUAUUUCCAUGAGGUAUUUCUUGUCAACGAGUCUAGCCUCAGCAGCCUGUUCCUUGCUCCUCACAGUAUGGAUAGAUUUGAUGCAUAGCAUUCCGCUAAGCUGAUUCAUGCCCUUCAGCUCACCAAUUGCCCCCCUCCGUGCUUCAACUGUGAAAUAUCUCAAGUUCCUUUGAUAAGUCAAUAGAGGCUUUUACUGGAAGUGCUAGUUGACGCAAGUUGAUUAGCUUUGUUACAUCCUGACGAAUUGUUCUCAGACAUGAACCAAAUGCAACAACAACUUGUAGGCUGUUAAGGCACCAGAAUUUCGAUGGCACUUCAUUUAUAUUGCUGUAGGAUAUAUCAAGAUAUCGGAGGCUAUUCAACCCACAUAUGCUUUGGGGUAGACUUUUCAGCUUGCAACCUUUUAGGCUCAAAAACAGGAUGUUAGAAAGCUGACUGAACCAGGUGAUCUCAACAUCCAAUUUGGUACCAAGCCUAAGUGAACGCAAUUUGUUCAAAUUUUGAAUGUUUGUCAUUGUGCUCAAGGACUUACCAUCCACCUCGACUGACAUGUGGCGAGGUUUAUUUGUCAUUCCGCUCAAAUCUUUCAUCGAGAAACAUUCAUGGAUAGUAACAUACUGCGCAGUAUCAUGGAUCAGGUCAUGCAUUACGUAUUUAUCUUGAUUAGGGAACUUUGGAUCAGUUUGGAAAAGACACCUGCCUCUCAAAUCAUCCAAAUAGUUCAUCCCGACAUCUUCAAGACGCUUGCUCACUUGUGGUGAAACAAAGCCCUCUGCCACCCAAAUGUCAACGAUCUCAUGUCUUUUGAAGCUAUAAUCUUUCGGAAAUAUAUAUGGAGCAAAAUGCAAAGCAUCUCCUAAGUUCAGUUGGGAGGUACAAGUAGCUCAGUCGAAGUGCUGGUAAUAUCUCGCCAUCUUUUUGUUCUUGCUCCCAUAAUUCACUGUCCUUGAUAGUCCUCCAAUGUUGCUCAGUCAGAUUACUAUUCAACAAGCGUCCGAGAGUUUUGGCAGCCAAAGGAGUACCAUGCAACUUAGAGGAAAUGCUCUGACUCUGGGCACUCUUUACCAAACGCACAUUUCUCGAAAAAUUCCCAAAAUACACCAGCGGGCAAUCCUUCGAGCUGGACAGGCUUACAACUGCAUCUGGACCAUGCGGUGACAUUCUGAGCAAUGUUUUUGGGUCUUGUAGUCACUAAGAUCAUGCUACCUUCAAGUCCAUUCUUCAACGGUGCAUAUAAAAAGACUCCCAUUGUGGUAAUCUCCCAAAUAUCAUCCAGCACCAAAAGGAACUUUUGGAUCUUCAGCAUAUGCUACAGAUUUGCUUCAAGAACACCUAAACCACAAGACAAGUCGAAGUUUGGCUGGAUGGUCUUGAUGAUCUCCUUUUUCAUCCUUUCAAUGUCAAACAGGUCCGAAACACAGACCCGUAUCCUUACAGUAAUAAAGUGGCCUUUCACUCUUUCAUCACUGUAGAUGAACUGAGCCAGGGUGGUCUUCCCCAUCACGCCAAUGCCAAAAAUUGGCAAGACAGAAACAUUGCCACAGUUAGCAGUCUCAGCAAGCACUGCACUGCUGUAAGAGAUGGGCCUCCACCAUGCCCCACUCGCUGCGACUGAUGAGCAAGCGAGCUGUGAGCAGCUUGGUCUUGAGUUGGUCCAGCUCGUUUUCCAGCUGGGUCGGCGCUUGGCUCAUGCUCAUCCCGAAUAACAGGAUGCCUUGCACGGUGUCCAUGGUCGCGCGCGCUCCUAGAUCUUGGUGCGUUGGUGGAGCUCCUCCUCCUCCUCCUCCUGCUUGGCACUCGAUCAAGCAGGGCAGGGGCAGAAGCGAGCGAUUACCUGAUGAUGGUGCCACCGAUUACUGGCCUUCGCCCUCCCACCGCCGGACUGGUGAUUUUCACCGGAGGGAUCGUAAGAGAGAUCGGGCAGAGAGGUGGAGGAUCAAAUUGCGUGUGCACCCAACGUGGAAUGGCGCUGGAUAUAUCUAGCUAGAUGGUUGCAUGCCCUGCCGAUCUGGGCAAUCGGUAUUGCAUUUGCAGAUUUGCUUCGGUUUCAUCGAUGAAACGGGAAGACAGUGAGAGCACCGAAUGAAGAUGACACGAGUUCGGCGUUGGUUUCUUCGAUCGGUCCUGUCUUGGGUUCCAUCGAACUUGAUCGAGCUGUCUUGAGGCCGGCGGAGUAACUAAGAGAUCCAUUAUUCAUCGGGAUAAGCUAGGAUCGCAUGGGCUCGUUGCGGCUGCGGGCGCGGACCACCAUCUCUUCCUGCCCGCCGCCGGCGGCCGACGAGUGCAAGACUGGUAGGUUUAGGAGAGGAAAGGUCAAAAGGCGUGAGCUGUGAAGGAAUGGACCUGGCAUCUGGGUGCGGCUUGUGUUGUAUCUUGAGCCGGUUGGGCCGGGGUGGCGACUGAGUCCAGUAGUAGUGAAUUUUUUUAUUUUUUAUUUUGGUAUUUUGUAAAAAUAUAUAGUCGGAUGAAAAAAUUGUAAAAUUAGGCUAUUGUCACUGGCUGGACCGACGGUAAGGCGCUUCCGCCGGCCCAACCGCCCCCUGGGCCGGCGGAAGGGCCUUACCGCCGGCCCAGCCGGCGGCGGUACACCCCUCCAUACCACAUUUUCAAAAAAUCAUAACUAAUUCAUAUCAGCUCGGAUGGAGAUAAAAUUUAUAUAAAACUUGUAGAUCUCGAUGAGAUCUACAACUUUGUAGUUAAAAUAUUUUUCAUUUGAUGUCAUAUUGGUGCUCAAAUAAUCGACACAAGUUUCAGAUCUAAAAUUCAAUUUUUAGAUGUGAAAUUGGGCAGCACACUUUCCGCCCAGCUGGCGACCUAGCCUUACCGCCGGCAGCCGGCGACCUAGCCUUACCGCCGGCAGCCGGUGACAAUAGCCUAGUUUUGCAAUUUUUUCAUCAGACUAUUUUUGCAAAAUGUUAAAAUAAAAAAAUAAAAAAAGUCCAGCACUAGUCCACCAAAUGAGACAAGUUCCGGACCUACUCGGUGGUGGUUUUGUUGGCUGCAAACUGAUGGGCCUCGUGCCUUUGACUGCGAAGAAGACGGCGACGCAAAAGCAUUUUUUUCCCAGCAGCUUUGAAACGGUCGCCCGCGGACAGCAAGCAAGCGAUCGCGAGCCUGACCGCUGAACUGUAACAGGGAUCCAUGCUUUCCGGCAACACCCAUCGGUGCCAGGCUUACCCACCAGUACACCUGGCACCUGCUGACUGUCCAUCUCCAAACCUCCAUCACAAGACAGAGGUCGUCAAUGGCUUCUUCGGUUUGCAACAGCACAGUGGACAAGAAAAGCAGGGGCAAAGCUACAUUGGGCUAGCUAGGAGGCCUGCUAGGCUGGUCGCUGGGCUGCGCAGGCGAGGCGGCGGAGCAGGCCAGGCCGGCUGUCUGGCUGGGCCGGGGCGGAGGCGAUGAGGGUGAGGCGUGAGCGGGCCAAGCCACUGGGCUGCGGCCGCCCUUGUUGGUUAGAGGGUUAGAUAGGUUUUGUUUUUAUUUAGAUUUAGAUUUAGAUUUAGAUUUAGUUUGAAUUUUGAAUCAGAUUCAAAAAUUUUGGAAUAUUACAAACAUAAAAUCCAAAUAUAAGAUCAAAUAUGAGAUCAAAAUCAGAUUCAAAAUUCAAACACACACUCAAAUAUGAGAUCCAAAUAAAAUCCAAAAGAUCCAAGUCAUUCCAUGCAAGUUUUGAAAUGGAAUUUUGGGAUGAGAAGAGAAUUUGACUACCAUUUUCAAACAAGCACACAGUUCAACCAAAAGUUUUAAAUUUUUAAAAAUUUCACUCAAAUAAAUAUUACAAAAUUUUGGAAUAUUACAAACAUAACCACUUCACCUCGUACCCUGAGAAAAGCGAUACGAGCUUAGCACUCCUCAACAUCUGGGAAAUUUGGUUAGAACGAAACUCUAGAUUUUUCGGACUGUGUGAGUCCUCCUCGAUUUCCUUGAUGGCAAAAAUUAAAAAGGAAGCGGCUGCUUGGGUGGGGGCAGGGGCCAAAAACCUAAUGGAACUUUUAGCGCAGUAAUUUUUUUUUGUUACUCUUUAGCUAUUAGCCUAACUCUUCUUCUUUAUCAAUAAAAUAGGCAUAAUCUUAUACCCAUUGGUUUUUUCUAACAAUAUUUUCCAUGGAUGGAAACAUUAACGUAAGAAGAUAUACAAGUAACAACCUAUUUGAGACUUCAGUAGUGUUCAUACUAUACCAUACUAGUAGUAACAGUAGCAUUAAGCAGCCAGCUUACAUUGAACAACAGAGCACAAUACUUGUGUCAGUAUAAAAAAAGACUUGUGUAAAGCCAGCUACACAAGUUAGCUCGCAUUUCAUAAUUAAGUUUCAGAUUUCGUGCAAGGCCAGAUACUUUAGCACUGCGCUCUUGAUGUACCGAAAGGAAGAUUAACAUAUAAGUACAAUACCGAAGUAAUGACUAUGGAAAUAGGCUUAGAAAUACAACUGGAAGCUAGGUACAGUGCAAUAAACCUUAGUGCCUCAUCAUAGCUCCCUUAGCUUCCAGGAAAGUAUAAUGCUGUAUUUGCAGAGAAAAAAAAUAUCACCUUCUAGUGGUGAUCAAGUACGCGAGACUCUUGCAGUUGCAAUAGAAACGUCUGCCAAACCGGUCCCAUUUGACCACAAUAGCAGCUGCAAAGCCAACGCCGAAGCCAAGCCCAACGAAGAGAAACAAAACCACAUCAAUAUGACGAGAAGACUUGUCCCCAUGUGCCACACCUGGAGAGUGAGGUGAACUACCACAAGGAAAUUUUGGCAAUUGCAGCCCACACAAUCCAGCAUUCCCUUCAAAUGAGCUGCUGUCAAAUGUAGAGAACUGACGUGACUGCGGUAUCUUCCCCACCAAGUGAUUGUAUGACAAGUUUAGGGAGCCAAGAAAGGUGAGAUCAGUUAGCUCUUGUGGAAUGUCCCCUGAGAGUUGGUUGCAGGACAGGUCUAGUGACUCCAAAUCAGUCAUGCUUCCAAGUUGGGCUGGAAUUUUUCCAGUGAAGGCAUUGUGUGACAGACUCAGUACGCGUAGUGAUACAAGGCUUCCAAAUGUUUCAGGAAUAGUACCCUCCAAACUAUUUUUUGAGAAGUCAAUUGCUGUUACGGUAGUCAGCAUCCUUCCAAAUGGCAUAUCUGCCCCCUUGUACAUGAUCUCAACAGAAUAUUGAUAUGAAUGUUCUCUGUCAUUGACAUUUAUAGUGUUUAGAAUUUCGAGAGUUUUCCCAGAACUAUUAAACUCUGCCAUCAUUGACUUUAACUGCUUGAACCAUUGUGGCCUCAAAGUACCAGAGAAAUUGUUUGAGGCAAGAUCGAUAAUUUGCAAGCUAGGGAAACAUUCCUCACGUUUUGUGUCCCCAACAAUAUCACCUAUGGUGCCAUACAUUUGGUUUGAUCUCAGGACGAGUACAGAAAGCUUGGGAAGCCCCCUCAACCAAGAAGGAAAAGCAUCAGCUAUUUUGUUGCUUCCAAAGUCUAUAACCUCCAAGUCUGUACAGUUAGAAAGGCCCCUAGGAAGCCUCCCUUCGAUCUUAUUGCCAUGUAAAUCUAUCAUCUGUAAAGCACAUCUUGUUGUUAUAUUGGAAGGCAGCAUCCCUUUCAAGCGAUUCUCCCUCAAAUUUAAAACACCGCUGGGGAUAUUUUCUAUAAAACAAGGUGGAAUCGGGCCAUUAAAGUAGUUAUAUGAUAGAUCAAGGACAUCCAGGUAUAUUAUUUUUGGAUAUGCUGAGAUAAACGGUGUCCCGAAGAUAGGAGGUCCAGUUUGGCAGAAGGGAAGAGAACAUGUUGUUGGAAUAAUCCAAGACAUCUCCUGAUAAUUUUGGCAUAGGGAUCAUCCCUGAAAGUCUAUUGAAACUAAGAUCAAGCACUCCGAUUGAUGUAUUGAAAGGGACAACAUCCGAAUUAAGUUGCAUGCCCGUGAACAUGUUAUGUGAAAGAUUCAAAUGAGAUUGCACAACAUUCCAUGUCUUCUCCCAGAUCCAAUUUGGUAUAUCCCCACUGAUUUUAUUACAUGAAAGAUCCAAAUACGUUAUACAGUCAACAUGCCUCAAAAAUCUUGGAAAUUGAGUUAUCUUGCAAGAUGCGAGCCCUAAUUCACCUAGUCCAGCCAAAUAGCUGGUUUCCACUGGAUUAUUAUCUUCUGAGGCCAUGACAUGCAACUUAUUGUAGGAAAGAUGCAAAACAGUGAGGUAAGUUAAUCUCCGAAAAUGUGCAAGGUCCACGGAACCUAUCAAGUUGUUUGAGCUAACAUCUAUACAUACUAAACUUGUUAGUUGAAAGAUGGCUUUGGGAAUAAAACCUGACAAUUCAUUGUUCU
rnacentral:lncRNA from 1 species